CAAACUCUACAUGUGAAGGUCUAGUAUUAUAUGAAUCCCUCUUUCUCUCUUUCUCUCUCUCUCUUCUUCAACUCCAUUUGUGCAUUUGUGUGGCUCAUUGACUUUCUUUUGUACUAAUUCGGACCUCAAGGAUAGCAGUAAGGGAUGAUAAUAUUCAGGUGUUGAAUCUCGUUUCCAUUUUGUGGAAUCCGAGUUAAUGAAUGUGAAAGCCUUGGACAUGUAAGCUUUAAUGAAUGUGAAAGUCUCGGACAUGAAAACUUUGCAGCAAUAAUUUGAUUGGGAGUGAUAUCAUGUCAGUUUGUUAUAGUAAUAUCAUAGAACCAUAUUACUAGAAAAACAUAUCUGUGGCAUUUGUAUGGCCUUAAAUUUUGUACAUAAAUUGUCUUCAUCCUAUUAACACUCCUAAAAUAUAAAAUUCAAUUUGUAAAUAUGGUCAUAAUGAGUUCUUUCUAAUAAUAAAUUUAGAUCAUCCAUUUAGUGAAUAUGAAGAUUUUGGCCUUUAUGAAUUUGAAAUCAAUUUUUUUUUUUAAUAUUAUUAAUCUAAUGAUAUUAAAAUUAUCUAUAAGUUGUGGAAAGAAAAAAUAUCCUUUUAAGGUUCUAUUUUCACAUGUUGUUUUUUUGUUUUUUGUUUUUUGGUUUUUUCGUGUUUUUUUUUUGAUUAUUCAUUAAAAUAGAAAAGUAUAUAUUUCAAUAUUGGGGUAAAAUAGAUGGCCCUAACAUAGUUUUUGAAGAUUGUCAUUAUAAUACUGUAGAACCAUUGCAUGAAAUGUCUCCCCUUAUUUAAGUUUCAAUUAUUUCAAAGGAGGAGAUGAAAUACCGUUUACUUUUUAACUUCAUAAAAGAUGAUUUCUAUUAUUCUCUAGAAUAUUUUUAACAUUAUGCCUCUCUUAAUAGUGUCCAUGCUGUGGUACUUGUCCAUCGUAUUUUAUUUUAUUUUGUUUUCUCAGUUAUAAGUUUGUCUUGUGAAAUUAUUGGAAUGUGAUGAAAAUAUUUACGAAAUGUCAAAUCUACCCCGGGGAAUUGGAGCCAACAAUAUUAGAAGGUUCAUAUUGAUUCAGUCUGAGCCAUCUAUCUUGCAUUAUCGGUGGGAAUGUAGUAAAUCCUUGGCGGUAAUCCACGAUACUUAUGAGUAUUAAAUCAGAUUCCCAAGCUAUAUCGAACUUGUGCACAUCUCAUUUUAUUUGUUUUGAUUUUAUUCCGUGUAUUGUGAAUCAAUGGUGAUGUAUUUAGCAAGGUUCAUUGUUGUAAUUCGUAAUUGGAGUUCAUUAAUGGAAGUUGCCUGUAAUAUGUAUUUUUCUUAUCUUAAAGUCAUUGUGGGGAUUUUCCAAGGUAUUAUAAGACAUUUUGACAGGGUUUUUGAAAUUUUGCUUUUUUUUUUACACCUUACGUGGAAUCCUUAAUACUACUUCAAUUUGUGUUAAAGUUGAGGUCUUUUUCAGAGUUAUAGAGUUGUACACUAGAGUUUCAUAUGGCCGCUAAAGGGAUUUUGACGGGUUUGUUGAAAGAUGAAAAGUUUAAUGGGGAAAAUUAUUUUCAAUGGAGAAGGAAAGUAGGGUAUGUGCUACAUGAAGAGGACCUUGUUCCCAUUAUCACCGAGGCUCCUCCUAGUGAGACUAGAUGUAAUGUGUCUCGUGCGUUUAGAGACACCUAUGCCACUAGGGUCUCUAAGAAUUGCACGACCAUGAAUAUCCUGUUGGCCAUAAUGACUCGAUCAUAAGCAAAGAAAUAUGAGGUGUGUAAAAGAGAUAAUGGGUAGGCUCAAGAAUGCAUUGACAAGCCUUCCCAGAAUGACAAGGUACUUUUUAUGGGAUGAUUACUGGAUUUCCGUAUAUGCAGGAGUGGUGCAAGGUUGGUGAACAUAUGUGAAAUUUCAAGCUCAUGGCCCGAGAAUCGGAGGCAGCUAAAAUCUCAUUUGAUGCAUCGACCCAAACCACCUUGUUCCUCUUCACGCUGUUAGCCUCAUGGGACGUGUUCACGGUAAAUUUGGUGGCUCGUGACAUUCGUAUGGUGUUUGAUGAGAUCGUGUACUUUAUAGAGGCCAAAGAAGAGAGAAGGACGACAUGGAUGGAUGGACCAAAGAUGAUGGUCCAUAUAGUAAAUAUUAACCCUCCUCCUAUUCUUUUUUAAUUUGCAUGAUAAAUAUUUGAAAGGGAAUCCAAAUAGAAACUCCAAGGGAAAGAAGCAAUAUGAUAGGCGUCCUCCCCUACCAUCUAAGGGUCAAAACAAUGGGAGAAAAGAUAAGAAUUACAAAAUGAAAAUCAAAAUAACUCCUCACCCAGUAGAAAAGAUUCGCAUACUAUCCAAUGUUUCAAAUGCAAGAAGUUUGGGUACUAUAAAAUUUUAUAGGAAUCCUCCAUUUAUUCCUCCAUUACCACAAAACUCUGGACAUGCUCCUAAUAAAGAGAGAUUUUGUAUGGUAGUUGAAUUUAUGAUAGCAAGUGAUGGGAUGCAUGCAUGAUGCCUAGACUCUAGGGUAGCUGUGUACAUCACCAACCUAAGAGUUAUGUUUUAGAACAUUCAAAGAAUUAAAGUCCACACAAACCAAGAUUUGUACUGGAAAGAAAAUCAAGAACAAGUAGUUCUAAGAAUCAAAGAUUAUGUUCUUAACCUGCAGAAUGGUGAAACUCAAGUUCUUAGGGAUACUCUCUGCAUACAAGGUAUGCGUAAGAGCCUUACUUCUAUCUCUAAAAUCUCUGUGCUAUCUAUCUCUGUUUAUGGGAAAUUUUGCCUAUGUCUAUAACAAGGACCUAACCAGUCCAAUUAUCUUUGGUAGCCACCUGGCCAAUGGUCUGUUUACAGUUGAAAUCAAAUCGCCUGCUGAUUAUGACUUGGAGCCAUAAAACAAUUUUAUGCUAUGGCAUCUCAAAUUAGGUCACAUAGGCAAGGCAAGGAUGGAAAGACUUCAAAGAUACAAAUUUCGUAAAACCAUGGAAAUGAUUUCCAAACUAUGCGUGAGGCAUAUUUACAAGAAAAAAUGAUGAAUACGACUCAUAGAAUGGUCCAAAGAGAAACUCAAAUUUUAGAGUUAGUUUACGUUGAUAUAUGUGGACCAAAGAAUAUUGCAACCACAUGAACCUCCACCUAUCAGUCAUUUUAUUUGGGAUUAUUCUGUUCAACCCAUGUCCUAGCUCCAUCCCAGAAAAGAACCAACCUAAACCCUAAGACUAAUAAGUGCAUUUUCAUAUGUUACCCAAAUCAUUGAAAGGGCUAUAGAUUCUAUAACUUGUCUGGUGCGACAUCAUUGAGAGUCUAGACACACAUUUUCUUAUAGAUGAGUCCUUAGAAGGAUAGGUGAUCCAUUAGAAGGAUGAUUUCUAUCAGGAAUCAAGAACCUCUAGCCUAGUCAGUAACUCAACUUAGAUGAAGUACCAUAGAUAGAACAUCACUUGAGUUCUUCACCUAAUUAGGAGGUUGUUAUGAGAGAAUAAGUGAAGAGGAAAAUGAUGAAUCAUCAACCUAUGUGGAAGCUAUGAAUUGCCUAGAACACAAGCAAUGAGUUAAAGCCAUUGCAGAUGCAAUGAAAUCAAUCAAUAAAAAGAAAGUGUGGAAGGUCGUACGAGUGUGGAAGGUCGUACGUCUUCCUCCAAAUCACAAGGCGAUCAUAUCAAAAUAGGUGCUCCAGAAGAAAUUAAUUGAUGAGGGACAACUUGAAAAAUAUAAGGCUAGACUAGUAGCCCGAGGGUUCACCCAGAAAGAAGGCAUAGACCACGAAGACACCUUCUCGCAAGCUAGUGUCCACUAUGAUAAUCCUCUCUAUCACAACCCACUUGUAUCUCGAGCUCCAUCAGAUAAAUGUGAAAACAACAUUCGUCAAUGGAGAUUUAGAAGAGGAGAUUAACUUGAAACGACUAGAUGGAUUUGAAAGCAAAGGGAAAUAGAACAUGGUGAAUAGACUCCUUAAAUCUAUAUAUGGCUUUAAACAAGCAUCGAGAAGUUGGUUUUUGAAGUUCCAUGAAGUACUACUGACUAAGCACAAUUUUAAACCCAAUGAGGAUGAUUAAUGUGCGUAUGCAAAGGUCCGUGGGAGUGAUAUAGCAUUCUUAACACUAUAUGUGGAUGAUAUUCUAAUUGCCAGUAACUCGCUAGGACUAAUCAAAGAGACAAAGAAUGUGUCGUCAAAACAUUUCGACAUAAAGGAAGUGGGAGAGGACUCAUGCAUACCAGUAAUCAAAAUUAUCAUAAAUAGAUCAACCACACUGCUGAAUUUGUUACAAGCAAUUUACUGCAAGAAAGUGCUAGAUUUCAGAUGAUUGAUUGGAAACCUAUUAGUACACUUGUUGAUGCGUAUCAAAUUAAGCUUGAAGAUGUGUCUCACAGACGAUGAAAAAAGGGCCUACAUGGAAAGAGUGCCCCGUAGGAGUGCUUUGAGGCCUUUCAUGUACCUUACCCAAAUAACCAACUCAUAUUUAGCUUUUGCCCAAAGUGUGAUUGAUAGAUUUCGACUAACCCAGGGAUAAGCAUUGGAAAGUUGUCAAAAGAAUAUUAAGAUAUCUUAAGAGUACUGUGAAUUAUGAGGUCAUGGAUGGAGUUUCCACAUACCAAAUCGUGCUUGGGUAUAUUGAUAUUGAUUACUAAGGUGAUAUGGAUGAAUUGAAAUCUACCUCGGGAAAUCUGUCUUGCAUGGGGGACGAGCAAUGUUGUGAAUGUCUUAUAAACAAAAUAUAAUUUCUCUAUCCCCAAUGGAAUCAGAAUAUGUGGCAGCCUAUCUAGCCACUAAAGAUGCUAUGUGGAUCAACCAAUAUUAGAUAUGGGCCAUUAACAUGUGGAACUAUUAGAAUUAUGUGUGAUAAUCCGGCAUCGAUUGCAGUGGCACAAAUUAAAACACAUCAAAGCUGAAUUCUACCUGGUUGGAUGCCUCGAUCUCGCUUACCCAGAUCUAGGGGAUCAUGUGACACGUGUCUCGAGUUCGGAAGACCCAGGGCUGAGGUCGCUCUCUCAGAAACCUUGUUCACAGAACAAGGGUAGGUGCCCAAUUAGUGAGAGAGGAAUUUGAUAUGUGAAGUGGGGACCAACCUCACCUUGGUCCGUGACUUACUCGGGCUGGCUCGCUUGGGCGCUCUCUUAAAUCAUGACAGAAAGCCCCCCAGCUGCUUUAGCUGGAUCGAAAUCGCCUCCCUUGACCUGCAAUCUCCUUGUUUUCUGCACAAUGCUAUCAUGGUUAACUUGCAAGACAAGUGGGCCGAAGGACCCACCCCUGUCUUAGGGAAAUGCACAUUCAUAUGGCAAAGAAGGUGAGAAAUUAGGGCGAUGAAGAAGAAGGUUCAAAUAAAGAAAGAAAAGAGAAGAGAACUUGACAAGGGGACAAGACUAGCAUGAUAGCUGGACCAGUAAGUGACUGACUCGGAGUGGUAGCAAGACUGGCAUGGUACUCAAGAUCAGCACAACAACAAUACUACUCGAAACCAAUAUCGAUAUGACUGUUCUAAUCUAGUGUGGCAGCAAGAUGGGCAUGGUACUCAAGACCAGCAUGACGGCAAUAUUGCUUGACAGCCAGACCGCUAUGACAAUACUAGAUUGCGUCUAUCCUUUAGUCAAGUGAGAAUGAGGAGAGAAAAGUAAGAAAAGAGAACGAAGAGAAGGCAUGAGACGGUGAAGAGUGAGGAUCCCGACUACAUUGAGCAUCGCCACCCAUAGCCUUGGAGUAACAGUGUCGCGGCCCCUAGACGGCACUAGACAUUGCUGCUCACGGUGAAAGGGGCAUGCAGUGAACUUGAGACAGCGUUAGGCAUAGCCAUUGGCAGUAUGAGAAGGCAGUGCGUCCCUUGCGGGUGGCGAUGCCUUUGGGAACACGAGAAGGCAGCACAUCCCUUGUGGGCGGCGAUAGCUUCUGUUGAGGUGCACAGUGAUAACUUCUCAUGAAGCGCACGAUGAUAGGCGUGGGACGUAUGAGAAGCCAGCGGACGCCGAUAGGUACUAAGCACGCAAAAGAAGCCUACAUGCGGCGAUAGGCACGAAGCGCACGAAAAACGCCUACGCACGACGAUAGGCAUCGAGAGCGUGAAAGAAACCUGCACACGACAAUAGGCAUCGAGCGGGCGAAAGAAGCCGACGGAUGGCGAUAGGCAUUGCCGGGACCCUUCGCGGGCAGCGAUAGGUAUCGCCGUUUGCGAUAGGCGCGCAACAGGGUGAGACCCCUGUGGGCGGCAACAGGCAUUGCCGUUUGCGCUUACGCGAGACACUGAGGAUACGCCUUCGGAUGGCGAUGAGCAGCAUCGUCUGCGAACUUAUUUGAGAGAUAGAGAUAAACGAAGAAAGGGAGAAAGAAGCUCGACCUGCAAAAUCAUAGGAAGGGAAAGAAGGAAAGAGGCAUGCAUGGUGCUGCCACUGUCAUGCAUAGCCUCGGAGGAAAAAAAAUCAGACGAAAGAGAAAGAGAAGAAAAGAAAGAAGAGAAGAGAGAGAAAGAGGUUUACCUUAAGCCCAGGGGUGCCGACCCAAAAUUUUCUCUCUCCUUCCUCUCUCUUAAGAUGUUACCCAACAAUGAGAAAAGAUUGAAAUUUUACUAAGCAAAGUUCAGUCCUUGUACAAUGAGAGUAUGUGAUAUACAUAGAGUUUUGCCUAAACAUGGGAGGAUUGAUCCAAAUUAAACCUAAUUGCUGAAAAUUAAGACUUAAUCGAAUUAAAUAAAAUAAGAAAAUAGGGUACAAAAUGACUGAUUUGCCCCUUCCUAACAAUUGGGAAAGUUCCAAAACAGUCUCUACUGCUGCCCUAGAACAUGCGUAAUCUUUUAUGGAAGAUCCGGGGUUGCUCUGAUGUCCGUUUGUCCGAAAAAUGAUUGUUUUCUUAUAGGGCUCGGCAUGGCGAUCGAUUAGAUACCAACUUCGAGCCAUGGAUCGUGUUUUUAUGCCACGAUCAUUUGACUCGAAAUUUAGAUGAAUCUUACAAAUUUCGGAUGAAUCGUGUGCUCGUUCCUUGAUUUUUUUUUGUGAUUUCUUUCCUGGAACACACUGAGCAUGCCAUUACGGUUGUGUGGCAACAAAUGUAGCUCGAUUUCGUGCCCAGACAAAGAUUUCACAACUUUUGAGUUUUGGCCGGAAUCUGAAAUUCUGACGCUAGAAUUUGCAGCCACUUCAUCAGCUUCAUGUGUGAAAUAUGACUGUUUAUCAUGCAUGGGGUUCAGACCAAUGAUAGCCAUGGACCUUACGCAUGCGAUGCAAAUGGUUUUACGUCGAUCGGGCUUGCGAGCUCCAUGAUUUGGCCGCUUGAGCAAGGCAUGUCGCUGCUGAUUUUCCUACAACUUUCUUCACAGAUCAACAACUUUUCUUUAGCUUUUCUUCUUGCUCGGGCGUCAUCACGGGGCGUGCUACAUAUCGAAACACUUGUCUUAACGAGACGAACAUGUUCACAAAAUUUGAGCGUGAUCCGAAUUCCAACGAGUGAGAUAUGAGCAUUGCAAGUCAUUCUUCGUGACUGCCCCUUUAAUGGUGUUUAGUUGAUGUGGCCGCACGGGAAUAACUCCUCCUGUUCCGGUCUUUUACACAUAACGUUUUCUUCGAGUGUCCAUUUAAGCUGAAAUUUGACACCUAAGGUUUUUCAACCAUGUAGGAUCUAAUGGAGGUGGUUCUAUAGCUUUUCAAUGCACCAAAAAUAUAGUUCUAGUUACGGGGUCCGUUUUAGGGUGAUAGAGAUUGAUUGUACCGAAAUUGUUUCUUAGUCUGCACUGCCUUAAACAUGUCGGAAUGCGACGAAACUUGACAGGAGAUGUUUUGGAGUCCUUAUAAAGAUCUUGACCAGUUCUAGGGCCAUUCUGAGACUGCCAAAAUUUUCAUUGUUUGUCAGGCUUUUUUGACUGACUUCUCUUUUUAUUCCGUAUCAGAGACCCAUGGUGUGGAAAAAUGUCUUCAAAUAGCAUGCCCACUGAAUGUUAUGCUUUGAUAGAAGUGAGAAGGACAAAAUUUGAAAAAUUUCCUCUUGCUUUAUUUCCUUUUCCUUCCAAGCCUUAGGACCACGUUAACGCUUAGGAGAUCCACACUGCUGUAAUUGGGAUGCUCAUACGUUUGGAUGCAAUGUACAAAUCCAUCCAUGGAUACUUUGGGGGGAGAAGAGACUUUGAGGGAUCUUUUCGAAGUCGUCAUCCUCAAGGGACUAUUUGGGAUUUUAACUGCUGAGGCUUUUAUGUGGACGUCGUUGGCCAGAAUCGAGCCUAUCUAGCGGCCAAGUGCUUUAAGAUUUCGUCAGAAUUAUUAGCUACUACGCCAGGUUUGCUUUUGACAAUCAGGGUACCUCUGUGGGCCCCAUUUUUGGGGUUUUCACCUUGCUCUGGUUUUUAUUUUCACGGAACUCUUUUACUCAUGGUUUCGUGACCAUGUCUGUCCAUUAUUUUUACUCAUGGCAUUCCCUUAUCAAGGUAUACGCCAUGCCCAUCAUUUUCUUGUCUUAUUUUUGUGAAGGUGUGUUUAAGGUCAUGCCUUCAGAACCUGUGCGAAGCCUUUUAUUGUCAUGUGGCCAGGACGUGCACCAUAGUUUAGGGUCAUAUAGCUGGACCAUAGUGGGGAUGAAUGGCAGUCUGUGGAGGCCAUGGAGUGGGUAUGGUGGUGGUUUUGACUCACAUCGGGGAGAUGGAACGAGCCUACCUGUGAAAAGUUGGAGAUGCAUGAAUGGAAGAUGAAAAGUGGCGACCCGCUAGUUUAUGACGAGUAUGGAUGGUGGGAUGGUUUGCCAUUUUGUGAGCUUGGGUGAGACUCACUUGCGAAUGAUGGAUGAUGGUAGUGAAGUGCAUGGGCUCACUAGGGAAGCAAUGAGGUGGUGUGUGCACACGAAUGGGUUGGUUAGGGAAAACGUGCGUGAAAAUGCACGUAAAGGGCGUAUGCGUGUUGUGGGGGCGGGUUUAAGGUCAUGCCUCUGGGACCUGGGCAGAGCAGUUUAACGUCAUGAGGCCAGGACGUGCACUAUGGUUUAAAGUCAUAAAUCUUGGACUGUGGUUAUGCAGUUUAAAGUCAUGCAACUAGGACCAUGCAGUUUAAGGUCAUGCAACUAGACCUCCACUACAAUUUAAAGUCAUAUUGUUUGGACCAUGGUGCUAAGCCUCUUAACGUUAUGCGACCAGGACGUGCACUACAGUUUAAGGUCAUAUAGCUGGACCAUGGUUAUGCAGUUUAGAGUCAUGCAUCGAGGAUUGUGCAGUUUAAGGUCAUGCAACUAUACCUUUGCUAUAGUUUAAGGUCAUAUAGUUUGGACCAUGCAGUUUAGGGUCGUGCACCUAGACCGCUUUAGGUGGGUUUCCAUGUAGGUGAAGCUCCAUGGGGAAUAGGUCUGUGGAUAACAAUUCAACUCCCUUGGGAUAAUGGUUGUUAAAACCAACAGGAGGUUUAGAUGGAGAAGCAGACUUUAGUGAGGAUUAGGGGAUAAGUAUGACUCCCUAAGUUGAAAGAUGGAACUCCAUGGCUUGUGGGAAAGUAGCCCAACCCUUGGGGAUAUGAUAGCUUGGUGUGCGACUGACCUAAGGGAAUUGAAGGGGUAAGCAUGUUACUACAGGGAUAAUGAGCAAUAGUAUGCAUGUAACUCCACUGAGAAUGACAGGUCGGAGCAUAGGUGCAAUCCAACUGGGGAUUGAAGAGAUAAGAAUGACCCUAACUCCACGGCGGAUGACGGGCCACUGUACGGAUGUGACUCCUACUGGGGAUGAGGGAGGUGCGUCCAUUUCACAGAUUAAAGUCUUGUGCAUGGACUAUUUGUCGCGCCAUUUAAACGUCUUACUACAGGGACGUGCACUACAGUUUUAAGGUUUUGUCGCUUGGACCAUGGUUAUGCAAUUUAAAGUCCUGCACUAGGACCAUGCAGUUUAAGAUCGUGCAACUAGACCUCCGCUACAAUUUAAGUUCAAAUAGUUUGGACCAUGGUGCUAAUCCUUUUAACGUCAUGCCAGGACGUGCGCUAUAGUUUAAGGUCAUACAGUUGGACCAUGGUUAUGCAGUUUAGAGUCAUGCAAUGAGGACUGUGCAGUUUAAGGUCGUGCGAUUAGACCUCCGCUAUAGUUGAAGGUCAUAUAGUUUGGACCAUGUAGUUUAGGGUCAUGCACCUAGACCGUUGUGGUGGAAAGGGAAUAUGACUCCACAGGACCGUAACUGGAGACUUGACUCCUUGGGGAUGCAAAGUGGUGGCUUGCUUAGGUGGAUGAUAGGCCACGAUCUGGGGGAAAGUGGGAAAAAUCCACAGUCAACAGUGCUAUAGCAUGCAUACGGCGUUAGCAUAAGAAAUGUAAUUGGUGCGAUGAACAACAUUUAAGCCUUUGGUGAAGCGCGCGGCGAUAACACUUUGUGAAGUGAGCGACGUUACCUUCUUGGCGAAGCGCACGAUGAUAGCUUCUGAAGCGCGUGACCAUAGCCCAUUGUGAAGCGCACGGCGAUAAAGCAUAGCGAUAACAGCAGGUUCAUGAGGCACAUGUAGUAAUGACUUGCAUUUGGGCUUGACCCACCCUAGACUAGACCUAUCGCCGUCUGAAGAUGAGGACUGGAGCAUCAUUUCGAACUUGUGAGGGGCACUUCACGGCACUGCUGAGUAUAAAAGGGGGAAAAACCCCAUUUUACUAUUUUAUCGAAAGGUAAAACAUUGAAGAAAGUUUUUUAGAGAGAGAAGGAGCUUCCAUCAAGAGACCUUCUAUAAGAGUUUCUCGACCAAAACUCUCAAUAUAUAGUCUUCAGGAGCUUUCAGUAAACUUGAGCAGGUCACAAACCUUUGCAACGUGCUUGUGACAUUUUCUGAGAGUGUUGAGACCUCCUGAGCAGGGAACAGGGAGCUUCACAGGGCUUCAUCGAGACUUGGGCGAAACUGCAAGAGUCAUAGUGGGACUCUACUAGAAUUCCAGUGAUUUUUUUGGUAGUUCUGUGAUUGCAGGAAAGUUACGGAAUGGUUAGGGGACUCUAACAGUCUUCUAGUUAUCGAAAGAGAAGAAGGAGCAGCAAUAGUGAGCUCACCGAAAACAUAGUGAAAUUUCGACGAGUUGAGUGUGAAGAAGGAAGAAGGGAAACCUGCAAGGUCACAGGGGAGCUUCUGCAGGAAUUUUGGUGGUUUUUCAUUAGCUUCAAUCACCGGUGGAAGAGAAGGAAGAGACAGGGAAGGGUUUCCCGAUGAGUAGAAAUGAGUUCCCAGCGAGGAGAGGAAACGUCGGUGAAAACUCGAGGUGUUGUGAGGCUAUAACAGUCGGGGAGGUGAAGGGCCAUGGGAUGGAGAACGGUCACCCUCCACAGACGCGCCGUGAGUGUCAAGCGGCAUGCCCAGAUUUCGAUGGACAUGGCGUGCCGCAUGUGUGACAUGUGCAAACAGCUGGAGUGCAGAUAUUAAACGCAACGAUAAUAGCCCCUUGGUCGUGAGACGACGAUAGCCCAACCUACCGCACACUGCAGUAGCCUCCUUGUAAGAGUAGCUAGCUUUACAUAUUUUAGUGACCAGCCGGCGAUACUCCCUUGUGAGUGCAACCGACACUACACCUUAGCAUUUUUGUGGAAGCCUUACGCAGCCAGCGAUAGCCCUGCCUUCUGCGCACGAUGAUAUUGCUGCCUUGCACGUGACAGUGAAGCCUUUGCUUUAGUCUUCAUGGCCCAAUCUCCAGGCGCCAUCCCAUAUGUGAAGAACGUCCCACAAGUAAGGGAGCUUAGCGCAAAUGAAUUCACCGGUGAAAGCUUGGUGAGGGGUGAUCCAAUCUAGCUCAUCGAGGCUUUAUGUGAACCGUGGUGACCUUUAAGCGUCACCUUUGUUAGUGACCCCGUUCGCUUUGAGGUUAGAGAAGACGAUAAUGGGAAUGUAAGAACAGAAGAAGGGGUAGGCCUCCUCCAUUGCUUGCAUAAAAAUACAGCCUCAGGCGGGGAUUUGCAAACCCUUGGCAAAAGAAUGGUGAACACCCCAGGCCUGAAGUGGUUCUCUGCUGGCCUCUGAGUGCAAGGGGAGCACCAGUACUUGAAAGGGUACUCUUCUUGGACUGUGAGGGUGUUAAGUCGAUACAGGGACACUCUGAAAGCAUGCUUCCCUGCUGGCCACCAUUUAGUGCUCUAUGGGAUAUUAUGACUGUUGUUCGAACAUGGUCAAGGUGUUGUUGGAAACCUAGAGCCAUGCCAGCAAUACAUAGUUGCUUAGUCAUGGGGAAGCUAGACCUGUACUUCAUCGGUGGGCUCCUGCUUAUCGGUGCUAUGUAUGACGAGUUCGUGCCCCCGAACUCGAUCAUUUUUGGAGGUGAACGGGUCGAAAAAGAAGACCCACCAGCUGAAUUGCAAGAGUUGUUCAGGAUUUACCAGCUGCUCUACUCUGAGACCAAGAAGGGACGUGUCUCCUUCACUUAAUGGGUGGCAUUUUUUUAGGGAGAUUGUGUUGAUGAGGCUGGUCCAAGCCCGAGAAGGAAGGGGAAGGCACCUACGGAGGGAUCCCCUCUAAUAUUUGAGCUGCAUAGAAGGAAUGACCACAUCUUUCUGGUGGUGUACCUGGUGCUCUUCUUGUGCAAGUUCGCUCUUCCCGAUGGAGCUGACAUUAUUCAUCUAGGCACUUUCUAUGUAGCCUGUGACAUGGUGCGGGGGCAGGAGUAUGUGUUUGCAUAGUCGGUCUUGUGUAGCAUCUACUACAGCUUGGGGGCCAUAUCCUGGGGAAAGAUCUACCAGGGUGAUGAAGGUGAGAACGACAUAGUGGACGGUGAAGCCUUCCCAAGGGAUUUCAAGACGCCUUUCCCCAUCGACUAUGUGUAUGGCUGGCUUGAGGCUUAUUUCUACAGCACCUACCUCAGAAAUAGGGUGUUGGAUGAAACAAUGUGCCCAUUUCUCUUGAGGAUCGCUGGGCAGAAAGCAAUCUUCCAUCCACCUGGUCAUGCACAUAGCUUGUCCUACAAUGACCAUCUUCAUAUGAGUAGACCGGCCUUCCCGGUUGGGAACCUCAUAGAACAUGCUUUUGCCGAUGAGUUGGGCAAGAGCCUGGAUGGUGCUCUUACCACUCAUAAGGAGAUGAUGUAUAUUUUGAGUGUGAGAAGCCGGGUGGUACCUUAUCGUACCAUUCACAGUGCCAAACUUGAGGGGUAUUUCCCUCAUUGAUUUGCCGACAGCACGGGCUGGACCAAGGGUGUUUAUUUUCGGUGUUCUUUAAGAAGCGGCAUAGCAAAGUUGGCCGCAGGAAGAGGGGCCAGUUGGGGACCCAUCGUGAGACCUGGCUCCUGAGGCACAUUCACACAGCUUGGGCCACAUGCUUGGAGUUUACAGAGGUCAUAAGUACGUGCUGCCAUAUUUUGGUAGAAGAGUGCGAGCAACCAAGGCCAACGAACUUUGGUGGCAAAUCACCAGUAAGGGGUAUUGGGAAGCUGACAACCCAUGGAAAGGUGAUAAAACCCAUUGGAGCCAGGGCACGAGGCAGAGGAAAGUGAUGAUGACUCCCCCAUUGGGGGAAAUAUUCACGCUAGGCUUCCCUUGAAACUAGCACGUCGUUGGGCGGCCUCAUCAGAUUGCCGUGGACAAGUAUCUGCCACGGUUUCUCAAUAUGGAGAAGAAUACAAAGAGUACUUUCUGCUAUCUUCAAAUGAAAGGAGGGCCGCAAGGUUCCAGGGUAUGAAGGGCACCCGAUCCAGGAUCUGAACGAGUUGAUAGGGAGCAGCCGUCACAACAAGCUUGCUACUGGUUCUUCUCAGGGGGUUACUUUUGAGACUGUUGUACCCUCUCAAGUGAAGGGGAAGUAGGCUGCCGUGACCGUUCCUCGUGCAUGUGCUCGUGAGGUGCCGAAGCGUAAGGGGCUCAAGCGUCGAGUGGUUCGGGAGCUGAAAGAUCACUCUUCGCCGGCUGCUUCUUCGGAGUCAUACGUGUUUCCUGCUAUUCCUGUAUCACCUUCCUCUCUUGAAGAUUCAUCUUCCUCCUCUAGCUCUUUAGAGGCUCAGGCUGGUGCCUCAAAUCCUAUUGCACCGAUUGGAAUUGCCUUGGAUCAGGAAGUCACGUCCGUAGCUGAAUGGGAGGGCCCCGUCCCGAUGGAGAUGAACGGGGCUGAUGAAGUCGACCUUAAUGAUGCAGUUGAGGUGAAGAGGGUCGUGAAGCUCAGGAGGUUUCUAUGCCUACCAAGGAAAGGGAAGCCCUAGUAGAGCUUGUGAUCAUAGAAGAGGCUGAUGCCCCAGGGACUGAAAAGGGGCCACCUGAGCAGCAGAAAGUUGUUGCUCCAGGUGAUGUAGCUGUAGGGGAUGCAAAGGUAGGACAUCCUCAGAGGUCAGACUUUGAGGGCCCAGAGGUGGUUCCCCUGGCUAUAGAGGAGGCGGGUGUUGAAAGACAUUUUCAUCAUAAAAAAAGCCUAACAAACAGUGAAAAUUCUGAAAGUCUCAGAACAGCUCCAGAACUUGCCAAGAUCUUCAUAAGGACUUUCAAAAGUCUCUUGCAUUCUGACAUGUCUAAGGCAGUAUAGACUGAGAAACAGUCUUGGUAGAAUCAGCCUCUAGCACCUUGAAAUAGACCCUACAACUAGAGCUAUAUUUUUAGUAUCCCAAUUUUUUAUAGUACUAUCGCCAUUGGAUCAGGCACGGUUGAAAAUCCCUAGGGGUCAAAUUUAAGCUUAAAUGGACAUUUUGGGAAGAAGUUAUAUGAAAAAGAGCAAAACAUGAGGAGCUGCACGCUAUUCCCAUGCGGCCACCCUGCAACUCAACUCCAUUAAAGAGGCAGUCACGAUUAGUGACUUUCGAUGCUUAUAUCUCCCUUUUUCAAGAUUGGAUCGCGCUCAAACUUGAUGGAUCCUAUUCGUCUCGUCAAGACAAGCGUUUCAAUAUGUUGUACACCCCGCGACGACACCCGAUCGCGAAGAAAGCUAAAGAGAAGUUGCUGAUCCGUUAAGAAAGUGCAAGAAAAUCAGCAGCUUCAAGCCUCGCUCGAGCGGCUAAAUCACACCGCUCGUGAACCCGACCGAUGCGAAACCGGUUCCAUCGCAUGCGUAAAGUCUAGGUCUAUUUCUAGUCUGAACCCCGUACAUGAUGGAUGGUUGGAUUCCGCACACGAAGCCGACGAAGUGACUGUAAAUUCCGUUGCCGAAAUUUUGGAUUCUGGCCAAAAUUCUAAAGGUGCAAAAUCUUCGUCCAGGCAAGGAAUCGAGCUGCUUUUGUUGCCCCGCUAUUGUGACAGCAUGCUCAGUGUGAACCAGUGAAGAAAUCACAGAAAAAAAUCAAGGAACGAUCACACAUUAGAUCCAAAGUUUCAAAAUUCAUUCAAAUUUCAAGUCACAUGAUCGUACUCUAAAAACACGAUCCAUGGCUCGAAGUUGAUAUCAAAUCGAUUGCCAUGCCGAGCCCUACAAGAAAACAAUCAUCUUUCGAGUAAACGGGCAUCAGAACAACCCCAGAUCAUUCAUGAAAAUUCAUGCACAUUCUAGGGCAACACAGGGACUGUAUUGGAAUUCCUCAACUUGUUAAGAAGGGGCAAAUAUGUUAUUUUGCCCCUUAUUUUCUAAUUUCUUUUAAUUCAGAUAAAUCUUAAUUUCAAAAAAUUAGCUUUCAUUUUGAUCAAUCCACCCAUGUUUGGGAACAAUUCUAUAUACACCAUGUACCAUCAUUGUACGCAAGAGGCUUGGACCCUUCACGAAAUGGAAUUUUUACUCAAUAGAAUUCCCUUUCCUUCUCAAUGUUGGAUUAUGUUUGGAGAGAGAAAUUAAGGAGAGAGAAACUUUUGGAUCGGUACCCCUGAGCUCAAGGUAAACCUUCUCUCUCUUCUUUUCUUUCUCUCCUUCUUCGUCUGAGCCUCCUUUAAAGGCCAUGCACGGCAGUGGUAGUGUCGUGCAUGCCUCUGCCUUUAUUUUUCCUCCCUUUGGCUUCAUAGGUCACGCAUGGCGAUGGUAGCGCCAUGUGCGAGCUCCUUUCUCUGUUCUGUUAGUGCAUCUCUAUCUCUCAGCGAGGCUUGUAGACGGCGCUCCUCAUUGCUGUCCGUAGAUGUAUCCUCGAUGCCUCAGUGAAGAACACAGACGGUGAAACUUAUUUCCAUGUGCAGGGGUCUCCACCUGUAGUGCAUCUAUCACAGAAAGUGACGCCUAUCGUCGCUCGCAAGAGGUCGCGGAAACACUUAUCGUCAUCCGCGAACUUCCUUCGUGCGCUCGGUGCCUAUUUCCAUCCACGAGCUCCCUUUGUGCGCUCGGUGUCUGUUGCCAUCUGCGAGCCUCCAUCGCAUGCUUCCGUGAACUCCCUUUGUGCGCUCUGUGCCUAUCGCUGUCCGCUAGCCUCCUUCGCGCGCUCAGUGCCUAUUGCCGUCCAUGAGCUUCCUUUGCGUGUUCGGUGCCUAUCGCCAUCCGUGAGUUCCUUUUGCACGCUCGAUGCCUAUCACUGUUCGCGAGCUUUGCACGUUCAGUUCUUAUCGUAGUUCGGAAGCCUUUUUCUUGCGCUUGGUGCUUAUCACCAUGCGCAGGCUCUACUUGCGUCCCACGCUUUUCACACAAGGACUGUCGCCUCGCACCUCGCAAAUGGCUAUCGUCAUGUGCGUCAUAAGAGGCUAUCGCCGCCCGCGUAGGGGUGCACUGCCUUCUUGUGUGGCCCCAAUGGUGAUGCUUAGUGCAGCCCGUACUUCACUGCUCGCCCUCUAGAUGUGAGCAGUAGUGUCUUACGCCGUCCAAGGGCUGUGACACUGCUACUCCAUGGCUGUGGGUGGUGAUGCUUAGCUCCAUCGGGACCCCAUCUCUUCACUGUCUCGUGCAUUUUCUUCAUUCUCUUCUCACUUGAUAGAGGGUAAACUCAGUCUAGUGUUGUCAUAGAGGUCUGGCUAUUGAGCAGUUUUGUCGUCAUGUUGGUCCUGAGUACCAUGCCCGUCUUGUUGCCACACUAGAUUAGGACAGUUAUGUCAACCUUGGUUUCGAGUAGUAUUGCUGUCGUGUCGGUCCAAAGUACCCUGCCCGUCUUGCUACCAGUUUGAGUCAGUCAUUACAUUGGUCCAACUAUCAUGCUAUUUUCAUCCCCUUGUCGAGUACCCUCUUUUUUCUCCUUUCAUUCAAACCUUUCACUUCAUCACCCUAACUUCUCACAUUCUUAGCCAUACGAAUGUGCAUUGUGAUAAGACAAGGGUGGGCCUUUUAGGCCACUUGUCUUGCAAAUUAAUCAUAGUAGUUUUGUGCAAAAAACAAGGAGAUUGCAAGUCAAGGGAGGGGAUUCCAAACUAGCUGAAGCAGCUUGGGGGCUUUCCAUAGUGAUCUAAGACAGCGCUCAUGCGAGUCAGCCUGAGUAAGCCACGGACCUCGGUGAGGUUGCUCCCACCUCACAUUCAAAAUUCCUCUCUCACUAGUUGUAUACCUGCCCUUGUUCUUGAACAAGGUUCUCGAGAGAGCGAUCUCAGGUUUCGGAUCUUCCGAACCCCUAGAUACUCGCCCCCCGAUCACAUAGAUCUGGAGUGCGAGAUCGAGGCACCUAAAUGGCUUGACAACUCCACUGGGGACUUAUUACCUCUUCGUCGGUUCGCUCUUGUUUGAUCAGUUUCUUCUUUUACUUUCUGCACUACUUUCUAUGGCAUUUGGGUUAUUCAACCCACUCAUCCGAGUUGGGGACUUUCUCAUCCCCGCACUUGUGACUGUCUCAGGGAAGCGAAUUGCUCAUGCUUCCUUCCAUACACUCUUUCUAAGUCAGGACUCACAGUCCGGCUUCCAGGUUCUUUCCUGGGUUGGUACUAAAAUGGACUUAAAGGUCCCUGACUCCCCGCUUCCUCGCCCUGGUGGACCCUUCACCAAGGCCCCUUGCAUUGGGUAGCACAUCUUCUACCAUGCACAGCAUGCACCCUGUUACUAGCAAGUUCCUUGCCGGUCAUAUUGUUGAGGUAUGCUGGACAACUACCCUGACCGCUUUCGCGGGAGGCGAGUAGGCUGCCAUCGCUUCUGAGUGUCGUUGUAAGGCUACCCCACGAAGUCCUUCACUACCCCGAACUUCUACAUCUGGAGGCUUGGCACAUAGAGGCAGAGAUCCUGAGGUCUCCAACCCACACACACACUUAAAGGCUCGCGGUCCAUCCACUCGAGCCGCACCUCAGGGCAACAUUCAUGCUGCCUUGAACUCGUGUUCAAGGCUAGGCCUUCUCGGGCCACACCCUAUGCGCGUCAUGCAUCCCACAACUCGGGGCAGCGCCAGUUCUGCAUCAGCUCGAGCACAUGAGGGUCUUCCCUCUCACCACACACAGCUUCAUCCUGUGAGAGAUAGGCUCCCAACCAGUCCCUCACAGACAUAGCUCGUGGGCAUCUUGACCUCCUCAGUUCGAAUCAGUUGAGCAAACCCGGGCAGACCACCAUGUCACCCGGACAGCUAACCCUAAAGGUGCACAUGCCCUUGCUUUGCAGGUUCCUCCUCGUUCCUAACUCAGGUCGAGUCAUGAACUUGCUCCUUCUUCUGUCGCUCUUCCUUCACCAGGCAAGCACCUCGAGACCUAGUACUCAAAGGUCUUCCUUAAGAGUACCAUCUAGAGCCAGCCUUAGGUCAGCCGUACACCCGGGCCCAACAAACGAAUCCGGGGUAAUGGCCUGAUGCCAGAUAGGAGCUUGCAGCCUCCAAGGCAACGACCCAGGUUGCCCCUUGUCCUCAGACCCCAUUCUUUGUUGCCCCUUGUCCUCAAACCCCAUUCUUUGCUCUAGCUAAUCGACACGACCCUUGCCUGCUCAAGAAAUACGGGGCAGUCCAAAUCUCAAGCUCGGUUCUGGAGUGAAGUCCACAACUGCCUUAAGAGUAAGCAGUAGAGGGGCCUGAAGAUUCUGAUCAGGGAAACCUCCAUGGUAGUUGAGGUCGCCACCCUUGGUGACCUCUUGGCUCAUAACCCCUUUUUCCUUCUUCAAACUUCAGAACUUAAGCAGGUCUAAGAAUACUGCUGGGUGACCACUGCCUAGAAACCACGGUCCCAAGAUCGUCAAGAACCAGUCCUCACAAGGUCGGCGUACAAGGCUCGAGUCCAGUAGGGGCAUGCUGAGCCCCUACAGACUGACUUGCCACGCAUGACUCGCCAACCCCGGCCGUCCACUACUCCACCUUGCUCCGACCUUUCAAAAGAAACGGUCAGUGUCAUGGUGAUCAACGAGCCGGACGACGCUCAAGAAGAGCGUAUGAACUGGUUAGAGGUAAUGAUGCAGUCCAUCCUCGAAAAGUUGGAAUGCCUAGAAGCCUUCAGGUCCCCUUCUUCUCACUAUGAGACUGAUUCUCCAUUUGGUGUAGACACAAUUCUUAGACAUACUCCCCCAUCGGUCUCCCAAGACAGCUCUCCUUCUCGUGGGGUUUCCCAAACCGACAUAGAUGCCAUGGUGGCCCAUAGCGACAAGAACAAGGUCUCAGGCAUGCAAGAGACGCCGCUUUACCAAAAGCCAUACCCCUCGUACAUGGACUAGGUGUCGUUUCUCCCAAACUACCAAAAAGGGAAGAUUCCCUUGUUCAAUGGUACGACGUCCCACCACUUGCAUACUGCCCACUUCCUAGGGGCUUGUCGAGAGACGGUGACUGACGGACGACUCCUCCGUCUGUUCGUAGAGACUCUUGAAGGGCCAGCCCUACAAUGGUAGGCUCGGCUACCUCCAAACUCGGUGCACAGCUCGCAGGAAAUGGAGCAGUUGUUUUACCAACGCUUCUAUGAAUUCCAAAGGAACGUGGAAACCAUUGAGCUCCUCACUCUGACUCAAGACCUAGAUGUUCCAGUUGACAAGUUUAUCGCCCAAUGGAGAGAGCCACUCCCAUGAUGGAGAAAGAAGAUGUCCAAACCUGCAUACGAAACAUGCGUUCUGAGAUCCCCCUACAUGUCGAGGCCUCAAAUCCACCCUCCAUGUCAGAGCUCAUCUCUAAAGCAGUUCGUAUCGAGGGUCUGUCCAAACGCCAUGGCAGAUCUUGUCAGCAACCCUCUGGCCCGAACUCUUGCUCCAACAAUUGAGGCAACCAGCAGAAAGCAAUGAUCAAUGCAGCCGUCACCAUGACUGACAUUAAAAAAGCUGCUCCUCAAACCCUGGACCUCUACAAGGCCCAAACAUCUCAGGCUGGGGGCAAGCAGCUGUCUUACAACAAGGUCCCAUGUCCCAAAAAUAUUAAUCGAAGCGACUUCUGGAUCUAGCACCUGAAUAAGAUGUACCCCUUCGACAAGGAGUGGGUCCCUGUAUUGCUUCGGCUACUACUGAAGCAAAACAUGAUCCAGUUGCUGGAGGUCAGCACUCCAAAAUAAGCUAGACAUGAGACACACGAGAGGUGCUGCGCCUAUCACAGGAAAGUACGCAACCCCACUCAGGACUGCUAUAAGCUCACUGACACUAUCGAAGCCCUUAUUAACAAGGGUUAGAUAAACCUCGAAGAGUUAAAGAAAGCGUUCGGGGCAUCUGAGGCUUCUCACAUAGUGACAAUACAAGAAGAUGAUGGGACACCCACCAUCCUCCGUGCACUAUUUUCCAUAAUGCUCGAUGAGGGACACAUCACGCCAAAGCCGACAAGGCAGUCCAAGUUCCUACCUCCAGGAACUGAGAACCUCUGGUGCUUGUAUCACCUGAUACGAGGCCAUGACAUGAGCGAAUGCACUGGCUUCCACGAACUCUUGGCAAAGAAGAUGCAGCAAUGUCAGGAAGCUCAUGAUAACCCAGAAGGAUGCCCUCAAGUGCCUCUUCCACCUGUGCAAGAAGACCUCUUAACACAGGCCUAGGGAAGUGCUGAGCUAGAUCCUCUACAGGCCCUCUUCGAGGCAAUUAUCCAAUAGGGUAUUGUCACUCCCAAGCCCGCUAGGCAGCCUAAGCGUCAUGCCCAGGGUACAGAAAACCUUUGGUGCCCAUAUAACGAAGUAUGAGGCCACAAGCUGAAAGAAUGCUUUGGGUUCAAAGCCGUAGUGACUCAAAAGGUACAACAAGGCCACAUCAUUUGUGCUAUUCUCCCAGAGCACUUUCAAGUCGUCACUCCUGUCCAAGAGGAAUUCCCACUGCAGGUCCCUCAUGAGGAUACCUCGGACCUUUCAGAACCAUCGACUUCUGAGCCCGGAGAAGGCUACCAUGGACAAAGUAGGUUCAAAUCCUUGAAGCAUGAGGCAAUCCACUAAGCCAGGGUUACUCAUCAACCCAAGGGAAUGCACCAAACCCUCCCAAGGGACCCCAAAAGAAAUGAGCACCCAGGACAGCUUGCCGAAGGAAUUGUCUUCCUCAGUCAUCAGCUGAAGAAGAAUUUCUCAGGCCUCUUCCUCCAUUGCCAACCUUACAGGAUUUCAUCUCGAGCACAGCUCGCCUUAUCUUGUCGUCUAAUAUGAGUGAAGACAACAAAAGCACUCUACAAAGGUCAAAGCCGUGGCAAGACCUAAAAUACUCUCGGCACAUGUCCAAUUCUGGAGACAACGUAAAAAGCUGCCCUGAACAUUCUAACUCCUCAUCUACUCCCUUCUCUUUUAUUUCUUCCACCGGUGCAUCUCGACAGUGCAUAGACUUCAACACUCUGAAUAGAGAGCUCGGAGGCACCAGCCUCAACAGGUCACAGCAGAAGCACCUAAGAGAGAUGCGAGCCCAAGCGGUUGGAUUCAUGACAGUUACCGAUGUCCUGUCAACCCAAGCUAAGAUCGAGCCAUCUUCAAGCUCCACUUUCAAAGAGGCUUCCCAGAUGGUGUAGAUCUUGGAAGUACCAUCCAGCAUGGGGCAAAUGAACCUAAGAUUGGGGAAGAAGCUACAGUCCACACCUUAAAAGCUCAAGGCCCUCAAGUUUCCUAAUCCUUCACUUUUUCCUGAGCCUCAACCUCAAACCUUUACAUCCCUAAUACAAAUCCCUAUUUCUUCCCCAUCAACCUAAACCGCAUCGGCUGAACAACAAAGUCAGCAAGUGUCAUAUGACGUACCACCUACACCUGUGAUUGGAUCAGGAACACAUAAGACUAAUGAGAAUAAAGUGAAAUAUGACGUAGUUGGACACUUGAGAAUGCUUCCAGGCCUCCUAGGUAUCUAUGAUGCCCUCCUGUUGUCUAGAGACUAUCGUAUGGCUCUGGUGAAAGCUAUUUCUAAACCAGAGGUAUAAGAGAUUGAAGUGGAGCCCAUUGAGGUUAACCCAACCAUCCUGAGUGGGUGCAUGGCAAUCUCAUUUUUUGAAGAUGACUUUCAGUUGGGAGGCAAAUUUCACAAUCGUCCCCUCUUUGUGAAUGCUGAAUUAAAUGACUACCCUAUCAAUAGGAUCAUACUGGAUGGAUGGGUCAGCAGUCAACCUAAUCCCAAGAAGGAUCCUCACUUGAUUGGGAUUAGGACCUGAUGACCUCACUCUUACUCACAUCACCGUGCAAGGGUUCAACCAGUCAGGAGAGAAGCCAGCUGGCAUGGUGUGCCUUGGUCUCAAUAUUUGUGACCUCAACGAUUACUCCCAAUUCCACGUAUUCGAUACCGAUACCUCUUACAACGUCCUGCUUGGUUGCCCUUGGCUUCACGAUCAGGUGGUGGUUCUUUCCUUGCUCCAUCAAUGCUUCAAAUACAGCCUAGAUGGGAGGCAACAUACGGUCUAUGCUGAUAAGAGGCCGUUCCCUGUAGUUAAAACUCACUAUGCCGAUGCCAAGUACUAUUUCACAAAUCUUCCAGCACCAGAAAAGUCAAAGGAUGAUGAUUAGAAGCCUAUGAGGGAGAUUUGACCCUCGUCUCAUGAUGACGUUGAAGAUCUAGGACAAAUGAUUACGGACAUGCUCAAGGAGGAGGAAAGACAGGGCAAAAUCCUCCCUUUGACUCUUAUUUAGCCAAGCAUACCUUGCCACCUCGCUGAGGUCAUGGUGUCAUUUCCCGAAGAUGAAGCUUCCCCUUCUACUUCUAAUUUGCUAGAACAAAAUGGCGAGCUAGAAGCAACUCCUGAGACUGAGAAAGAGUAGACCUUCUAGCACCGAAGGUCACCUAUACGUCAGACUAGCAAAAGGUCCUGCAUGUCCCCAUUGCUCUUUUAAAAUCAGAAUUGACACACCAACCACCAAGGAAGGUACUCCAAAUUCCAUCCUCUUUGAACAAAGGGAACACCAGCAGCCAAGAGAAGGUCUUACACCUCUCAAAGGCUCCCGAAGAGGUAUAGGUUGACAAGAGUCAUCCCUCUGACUCUCAGGAACAAGACCCCUUAGCAGAACUGAGAAGUGAGGCUUGUGGCCUUCAGAAUCAGCAGAAGAUUAUGCGCGUUGCUUCAAAGCAGUUGAAGGAGUUUGUCCCUGAGUCUAAGACUUACGACGAGCUCAAAAGCAAUGUACCUCAAAUUGAAGCUAAGGUUCCCCCACAUUGGAGUAUUUACAGUGAACAAGCUCACCAAAUCAUGAGAACCAUGAAUUAUGAGCCCCUGUCCAAUCAAACACUAAGGGCUGAGGAAGCAGCUGCACCCCCAUUCAAGGUCAUUGAAGCCACGACAAGCUGUCGAAAGACAAAGUAAGGAGUGGUGUAUCCUUCUUCGUCUCACACUGUGAAAGGACAGAAGCAAUAAAACAAAAAGAAAAGGAGGAAUAAAAAAGCCACACACCACACUGAAGCAAAAGAGGGAAUUUUAUUCAUAAAGUAAGAGAAUAUCACAAGUAACGGCAUACAAAGAAAGUAAAAGGGAAAGAGGGAAAUUUUAUUUCUAUUGCCAAACGUUUUUGUAUAACGAAUGAAGAAGAUCGCUCAAAUCUCAAGACUAAGCCGAUAGUAGUUCUGUUGUGUCCAUUUGAUUCCAUCCUUCAUAGUCGCCACAUGGAGAAAGGCAAACUUUCAAACCAAAGGAGGAUAUUCCCCAUGUACAACCUGAGGUGAAAGCCAGUCUUUUUCUACCUCACGGGCUGUAGUAAGCAAGCAUUCCAAAUCAUUGAUGUUACAUUCAAGAAUCGCCAUGAUAUCCUCAGUUUAAAAACUUGCGAUUUCUUUAAAUAUCGAAGGAAUCUAUGAGGGAAAAAUCUCAAAAUUUGGGUGAACGAACUGACGCAUGAGAAGGUUGGUUUUAAAGUUACCCAAGUGUGCUGUCGCAGAAUAUAUGAUAGUCAAAGGCCCAGGGAAGAACUUAAGUAAGGGCUUGACAAAGGGAUAUUUUUCAAUAGAUGCUGAUUCUUCUAAAUCCAGAACUUCCUUAGCCUGUUGAGCUAUUUCAGUCACUUUCAUUUUGAACAAGUCUACGCAGGGAACAUUGAAGUCUUGGAGGUUGUCCAUCAGCCUCUUCGCCAAAAAGGGGAACAUAAUCAACUCGAAGAAAGAAUCCCAACUGAAAAGCUGAUAAGCGGCUCUAAGAAGGUCUCGUCCAUUGUCCACAGAAACAUUACGACGAUUGAGCCUGGUAACUUGUGCAGGGAAAGGCAUCACGACCUGUGAUACAACAAAGCCUCCACGAAUGCGCCAAACGAGAGGGUGAAUAACUUGUCCCAAGAAGGAGGUGACUACAAAAGCUGAAUCGAUGAUAGGUUCCCUUCGAGCAGAAAUUGCAAGGCCCUCCCUCAAAGUUGCAAGAGAAAAUGCCUGACUGCCCAUUACUAUCUAGUCGCAAGGACCAUAAUCGCCCUGAAAAGGUAGUGGUGCGCCAUCACUCUUAGGAACAAGUGGUUGAGAUGACAGAUGCACUUCGUUAGAAUCAAUUACCAUCAACUCUCCCCUAUUUUCGUCUUCAGAAACCUUUUUUGAAGGGACCGGCAUUUUGGAAGCUUUUGAGGCCCUGACUAGCUGCCGAGAAGACAUCCAACCACCGUCUGCGCACAAUCGUUUGACACCGGCGACGUUGGUUAAGGUUAUCAUCGUCUGGCAACCAAUGGCAGGGCUAUGGCCGCCUACCGAAGUAAAGCACUUGAUGCCGCCUACGCUCCAGCAGUUUGCACGUGUCGCACGUGCGGCGUACCACGUCCCUUCAAAUCUGGGCAUGCCGCCUGACAAUCAUGACGUGGCCUGUCGCCCCGCUUGCGGAAGGAAACUGUUCACCGUCUCACAACCCUUCACCUCCCGACCAUUGCAGGCCUAUGACGCCUCGGGUUCUCAUCGACGCUUCCUCUUCUAGCUCGGAACUCACUCUUGUUCAUCGGAAAGCCCUUCCUCACCUUCUACUAGUGACCAGAGUUGGCAAAAAACUACUGAAAUCCUCAGAAAGUUCCCUGUGACCCUGCGGAUUUCCCUUCUCCCUGUUUUUGCACUUCAUUAGUCAGCUACAAACUCACCCAAAUUCCAUUGAGUUUCCAAUGAACCUACUACUGCUCCUCCUUCUUCUUCCGAUAACCAAAGGACCAUCAGCUCCCCUGAAUUCCCUACAACCUCCCCUUCAACCUCGGGGCUAUCAAAAGAGUACACAACUCUGGCAGAGCCCCACUCCAAAUCUCAUUAAGGUUUUGAGAAGCCCCGUUCCUUGCUCAAAAAGGCUUUGCACUCUUAAAAAAUGUUCUCAAUCACGUCGCGAGGACUCAUGACUUUCUGAAGCUCACCAGAAAGCUCUUGAAGGCAUGUCUACUGCAAACUUUGGCCGGGACAGUCUCGCUAAAAGUCUCAUGCCAGAAGCUGUGGCUCCCUCUCUCUCUUUAGGAACUCUCUUCAACUAUUUUACUCUUCGGUAAAAUAGUAGAAUGGGAUUUUCCCCCUUUUAUACUCAGUAGUGCCACAAACUUCCCCUCACAAGUUUGAAAAGACGCUGUAGUCCCUAGUUUCUGACAGUAAUAAGAUCAGAUCGGAGCGGGUCAAGCCCGAGACUCGAAAGGAGCUAUAGUCGCAUGCUUUGUCAAGGAUUUAUCAUCGUGUGCUUCGUCAAGGCCUAUCGCCAAGUGCUUGGUCAAGGGUUAUCAUCGCAUGCUUCAUCAAGGAAUUAUUGCCGUGCGCUUCAUCAAGGAGCUAUCGCCGUGAGCUUUACCCAGAGGAUAUCGUCGGGGGCUUCGUCAAGGGCUAUCGCCAUGCGCUUCGUCCAGGACUUUCGUCGAGCGCUUUGUCAAGGGUUAUCGCCACGAGAUCAUGCACCUCACUAAGUGGCUAACGUCGCGAGCCCUUCAUCAAGGGCCUAACGCCGCGAGCUCCUUCCCAACUAGACCUUUAUCUUGCAUGCCCAGGAAGUUUAUUCCCUGCAUCCCAGUCUCACUCUUCAUGAGUCAAGUUUCUUGUUAUGGCUCGUUCCCAAGAAAGUCACUUUCCCCUACCACAACCAUGGGCCUAUCUCCAUGACCCUAAAUUGCACAACCACAGUCUGGUUGCAUGACCUUAAACUGUAUGGUCCAAACUAUAUGGCCUUAAACUGUAGCGGAGGUCCAGUUGCACGACCUUAAACUGUGUGGUCAUAGUCGCAUGACCCUAAACUGUACAGCCAUGGUCUUGUUGUACGACCUUAAACUUCAUGGUCCAAACUAUACGACCUUAAACUGUAGCGAAGGUCUAGUUGCACGACCUUAAACUAUAUGGUCCUAGCUGCAUAACUUUAAACUGCAUAGCACUGCACGUCCCUGUAGUAAAACGGUAAACAUCACGACAAAUAGUCCACACACAUGACUUUAAAUUGUGAAAUGGAUGCACCCCUUCGCCAGGUGUAUGUCAUCAACAUCCCUAUUGGAUUUAGACAUAUUCCAUCAACAUCCCCAGUGGAUUUAGGUGUAUGCAAAAGAAGAAAAAGGUCGCUUUAUCCCUCCAAUCCUCAAUGGGUCUUUUCACACCAACAUCCUUAGUAGGGGUCACAUCCUAUUGCGACUCAUUAUCCCUAGGGAGUUAAGGUCAUUCUUACCUUUUCAACCCUCAGUGGGGUGGCUUGUCAUUCUCAGCAGAGUUAAAUCAAACCAUUACUCAUCAACCCCAAGGGAGUCACACUUACCCUCUUAAGCCCCAGUGAAUUCCCCUUCGCUAGCCACUCCUCGUGGGGCAACUAUCUUCAGCUAAAUCUCUCUGUUUGUGUUCUUGAUUCGAGUACAGACAUAGAGACCUGUCAAGUGGAGCCUUCGGAACUGGACAGGACCAAAGCUUUUUGGUCUAGAAAAAAAGAGCAUUGCAAAUACCAUUCGAGUCAAAGGCAUCAUUCAUUAUAUGACACCAAUCAAGGAAAUGAAAAGAAAAAUCAAUGGGAAAGGUAGAGAGAAGGUCUCGAAAAGUACACAUUCGAUUCUUCAUCCCAUUCCUCACCGAAGGGGCGACCGAGAGAUGGGAUAUAGCCUUAAUUAUCUUGAUCCUUAGGGAGUCAGAUUGUUAUCCAUAUUCCUAUCCCCCAUGCAGCUUCACCUACGUGGCGACCCACACAUGGUUUGUGCUGCAUGACCCUAAACUGCACAACCACAGUCGAGUUGCACGACCUUAAACUGCAUGGUCCAAACUAUAUGACCUUAAACUGUAGUGGAGGUCUAGUUGCACGACCUUAAACUACCUAAUCCUAGCUACAUGACUUUAAAAUGCAUAGCCAUGGUUCCAACCAUAUGAUCAUAAACCAUAGUCUACAUCCUAGCUGCAUGACUUUAAAAGGCUUAGCAUGAUGGUCAAAACUAUAUGACCUUAAACUAUAGUGGAGGUCUAAUUGCACAACCUUAAACUGCCUGGCUUUAAACUUCAUAACUACAGUCCAAACUAUAUGACCUUAAACCAUAGUGUGCGUCCUGGCCGCAUGACGUUAAAGUGCUUUGCCCAAGUCCCGGAGGUAUGACCUUAAACAUGCCCUCACAUUGAGCACACCCCCUUUACGUGCAUCUUCACGCACACCUUCCCUAACCAACCGCGCGUGUGCGUGCACCAUGUUCAUUGCUUCCCUAGUGAACCUAUUCACUUCACUACUACUAUUCAUCAUUCCCCAGUGAGUCUUACCCAUGCUAACAAAACGGAGAGCCAUCUCGCCACCCAUACUCACUGUCAGUUAGUGGGUCACCACUUUUCACCCACCUUUCAUACAUCUUCCAUCUUUCAUAGGCAGCCUCGUACCACCUCCUCAAAGUGAGUCAAAACCACCAAUAUACUUACUCCAUGGCCUCCACAGAUUGCCACUCAUCACCACUACGGUCCAGCUGUAUGACCCGAAACUGUAGUGCACGUUUUAGCUGCAUGACGUUAAAAGGCUUCACACAGGUCUUGAAGGUAUGACCUUAAACAUGCCUUCACAAAAAAUGGGCAUGGUGUACACUUGGACAAGGGAACGUCAUGAGUAAAAAUGACAGACGGGCAUGGUCAUGAAACCAUGAGAAAAAGAGUUUCGUGAAAACGAAAACCCAGGCACGGUGAAAACCCCAAAAGAGCAUCGUGAGAAAAAACGGAUGAAAAUGGCGGACAUGGCCGCAAGGUCAUAGGUAAAAGAGCCCCCCCCCCCCAAAAAGAAGUUGGUGAAAACCAUCUUUACGACGCCACUUCUCCUAUUCAAGUUAAACCCACAAAGGGCGCUUGGACCAACAAAACAGGUUGACUCAGCACCAUAGCCUCAGCCGACACACAAUUUCCAAACAGUCAUAAUUCUAGCUGGCGAGGUCUAUGCAAAGUGGCUCGCUCGGGAGUGAGAGCCGCAUAAGAUCUCCCAUGAUUCACCUCCAAAAACAACAAGAGUCCUUGAGGGUGAGGACAACGACCGAAAGAUCCCUCCAAAAUGCUAAAGAUCCGCACAAAGGCAAGAAACUAAUUAAGUCAGAGCCUAACUUGCUAGAGACUUCAAGGUAAUGUAUCGUCAUGAGUUCGCCUCGCCUAAAACCUUCCUUAGCCGAUAGGUCCAGAUUUUCGAGAGAGGCUGUUAGAAAUCCCCCGACUGGACCCUACAGGAUGGGGUCGAUGAGGCCGCCUCGCCAAAGUUCCCCGUAGCCGACAGUCCCAGAUUUUCGGGAUAAGUCAGAAGCCUCCGACUGGACCACGCUGGAUGGAACCUACAGAGAUACCUUGAUAAUCAAAAGCAAACCUGGUGUAGCAGCAAUCAAUGCCGAUUAAUGGAUCAUAGCAUUUGGCCUCCAAAUAGGCCUAAUUCUGACUAAUGAUGUCCUUACAAAAUCCUCGAGUUGCUAGAAUUGCAAAUAGUCCCUCAAGGGUCAGGACUUCAACAUGAUCCCUGAAAUGUCUCUUCACCCCCUAAAGUCUCCAUGGAUGGACCCGUACAUUGCGUUCAAACGUCUGAACAUCUUAGUUACACAUUGCUGGUUAGGUGCCUCAAUCUUGGCCUCCAGAUCUUAGAGAUUCAGUUGGCGCACGUCUUGGGUUUCGACAGAGACCCGGGAUGUUUGUGAGAUCGCUCUCUCGAGAACCUCGUUCGAAAAUAGGGGCAGGUGUUACCAACCGGUGAGAGAGGAAUUUAAAGGUGGGUUGGGGACUUACUCGGGCCGACUCGUGUGGGCGCCCUCUUAGAUCACGAAGAAAGCCCCUCAGUAAUGAAACUAGUUCAGAAUCGCCUCCCUUAGUUCAUAUUCUUCUUAUUUUUGGCUUUCCUGCAAUUACACACAUAUAUGACAAAGGUUAUGGGAUAGGUGGGUCAAACCUCACCCUUUUCCUCUAUGAUGAUCAUACACAAGCAUGCAUAUUCAAAAAGAAGAAAGAAAGAUGGGGGGUGAGAAUAAUUCGACCAAGCGAGAAGAUCAGAGCAGUGAUUAGGCUGGUGGAUAAUUAGCGUAACAAGGCAGUGAAACGGGCUCGGUAUCUGAGACUAGCUCACGGGAUUGCUACUAAACGCUAUUGCCAAUAUCGACUAGCUAAGCAUGAUGAUCGGUCGGUCGUGGCAGUAAAGCGGGCCAAGCGAACCUAUUACAACAACAUUACGGCUAGAUGACAGGACUGCCAUGAGAUGCUAACCUCAAUCCCUCUUGGUCAAAUGAAAGAGUAGCAGAGGAAUGGUUAAAGAGAAGAAGGGAAUGGACAGAAGGAGAGAGAAGAAGGAAGAGAGGAGGGAGAAGAAGGAAGAGGAGAUGUAGUCGGCGCUAGACAUUACCGACUGUUUCAGGAGAUCGGAGAGAGAUGAAGUAUUUGACGCUAAGCUUCACCGACUGUGUUAGAUGAGAAAAGAGGAAGAGAACCAACUAGCGCUAAGUCUUACCAACUGAUAGAAGAAGAGAGGGAAGACCAACCGGUGCCAAGUCUCGUUGACAGAUAGAAGAAGAAAGAGAAGACCAAUAAGCACUAGUCCUCACCGACUGAUAUAAGUAGAGAGAGAAGACCAACCAGCACUAGGUCUCACCCAUUGGUAGAAGGAGAGAGAGAAGACCAACAGACGCUAGGCCUCAUCGACUGAUAGAAGAAGAGAGAGAAGACAAAUCGACGUUAGGUCUCAUCGACUGGUAGAAGAAGAGAGAGAAGAUCAAUCGGUGCUAGGUCUCAUCGACUGGUAGAAGAAGAGAGAGAAGACCAGUCGGGCAAGUCUCACCGACUGAUAAAAGAAGAGAGAGAAGACCAAUCGACGCUAGGCAUCACUAGUUGAUAGAAGCAGAGAGAGAAGACCAACCGGCAAUAGGUCUCAUCGAUUGGUAGAAGAAGAGAGAAAAGUCCAACCAGUGCUAGGUCUCAUCGAUUGAUAGAAGCAGAGAGAGAAGACCAACCGGUGCUAGGCCUUAUCGACUGAUAAAAGCAGAGAGAGAAGACCAGCUGAUGCAAGGCCUCAUCGACUGAUAAAAGAAGAGAGAGAAGAUCAACUAACGCUAAGUCUCAUCGACUGGUAGAAGAAGAUAGAGAAGACCAGCUGGUGCUAGGUCUCAUCAGUUGAUAGAAGCGAGAGAGAAGAGAGAUAAAGAGAGAAGAGCGAGAGAGAGAAGAGGAAGAGAGAGAAAGAGAGAGAAGAGAGAGAAGAAGAGAGAGAGAGAGAGAGAGAGAGAGAGAGAGAGAGAGAGAGAGAGAGAGAGAGAGAGAGAGAGAGAGAGAGAGAGANNNNNNNNNNNNNNNNNNNNGAGAGAGAGAGAGAGAGAGAGAGAGAGAGAGAGAGAGAGAGAGAGAGAGAGAGAGAGAGAAGAGAGAGAAGAGAGAGUGAGGAGAGAGAAAGUUAUCUGCUUGAAGGGUACCGACCCUUUUCUUCUCUCUCCUCCCCCUCUCUCCAAGACGUACUCACAGGCUAAAGCAAGAAAUCAAAAUUUUAUGGAAUCUUCAAAAGAAUGAAUCGAGCAUCUAUCGUCCUUUUAACAUGUCUUUACAAUGAGGCAGUGCCUGUUUAUAUAGAAUUAUGCCCAAACAUGGGUGGAUUGAAAAAAAUUAGACCUAAUUAUUAAAAAGUAAGACUUAAUUGAAUUAAAAGAAAUUCUAAAAAUGUAUGUAAAAGGACUGUUUUGCCCAUGUCUAACAAUUCAUGGAAUUUUAGAACAGUCCCUACUACUGCUCAAGAUCCUGCAUGAUCCUCCAUGGCGGACUCGAGCGUGUUUUGAUGCCCGUUUUAUCAAAAUAUUAUUGUUUUCUUGUAGGGCUCUGCAUGGUGAUCGUUUUGAUAUCAACUUCGAGUCAUGACUCAUGUUUUUGAGCCAUGAUCACGAGACCUAGAAAUUGAUCGAAAGUGCGAUCGUUCCUUAAUGUUUUUAUGUGAUUUCUUCAUCGUAAUGCACUGAGAAUGUCGUCACGAUCGCGUGGCAACAAACGGAACAUGAUUUGGAGCCCGAACAAAGAUGUCACUACUUUUGAGUUUUGGCCGGAAUCUGGAAUCUAGUGGACAAAAUUUCAGUCACUUCAUCAGAUUCGUGCAUGAAAUCUGACCGUUCAUCAUGUACGGGGUUCGGUCCAAUGAUAGCUCCGGACCUUAUGCACACAAUAUAAUUUGUUUCACGUCGAUCCGUUACGUGAGCAUCGUGAUUAGGUCUAUCGAGUGAGAUGUGUCGUUGCUGAAGUUUUUGCAACUUAUUCACAUAUUAGCAACUUCUCUCUAGCUUUUCCCUCUGCUCGGACAUCAUCUUGGAGCGUGCCACAUAACGAAUUGUUCUUCUUGAUGAGACGAAUACGCUCACCAAAUUUGGGAGCGAUCUGACUUGGAAAGAGUGAGUUACGGGUCCUGACUGUGACUGCCCAUGACUGUAAAAGUAGCCACCUUUGAUGGUGUUUCAAUGCAAUGAGGCCACAUUGGAAUACUGUGCGGCCCCUCUUGUUUCAAUGUUUUACUUAUAUCUUUGUUCUGGAGUGUUCCAUUAAGCCAAAACUUGACCCAUAGGGAUUUUUGAUCGUGUCAGAUCUAAUGGAUGUGAUUCGAUAGUGAUUUGAAAUACCUAAAAUAUAGUUCCAGUUGUAGGGUCAGUUUCAGGGUGCCAGAGGCCAGAUUUUCAAAAACUGUUCCUUUGUGUUCACUACCUUAGAGAAGUCGAAAUGCGACAAAACUUGGCAGGUGGUCUUUUAAAGUGCUAAUGACGAUCUUGACAAAUUAUGGUGCCAUUCUGAGACUGUCAAGAAUUUUCACUGUCUUGUAGGCUUUAUUGACCUGCUUCCUACCGGGGACCAACGUGCUGAAAAAUACGUUCAAACAAUUGCGUGGAUCUCCUCGACAUUCACGUAGUCUUGUGGCUAGCCAGGGGAAUUUUUUCGAAUGAUUGUACUUCUCAUUUCUCUCUAAGUACAACAUUCGGUAGGGGCAUGCUGCUAGAAGACAUUUUUCAUCAUGGGUCUCCGGUCAACAAAGCCUACCAAACAGUGGAACUUUUGACAAUCUUAUAAUAAUACCAAAACUGGCCAAGAUCUUCAUAAGGACUCUCAAAAGUCUCCUAUCAAGUUUCUUCAUAUUCCGAUUUGUCUAGUGUAGUGCAGACUGAGAAAUAGUUUCGGUAGAAUCAACCUCUAGCACUCUUAAAUGGACCCUAUGACUAGAGAUAUAUUUUUGGUCUCCCAAUUUACUAUAGAACUACUGCCAUUGGAUUUGGCACGGUUGAAAAUCACUAGGGAAAUUUUAGCUUAAAUGGACAUUCCAGGAAGAAGGAGGCAAAAGAGAGAAACAAGAGGAGUCGCACGCUAUUCCCAUGCAGCCACCUUGCAACUCAACUCCAUUAAAGGGGUGGUGACGACCAGUGACUUUCGAUGCUUAUAUCUCCCUUGUCAAAGAACAGAUCAUGCUCAAACUUGAUGGAGCAUGUUUGUCUCGUCAAGACUAGUGUUUCAAUUAAUGUGGCACGCCCCGCGGCGACGCCCAAGUGCGAAGAAAAGCUAGAGAGAAGUUUCUGAUCUGAGAAGAAAGUACAGGAAAAUCAGCAGCACUGUGCAUUGCUCGAGCGACCAAAUCACGCCUCUCGCGAACCCGAUUGAUGCGAAACCAGUUCCAUCGUGUGUGUAAGGUCUAGGGCUAUCGUUAGUCCGAACCCUGUACAUGAUGGAUGGUUGAAUUCUGCACACAAAGAAGAAUAAGUGAUUGAAAAUUCUAUCGCCGAAAUUCCAGAUUCCAGCCAAACUCCAACGUUGCAAAAUCUUCGUCCGGACAUGGAAUCGAGCUGCGUUUGUUGCCUCAUGAUCGUGACGGAAUGCUCAGUAUGAUCUAGCAAAGAAAUAACAAAAAAACAUCAAGGAACAAAUACACAAUCGAUCCAAAAUUUCAAGAUUCAUUCAAAUUUCAAGUCACAUGAUCUUUCUCUAAAAACACAAUCCAUGACUUGAAGUUGGUAUCAAAUCGAUUGCCAUGCUGAGCCCUACAAGAAAACGAUCAUCUUUGAAUAAAACGGGCAUCAUAACAACCCCGGAGGAUCCAUGAAAAAUCAUUCACGUUUUAGGACAACACAAGGACUAUCUUGGAAUUCCACAACUUGUUAGGAAGGGGCAAAUCUGUCAUUUUGCACCUUAUUUUCUAAUUUAUUUUAAUUCAAUUAAAUCUUAAUUUCUAGCAAUUAGGUUUAAUUUUGAUCAAUCCACCCAUGUUUGGGCACAAUUCUAUAUAUACCACGUACCAUCAUUGUACACAAGGGGCAUGGACCCUUCGCUAAAGAAAAUUUUUACUCAAUAGAAUUCCCUUUCCUUCUCAUUGUUAGAAUACAUUUGGAGAGAGAGUACGGAGAGAGAAACUUUUGGAUCAGUAUCCCUGGGCUCAAGGUAAACCUUCUCUCUCUUCUUGUGUUUCUUCUCCUUCUUCUUCAUUUCAGCCUCCCUCAGAGGCCAUGCACGGCAGUGGUAGUGUCGUGCAUGCCUCUGUCUUUGUUUUCCCUCCCUGUGGUUUUGGAUGUCGCGCCAUCGUGAGCUCCUUUCUCCCUUCUUUUAGUGCUUCUUUAUUUCUCAAUGAGGUUUGCAGACAGCACUGCUCAUCGCCAUCUGCAGAUGUAUCCUUGAUGCCUCAGAGAAGAACACAGAUGGCGAAACUUAUUGCCACAUACAGGGGUCUCCCCUUGUUGUGCGCUUAUCGUAGACGGUGAUGCCUAUCAUCGCCCGCAAGAGGUCACGACAACACUUAUCGCCAUCCACAAACUUCCUUCGUGCGCUCGAUGUCUAUCGCCUUCUGUGAGCUCCCGUUACGCGCUUGAUGCCUAUCGCCAUCUGUGAGCCUCCUUAGCGCGCUCGAUGUCGAUCACCGUCUGCGAGCUUCCUUUGCACAUUCAGUGCCUAUCGCCUUUCGCAAGCUCCCUUUGCAUUCUUGGUGCCUAUCACCGUCUGCAAGCCUCCUUCGCACACUCGGUGCCUAUAGCCGUCCGUGAGCUUCCUUUACACGUUCGGUGCCUAUCGCCGUCCACGGGCUCUCUUUGCACGCUCGGUGCUUAUCGUCGUUCGUGAGCUUCCUUCGAGAGUUUAGUGCCUAUCACCGUCAGUAAGCCUUCUUCUUCCUCUCGGUGCCUAUCGCAGUGCGUAGGCUGUUCUUGCGUCCCACACCUAUCUCCAUGUGCCUUUGCAAUGAUUGUUGCCACAUGCCUAGUAAAUGGCUAUCGUCGCGUGCUUCACAAGAGGCUAUUGCCGCCCGGGCAGGGGUGCACUGCCUUCUUGUGUGGCCCCAACGACGAUGCCUAGCGCCACCUGUAGUUCGCUGCUCACCCUCUGGACGUGAGAAGUAGUGGCUAGCGCCGUCUGAGGGCCGUGACAUUGCUACUUCACAGUUGUGGGUGGUGACACUUAGCACCAUCGGGACCCCAUCUCUUUAUCGUCUCGUGCAUUUUCUUCAUUCUCUUCUCACUUGACCGUGGGUGGACUUAGUCUAGUGUUUCCAUAGCGGUCUGGCUAUCGAGUAGUAUUGCCGUCGUGCUGGUCUUGAGUACCAUGCCUGUCUUGCUGCCACACCAGAUUAGGAUAGUCAUGUCGACCUUGGUUUUGAGUAGCAUUAUCGUUGCGCAGGUCCAAAGUACCAUGCCAAUCUUGCUAUCACUCCGUGUCUGUCAUUAUAUUGGUCCAGCUAUCAUGCUAGUCUCGUCCCCUGGUCAUGUACCCUCUUAUUUUCUCCUUUCAUUCAAACCUUCCACUUCAUCACCCUAACUUCUCACAUUCUUAGCCAUACAAAUGUGCGUUGCCCUAAGACAUGGGUGGGCCUUUCGGCCCACUUGUCUUGCAAAUUAACUAUAGUAGUGUUGUACAUAAACAAGAAGAUUGUAGAUCAAGGGAGGUGAUUCUGAACAUGCUGAAGCAGCAAGGGGCUUUCCGUCGUGAUUUAAGAGGGCACCCAUGUGAGUCAGCCUGAGUAAGCCACAGACCUAGGUAAGGUUGGUCCCCACCUCACAUCCAAAAUUCCUCUCUCACUAGUUAGACACCUACCCUUGUUCUUGAGGAAGGUCCCGAGAGAGCAGUCUCAGGCCGUGGGUCUUCCGAACUCUUGAUACACGCCGCCAGAUCAUCUAGAUUCGAAGGGCAAGAUCGAGGCACCUAACCAGUGGGCCUUAUGAGAGAGCCUGUAGCUGAAAUGGCUUCCCCAAAGGACAAGGGCGAAGAAGUAGAGGGGGAAGGUGUUGAACCUACAGAGGCAGAGAUGGCGGUUCACGAUGAGAGGGAGAAGGGAGAAGGAGUUGUCCCUGAAGGGGCUGAGGUCACUUUUGAGCAUAUUGCAACUGCUUUAGAAGACAAGCAGCAAGGAGAAGAGGUUGGCCUUGGAGGGACCACGCCUGCUAAUGGUGAGGCUGACAGGCCAGGUGAGGAGGCUAUGAGGGCCAAGCAGAUUGAAAGUAGGAUCCCCUCUACACCUACAAAUGAUGAGAGCUUGGGCUUCACAGUCCCCCGGGAUGAGCCAACAACUCACAUGGCUAUCAUCCCUUCGAGUUAUACUGUGGAGACUUAUGCUCCUUCCAUUGCAGCGGCCCUAGCAUCAUAUCUUAGGCUCAGCUUGAGCAGGAUGUCCGGCAUAAUUAUGGACGUGCUUCGUUUGGGCUUGCAGAGACUGAAGGGUCUGCCUCUUGCUGAACUUAAUGGUGCAAUCCAACAGUUGAGGCAAGUCAUCCUUGCAGCGAGAGUUCUAGAGGUCAUCCCUUACUUCGAUGGCAUCGUAAAUGAGCUAGAAGGGUGGAGAAUAAAGGCCUUGUGUGAAGAAGCAACUACACAGUGACUCUACAGCUUGCAGUUACCCCCUUUGGAGUCCUCACUUAUGUGUCAUCACGAUUAGGUAGAAUCCCAAUUGCAGCAAAAGGAUGCCGUAGUCUUUCAAAGAUCCAACCUUGCAGAGGAGGCCAUCACCCACCACUACAAGGUGAUGGCCCUAAGGGCGGAGAUACUGUAGCUGAUGCAAGAGCUUGAUAAGCUGAAGGAUGAGACUACGGCAUGGGAAGAAAAGUACCAGAUGUUUGCUGAUAAUAUUCUGGCCCUUGAGUACUCCUUGGAAGAAAGGACGCCUUGAUGGAGCAUGAGACACAGCUAAUGGCUAGGGCAUCAGCUACAACAUAUAGGGGGAAGAUCAAUAACAUGAUUGAUCGAUUUUAAAGUGUCAUCUUAUUUUCUUUUAUUUUUCCCAUAUUUUUGACACUUGUAAUAUCCCCUUGCUUUAUGAAUUAAAUUCUUUCCUGUUGCUUCAAUGUGAUGCGUGGCUCUUUUAUUCUUCCUCUUGCUUUUAAGAAUAUCCCACUCCUUGCUUUGUCUUUUGAUGGCUUGCCAUGGCUCCCAGGACCUUGAAUGGGGGAGCAUUUACGUCCUCGCCCCUUAGUGUUUGAUUUGACAGGGGUUCAUAAUCCAUGGUUUUCAUGAUUUGGUGAGCCUAUUCGCUAUAAAUACUCCAAUCUUGGGGAGCCUUGGCUUUGAUUCGACUCGAGCACAAGAGGGUCGACCACUUCAUCUUCCCUCUCAGCACACACAGCCUCACCUUGUCAGUGAUAGGCUCCUACUUGGUCCCUCAUAGACACAAGCUCAUGGGUCUCGACCUCCUAAGGUCAAACCAGCUGACCGAGCUCGGGUGGAACCCUAAGCACCUGGACAGCUAACCUUAAAGCUGCAAAUGCACCAGCUUUGUAGGCUCCUCCCUGAUCCUGACUCAGGCAAAGUCAUGAACCAGUUCCUUCUUGUAUCACUCUUCUUUCACCAGGUAAGCACCUCGAGACCUGGUACUCAAAGGUUUUCCUAAAGAGUCCCAUCUUGAGUCAGCCGCCUCAGGUCAGGCAUGCACCCGGACCCCACAAGGGAAUUCAGGGCAAUGGUCUGAUGUCAAACAGAAGCCUGCAACCUCCAAGGCAGCUGCUCAGACUGUGCUCCAUCCUUGGACCUCAUUCUCUGCUCUAAGUAAUGGACACAACCAUGACAUGCUCAACAAAUACGGGGCAAUCCAAAUCUUAGGCUCAGUUCUGGAGUGAAGUCCAUAGCAGCCUCAGGACUAAGCAAAAGAGAGGCUUGUAGAUCCUGACUACAGAAGCCCCUAAGGCAGUUGAGGUUACCACCUUUGAUAACCUCCUAACUCAUAAUCCCUUUUUCCCUCUUCAGAUCUCACAACCUGAGCAAGUCUAGAAAUAUUGCCCGGUGAUUACUACCAAGAAGCCAUGGUCCCAAGACGGUUAAGAACCGGUCCUCACGCGAUCGGCAUACAAGGCUCGAGUCUAAUCGGGGCAUGUCAAGCCCUUGCAGACUAACUUGCCUCAUACGACUCGCCAACCCCCGGCAGUCGACUAUUCCACCUAGUGCUGACCUCAUAAAAGAAAUGGUCAGCGUCAUGGUGAUCAAUGAGCUGGACGAUGCCCAAUAAGAGUAGAUGAAUAGGUUCAAGGUGAUUCCAUCCUUGAAAAGAUGGAACACCUAGAAGCCUCCAGAUCACCUUCUUCUCAUCAUGAGACUGAUUCCUCGUUGGCGAAGACAUAGUUCCUAGGCAAACUCCCCGACAGGUUUCCCAAGAUAGUUCUGCAUCUCGCAUGGUUUUGCAAGCUAAUAUAAAUGCUAUGGUGACCCACAAUCUCAAGAACAAGGUCUCGAGCAUGUAAGAGGUGUUGCUUUACCAAAAUCUGUACCCCGCAUACAUCGACCAGGUGCUGUUUCCCCCAAACUACCAAAAAGGGAAGCUUUCCCUAUUCAACGACACUACAUCCCCUCAUCAGUGUACUGCUCAUUUCCAAGCAGCUUGUCGAGAGACGAUGACUGACGGGUGACUCCUCCUCUGUCAUUUCGUCGAGACUCUCGAAGGGCUAGCCUUUCUGUGGUAUGCUCGGCUGCCUCCAAACUCAGUACACACGUGGCAAGAAAUGGAGCAGUUGUUUUACCAACACUUCUACGAAGUCCAAAGAAACAUGGAAAUAAUAGAGCUCCUCACUUUGACUCAAGACCCUGGUGAGCCAAUUGACAAGUUCAUCGCCCGAUGGAGAGAGUUGGCAACCUUCCAUGCCACUCUCAUGACUGAAAAAGAAGCAGUUUAGACCUGCAUACGAAAUAUACUGCCCGAGAUUGCCCUACAUGUCAAGGCUUUCAAUCCACCAUCCAUGUCAGAGCGCACCUCUAAAGCAGUUCAUAUAGAAGGUCUGUUCAAGCACCAUGGUGGAUCUCGUCAGUACCCCUUUGGCUCGAAUUCUCGCUCCAACAGUUGGGGCAACCAGAAAAAGCGGUGACUAGUGCGGCUGUCACUGUGACCGACACUAACAAAGCUGCCCCUCAAACCUUGAACCUCUACAAGACACAGACGUCUCAGGUUGGGGGCGAACAGAAGUCCUACAACAGGGUCCCACCCCCAAAAAAUAUAAAUUGAAGUGACUAUUGGACCUAGCACCAGAAUAAGGUGUACCCCUUUGAGAAGGAGUGGGUUCCCGCACUGCUUCAAUUAUUGCUUGAGCAUAACAUGAUCCAGCUACCAUAGGUCAAAACCCCAGAGCUAGUCGGGCAGGAGAUACACGAGAGGUACUACACCUAUCAUCGAGGAGUAGGCCACCCCACUCAAGAUUGCUAUACGCUCAGAGACAUUAUCAAAGCCCUCAUUAAAAAGGGUCAGAUAAAGCUCAAAGAGUUAAAAAAGCAUUUGGGGCCCACAUAGUGACAAUCCAAUAGAAUGAUGAAGUACCCACUAUCCUCUGUGCACUAUUAUCCAUAAUGCUUGAAGAAGGACUCGUCACGUCAAAGCCGACAAGGCAGCCCAAGUUUAUGUCCCCUAGAACUGAGAAUCCUUGGUGCUCUUAUCACCUGAUACGAGGUCACACCCUGAGCAAAUUCACUGGCUUCCAUGAGCUCUUGGCAAUGAAGAUGCGGCAAGGCCAGGAAGUUCAUGGUAACUCAGAAGGACACCCCCAAGUCCCUCUUCCACCAGUGCAAGAAGAACUCUCGACACAAGCCCAGGGAAGCGCUGAGCCAGAUCCUCUACGAGCCCUCUUCGAGGCAAUGCUCCAACAGGGUCUCCUCACUCCCAAGCCCGCCCAGUAGCAUAAGCAUCUUGCCUAGGGUACGAAAAACCUCUGGUGCCCAUAUCACCAAGUAUGGGGCCAUGAGCUGAAAGAAUGCUCUGGGUUGGAAGCAAUAGUCACAGAGAGAGUCCAGAAAGGCCACAUUGUUUGUGUUAUCCUCCCAAAAUGCUUCAAAGUCAUUGUUCUUAUUCAAGAGGAAACCCCACUAGGGCCCCCUAUGAGCACACAUUAGACCCUUCAGAGCCCUCAACUUCUCUGCCUUGGGAAGUUUAUCAUGGGCGAAGUAGGCUCAAGUCCCUGAAGCGUGAGGCCGUACACCAAGCUAGGAUUACUCACCAACCUGAUAGAGCAAACCAAACAUCUCCUCAAGGAUCUAGAAGGAGAUGAGUACCCAAGUAAGCCCGCUGAAGGAACCACAUUCCUCAGCCACCAGUCGAGGAAGAAUUUCUCAAGCCUCUUCCCCCAUUGCCGACCUUGCGGGACUUCAUCGCAGGCGCAGCUCGCCACAACCCAUCGUUCGAUAACGUGGACAUCCCUGAGUUCUCAUUUGCUUGGGAUUCGUCUAAUACUGGUAACGAAGCUAAAAGCACAUCCCAAUAGUCAAAGCCAGGGCAAGACCUAAAAUACCCCCUACACACGUCCAAUUAUGGCGAUGACGUAAAAAACUGCCAAGAACAUACUAACUGUUCUUCUCCUCCCGCCUCUUCUAUUUCUUCCACAGGUGCGAUUCGACAAUCCCAGACUUCGACUCUCUAAACAGAGAGCUCGAAGGCACCAGCCUCAACAGGUCGCAGUGAAAGCACCUAAGAAAGAUGCUGGCCCAGGCAGCUGGAUUCUUAACAGUCGCCGAUGCCCUAGCCCAAGCUAAGACCGAGCUAUCUUCAAGCUCCUAUUCCAAACAGGCCUCCCAUAUGGUGCAGAUCUUGGAGUUACGAUCCGUAAUGGGGAAAAUGAGCCUAAGAUGGGGGAAGAAGCUACAACCCACAUCUCAAAAGCUCAAGAUCCUCAAGUUUCUGGAUCCUUUAAUUUUCCCGAAACCUAAACCUCAGAUCUCCACAUCCCUAAUACAAAGUCCUAUUACUUCCCCAUCAACCUAGACCGCACCGGCUAACCAAUAAAGUCAGUCAGUGCUACAAAAACUACCCACUGUAUUUGGACCAUCGCCAUUGGUUCUGACAUGAUUGAAAACCCUCAAGGGUCAAAUUUCAGCUUGAAUGGACACUCCAAGAAGAAGUUAUGGGUAGAAGAUGAAAACAGGAGGAGCCGCACACUAUUCCCCUACGGCCACACUGCAAUUAAAGUCCAUUAAAGGGACAGUCAUGAAUAGUGACUUGCGACAGCCAUAUCUCAUUCGUCUUGAGUCAGAUGACUCUCAAAUUUUGUGAGCAUGUUCAUCUCGUCAAGACGAGCUAUUUGAUAUGUGGCACGCCUCGUGACGAAACCCAAGUGUGAAGAAGAGCUAGAGAAAAGUUACCAAUCCGUAAAGGAAGAUACAACAAAAUCAGCAGCGACACGUCUCGCUCGAGCGGCUAAAUCACGAUGCUCACGAGCUUGAUUGAUGUGAACCAGUAGCAUCGCGUGCCUAAGGUACAUGGCUAUCAUUGGUUCGAACCCCGUGCAUGAUAAACGGUUAGAUUUCUCACACAAAGCCGAUGAAGUGACUACAGAUUCCAACCAAAACUCAAAAGUUGCAAAAUCUUCGUCCGGGCACGAAAUCGAGCUGUGUUUGUUGCCACAUGACAGUAACGACAUGCUCAAUGUGAUCCAAUGAAGAAAUUAUGAAAAAACAUCAAGAAACAAGCACACUAUCGAUUCGAAGUUUGCAAGAUUCAUCUAAAUUUUAAGGUACAUGAUCGUGGCUUUAAAACAGGAUCCAUGACUCAAAGUUGGUAUCAAAUCGAUCAUCAUGCGGAGUCCUACAAGAAAACAAUCAUCUUUCAAACAAACGGGCACUAGAGCAACCCCAGAUCAUCCAUGAAAGAUCACGUACGUUCUAGGGUAGCAGCAGGGAUUGUUUCAAAAUUUCCACAAUUAUUAGGAAGGGGCAAAUCAGUCAUUUUACACCCUAUUUUCCUAUUUUAUUUAAUUCAAUUAAAUCUUAGUUUUCAUCAAUUAGAUUUAAUUUUGAUCAAUCCAUCCAUGUUUGGGCAAACUCUAGAUAUAUAUCAAGUACUCUCAUUAUGUGCAGACCCGUUCGCCAAAGAGAACUUUGCAUAAUAAAAUUUCUCUUUCUUCUUAUUGUUGGGUCACAUUUUGAGAGAGAAAGGUAGGAGAGAGAAACUUUUGGAUCAGUACCCCUAGGCUCAAGGUAAAUCUUUCUCUCUCUUUUCUUUCUUUCUUUCUUCUUCUCGUUCUUCUUCUCUGUCUGAGCUUUUCUUAGAGGCCAUGCACGACAGUGGCAGUGCUGUGCAUGCCCUUCUUUCUUUCUUUUUUCUCCUGUGGUUUCACAGGCCAUGCAUGGCGGUGGCAGCACCAUGCGCGAGAUUCUUUCUCCUUUUUUUUGUCCAUUUCUAUCUCUCGACAAGGCUCGUAGACAGCGCUGCUUAUCGUUGUCCGUAGAUGUGUCUCAACGUCUCAGCGAGGAGCAUAGACGGCGAAGCCUAUUGCCACUGCAAGGGUCUCCCCUUAUUGCGCGCCUAUCGCAGACGGUGAUGCCUAUCACUGCCCAUGAAGGGUCGCAGCAACACCUAUCACUGUCUGCAAGCUCCUUUCAUGCUCUCGGAGCUUAUCGCCAUUCACAAGCUUCCUUCGUGUGCUCGGUGCCUAUCGCUGUUUGCAAGCUUCUUUCGUGUGCUUGAUGCCCAUCGUCGUCUGCAGGUUUUUCUUGUGUUCCAUGCCCAUCACCGUGAGCCUUAGAAGGGACUAUCGUCGUGUGCAUCACAAGUGGCUAUCGUCGUGCACCUUACAAGAAGUUAUCAUCGCCCGUGGUGUCCUGCCUUCUCGUGUUGCUGAUGGCGAUGCCUAGUGCCACUUGUAGUUCACUGCUCACCCUCCAGCCAUGUGCAGUAGUGUCGAGCGCCGUCCAAGGGUCGUGACACUGCUACUCCAUGGCUGUGAAUGGGAUGCCUAAUCAUCGUCGGGACCCCGUCUCAUUGUCGUCGAGUGCUUCAUCCUCAUUCUCUUCUCUUCUCAUUUGAUUGAGGGUAGACUCAGCCUAGCAUUGCCCUAGCUGCCUGACUGUCGAGCAGUAUCACUGUCGUGUUAGUCUUGAGUACCAUGCCCAUCUUGCUGCCACACCAGAUUAGGACAGUCAUAUCAGCCUCGAUUUUGAGUAGUAUUGUCGUUGUGCUGGUCCUAGUACCAUGCCCGUUUUGCUACUAUUCUAAGCCGGUCAUUAUACUGGUCCAGCUAGCAUCUCGUCCCCUUACUAAGUUUUAUUCUCUUUUCUACCUUUCUUUGAACUGCCCACUUCAUCACCCUCACUUAGGAAUGUGCAUUGCCCUAAGACAAGGGUGGGUUCUUCGGCCCACUUGUCUUACACGUUAACCAUAAUAAUGUUGUGCAAAAAACAAGAAGAUUGCAGAUCAAGGGAAGCGAUUCCGAACCAAUUGAAGCAGCUGGGUGGCUUUCCGUCGUGAUCUAAGAGGGCGCUAGCGCGAGUCAUCCCAAGUAGGUCAUGGACCCAGGUGAGGUUGGUCCCCACCUCACAUUAAAAUUCCUCUCUCACUAGUUAGACACGUUCCCUUGUUCUGUAAAUGAGGUUCCUUAGAGAGCGAUCUCAAGUCUUGAGUUUUUCGAAACCCGAGACAUGUGUCAUCUGAUCACCUAGAUAUGGGGAGGUGAGAUUGAGACACCCUAGCACUCAUCUCUUUCUAGAUCUCUUAGGUGGUGUUUGGACCAUCCUAUUGGGCCGAUGAGUAGCCCUAACUUGGUGGACUGCUUCAUGCUUCAGGUACUUGCGCCUACUUCAUCCAUGGUAGACUUCUUAGGGCUGAGAAGUCGAGGGCUCUGAAGGAUCCAGUGUAGACUCAUAAGGGACCUGUAGUGGGAUUUCCUCUUAGAUGGGAGUGAUGACUUGGAAGGCACAGAUAAUGUGUCCUUUCUUUACCUUCUCGACAACUAUAGCUUUGAAACCAGAGCAUUCCUUCAGCUCAUGGCCCCAUACCUGGUGAUAUGGGCACUAGAGAGUUUUUAUACCCUGGGCAAGAUGCUUAGGUUGUCUAGCGGUCUUAGAAGUGACGAGACCCUGUGGGAGCAUUGCCUCAAAGAGGGCCUACGGAGGGUCUAGUGCACUUUGCUGUGCUUGUGUUGGGAGGUCUUCUUGUACAGGUGGAGCAGGGGCUUAAGGGUGUCCUUUUAGGUUACCAUGAACUUCUUGGUGCUGUUGCAUCUUCUUUGCCAAGAGCUCAUGGAAGCCAGUGCAUUCGCUCAGGUCAUGGCCUCGUAUCAGAUGAUACGGACAUCAUAGAUUCUCAGUUCCGAGGGUAGGAAUUUGGGUUGCCUUGUCUGCUUUGGCAUGAUGAGACCUUCUUCAAACAUUACUGUGAAUAGUGCACGAAGGACAGUGGGUGCCUCAUCAUCCUCUUGGAUUGUCACUAUGUGGGAAGCCUCAGUUGCCCCGAAAUCUUUCUUUAGCUCUUCGAGUAUCUUGCCCUUGUUAAUAAGGGAUUCGAUAAUGUAUUUUGAGCAUAUAACACUCUUGAGUGGGGUGGCCUACUUUCUUGUGAUAGGCGCAGUACCUUUCCUGUGUUUCCUGUCCAGCUGGUUCUAGGGUGUUGACCUCCAGCAGCUGGAUCAUGUUUUGUUCUAGUAGUAGUCGCAGCAGCGUAGGAACCCAUUCCUUCUCGAAGGGCUACACCUUGUUCUGGUGCAGGAUCCAGUAGUCACUUCGAUUUAUAUUUUUAAGGAGCAGAACCCUGUUAGAAGACUGUUGCUGCUUGCCUCCAGCUUGAGGUGUUUGUGCCUUGGAGAGGACAAAAGUUUGAGGGGCGGCUUUCUUAGUGUCAGUCACGAUGACGGCCGCACUAAUCACUGCUUUUUGUUGGUUUCCCCGAUUGUUAGAGCGAGAAUUACCAUUGCCUCGGUUGUUUCUCGAGCUAGAGGGCUGCUGGAGAGAUCCACCAUGGUGCUUGGAUAGACCUUCUAUACGAACUGCUUUAGAGAUGAGCUCUGACAUGGAGGGUGGGUUGGAGGCCUCAACAUGCAGAGCGAUCUCGGCCAACUCUCUCCAUCGAGCGAUGAACUUAUCGACUAGCUCACCAGGGUCUUGAGUUAGACUGAAGAUUUAGAUGGUUUCCACAUUUCUCUGGACUUCAUAGAAGCAUUAGUAAAACAACUGCUCCAUUUCUUGUCAUGUGUGUACCGAGCUUGGCGGUGGCCGAGCAUACCAUUGGAAGGCUGACCCUUCGAGAGUUUCAAUGAACUGACAAAGGAGGAGUUGCCAGUCAGUUUCCGUCUCUCGACAAUCAGCUUGGAAGUGAGCAGUAUGUUGGUACGGGGACUUAGUACCAUUGAACAAGGGGAGCUUCCUUUUUUGAUAGUUUGGGGGAAAUGACACCUGGUCGAUGUACGAGGGAUAUGGCUUUUGAUAAAGCGGCGCCUCUUGCAUGCUUGCGACCUUAUUCUUGAGACUGUGGUUCACCACGGCAUCUAUGUCGGUUUUCGAAACCAUGCGGGGAGCAUAGCUAUCAUGGGAGACAGGUGGGGGAUUUUGCCUGGGAGUUGAGUCCUCUCUAGGCUGGGAGUUGGCCUCAUGGUGUGGAGAAGAAGCAGGGGGCCUGGAGGCCUCUAGACGAUCCAUCUUUUCGACGAUGGCCUGCAUCAUCACCUCGAACCUGUUCAUCCGCUCUUCUUGGGCGUCAUCUGGCUCAUUGAUCACCAUGACGCUGAUCGUUUCUUUUAGAGGGUUAGAGUCAAGUGGAGUAGUGGACUGCCGGGGUUAGCGAGUCCUACACGACAAGUCUGUUUGUAGGGGUUCAGCAUGCCCCAACUGGACUCGAGCCUUGUACGCCAACCUUGUGAGGACCAGUUCUUGACAGUCUUGGGACUGUGAUUUCUUGAUAGCUCGGUCUUUUUCUGUGAUGGUGACCACCAAGCAAUCUUGGACUUCUCGUUCAGAUUCUGGAAUCCAAAGAGGGAAUAAGCGACUAUGAGGCAAGAGGUUAUCAAGAGUGGUAACCUCAACUGCCUUAAGGCCCUAUGUAGUCCGGAGCUAGAGGUCUCUCUUCUUCUUGAUCCUGAGACUGCAAUAGAUUUCAGUCAAGAAUCGCACCUGCGACUUGGACUGCCCUAUUUUUCUUAAGCAUGUGAGGGCUGUGUUUAUCAGCUGGAGCAGAGAAUGAGGUCCCUGGAUAGAGGGCAAUCCGGGUUGCUGCCUUAGAGACUGGAGGCUUCUAUCUACCGUCAAGCCUUUGCCCCGAAUUCCCUUGUGAGGUCUGUGUGCAUGGUUGACCUGAGGUGGCUGGCUCAAGAUGGUACUCUUAGGAAAAACCUUUGAGUACCAGGUCUCGAGGUGCUUGCCUGAUGAAGGAAGGGUGGUAAGAGAAGGAUCUAGCUUGUGACUCCACUUGAACUGGGAAAAGGGAGGAACCUGCAAAGUCGGUGUGUCUGCACUUUUAGAGUUAGUCGUUCGGGUGACUUGAGGUUCAACCCUGGCUCGGUCAGCCGGCUCGACCUUGGGAGGCCGAGACCCACGAGUUCAUGUCCGUGAGGGACUAAGUGGGAGUUCAUCUCUCACACGGUGGAGUUGUCUAUGCUGAGAGGGAGGACGAAGUGGUUGACCCUCGUGUGCUCGAGCUGGUGCAGCACUGACGUUGCCCCGAGCUGUGGGAUGCAGAUUCAUGGGGCGUGCAGAGUUCGGCUUGAGAAGGCCUAACCUUGGACGUGAUCUCAAGGCAGCAUGAAAGUUUCCCCGAGGUGUUGCUUGAGUGAUUGGACCACGAGCCAUCGGGUGUGUGUGAGAGAUCGAGGCCCCAGGAACUCUACCUCUGUGUGUCGAGCCUCUAGGCAUAGAGGUUCGGGGUGGUGGAUGAGUAUGGGGGUGGCCUUGCAGCGACCCUCAAGAGUGAUGGCAACCUGCUUGCCUUUUGUGAAAGCAAAUAGGGCAGCCUUUGUGUGUACCUCAACAAUAUGAUCGGCAAGGGGCUUGCAAAUAGCAGGGUGCAUGAUGUGUGCAGUGAUAUGUGUGUCACCUAUGCGAAGGGCCUUGGUGGAGGGUCCACCAGGGCUAGGAAGUGGGGAGCUAGGGACCAUCAAGUCCCUUCGCGCAACAACCCAGUAGAGAACCUGAGAACCAAACUAUGAGUCCUGACUCAAGAGGAGUGUAAGAAACGAGGCUUGAGAAGCUCGCUUCCCAAGGAUAAUCACGAGUGCAGGGAUCAGAAAAUCCCUAACUCGAAUGAAUGGGUUGAAUAACCCAGAUGCCAUGAAAUAUAGUGAAGAAAGUGAAAGGUGAUGUGAUUAAGCAGGAGAGAACCGAUGAAGGAGUAAUGAGUCCCUAGUGGAGUCGCUAAACUGGUCGGAUGCCUCAAUCUCACCUACCUGGAUCUAGGUGAUCGCGUGACACGUAUCUCGAGUUCGAAAGACCCGAGAUUGAGAUUGCUCUCUCGAGAACCUUGUUCACAGAAUAAGGGCAGGUGCUCAAUUAGUGAGAUAUGAAUUUGAUAUGUGAGGUGGGGACACCUGGGUGUGUGACUUUCUCGGGCUGACUCUCAAGGGCACCCUCUUAGAUCAUGAUGGAAAGCCCCAUAGCUACUUUAGCUGGUUCGGAAUCGUAGGGCAUACAUUCAUAUGGAAAAGAAGGUGAGAAAUUAGAGUGAUAAUGAAGAAGGUUCGAAUAAAGAAAGAAAAUAUAAGAGAACUUGACAAGGGGACGAGACUAGCAUGAUAGCUGGACCAGUAAGUACCAACUCUGUGUGGCAGCAAGACGGGCAUGGUACUCAAGACCAGCACAAUAGCAAUACUACUAGAAACCAAGGUCAAUAUGACUGUUCUAAUCUAGUGUGGUUGCAAGAUAGGCAUGAUACUCAGGACCAACACGAUGUCAAUACUACUCGACAUCCAGACCACCAUGACAAUACUAGAUUGAGUCUAUCCUUUGGUCAAGUGGGAAUGAGGAGAAAAAAGGAAGAAAGAGAACGAAGAGAAGGCACGAGAGGACGAAGAGUGAGGAUCUCGACGAUGUUGAGCAUUGUCACCUAUAGCUAUGGAGUAACAGUAUCGUGGCCCCUGAACAGUGCUGGACACUGUUGCUCACAGUGAAAGGGGUAGGCAGUGAACUUCAGACGGUGUUAGGCAUCGCCAUUGUCAACAUGAGAAGGCAGCACAUCCUUUGCAAGAGGUGAUAGGCAUCGCCGUUGGCAACACGAGAAGGCAACACAUCCCUUGCGGUUGGUAAUAGCUUCUGGUGAGGCACAUGACGAUAGCUUCUCGUGAAGCACACGGUGAUAGGAAUGGGAUGAAAGAGAAGCCCAUGGACAGCGAUAGGCACCGAGCACGCGAAAGAAGCCUGCGCGUGGCGAUAGACACCGAGUGCACGAAAGAAGCAUGCGCGCGACGAUAGGCAUCGAGCACGCGAAAGAAGCCUGUGCACGGCGAUAGGCAUCGAGCGGGAAUAAAGCCUGCGAACGGCGAUUGGCAUUGUUGUGACCCUUCGCGGGAGGCGAUAGGCAUCACCAUCUACGAUAGUCGUGCAACAUGGUGUGACCCUUGCGGGCUGCAAUAGGCAUUGCCGUCUACGCUUAUGCGGGACGUCGAGGAUAUGCAUGCAGACGGCGAUGAGCAGUGCCGUCUGCAAACUUCUUUGAGAGAUAGAGAUGAAUGAAGAAAGGGAGAAAGAAGCUUGCGCAUGGCGCUGCCAUCACCAUGCAGGACCUGCGAAACCACGAGAAGGAAAAGAAAGAAAGAGGCAUGCACGACGCUGUCACUACCGUGCAUAGUGUCGGAGAAAAAAAACUCAGAUGAAAGAGAAAGAGAAGAAGAGAGAGAAGAGAGGAAAGAAGAGAAGAGAGAGAAAGAAGUUUACCUUAAGCUCAGGGGUGCUAACCCAAAAGUUUAUCUCUCCUUCCUUUCUCUCUCAUGACUUGACCCAACAAUGAGAAAAGAAUGAAAUUUUAGUAAGCAAAGUUUGAUCCUUGUACAAUGAGAGUACGUGAUAUAUAUAGAGUUUUGUCCAAACAUGAGUGGAUUGAUCAAUAUUAAACCUAAUUGCUAAAAAUUAAGAUUUAAUGGAAUUAAAUAAAAUAGGAAAUAGGGCGAAAAAUGACUGAUUUGUACCUUCUUAAUAAUUGGGGAAUUCCAAAACAGUCCCUGAUGCUGCCCUAGAAUGUGUGUAAUCUUUCAUGGAUGAUCUAAGGUUGCUCUGUUGUCCGUUUUUUUGAAAGAUGAUUGUUUUCUUUUAGGACUCGACGUGGCGAUCGAUUUGAAAUUUAGAUGAAUCUUGCAAACUUUGGAUUAAUCGUGUGCUCGUUUCUUGAUUUUUUUUUCUAUGAUUUCUUUGCUAGAUCACACUGAGCAUGCUGUCACAGUCACGUGGAAACAAACGUAGCUUGAUUUCGUGCCCGGACGAUGAUUUCACAACUUUUGAGUUUUGGUCGGAAUUUGGAAUUUUGGUGUCGAAAUUUGUAGCAACUUCAUCAGCUUCAUGUAAGAAAUCUGACUGUUUAUCAUGUACGGAGUUAAGAUCAGUGAUAACCAUGGACCUUACACACGCUAUGCAACUAGUUUUACGUUGAUCUGGCUCGCGAGCACCGUUAUUUGGCCGCUCGAGUGAGGCGUGUCGCUGCUGAUUUUCCUGCAAUUUUCUUUACGGAUCAGCAACUUCUCUCUAGAUUUUCUUCUUGUUUGGGCAUUGUCAUGGGGCGUGCCACAUAUCGAAACGCUCGUCUUGACGAGAAGAACACGCUCAAAAUAUUUAAGCAUUAUCCGACUUCAAACGAGUGAGAUAUAAGUAUCGUAAGUCACUGUUCAUGAUAGCCCCUUUAAUGGUGUUUAGUUGUAGGGUGGCCGUAGGGGAAUAGUGUGCAGCUCCUUUUGUUUUGGUCUGUUACCCAUAACAUUUUCCUGGAGUGUCUAUUUAAGCUGAAAUUUUACCCCUGGGGGUUUUCAACCGUGUUGGAUCCAAUGGCAGUGGUCCUAUAUCUUUUUGAUGUAUCGAAAAUAUAGUUCUAGUUACGGAAUCCAUUUCAGGGUGUUGAAGACUGAUUCUGUUGAAACUGUUUCUCAGUCUACACUGCCUUAAACAUGUCGGAAUAUGACGAAACUUGGCAAGAAACUUUUUGGAGUCUUUAUGAAGAUCUUGACCAGUUUUGGGUCCAUUAUGAGAUUGUGAAAAUUUUUAUUGUGUGUCAAGCUUCUCUUUUUUAUUCUAUAUCGGAGAUCCAUGGUGCUGAAAAUUUUCUUAAAACACUACCAUAUCCAAAAUGACAUUGAAAAUGGUGAGAUUGAUUUGGCUUAUAAUCCUGCAGACCCCAUGACAAAAGGAGGUGUUUUCCAUAGGCAUGAAACAAAAGGACACAUGGCAUGGCAUUCAGAGCGUAUGAUAAUUGAGAAAGAGUUAAUGAUGUGUGGGGCAUUUGCAUGAACAUCUGUCUAUUUAUAUGGUUAUCCAUGUGAGUGUAAAAGCAAAAGUAUUUCCCCAGAGCAAAGUGUUGCUCAUAUGUGUGCAUAGAGAGCAAAGUUUUGCUCAUAUAUAAACAUAAAGAGCAAAGUGUUGUUGGCAUAGAGAGAAAAGUGUUGCUUGAGAGCAAAGUCUUGCUUAUAUAUAUGUGUAUAAAGAGCAAAGUGUUGCUGGAAUGUGUGCAUUUCAAGGUUUGAGGGUUUUCUCUAGUCAGGGUUGGUAAGAAAGCACCUCAUGUGGGAUGAGCUUGGGCUUAUGAUAAGGGAUUAAUGGAUCUUGAGUUGUUUGUGACAUUUUUAUGUGUGCAAAGACCUAUGUGAGUAAACUCGGCUCUACGAGAACAUAAGCCCAAAUCCCUAAUAUAUUUGGUUUACUCAAAGCAUGUACAUAAGACAAUCACAAUUGAGAAAUGAGGAAAGUUCUACUGAACCAGAAUUGUGCACACGUGUAGAGAGAGGACUCUCACAUAUGUAAGAGCGCAUGUCCUGGAUUACAUCUGAAAUCCACUAAAAACUCAGGGAAUAGAUUAUCUAUUGGGUUAAAUUCGAUGAGUCCAAUCAUGUAUCUCGGUUCGAGACUCUAGAGCAUGGGACCAUUGGGUUAAUUUGAUUAAGUCGUUUGGGUUUCUAGAACUAGCCUAGUAGAGUACCAUGUAGCCCAACCUCUUAAAUGAUACUAAUUUCUCUAAUUCAAUUUCUUUGAAUUAUUAAACAGUGCCAUUGUGAUUGAAAAUGAUUAAAAAUAAUCUAUUAUGAUUUUCAAGAAUUUUUAAAAUUUUUAUUUUGAAAAAAAAUAAUUUAUUUAAAUUGUUGUGUGGAAAUUCUAAACAAGAACAAUCACAUGUGCGGCGUGUGGCAUGCUAGUGGCCAAUUUGUGCUACAGAUGCAACCCAUUGGAUUGUCAUGUCAUGUCAUGGACCUACAUGCAUGAUGUGGAUAGGCCUAGGCUAUUGGAUGCGAAUGACUAGUUUCGUUGGUGCACAUAUUUGUGUUGUGUAGUGUCACAUGUGUGGACCACAUGUGUAAGGGCAUGCGUGUGUGCGUGCAUGUGGUGUGCAUGUGGUGUGCAUGUGGUGUGCAUGAUAUUGAUAUUCAAAAUUAUAUAAAUGACAUGAACUUGACAAAUUAUGUGAUUUGAUGAUCAAAAAGAAUUUCGUGUGUGUUGUAUUGUGAUUGGUGGAGGAUACUUAGAGAGGGACACCUUAUGACAUGAAAUGGGUGCAUACCUCCUGUGUUAGUGACAUUUCAUAAACGUUGGAACGUGAAUCAAGUCUCAAUAUAAGAGAAAGGAGAAGAGUGUGUUGAUUUUUAAAUAGAGGGGUGAGAUCAAAUGUUUUUCAAAAUGAACGGUGAUAAGAUCGUUCAAAAUGAAAUUAGGGCUUCAACGGCAAUUGUAAUAGUAUGGGAAAAUUUGGAGGCGAUGUUAGGGCAUAUAGUGAUAAGGUGAUCAGAUCCAAACCUGGCAAUGAUAACAAAGUAUGGUGAUGGAAGGCUAGGUCUCUAGCCUCUCUCAACCCUUAGAUUGUUUAUUGGUUGGCCUAAAUUUAGUCUAACUUAAUGACUACACUUGAACUGCCUAUAAAAAGAGUACAAACCCUACCUCAUUAUUAUGAUCUCAUUUCAUUCAUGAGAAAGAGGAAGAGCUAGAGCACCCCACACUUCGAGAGGCCAUUUUGUGUAUUAACACUGAUUGAGGGUGUAUGUGUAAGAAAUGGCCCCCUAUCAUGGAACUCUAGCUUGGAGCAACAUCACAUUGUCCUCCUAUGCUUGUGUUUCUUUGGCUAUGGGUGUUUUUUGUUGAGGAUUGAUUUCUUGUUUUUUGAGGAAAUAUAUUUGCCGAUGUGGAGUUAAAAAGAUGACUUUGGAGGGUGUUAAAAGCUUGAAUGAGUCGUCUUGAUGGAUUGAGCUCCUAUGGGGGUUCGGGGGCGGUAGCCCCCGAGGAAAAAUUUGGAUCUAUUCUUACAUGGGAUUCGAUAUAUCCAAAACUUGAUAUAUAUAUAUAUUUGUACAAGGGUAUUUUCGAUAAUUUAUACCAUCUAUCUGAGACUCGAUAUAUAUCGUUGCACUAGGGGGUUUAUCCAAAGUUAAGGGUUAAGGGAAAAACACAGAUAUUAUUGUAAUUAGAUAAAAACAGAGAGGCGUGAGGAAGAGAGAGUAUUGUAACCCUAUUCUCUAUUGCUAGUAAAGAAGCUCUAAUCUCCCGUGGACGUAGGCACGUUGCCGAGCCACGUAUAUCUUUGCGUUGUGGUUGAUUGUCUAUUUCUUUUGUGUUUGUUUCUUUUUUCUUGUUUUUCGUUUAUAUAUAUAUAUAUAUAUAUAUAUAUUAUGAUGCUUCUGCCAAUUGUUAUGAUCUUAUCCUUGCUGUAAAACUGAGUCCCUCAAUCCAUAACAGUGAGUUUUGGAUGUCCUUUUUGAGGCCAAAGUUGCACUCUCUCCAUGUCCAUUUGUUGUUGCUCUCAUUGUUAUUCUUUUGGCCCAAGUUCUUAUGUAUUUGAUAAUGUGUUGGCAUGCAUAAGUAUGUCACAUUGUUUGGAUGCAUGCAUCUUUUGAUUAAAUAUAAGCCAUCCAUCUUGCGCUCUUGGUGGGAACAAUAACAAGGGAUGUAGUAAAUCCAUGGCCGUAAUCAUGGUUGUGUUGAGCAUCAAAUUGGCUUUCCAAGCUAUAUAAAAGUCAUGCACAUCUCAUUUUAUUUGUUUUGAUUUGAUUCAAUGUAUUUUGAAUAAAGGGUGAUGUAUUUGAGGAAGGUUCAUUAUCGUAAUUUCUAAUUGAAGUUCAUUAGUGGAAGUGGCUUGUAAUUUAGAAAGAAGUCCCAGAGAUCAACAGGGGCAAGGACAUGACUCCAUUAGUAGGGGCACCCCAUGAUCAAGGUAUUCCACCUAAUGGGACAUGAGUAAUGGAAGGCAAAAUAAUAGGGGUCGUUGAAGAGGUUGAGGCCUCGUCCGUCGAGCCCCAACACCACAAUGUGUAUAAGUACUACCGCAGUUGCUCUCCUUAUCUAAGGGUCUCAGCAACACUCGUGCACCAAAGAAGAUCAUGGAAUUAAUUCCUAAAUAAUGGCAGCCAAAGAUCUAAACAGAAAAAGACCAUUGGAAAAACGAGGAGUGAUCAACUGCUUAUUUCAAGAACCAAUUUAAGCAUUCAUGUCCGCUUAGGCUCAUACUCCAGGGGAUUGAAAGCCCUAAACAAUACCGUGAUGCACAAAAUUCACAAGGUUUUUAAAACUUAGUUUUUUCAAAAGCCAUACGAGCACUCUAGGAUUGAAGACCAUAUCUUAGUCCCAUAUCUCUGAAUCACGGUUAAAGCAAUAGCGGGAAGUAAGAGGUCGAUAGCUAUUACUGGGCUAGUGCAAGGCACCUUCUAAAGCACCUUGCCCACCCCAGUCCUUUAUAGUGCCACUGCACUAUGGAAAUUAAUUAAAAAAUUUGUUAAAAACUCCAAUCGAUCUAAAAUACAUUUAAAAUACACUACAGUUACGAAACAACAAAAAUCUUGUUAGAAAGGAAAUCCAAAUGAGCUUAGCCAUCCGAACAAGGCAUAGAAGGAUUAGGGUUGUAAGAGUGACUUCAAGUCUGAAAGAUACGAAGUUUGAGAGGAACAACUUAAAUAGGAUUAGUUGGAAAUUUAACAAUUACAGUGGAGGAAAUGUUGGAUAUAAAUCUAGGACAAAAGUAAUACGAGGAUAACCAAGAUUACGACCCCUCUACUACUUGGAGAACUGGAAAGAACACUGCAUUCUUGAGGAGAUACGGGACAUCCUCACCUAUUCUAUGUGACAUGUUACAACAAGCACCAUCGACCUUCAAGGAAGGGCAAGAAAACCCUAUCCACAAGUGACAUCCCUUGAAAUUGAUCAAGGGACCACCUGAAUUUCAAGAAAACUCAUCUUAGACCACCCAUAAGCCGAUCAACUGGGUGAACAUUCAGAAAAAAAACAAAGAAGAAAAAAAGAACAACGCUGGGCUAAAUACCCAAGUGGGACCCAUGCAGAAAGAAAAAAGCUGGGUUAAUCACCCUAGACGAAGCACGUACGAUGGAAAAAAAAAAGAUAAAAAAAAAAGAAGGUAGAACACCCGAGAGGCUUUUGUGCAAAAAAAAGCAAAGAAAAGAAAAAAAAUUUAAAAGAAUAAAAAAAAAAAAAAAAAAAAAAAAAAAAAGAAAGAAAGAAAAAGCACUGAAAUGAGUCAUUUGGAUCAUAAGGUAUCAUAAAUCAUGUUUCAUAUGCCCUUGGGUAUUUUGCACAAAAAUAUUUUUGACAACUUUUUAGACCCAUAAUCAUGUUUCUGUGAUAAAAAAAGAGGCGGCGUAAACAUGGGAACUCAAAGUCAAAUAAAAAGUUGGCUUAUCCAAAAUGUGACUUUGUCUAAGCAUGAGAGGAAGAAUACAAUAUAAUACAUAUGAUGAUAACACAAUAUUAUUAUUAAUGUUAAAAUAACUUAUAAUAGUGUAAGAAUAACAAAUACAAUUAAUUAUGCCAAAACACCCCUACAAAUUAGAGGAGAAACUAUCUCAAAUUUUAAGUUUUAGAUAGAGAAAUAUCUUAAAAUUUUAGUGAGAGAAAUUAUAUAAAGUUUGGUGAGACAAACUAUAUGAAAUUUUUAAGAGAGAGAGAAACUACUUCAAAUUUUUUGUAGAGAGAGGCUAUGUCAAACUUCAAGUUUUAGAGAGAGAAACUAUGUCAAAUUUUAGAGAGGAAUUGCUUGUAAUUUUUUAGAGAGAAAUAAUUUUAAAAUUUUUAGAGAGAAACUAUAUUAAGUUUUAAGUUUUAGAGACAAAAAUUAUCUUAAACUUUUAGAGAGCGAAACUAUAUCAAAUUUUAGAAAGAGAAACUAUCUCAAAUUUUAAAUUUUAGAGAGAAAAUGUAUUUUAAAAUUUUAGAAAGAGAAAGUAUCUUAAAAAUUUUAGAGAGAGAGAUCAAGAUUUCAGAAGAGAGAGAUUUCUCCUCUCUCUACAAAGAAGGGCAGGGGUUAAAGAAGCUUCCCGAGGAGGAAGAAUGCCCUUAACCCUCCACCUACCGCUGCUUUUAUAAGCAGCUCCGGAUAGCAAGCCCAUCGCAGAAACAUCUCAUAUCUCGAGAGGGCGAGGAGUCUAUCCACUAGCCCAUCCAAGGAUCUUCCACCUUUAAUGCGCUAUUUCAACAAUCUGCGAGACAAUCUCUCGUCCCUUCACCUCCCAAGCAUCACUUCUUCUGACCCCAGAUCAGUAUCCUAUCAUUUUUGACUUCCUGGCAAUGCCUUCCCUGUCUGCGGGCCCUCCAAUAAGAUGUUCCGCCUUCCUCCACCUCCCUGGGGACACUUCGCCUCCUCACAGAUCCAUUCCUCCUCCUAAACACAUGGGCCCAUCACCAAAACGACCCGCCUCUCUGGCGACACUUCGCCUCCUCACAGAAUUGUUCCGCCCUCCAAGUAUUGUUUUGACAAUCAACUGCUUAUAAAGAAAAGGGCCUCACUACGUUCCACGCAUACGCGCACGACGCUGCUCUGAUGUGCCUCCCUGCGCAAACAUGCAGCUAUGUCAUGCCUCCAUCUUCUUACAGCUCACUCACGGUAUCCAUGACCCCGGUGAGCCCUAUCCAAUGAUAACUCCUCUGUCUUGUGGGAGGGAGUCUCCCCAAGAAGGAGGAGGAAGCCGGGCAUGAUGAACAUCCAUUGAGAAUCAUCAUGAGUAAUAAAUAAUCUUCAAGUAGACAUAGCCACGAAGCUAUGGUUAAAAUUGCCAAAAACGAAAAAAUGGAUAUGGUGAAAACACGCAAGGGCGCCAUGAGUAAAAAUGAUGGGCGAGCAUGGCCAUGAAGCCAUGAGUAAAAGUGUCCCAAAAAAAAAGAAAACUGGGCUUGAUGAAAACCUGAAAGGGAGCCAUGAGUAAAAUUGGAAAUCAAAAGGCGAAUGUGACUGCAAAGUCACGGGUAAAAGAGCCUCCAUAAAAAGAAGAAGCUGAUAAAAACUAUUCUUAUGGCGCCAUUUCUAUCCAGGUUCGAACGGGCGCUUGGAUUAAGUAAACAGGUUGAUGCAGCCCUUGACAAAAAAUACGACUUCAACCAUUUACAACGAAGGAACACCACCAGCUAGAAAUGGGCAAAGCCCACCAAGGGAACCCACUAUUAAGGCCUCAGAGCCGAAGAACACCACUAGUUAGAUUGGGUCAAAGCCCACUAAGGGAACCCACUAGCAGGGCCGUAGAUCCAAAGAAUACCACCUGCUAGAUUGGGGCAAAGCCCACCAAGGGAACUCACUAACAAGGCCCCAGAGCCGAAGAACGCCACCAGCUACAUUGGGGCAAAGCCCACUAGCAAGGCCCUAGAGCCGAAGAACACCACCAGCUACAUUGGGGCAAAGCCCACUAGCCAGUCUCUAGAGCAGAAGAAUUCCACCAGCUAGAUUGAGUCAAAGCCAUUAAAGGGAAUCCACUAGCAAGAGCCAAGACAAAAUUUCCACAACCCUAGGGGUCAAAUACACCAAAGGCGCUCAGUGGAUACAAAUAAAGCCACUGAUGUGGGCUAAUGCCCUUAAUCAAGGCACCAACUCAAAGCCAAUAUUUCUCUCCAGCUAGACUGGUAAGCCCUUCAUGAGACCCUAUCAGCACGUUUCCCCAAAAAAUGAAUUCCAGUAGCAUUAGGAAGGAUGCCCUUAAGCAAGGCCCCCGAUCGCUAGAGUCCACUUUGGUCACCCCUUCAAAAGGAAUCUUAGCAUAAUCUCCCACUCAAAUAUUAUGCCAACGCUGGUGGUCGAGAAGAAAUUUUUUUUCUAAAAAAGAUAAAAAACAUGUAUUGGUAAGGAUUCAAAAGUUGAACUUCAACGAAAAAAUUGUAUUUCAAAUGUUGCACUUUACGUUUCUCUGGAAGCCCAGCAUUCCUCAAGGCAAGUUGUUAUAUGUUAUUUUUGACGUACUUAUAUCCCUAGUAUAAAUAAUAAGAAAGCCAGUAACCACCUGAUCCUGCCAUUACCCAAGACACCACCUGACCAUCGAAAACUUUUAGAGAGAUAGGUUACCAUUAGCCUAGGCACCCUUGCCUACCUCGUGGUUAACAUGCAUCAACUGUGCCUGGAGCAGACCUGCGGUCCAGUCCUUCUCUCUACACUCUUUCUCUCUUUCAUCGUGUGAUAGGUUUCGGAGCUCUGGCAACCGCAACCCCGUCUCUCGUUCCUCAUCUCUCUGUCUUUCGCCUCGCGAAGUAACUUGGACCUGCAGCAGACCUAUGGUCCCAUCUCCCUCUCCACACCUUUCUCUCUUUCGUCGUGUAAUAGAUUUUGGUGCCACAGCACUCGCAAUCCCGUCUCUCUUUCCGCGUCUCUCUCUCUUCCACCUCUUGUAGUAACUCGGAACCACAACAGAACCGUGGUCCCGUCUCCCUCUCUAGACCUUUCUCUCUUUCGUCGUGUGAUAGAUUUCGGAACCGUGGCACUUGUGACCCCGUCUCUCUAUUCGCAUCUCUCUCUCUUCCAUCUUGUGUAGUAACUUGGAACCGCAGCAGACCUGCGGUCCCGUCUCCCUCUUUAUGCCUUUCUCUCUUUCGUCCUAUGAUGGAUUUCGAUGUCACAUCACCAGUGACCCCGUCUCUCUUUCUGCGUCUCUCUCUCUUCUACCUCGCUUGGUAACUCCGAAUGGAAACAGACUUGCAGUCCCGUCUCCCUCUCUACGCCUUUUUCUCUUUGUCAUGUGAUAGAAUUCGAAGCCACGGCACCCGUGACCCCGUUUCUCUUUUCACGUCUCUCUCUCUUUGCCUCGCUUAGUAAUACGAAACCGCAGCAGACCCCGUGGUCUCGUCUUUCUCUUUAUACGUCUUUCUUUCUCUUUGCGUGAUAAGCUUUGGAACCUUAAAACCUGCAACCCCAUUUAGCUCUCAGUACCUUUCUCCUUGCAUCACGAUAUCUUCCAGAGUAGCCUCAAGAGUCUUAACGCUUGGAUCACCACUCUAACUUCUUCUCCGAAUAGUGGAGUUGAGUCACGAGAGAUACACAUGUUCUUGCGCUCCCUCACUUAGGUGGAUUUCUAACUCUUAGUUGCUCUGAUCGUCGAAGCUCAUAGCAUUUGCGCGAAUAGGGAGGUUCUUGUCUUUACUUCUCCCCACAUUCUUUCCUUUUCCAUCCAAUCCUUGUUCGAGUGAACUAGUAUAGAGGCAUAUUUUCGAGUUCAUAUUGCAAGUCGUGGAGAAAAGAGAAGAGGCGAUGCAUUAAAGUUUGAGGAGAGUUCGUAUCUAAACCGUGCUGGCAGACAACCAGAGACCUUCGUAAUUUUUCUAAGAGGGCGUCUGCCCGGGUGUAUACAUGAAUCCGCAAACGACGAAGUAAGCGCCUAAAACAAGUCCUCGUCGAAAUAUCUCUCUUGCUGUUGAUUCUUAUCGCAACAAAGAAGAGUGCACACUUACGUCUAAAACACAUCCUGUGCAUGCACCCCUCGCAGUUGUUUGAGCAAGGGUUUCCACUUACUGAAAAAACCAGGCCUCGACCAACUAUAUACUAUAAUAGUACAUAGCAAUAUAUUAUAUGAUAAUUUAUUAUAAUAUUUUAAUACAAGUUUAUAUUAUUAUGUAAGAUUAUAGUACUGUAGUAUUUUUGUUAUAAUAUUUCAAUAUAAAAUAAUUAAUCUACCAUAAUAUAUGAUUUGUACAUAAUAAUUACAUAUAAUAACUGUANNNNNNNNNNNNNNNNNNNNNNNNNNNNNNNNNNNNNNNNNNNNNNNNNNNNNNNNNNNNNNNNNNNNNNNNNNNNNNNNNNNNNNNNNNNNNNNNNNNNNNNNNNNNNNNNNNNNNNNNNNNNNNNNNNNNNNNNNNNNNNNNNNNNNNNNNNNNNNNNNNNNNNNNNNNNNNNNNNNNNNNNNNNNNNNNNNNNNNNNNNNNNNNNNNNNNNNNNNNNNNNNNNNNNNNNNNNNNNNNNNNNNNNNNNNNNNNNNNNNNNNNNNNNNNNNNNNNNNNNNNNNNNNNNNNNNNNNNNNNNNNNNNNNNNNNNNNNNNNNNNNNNNNNNNNNNNNNNNNNNNNNNNNNNNNNNNNNNNNNNNNNNNNNNNNNNNNNNNNNNNNNNNNNNNNNNNNNNNNNNNNNNNNNNNNNNNNNNNNNNNNNNNNNNNNNNNNNNNNNNNNNNNNNNNNNNNNNNNNNNNNNNNNNNNNNNNNNNNNNNNNNNNNNNNNNNNNNNNNNNNNNNNNNNNNNNNNNNNNNNNNNNNNNNNNNNNNNNNNNNNNNNNNNNNNNNNNNNNNNNNNNNNNNNNNNNNNNNNNNNNNNNNNNNNNNNNNNNNNNNNNNNNNNNNNNNNNNNNNNNNNNNNNNNNNNNNNNNNNNNNNNNNNNNNNNNNNNNNNNNNNNNNNNNNNNNNNNNNNNNNNNNNNNNNNNNNNNNNNNNNNNNNNNNNNNNNNNNNNNNNNNNNNNNNNNNNNNNNNNNNNNNNNNNNNNNNNNNNNNNNNNNNNNNNNNNNNNNNNNNNNNNNAAUUAUUUUAUUUUUUAUGAAGACCAAAACAAACUAUUCUAAAAACACAAUUUAAAAGUUAACUCAUAAACUUUCUUUCUGGAAAUUAAAAAAGAGGGGAAUAAUAACUCAGAAGACAGGAAAAUUUCCGGGUAGAGGCGAAUUUUCGUAGAAAAGCAUGACACUUGCUUAGCCACGCAUGACCAUAGUUAGCAAGUCGUGGAAUAAUAAAAUAUCGGCAGACCAAAACAUAAGUAAUAAGUUUUAUUUCGAAAAGAAAAAUUGGUCAAAAAUAUGGAUCGCCAAAAAAUAAAGUUAUAGGAUCGUGAAUAUGUUUUAUAUUUGGUCCAACAAAACAUAGUGAAAAAAUUGGAUGUGUGAAGAUGAUACAAUAUAUGGAUAUGAUUUGCCACUAUUGUAUAGAUAUAUUAAAACUGUUAAACAAUAAUUUUAUAACCUUACUAGUGUCAUUAGAGAAAUAUUGGACAAUUUUUAGUUGAUACUUUCAAUAAAUCCAGCAAAAAUGUUUAUUUUAUUGUCACUACAUAAAACAUGUCAUAGAUUUAUUAGGAACAUAGAUUGUAGCAAUAACAACAAUGUUAAACACAAGAACUAAUUGGCAAAUACCAAGAAUUGUGAACUAAUGUAUAGGAUUAUUUUUCAAAGACAAAAAACAAAAAAGCCCUUAAUAAAGCGUUGGAGUUAACUAAAAGAAAACUCAAAGACCCAAAUAUGUAAAAUGUGGUCCAUUCAAAAUACUAUGUUAUCAACACCAAUGAUAUAAAAAAUAAAAUAUGAAAUUAAUCAAACUUCUCUAUGCAUAAAAAAAGCAACAAAAUUCUUAAACAAAUUUAAAUCUCGCACUGAACUCCUAGCUACUUAAAUCUUUGGUAUCAGUGAAUCUCUCUCUUGCUCUUUAUAAAGACGCUAUAGGUUUAAAGAAAAAAAGAAUAAACCUUUUUCAUUGCGUUGCUCUACCUAUUAUUUUGAGAUAUACGAUCAUUUUGAUCACUUGUUUUGAGGAAUAUUGCUUGUAUUUUUUUUGUACACUUUUUUAAGAAAACUAAUUGGUGAAAUUUUUGAUGGAAGUUAUUGUUAAAUCACGAUUUUUAAUUUGCUUCAACUGUUAACGUACUUAUCUUUAAAUCAAAGUUCAAUAGUAUUAGGUUAAUAAAGAAACAAAGGUAUAGCGAAAAAACAUGAUUUUUUGAAGAUCUUUUGAAAAAUUCGAAGUUUAAAAAACCAAAUAUUUUUUGAAAAAAUCGAGUCUUAAAUGAAACGUUUAUGCGCAUGACUGAGCCAGCCUCACGCUACCCAAGGCUUCUUAGAAUAAUCCCAGGCAUAAAGUGGCAAGCGAGUGUGUCUAACUCUCACAACCCUUGAUGACCGCACGUGCGUGCAAUGCAGUGAGCAAUUCGAUGUCGUCGUCGAGUGUAUCUCUACAUUCCCAGUAACGUUAUCUGUUUCUUUUUUUUCUUUUUUUUUUUUCCCGACAAGAUUACAAACUUUUAGUAAUCUAACUAGAUUAAAUCUAAUAUAGGAAACUCCAAGGAAUAGACCCCACCUUAGCCAAACUAUCAACUAUCCCAUUUUGCCUCCCUAUAAACAUAAUUGAAACGGAUUUUUUUAUUUUGAAAAAUGUCCAUGAUCUCCAUCCAAAUACUUUUCCUGUUUAUGGAGCCCUACUCACACUAUCGUACCAAUUUAUAACAUUGAGAGAGUCUCUCUCCACCAAACAAUAAAUUUCAUGACAUCUCUCUAAAACAAGUUCCACAAAACCACCAAUUAUUCUACCUUAUUAGCUGAAGCUAAACCACAUGAACCACAAUGGCAAAAGUACCCUUUGUUCUCGAAGGUUUAAAUAAGUUUUGGGUAAUGUAUUUGAUAAUCUGCUGGAAUUUUAAGGAAAUUUUAGGUACCUAUGUUUGCAUACAUUGUAUUCAUAAUAUAGAUAAAAUAAAUAUAUUAUAUAAACAUAUGAUAUAACGUAAAUAUAUUACAAUAUAAAUAUAUAAUAUAUACUACAUAAUAGAAAAUAUAUAAUAUAUAAUAUAAAAUAUAAAAUAUAAAAUAUAAAAUAUAUAAUAUAGAGUAUAUAAUAUAAUAUAAUAGUUAAUGAAUAUAUUUAUAAAUGUAUUAUAAUAUAAAUAAAUAUUAUAAUGUAAAUAUUCUAUAUUAUAAUAUUUAAUGUAUAAUAUAUAAAACAAUAUAAUAUAUAGUAUAAUGUAUUCUAUAUUUAUUUUACUAAUGUAUAUUUGUAUUAUAUAAUAUAUGCUGUAAUAUUUAUNNNNNNNNNNNNNNNNNNNNAUCUCUCUCUCUCUCUCUGUGUGUGUGUGUGUGUGUGUGUGAAAAAUGAUCUUAUGAGCCAAUGGGCUCACAAGAAAAAAUGGACCCAACGAUCCAGAUUGAAUCUUGGCUGAUCUGAUGAUCACGGAUAUCUGGUAGUGUUUGAAUUUUAAUUUUUUUUCUACAAAUCUAUAUCACUUGAAAUUUUAGGACGUCGAGAGACGCCCGAGGGCACUAAACCACCGCCAUUGUACUCAGGAUGUCGAGAAACCCUUGAGGACCAAAUUUGAGCUCAAUCGGACCUCCCUAGAGGGGCCUACACUCAAGUGGCCUUGCAACUCAUGAGUUUUACCAUAGCACGGUGUGACUUCACUAAACUAGUCCCGUAAACGGGGACUGCAACAAUGUUUUCUGGCAGCGACUUCGCCAACCUACAACACCUUUCUCUGAAACUAGAUGGAGCUCAAACAUUGUCAUGUUUUGGAUCACGCCAGCCCCAUCAUUUUGACUUAUGGGACACACUGGGGCGUGACCGAGAACCCUCAUACCUCUAAAGAGGAAAGUGACCGGAGAAACCAAGAAAAAACGGGGUCAACAAACUCUGGAUUCGGUGAAGCAUAACUCAAUGUCCAAGCCUUGGAUUAACGCGGGGAGGAGUUCAAUAGAAUCACCUCACAAAGAGCUACAUUCUGAUACAACUCUUGCAUUCAAUCUGUCGUUCGAUGAAAGCAAGUCCCCAAGUCGCCAAAGAAGCAAAUCCAGCCAGUUGUCGGAAUCCCUUUCUUCGGCAACCUUCCAAAUUAGUAAAAUACGAAAAUCGACACCAAAUCAGCCCAAAGUUGGCACAAAACAAUUGCAACAGCCUCCUCUCUGACUUGCAGGCAGAGCCAAGAGCUAAAACGACACAGCUCGAAGAUGCAUUGGUAAACAAAGUUCACAAAACUGGUAGGACUUUCAUCCAAGGGGAAAAGGCCACUACGACACGAUUAAAGGGCAUCAAAAUGCUCACAAUCGAGAUAAGAAAGAAGAUAUGUUACUGAAAUAGCUGAACAGUUGCAACAAAUUGCAAGAACAACUUCCUAGGUCAUCUCAUGGUGGAGCAACCUGCAUGCAGUGAUGGUCAUGUCAUUGGAGCAAAAGAUCAUAGGGGCAUUUUUGUCAUUUGUGCCUAAUUUUUGGGUUUAUUUUGAACUUCUUUAAUUGUAUUUAAGCUUGACUUUUGAGCAUCCACCAUCGUUUGGUGAAUCCUCUAUAAAAGCAAGCUUAACUCCGUUGUAAAAUACCCCCUUUUUGGAAGCUCCAAUACCCCUAAAGGCCGGGAAAAAUCGAGGCUAGAUUUUGCUUGUUAGCUUGUCUUUCUUUGUGAGCCCUUAGUCUCUGAGGGAGAGGAGAGGGAGAGAGAAAAAUUUCAGAGAAAAGGGAUACUCCUGAGUGCGCAGUCCCGAGGGCAACCAGGUCACCCUACAUCUCCUAAGAUGAGUCGUUCCUUAUCUCUCUUUCUCUCUUUCUCUCUCACCUCCUCGCACGCGACCCUACCCGCAAGGCAGCCCAUGUCCAUCCACAAACCCAUGAAUGUGAGGAAACCUACAGGCCUCAUCCCUCGAGUUUGUCUACGCCCCCCCUUUAGCAGUCAGCAGAUCCCUUCCAAAAGGGUGACUAAAGUGGAGGGACAUUCGGAUCCCACCCCGUUGUAAGCUUGAGUUGGGCUCCCAUCCAAACCAUGCUGACAAACAUCCGUAGCACUUUGUAAUUGCUCUAAGAGGGCCAUUUGCCCAGGCGUGUCCCCUAACCCCAAAAGUGGUGUAAGAGCAUGCGCGCUCCAGUCGUAAAUAUCUCUCUCACCGUCGGCUUCCUAUCCACUAGCAAGAGGGCUCGUGCAUGAGUCACGUGCCAGAUCUCUGCGGUUGUUCAAGAGAGGGUUUCCGCCUUCCCACCAGGAGGGAAACCAGGACCCCACUGACAUCAACUGACGACUCCACUAGGGACAUGUCACCUUAUCAUUGGCUCUAGCCGUCUCCAAGUAUCAACCUCUCUUUCUCCUCUUUUCACUUUUGCUAUGGGAUCUGCUUAUCACUCCUUUCUCCGGGUCGGGGGGUUCUACAUCCCCAUACCUAUGGCUAGUCAUGGGGAUGCUCGACAAUUUGGUCCUCCCUCCCUUGCGUGCCCUCUAUGCGGCCAUGCUGGCCCAGCCAUCCCCGCCUCGAUUAGGAAAGUUCGGGACACGUACCCUCAGGCCCCUCACCCCUCCUCUUUCGGCAUCGGGGGGGGGGGGUACCCCUUUAUGCCCACUGCGCGGGUGAAUAUAUUGUUGCCCCCUCACUAAAGCACCCUGUUGCUGAUGGACACCCCGUCAGCGGCACCCAAAAUGGCCCAUAUGCCACCACUCCUGCUCACUUGAUUGGUCCUAAUGGGACUAUCGUCAAUGUAGACAGUCGAAAGGCGACCCCUUUUGCAUCACAUAGGGGCGUCGUCAACACUGGUACCCCUACGCACAUACCACUAGUUAGGCGCCUCGAUCUUGCCCCCAGUGGUGGCACGUGCCACGGGUUUCAAGAGACCUCGGGACUUGAGACCGCUCUCUCAAGAAACUUGUUACAAAACAAGGGCAGGUACACCAACGAUGAGAGAGGAAUUUAGUGUGAGGUGGGACACACCUCACUUGGGUCCGUGACUCCCUCGAGCUAACUGCCUCGGGCGCCCUCUUAGAUCAUGUCCGAAAGCCCCCAGUCCUACAACUGGUUUGAACUCACCUCCCUUGACUUGUAGUCUCCUAUUUCUAUAAUCACACACACACGGUUAAUUUACAAGACAAACGGGCCGAGGGACCCCACCUUGUCUUUGGGCGAAGGCACACAAGCGUGUGCAUUCAAGGAAGAAAGGGAAGGAAUGAGAUGAAGAUUGGGGUGAUAAAAGGAGAAUGGAAAAAUAGAGUAAAGGGAAGAGAAUAAAAGAAAGAGAAAUCUAAGCAGGUGGUUAGACUGACAUAGUAGCUAGAACAGUAUAGUGAUUGACCUGGCGUGGUAGCAAGAUGGACACGGUAACUCAGACUGGAACGAUGAAAAUACUACUCAACAAUAAGACCAAUGUCGACCAGUCUGGAACAAUGGCUAACCUGUCAUGGCAGCAAGAAGGGCAUGGUAACUUAGACCGGCACGACGACAGUACUGCUCGAUGAAAGGACUACCAUGACAGUGCUAGUCUCAGCGUCCCUUAGUGAAACGCAAGAGGAAGAAAUGAAGAAGAUAGGAGGAGGAAAAGAGAAAAGAGAAGAGAGAAGAGACAAAAAAGAGAAGAGAGAAGAGACAGAAAAGAGUAGAGAGGAAGAGAGAAGGAGGAGAAAGAAAAGAGAGAUGAGAAAAAAAUAAGAUUGGUGGAAGAGAGAGAAAGAAAAGAGAGAUGAGAAAGAAGCGAGAUUGGAGGAAGAGAGAAAGAAGAGAGAGAAGAAAAGGAGAGAGAAAGAAGAAAGAGAGAGAAGNNNNNNNNNNNNNNNNNNNNNNNNNNNNNNNNNNNNNNNNNNNNNNNNNNNNNNNNNNNNNNNNNNNNNNNNNNNNNNNNNNNNNNNNNNNNNNNNNNNNNNNNNNNNNNNNNNNNNNNNNNNNNNNNNNNNNNNNNNNNNNNNNNNNNNNNNNNNNNNNNNNNNNNNNNNNNNNNNNNNNNNNNNNNNNNNNNNNNNNNNNNNNNNNNNNNNNNNNNNNNNNNNNNNNNNNNNNNNNNNNNNNNNNNNNNNNNNNNNNNNNNNNNNNNNNNNNNNNNNNNNNNNNNNNNNNNNNNNNNNNNNNNNNNNNNNNNNNNNNNNNNNNNNNNNNNNNNNNNNNNNNNNNNNNNNNNNNNNNNNNNNNNNNNNNNNNNNNNNNNNNNNNNNNNNNNNNNNNNNNNNNNNNNNNNNNNNNNNNNNNNNNNNNNNNNNNNNNNNNNNNNNNNNNNNNNNNNNNNNNNNNNNNNNNNNNNNNNNNNNNNNNNNNNNNNNNNNNNNNNNNNNNNNNNNNNNNNNNNNNNNNNNNNNNNNNNNNNNNNNNNNNNNNNNNNNNNNNNNNNNNNNNNNNNNNNNNNNNNNNNNNNNNNNNNNNNNNNNNNNNNNNNNNNNNNNNNNNNNNAGAGAGAAGAGAGAGAGAAGAAGAGAGAGANAAGAAAGAGAGAGGAGGAAAGAAGAAAGAGAAGGAAGAAGAAAGAAGGGUAAGAAGCAUGGAUGGCGAUGGGGUUUUGCCAUCCAUGACAGAGGAGAGAGAAGAAAAGCAGAAGCAUGGAUGGCGAUGGGUCCUGCCGUCCAUGGCAGAGGAGAGAGAGGAUAAGAAAAAACAUGGAGGGCGAUAGGUUCCGCCAUCCAUGACAAGAAAGAGAGAGAGAGAAUGUGGAUAGCGAUAGGUCCCGCCGUCCAUGACGAGAGAGAAAGAGUAAACAUGGACGGCGAUAGGCCCCACCAUCCAUGACAGGAGAGAGAGAAAGAGAGAACAUGGACAGUGAUAGGUUCUACCGUCCAUGACGAGAGAGACAAAGACAAAACAUGGACGGCGAUAGGUCCCGCCAUCCAUGAUAGGAGAGAGAAAGAGAGAACAUGAACGACGAUAGGUUCCACCGUCCAUGACGAGAGGAAGAAGGAAAGAGAAAAAAUAGACGGCGUUUGGUUUUACUGUCCAUGACGAGAGAGAAAGAGUCAGGAGAGAGAAAAGAAAAGACACGCAUGGCGAUAGGCAUUGCCUGUGUGUCGAUAAGGACCCUGACAUGACCCAGCCUGCCACUAGGGAAAGGGCCCAAUUCAAUGUCAUUGUUAGGGAAUAGGGGAAGAAAUGUCGCGCACGACAAUCGACAUCGCCGUGUAAGACAGAAGAGAGAAGGAACUCAAAUAAAGGCCCGGCUCACUAUGCAUGUUCCAGAGAUAAGAAAAGAUGGUGGACGUCAUGCUCGAUGAUGGGCAUCAUCGUGCAUGACAAAAGGGAGAAGGAACUCAAACAGAGGCCCAGCCUGCCACUCAGGUUAAGGCUCGACUCCCUGUGUAUGUUCUAAAGAUAAAAAAAGAAUGUGAAUGUCAUGCUCAAUGAUGGGCAUCACCGUACAUGACUGGAGAGGAGAGAGAACAGAAAGAAUAAAGAGAAAGAAGGAAUGAUAGAGAAGAGAGAGAAAGAGAGAUAGAGAAGAGGACAUGGAAAGAAGAAGAUUGAGAAAGAGAGAGGAUGGGAGAAGAAAGAGAAGAGAGAGAAAAGAAGAAAGUAGGGAAAGAGAGACAUGCACGAUAAUGCUUACUGCCAUGUAUGAUGAGAGUGAAGAGAGAGGCAGAAAGAAGAAGAGAGAGAAAGACAUAAGAAGAGAGAGAAAGGACGCACAGAGAUGGUUACUGUCGUGUGUGUUUGAGGCAAGGAGCAGAGAGAAGAAAAAGAAGAGAGAGAAACAAAGAAGAGUAAAGAGAAGAGAUGAAUAAGAGAGAGAAAAGAAGAGGAGAGAGAAAGUUACCUUCACUGUGGGGAACUAGCCUUUUCUUCUCUCUCCUCUCUCUCUCUCUUGGACGUGCCCACAAUUUCAAUGGAAAACUCUCAAAUCUUAUUCAUGAGAUUGAAGCCUUUUACAAAUAGGUUUAGCAUGUAUUUAUAGACUUGGGCCCAAAACAUGGGUGGAUGCCCAAAACCUGACAUAAUUGAUGAUAAUUAAAAUUUAUUUGAAUUACUAUAAAAUCUAAAAAUAGGGGAAAAAUGACAGUUUUGCCCCUUUUCAACAAUUCACAAAAUUCCAAAAUAGUCCCUGUUGCUGCCCUAGAAUGUGUGUGAUUUUCUAUGGAUGAUUCUAGGUUGCUCCGAAACCCAUUUACUUUCUCAUUGGGCUCGGUGUAUUUGGUACCAACUUCGAGCCACGAUCGUGUGACUUGAAGUUUGUAUGAAUCUUGAAAACUUCUGUUCGAUAGUGCGCUCGUUUCAUGAUGUAUUUCUUUUAUUUUUUUGCUGAAUUGCACUGAGCAUGCUGUCAUGAUUGCGUUGCAACAAACGCAGCUCGAUUUUGUGCCCGGGUGAAGAUUUUGCCAUCUUGGGUUUUUGGUCGGAUCUUGAAUUUCGGCGGCAGGAAUUUACAGUAACUUUAUCAGCUUUGCACGUGAAACCCAAUCAUUCAUCAUGUGCGAGGUUUGGCCUUGAUGUAGCCUCAGACAUUAAGCAUGCAAUGGAACUGGUCUCGCGUUGAUCCGUUGUACGAGCGCCGUGACACGACUGCUUGAGCGAGACGCAUCGCUGCUAAAUUUCUUGCAACUUUUGCCACGAAUUGUCAUCUUUUCUCUAGAUUUUUUCCCUGCUCGGGUAUCGUCAUGGGCCGUGCCAUAUAUCAAGACGCUCGUCUUGACAAGACGAACGUACUUGCAAACUUUGAGCACCAUCCGACUCAAAUCUAGUAAGAUAUGAAUCUCCAAAGUUGUUGCUCACGACUGUGCAAUCCUGUCUCCUUCAAUGGAGAUUGGUGUAGGGAGGCUGCACGGGAAUAGCAAGUGGCCGACCUCUUUUUAAUGUUUUACCCAUAACUUUGUCUUGAAAUGUCUAUUUAGGCCGAAAAUUGAUCCCUAUGGGUUUUUGACCUUGUCAGAUCCAAUGGCGAUAGUCCCACAACCAUUUGAUGCACUAAAAAUAGUAUUCUAGUUAUGGGGUCCAUUUCAGGGUGCUAAAGGUAGAUUUUUUUGAAAUUUUUUCUUUGUCUGCACUGCCUUAGAUAUGUCGGAUUGCGAUGAAACUUGACAGGUGGCCUUUUGAAGUCUUUAGGAACAUCUUCACCCAUUCUGGAGCAAUUCUGAGACCGUCAGGAAUUCAACUGUAAGUAGGGCUUUAUUGAUCGACUUCUCUUUUAUUCUGCAUCGAGGACUCAAGGUGCUGAAGAAUGUGUUCAAACAGCUUACCUGGCCGGUUGUUGUGCUUCGAUAGAAACGAGAAGGACAACAUUCAAAAAAUUUCCUCGGCUUUAUUAUUUUUUCUUCCUAACCACAGGACCACGUGAACACCGAGGAGAUAUCCACGCAUUGUUGUAACUAGGAUGCUCAGACGUUUGGAUGCAUUUGUCGCAGGUCUUUGCAUGGAGACUUUGGGGGAGAAGAGACUUGAGCUACUGGUUGGGGACAUCUCAUUGAAUGCCCAUCAUCCACGUCAGGAGCCCUUGUUUUUGUUGCUGGUGGGGGACAUCUCAUGGAAUGCCCAUCAUCCAUGCCAGGAGCUCUUCUUGGGUUCCGAUAGCUGGGGCUUUCAAAAGCUUGUAGACCCAGUUGGUCAGAAUCUAAGCAUGUUUGGCAGUUGGGUGCCUUGCUUAAGGGAUUUUGUAAGGACCACAAAUUGUUUUUCCCCUAGUCCAGUGACGCGCACAACAAGGGAGAGUGAGACAGAGGCCUAGCGCAGUUUUGAGCAACACCCGCUUUGUAAGAGAAGAGGUAGCGCCGACUGUGUAAGGGAAACGUAGUGCUGGCUGUGUAAGGAAAACCCAGCAUUGGCUAUGUUAGAGAAGAGGUAACACCGGCUGUGUAAACGAAACCCAGCGCCGGCUGUGUAAGAUAAGAGGUAGUACCGGCUGUGUAAAGGAAACCCAGUGCAGACUGUGUAAGAAAAGAGAUAGCACCGGCUGUGUAAGGGAGACGCAGCACUGGCUGUGUAAAAGACCCAUCACCGUCUAUGGAUUCAGGACCUAGCACCGACUGAGAAAGAGAGAGAGAGAAGAGCUUUACCAUGCAUGCGAGAGGCAACGCCGCGCAUGGAGGGUCAGCACCGGCUGUGUAAGUAAGCAUCACUGGCUAUGGCAAGGGGCAUCAUCGCAAGUGAAACUUGAGCAUUGCCUUGUGUGUUUGGUCAAAUCGUAUAGCUGUCACCUGUCAGCGCCGCUCCAUACGUGUCAGAGCCACGUGCGAUUGCGUCAACUACAGUGUUUUCCAACCACCCUCUCUUUUUUAAGCCUUUUGCUCCCUUGGGCAGCACCGUCUCACCAACUUUCUCAACUUUUCUUGAAGUUCACUGCUGCUCCUUGAAGACAGCCCACUGGUGGCGUUAAGAAAAGCCCGUGAAGGUAGUGAGUGGGGAUUUGAGAUACCGUGGGAGUUUAAGGUAAGUGGGUUUAGUUUCUAUGCAUCCAUGGUUUUUGGAAAGAACAAAUAUUUAGAAUGGGUAAGAUGAUAGAAUGAAAAUGCAAAGUGAAAAUGAGAAGUAUGAACGGGUUAAGAUGAGGUUGAAAUUUCAGAUUUGUACUUCUAAAUGCUAUGACUGUUCUUACCACAUCUAUGAUUUGUUAAUCGUGUAAACUCAUGAAAUUGAUCACUGUGAGACUCCUUAUCAUGAACAAGGCUCCAAGCCCAAAGUGUAGCUGGGCCAGGAAAUAUUAAGUGUUCCUUAAAAGCAUGUUAACUUGAGAAUAAUAAUUUUUAGAACUUUGAUUGUUUUUGUAUCAAAAUGGUCGAUGGCCAAAUGGCAUCCAAAUGGGACCAAAUAGGUUUCAAUUGAAAGACAUAUAUGUCUACUCCAAGUUUCCUUUUAUAUCAUGAGAAAUUAUGUAUGGACCAAAAGAUGUGGUAUUAGAUGUCGAGCUCGCAGUCGCUGCUAAUUCCAGCAGCCAUGGCCCCCUUUUGGCCGUGGUUUUGACCUAGGAAAUGGUGUCAAAAAACCUUUAAAUUGCCACCAUUGGAAAGGUCUAUGAAUGUACUCAAAUUUACAUGUUUUGAGGUUUUUGAAAUUCCCCAUGGAUUUUGAAUUAUGCCUGAGAUGCACGAACAUAGCACCGCACACUGUUGCGGAGUAAAUUUCCAGCAACUAAUGCUCACCUUGCACUGAGCUAUAGAUCCAUCGAAUGACACCCAAAUUCUUUCAAAUUACAGUCUUUGUAAUGAUUUGGGGCGAAGCUCAAAGUCUUAUGUUUGAGAGAUUCUGAAACUCCCUCUAGAUUGGGAGCUACGCCCUCGCAAGAGGGGCAUGUCACUGCACCAGUUUUAUAUCCAUGCGACACUAAGCUUUCUUGAUAUGUGAUAAAUGUGAAUACCAUAUGAUGAAUUUCAUGUGAAUGCCAUAAAGGUAUGUGAAUGACGUCUUAUGACUGCACUAUAUGAGAAAAAGGGGCCACGGGCACAAUAGUGACGAAAUGAAUUCAUAAUGACUGCCAAAUUCUGCUGCGAAGGCUUAAGUGUAAAUGCCCCUUGAAAGCAUAUGGGAUAAACAUAUUUUGCUAACUUCUAUGAUGUUAUGAUGAAAUAAGAUUCAUCUGUAUGAGACAUUCACUGAUGUGAAUAAAUUGAAUGCUUGAACACAAUGAAUGGCCACUGUUUAUAUUGAUAUUGACCACUACGUGGUGGGACACUCAUCGGUAGUAGAUACUGUUAUGACAUUAUGAUGAAUGACCACUGUUUAUAUUAAUAUUGACCACUACGCAGUGGGACACUCACCGAUAGUGGAUACUGUUAUGACAUUGUGAUAAAUGACCACUGUUUAUAUUAAUAUUGACCAUUACGUGGUGGGACACUCACCAGUAGUGGAUAUUGUAAUGAUAUCGUCUGCUACGCAAUGGGACACUCAUCGGUAGUAAGGAAAGUGACGCCGGCAUAUCCCCUAACCUGCAUAAUAAUAGGAACGGGUUAAGGGAGAGGAUAGAGGGUUGCACCCUAGAUUCAUGAAAUGAAAUUGAAAUGAUUGAUGCCUUGCAAGGUAAGGGCCUAUCGAACCCCCAAUACGCGCUAGCGACUGUGUGAGUGUGUUAAGCGUAUUACGAAGUGGAUUACCCCACUUCUCAUUACCCUCCCUCCUGUAGGAUGGUAGAGGUCUUAAGCAAUGGGAUUGGCUUAGCCUAAUGGAUAGGGCCUCUACUGCGAGAGUAGGUGAUUUAGGGAGUGAGUGGGUAAUGAUUGAAUUUUUUAUUAAGGAAUGUUUGGGAGUGCACUGAUUGAAUGUAAAUGAUUUCGCUGAUUGAAUGCUCAUGAUCUCACUGAUUUAGUGAUAACUGUUAUUUAAAUGAAAUGUUCAUACUUGUUGUCUCGAUCUAAUAUUCAUAUGUGCUAAACUAUGAUUUUAUAUUGAUGGAUCGAACUGUUAUCACACACAGAUAAAAUCACUAUAGAUGCAUAACACUAGAUCUACUUAUUGGGCUGUACAACUCAUUCCAUUAUUUCUCCUUUCCUUGUAGAUUGAUAGCGACAUGUUAAGGGCUUGGAACUCGUGUUUUGUGGAGGGAAGUUGAAGGAAUCGAUGCCAACCCAGUCUACCCCUACACCAGAGCAGAAUGACAGUAGCCUCAUGGAGAGGUUUAGGAGAAUGGUACCCCCAACCUUUUUGGAGCUUGGAGGGGUGGAGAAGGCUAAGAGGUGGAAGAAACAAAUGGAGAAUAUUUUAGAGGUGUUACACUGGUCAGGCUAGGGGCCUUUAUGCUGGAAGGGGAAGCAAAGUACUGGUGGGACUCGGUGAAGCAAACUUGGAGGGAGAUAGGGACCGAGUUCACUUGGUAAAACUUCUUGGCAUCAUUUGAUAAGAAGUACUUCCCCGACUCAGUCAAGGAAGGAAGUGGAAUUUAUUGAACUCCAACAAGGGGGUAUGACAGAUGAACAAUACGCCGCCCGGUUUGUAGAGCUCUCUUGGUAUGCGCCCCACAUCAUAAAUACCGAGGCACGAAAGGCGGCUAAAUUUGAAAGGGACUUACGACCGGAUAUCAGGAGUAGACUAAUGUUGGCCAAUAUAAAGUCGUACGUCCUGAUGGUAGACCAUGCCCUGAAGAUGGAAAAAGACUGCGAGGAUCGCAUGUUAAGGAAGGAAGGAAAAAUGAAAGCAGUUCUGUUGGGGAAGUUUGAGAAGAAAUCCCGGCAGUUUUUGAGGAGAAAAGCUAGAGGGAAGUCCUACCGACCUAACCCGAGGAUCCCUAAGAGUCUUCAAGGCAAUAUGGAUAUUGACCGACGCCUGAUUCGCACUUAUUGUGGGAGAAACAACCACACUGUCGUGGAAUGCUACUGAAAGAAAAAUGUAUGUUUGAAAUGUGGCAAGCCUGGCCACUGGAAGAAGGACAGCCCUAUGAUGAAGGCCGAGGAUUGCCCAAAGACCCAAGGACAAGUGUUCACACUCACUAAACAAGAGGCCAAGGCAUCCACCUCGGUGAUCAGAGGUAUGCUCUCAACUUGUGAUGUUAAUGCUAAAGUUUUAAUUGACCCUGGUUCCUCUCAGUCAUUUGUUGCACCCCAUUUUCCCUGUUACAUGAAUGUUGCACCUGCAUAUCUCAACUAUACUUUAGUAGCAUGCACGCUUCUGGGAGGCUCUAUAGAAGCUGAUAGAGUAUAUAGGCAGUGUAGGCUUACGAUCGAUGGGUGCGACCUACUUGUGGAACUAAUCCACUUAGAUAUUCAAGACUUUGAUGUGAUUCUAGGCAUUGAUUGGUUGUUUACACACCAUGCCACCGUCAACUACCAUGAAAAGACGGUAACCUUUAAAUAUCUCGAUCAAGCAGAAAUAUACUUUAGGGGCAUUAGGGACAAUUCCCCACUACACCUCAUCUCUGCCCUCCGAGCCUCUUGCCUUCUGGCUAAGAAGUGUGAAGGGUACCUAGCUUAUGUGGUUGAGAAUCGGGGUGUUCAGACCCUCUUAGAAGGAAUACUAGUAGUAGAAGAAUACUCGAACGUGUUUCCAGAGGAGUUGUCAUCCCUACCUCCAGAAAGAGAAAUUGAAUUUGAGAUAUACGUAGUAUUUGAAACUGCUCCCAUCUCCAAAGCUGAAUUAAAUGAAAUUAGAAAAUAGGGUACAAAAUGACAGAUUUGCCCCUUUUAACAAUUUGUAGAAUUUCAAAACAGUCCAUGUACUGCCCUAGAACAUGCGUGAUUUUUCAUAAAUGAUCCGGGUUAUUCUGAUACCCGUUUGAUCGAAAGAUGAGUGUUUUCUUGUAGGGCUCGGCAUGGUGAUCGAUUCGAUACGAACUUCGAGCCAUGGAUCAUGUUUUUAGGGCACGAUCAUGCGUCUUGAAAUUUGGAUGAAUCUUGAAACUUUAGAUUGAUAGUGUGCUCGUUCUUUGAUGUUUUUCUCUGAUUUCUUUACUGGAUCAAACUGAGCAUGCCGUCACGAUUGCGUGGUAACAAACGUGGCUCGAUUCAGUGUCCGGAUGAAGAUUUUGCAACUUUAGAGUUUUGGCUUAAAUCUAUAAUUCCAGUGCCAGAAUUUACGGUCACUUCAUCUGUUUCGUGUACAGAAUCUAACCGUUCAUCAUGUAUGGAGUUCAGACUAGAGAUAUCCCUAGACCUUACGCACACGAUGGAACUGGUUUCGUGUCGAUCGCGUUCGUAAGCGGUGUGAUUUGGCCGCUCGAAUGAGGUGCAAUGCUGCUGAUUCUUCUGCAACUUUCUUCAGGGAUCAACAACUUCUCUCUAGGUUUUCUUCAUGCUCGGGCGUCGUCACGUGGCGUACCACAUAUAUUGAGACGCUCGUCUCGAUGAGACGAACAUGCUCUAUCAUGUUUGAGAGUGAAAGGUAAGAAGUGAGCAGCUUACAAUUUCUCUGAUGUACAACUGGGCCAACUUAUCUAGAGUAUAAGUCUUGCGAACUGGUAAGAAGUGAGCAGCUUUGGUUAAUCAGUCCACCAUGACCCAGAUACUAUCAUGUCCUGCACUUGAUUUUGGUAUUCCAGAAAAAAAUCCAUCGUGCUGUGCUCCCAUUUCCACUCUGGUAUGGGUAGGGGCCGUAGUAGUCCAACAAGUUUCUGAUGUUCUGCCUUCACCUGGUGAUACGUCAAACACUUAGCAGCAAAAUGUGCUACAUCUCGCUUCAUGUUGUGCCACCAAAAGGUCUUUUUUAAAUCUUGGUACAUCUUCGUACUCCUUGGGUGUCCUAUGUGGCGAGAGCGGUGUGCUUUCUUUAGGACUACCCUUUUCAUUUUAUUGUCAGUAGAAACACACACUUGGUCCUUAAACCUUAACAAGUCAUCACUGCUCACAAAGAAAUUUUCUUUUCCUUCCAUUUUUAGUUCUUCAAGGAUUUUCAUUAGCUGGGGAUCUCGUUUUUGAGCUGCUCGGAUCCGUUGAAGGAGUUAGAGUUCCAUCCUUAAACACAACAGUAUUCCUUCCUUCUCACUACUGGGAUGGGUGCCACACCACCACUUCCUCUAAUAGCUUCAUUUCUCGAACCACCAAAUGUGCCACACAGACCCCAGCUUUUGACUUAAAGCGUCGGCUACUACAUUAGUCUUACCUGGUUGAUAAUCAAUAGUACAUUCAUAAUCAUUCAAUAAGUCCAUCCAUCUUCUUUGCCUCAUAUUCAAAUCUUUCUGGGAAAAUAGGUACUUCAGGCUCUUGUGGUCCAUGAACACGUUAAACUAGGCCCCAUAGAGGUAGUGCUUUCAGAUAUUUAACGCGAACACUACUGUCGCGAGCUCCAAGUCGUGAGUUGGAUAGUUUUGCUCAUAUGGUUUUAGUUGUCUGGAGUCAUAAGCACUGACUUUAUCCCUCUGCAUGAGUUCACAUCUGAGCCCUUUAUGGGAUGCAUCGUUGUAAACCACAAAGUCUCCAUUCCCCUCGAGCAAGGCCAGUAUCAAGGUUAUGACUAGUCUCGUCUUAAAUUUCAGAAAACUCUUCUCACACUCCUCUGACCACAUAAAUUUUGCAAUCUUCUGAGUCAAUCGAGUCAAGGGAAGCGCAAUCUUUGAGAUCCCUUUACAAAGCGCCUAUAGUACCCUGUCAAUCCCAACAAGCUACGAACCUCUGUCACAGUGGUUGGCCUUUCCCACUUAGGUACGGCUUUGAUCUUAGAGGGGUCGACAGUAAUUCCAUCCUUACAAAUAAUGUGUCCAAGGAAGGCCGCACUGGGGAGCUAAGAUUCGUUCUUGCUCAACUUAGCAUACAAUCUUCCUGACUUCAAAGUUUGCAAAACAAUUCUUAGAUGUUGGUCGUUUAAUUCCCGACUCUUAGAAUAUACCAAGAUAUCAUCGAUAAAAACCACUACAAAGUCAUCUAGGAAGGGUCUAAACACCCUAUUCAUCAAAUCCUUGAACACAGCGGCGGCACUGGUUAACCCGAACGGCAUCACAAGAAACUCAUAGUGACCGUAUCGAGUUCUGAAAGCAGUCUUUUGAAUGUCUCCCUCCUUGACCCUCAAUUGAUGGUAACCCGAUUGGAGGUCAAUCUUCGGAAACACUUGGGCACCUUGGAGCUAGUCAAAGAGGUCGUCAAUCCUUGGUAAAGGGUACUUAUAUUUCACCGUCACUUGGUUCAACUUUCUAUAGUGAAUGCAUAAUCUCAAGGGCCCAUCCUUUUUCUUCACAAACAAGAUCGCUGCACCCAAGGGCGACACACCACGUCAAAUGAAUCCCUUAUCAAAUAAUUCCUGCAACUGCUCUUUUAACUCUUUAAAUUCCAUUAGAGAUCUUAAUUUUUGACAAUUAGGUUUAAUUUUGAUCAAUCCACCCAUAUUUGGGCACAAUUCUAUAUAUACCACGUACUACCAUUGUAUGCUGACCCUUCAUUCAUUCACCAAGGAGAACUUUUCUUAAUAAAAUUAUUCUCUUCUCAAUAUUGGGUCACUUUUGGAAAGAGAGAGAGAGAGAGGAGAGAGAAACUUUUGGAUCGAUAUCCUUACGCUCAAGGUAAAUCAUCUCUCUCUUUCAUUUUUUUUCUUCUUCGUCUGAGCAUCUCUCAGAGGCCAUGCAAGAUAGUGGUGGUGCCGUGCAUGCCUCUUUCCUUCUUCCCUCCUUGUGGUUUCACAGGUUGCGCAUGGCGAUGGUAGCGCCAUGCGUAAGCUCCUUUCUUCUUCCUUUUCGUUCAUCUCUAUCUCUCAGCGUCGUUUGCAGACGGCACUGAUCAUCACCGUCCGCAAAUGUAUUCCUGACACCUUAGUGAGGAACACAGACGACAAAGCCCAUUGCCACACGCAGGGAUCUCAUCCUGUUGCACGCUUAUCGCAGACGGCGAUGCCUAUCGCAGACAGCAAUGCUUAUCGCCGCUCGUGAAGGGUUGUGACAAUACCUAUCGCAGUGUGCGAGCUCCUCACUUGCGCCCUUUGUUUAUCGCAGACAAUGAUGCCUAUCGCCAUCCGCGAGCUCCCUACGUGCCCUCGGUGACUAUCACCGUCCGCAUGCUUUCUUCGUGCGCACAGUGCCUAUUGCAGUCUGUGAGCUUUCUUUGUGCAGUUGGUGCCUAUCACCGUCUGCGAGCUUCCUCCGUGUGCUUGGUGCCAAUCGUCGUGCACAGGGUCCUAUCUGCAUCCCACACCUAUCAUCGCGUUCUUCAAAAAGAACUAUCUCUGCGCGCAUGACAAAUGGCUAUAGUAUGCUUCACAAGAGGCUAUCGUCGCUCGCGUAGGGUUGUGCUGCCUUCUCAUGUUGCCAACGGUGAUGCCCAGCGCCGCUGAUAGUUCACCAUUCACCCUCUAACGGUGAGUAGUAGUGUCGAGUGCCAUCCAAAGGCCGCGACACUGCUACUCUAUGGUUGUCGGUGGCAACACGGCGCUACCCAUCUCUCCACUGCCUCGCACCUUCUCUUCAUUCUCUCUUCUUCUCACUUGAUUGAGGGUUGACUUAGUCUAGCAUCGCCUUAGCGGUUUGAUUGUCGAGCAGUAUUGCUGCCAUAUUGGUCCCGAGUGUCAUGCCUGUCUUGCUGUCAUACCAGAUUAGGACAGUCCUAUCGGUCUUGGUUUCGAGUAGUAUUGCCGUCGCGCUAGUCCUGAGGACCAUGCUUGUCUUACUACCACUUCGAGUCAGUCACUGUUCAGCUAUCAUGCUAGUCUCGUCCCUUCAUCAAGUUCCUUUCAGUCUCGUCCCUUCAUCAAGUUCCUUUCUCUUUUCUAUCCUUAUUUGAACCUUCCACUUCAUCACCCUCUCAUAUGAACGUACAUUGCCCUAAGACAAGGGUGGGUCCCUUUGGCCCACUUGUCUUGAAAAUUAACCAUGUUAGUGUUGUGCAGAAACCAAGGUGAUCGCAGGUCAAGGGAGGUGAUUCUGAACCCGCUAAAGCAGUUGGGGGGAUUUCUUCGUGAUCUAAGAGGGCACCCACACGAGCCAGCCUGAGUAAAUCCCAAACCCACCAUAAAUUCCUCUCUCAUUAGUUGGUCCACCUACCCUUGUUUUUGAAUAAGGUUCCUGAGACAACAAUCUCAAAUCCUAGAUUCUCCUGAAACUCGAGAUACGUGCUGCCAAAUCAUCUAGAUUCGGAGGGCAAGAUCGAGGCACGUAACUCGCGUUCCCUUAUUCAGGUACACACCAUGCCUGUUAUUCCUCUUUUUUUGUAUCUUUUUUUUGUAAAGGCUUGUUUAGGGUCAUGCCUUCGGAACUUGUGCGAAGCUUUUUAACAUCAUGCGGUCAGGACGUACACUAUAGUUUACGGUCAUACAGCUGGACCAUGGUAGCGAUGAAUGGCAAUAUGUGGAGGCCAUGGAGUGAGUUUGGUAGUGGUUUGACUCACUUUGAGGGGAAGGCACGAGGCUGCCUGUGAAAGACGGAUGGUGUUGGUAUGCAAGGUGGAUUUGCAAGGUGGAUUGUGGUAACCCACUUGCUCAUGACGAGUAUGGAUAGUGGGAUGGCUCACCAUUUGUGAGCACAGGUGAGAUUCACUAGGGAAUGAUGGAGGGUAAUGAAGUGAAUGGGUUCACUAGGGAGUUGAUGAAGGUGGUGUGCGUACACGAAUGGGUGGGUCAGUUAGGGAAGGCAUGCAUGAAGACGCAUGAAAAGGGCAUGUGCGCGUGUGUGGGGGCGUAUUUAAGGUCAUGCCUCCUGAACCUUAGUGUUUGAAAAUAUUUUUCAGCACCUUGGUCCCUAAUAUAGAAUAAAGAGGAAGCUGGUCAAUAAAGCUUGAAUUACAGUAGAAUUCUCAAUAGUCUCCGAAUUGCCCCAUAACAGGUGAAAAUAUUCAUAAGGACUUCAAAAGGCCACUUGCCAGGUUUCGUCGCAAUCUGACAUGUCUAAAGUAGUACAGACAAAGAAACAAUUUUUAGAAAAUCAGGCUCUAGCACCCUGAAACGAAUCCCGUAACUAGAACUCUAUUCUCGUUGUGUCAAAUUGUUGUAGAAUCACUGCUAUUGGAUCCGACACGGUCGAAAAUCCCUAUGGGUCAACUUUUGGCUUAAUCGGGAGCUCCAAGACAAAGUUAUGGGUAAAAGGCCGAAAAUGGGUAGGCUGCACACUAUUCCCAUGCACCCUCCUUGCACCAAAUCACCAUUAAUGGUGACUGUGUUUACAGUAUCGAGCAUUAACUUUCGGGAGCUAUAUCUCACCCGUUCCUAGUCGGAUCGGGCUCAAAUUUUGUGAGCUUAUUCGUCUCGUCAAGACGAGCAUUUCAAUAUGUGGCAUGCCCCGUGAUGAUACCUGAAUAAGGAGAAAAGCUAGAGUGAAGUUGCCGAUUUGAGAAAAAAGUUGAGGGAAAAUCAGCAACGACACACCUCGCUUGAGCGGCCAAAUCAUGGCGCUUGCAUAACGGAUUGACACGAGACAAGUUCCAUCGCAUGCGUAAGGUUUGAAGCUAUCCUUGGUCUGAACUUUGUAUGUGAUGAACGGUCGGAUUUCACACACAAAGUUGUCAAAGCUACUGUAAAUUCUGGCCAUCAAAAUUCAGAUUCCGGCCAAAACCUCAAUGAUGUGAAGUCUUCAUCUGAGCAUGAAAUCGAGCUGCGUUUGUUGCCAUGCGAUCGUGACGGCAUGCUUAGUAUAAUAUAACUAAGCAUUCCUGGAAAAACAUCAAGAAAUGAGUGCACUAUAUAUCGAAAGUUUCCAAGAUUCAUGCAAAUUUCAAGUCGCAUGAUUGUGGUUUUAAAACAAGAUUCGUGGCUAAAAAACGAGAUUCGUGGCUCGAAGUUGUUAUCAAAUCGAUCACAAUUAGGUUAGUUUUUGGGAAUCCACCCAUGUUUGGGCAAAAGUCUAUAUAUAUCGCGUGAUAUCAUUGUACAAGGAACCCCACUUUGCUUAAUAAAAUUUCAAAUUUUCUUCAUUGUUGAGUCACAUCUUGGGGGAGUGAGGAAAGAGAGAGAAAGUUUUCGGUUGGUACCGCCGAACUUAGCAUAAAUCUCUUUCUCUCUCUUCUUUUUCUCUCUCUUUCUCACUCCUCUCUCUUUAUCUCUCUUUCUGUCUCAUCUUUCACAAGUGGUGUAAGCCUAUCGUUGUUUGUGUUUCACUCUUUCUUCCUCUCUUCUUUUCUCUUUCCCUCUCUGUGGUCCCUCAUGACCACCCUUCCCUUCUAUCUCCUAGUGGUCCCUCAGGUCCACCUAUCUUCUUAUUCUUUUUGCUGUGCUACCUACACGUCCACCUACUCCCUGUGUACCGUCAAGUCCACCUCCCCUUUCUUUCUCUGGUAGUCCCUCACGUUCGCCUUCCUUUCUCUUCUUUUUUUUUGUACCUUCACAUCACUCCCUUUUUGUGUACCCUUGCGUUCUAUUCUUCCCUCUCACGAGCUGUGGUCCCAUGCGACCACCAUUCCAAAACCUUUCUUUCCAAUUGCCGUUUGCAACCAUCGUUCUUAUUGCCGCCUGUACUAACAAACCUUAACGUCGCUUGUGCUAACAAACCUUAACGCCCUGUGCUAACAUACCUUAUCGCUGUCUGUGUUACCCAUCUUCCUAUCGUCGCUGUGUAACCCAUCUUCCUAUCGCCGUCUGUACAACCUUUCUCCCUAUGGCCGUCUGUGCAACCCAUCUUCCUAUCGCUGUCUGUGCAACCCAUCUUCUUAUCGUAGCCUGUGAACGUAACCCCAUCGCCGUGUGCGAACACAAACCUUUCUCCCUAGCGCCGUCUGUGCAACCCAUCUUCCUAUCGCCGUCUGUGCAACUCAUCUUCUUAUCAUAGCCUGUGAACGUAACCCCAUCGCCGUGUGCGAACACAACCUCAUCGCCGUGCGCCUCUUCUUCCUUUUCCUCAACCUACUGCUGAGCAUGCGCACCACCAUUACCGUGCAUUACCAUUUUCUCCUCCACCCUGCCUCCGUUGUUCCUCUCUUCACCCUUCCUUUACCUCUGUUGCAAACAUCUAUAUUGCAAUUUCCACCUUCUUCCUACACCCAAAACUCAUCCUCCAUCUUCUUCUCUACUCCAACGAGGAGCCAACCACACCAGCCACCCUGUUGCGCAACCAUCUCACGACCUCACAACCAGCAGCCAACCACACCAGCCACCCAAUUGCGACCAAUUCCGCUACCUCGUUACCAAGCCGCUCCCUUUCUCUGCAACCAUUGCCGCCAUUCUCUCACUAUCUCUCUCGCUCAUCCGUCCCCUCUCGUUCACCUCUUUAUUUCGCACAAAUCUCCUCUCUGCGCCUCCCAUCAGCCUCUCCACGAACUUUCCUCUGCAACCUCUCGCUUUCUCUCUCUAGAACGCACAAAAGAAACACCUACUUUCCUUUCUUUUCGUUGUUUCGGUAAACUUCGUUCCACUCCCCUCUCGUUGAAACCCAGUAACCAACAAAAGCUCUCUCUCUCUCUCUCUUUCUUUCUUUAACCGUUAAAACCCAGUAACCAACAAAAGCUCGCUCUCUUUCUAUUUAAACGUUAACAACCGACUAACCCAACGCCCUAGUUUUCUCUCUCUCUUAACCAAUCCAUUUUUCUUUUUAUUAUUAUGCUAGUUCAUUUUACUUCUUCUACCCCUUCCCUUUCAUUUUAUUCCAUUUUCAUCUUUUUAUCUUCAUUCUUUAUUUUCUUGUUCCAUCUUGUUAAAUUUAUUUCACUUAUUUUCACAACCCUAUUUUUUCUUAUUUACUUCAUUGAUUUUAUUCUAUCUUUUUUUUCUAUUUUAUUUCAAUCACUUAUUUUAUUUUAUUUAUCUCCUUUUUUUAAGUAUCUCAUCUUAUUUUAUUUUCUUCAAUCCCUUUUAUUUUAUUCACUUCACUUUUUUCCAUUUUAAUUCUAAUUCCAUUUUCUAAUUUUAUUUUAAUUCACCUAUUUCAUUUUCAUUUUCAUUUCAUCUCAUUCUCUAUCACUCUCAUUUCACCGUCACUUUUAUUUUCACUUUCAUCUCUUUUUAAAGACGUAGCAAGAGUCUAGCUAGUCUUCAUCUCUUCUCUCUCUUCAUCGCUUGUUUGACCAGAAGGUAGGCUGAGCGUCAUGUUGUCCUGCCAGUCUUGUCGCUUAGCAGUAAUGCCGUUGUACCAGUCUGAGUUAUCGUGCCCAUCUUACUACCACGACAGGCUGGCCAUCGUGUCUGGCUGGUCUGUGUCGGUUCCAUCGUCUAGUAGUAAUGCCAUUGUGUCGGUCUGAGUUAUCGUGCCCGUCUUGCUACCACGUUAGGUCAAUCACCUACUGGUCUAGCCACUAUGCCAGCCGAGCCGCCUGGUCAAACUUCUUCUCUCACUUUCACUUCGCCCUGCAACAAGGUGGGGGACCUAUGCCCCACUUAUCUGUACUUCUAAUGUGUGUUUGUGUGUGUUUGCAGGAAAGGAGAAACACGUCAAGGGACACAAUUCCAAACCAGCCAUAGGCCAGGAGGGCUUUCCAACGUCAUCUAAUAGGGUGCCCACGUGAGCCAGCCCGAACGUGUCACGGACCCACAUGAGGUAAGUCCCACCUCACGAUCCUAAUUCCUCUCUCACUGGUUGGUACUCUUGCCCACGUCUUCUUUACGUGGUUCCUAAGAGCGCGAUCUUAGGUCCUGCCAUCUCGAACUCGGAACCACGCCACCAAGUCAACCCGACCCGGAGAAUGAGAUUGAGGCACCUAACCAGCUUGGCGACUCCACUAGGGAUACACUACCGCAUCGUUGGAUCAUUCUUGUUUGACCUUCCUUUAUUUUUAUUGUUGUUCACUAUACACACACCUACCUUUGGGGUUUCUUAACCCCUUCAUCCGAGCCGGGGAUUUCAUAAUCUUCGCAAUCGUGAUUCUUCAUCGGGAACAGGUUCCGUGAACCUCAUUCCCAACCUUUCUCCUGAGCAUCGACCUUGUGUCGCGCUCCCAGGUCUUCACUUGGAAAGAGGUGAGGAUGGACCUAAAAGUCCCUCACUCCCUAUAUCCUUGCAAUGGUGGACUCUCUGCCAACGCACCUUGCAUUGGAGGCACACAUGCCACCACACAUAGCAUGCACCCUGCUACCGAUGAGUCACUUGCCGGUCCUAUCGCUCGGGGCAGCCCGGAGGUCACCCCUCCCUCUCCUGCGACUGACAGCUCAUAUGUCAAUUCUCCUGUGGGUCGCCGGGAGGCUACCACCCAUUCUUUAUCAGUUCGAGCCCCUGUAAUAGGACGCUUGACACCAGGAGGAGGUGGCUCUGAAGCCACCACCUCACACACACCCACCAAAGCUAGUGGACGAUCCAUUCUAGCGACACCUUGGGGCAACCCUCACGUUACCUCGGGACACGUUCAGGAUUCAGGUUUUUUGGUCGUGGCCUUGCACCUCUUUUGCAUGCACACUGCAUCACUUGGAGCAACCCUCAGGUUACCUCGGGACACUGUCAGGGUUCGAGUCUUCUUGGACUUGGCCCUGCACAUCCUCGAGGCAACCCUCAAGUUACCUCGGAACACUGUCAGGGUUCGGGUCUUCUUGGACUUGGCCCUGCACAUCCUUGGGGCAACCUUUAGGUUACCUCGGGACACAGCCAGGGUUCGGCUCUUCUUUGAUCUGGCCCUGCACACCCCUUGCAUAUGCAGUGCAUUGCUUGGGGCAGCCUUGUUGCUGCCUGUUUGUGCACACGGAGGGGAACCUCCUAGUCUCCCUUCCCAGCACAUGCUUGUUCACUCUGUGAGGGAUGGUCACACAGCCAUUCCGUCGCACACAGUUGCUCAUGACACAGGGCCUCUUAGAGCCAGACUCGUUGCUCGAGCCUGGGUUGACCACCAGGUUACCCGAAGUCCUUCUACAGAGGGCGCACAUGCACCAAUCCGCCUGCCCACCCAGGGCACGCUUGAGCAACGUGCACACAUGAACAUAUCCAAAACUUCCCCUAGUUCUGAGGGCGAAGAAGAGGACACCAUGGAAGACUUCUCUACCUAAGAUGAGAUCGCUUUCCUUCCCCUAACUCCCCUUGAUGCGGAUAAUGCUGGAAACCUAUCGAAUGUGCAGAACACCAAAACAGUUACUCAGGGCAUGAUGAAGCCCGCUAUCUAGGAAGGUCCAAGUCCCACUCGGGGCAAGGACAAAUCUACGAACGGGGAAAAAAGCCAGUCUGACCCCAGUGACCCCAUCAAUCCUGAGCUAAUGGUGUCAUCACUCAAUCAGACUCUCGAGUCCCUUUCUAGUCAGGGUACUGAGAGCAAUGACUUCUUCAAAUAGACUCAGCUUGGGGCAGCUUGUGGGUUUGAAUCGAUUUCCCUUAGACUUCUGUUAAGCCUGAAGGCACCGCUCCGAGGCAGCCCCGGUCCCUCAAGUGAAAUGGAAGCUGAACCCACUGAGGGCACUGGCCAUGAUCUCCUUGUGGUGGAGAGUUUGAUCCAUGAAGAAAUGGGUUCCCUUCCCAUAAUGCAAGAGAAUUCUCCCCUCAAAGUUUGCCUUGACAUCCUGGCUCUUCAAGAUGAAGGUGACGAGAAAACUGAUACUGUUGUGCCACUGCAAGGGCUUGAGAAACCUGUUGUCAAGAUCGAUAUUUGAAUACGAAGGGGACCCUGUCAUUGGCCACUUUCCUUCCAUCUUUCCAAGGAUUCAUCACUGAAUCUUGAACAUAUGAUGAACAACCAUCUACUCUCGUUAGUCCUAAUAACGCUACUUCCCUUGCAUGCUUCUCCCCAGACAUUCUUAGCGCUGAUGAGAAAUCGUCACUCUCAUCUAAGGAAAGCUGCUCCCCAGUAUAGGAUGAAACGAGCUCCACUUCCCCUGAUGCUAGCUCCGUUCAAGUGGCCCAUCCAUGCCCUGAGAAUGCCACGAUUCCCUACAAAGCCAAUCGUCUGCUUUCCUCAUGUCAUGAAUGGCUCAUGUAUCCUCUCGAGGAUGAUGAUGGAGGCUUGCCGUCCUAUGAGAGGUUCAGGUUCUCUCUUAAUUGUAAAGAACCCUCAAGUAUGUCUAGUGUUGAAAUCGACAUGAUCAAUGAAGAAUCAGAAGUUUAUGAAGAUGAGAUUGCUCAGCUUAAGGCAGUUACAGGCCAAGAUAAGGUCGAAAGAUGAAAUGAUAGAAACCUUAUGUCAAGUGGUACUGAAGUCUAAUAGGCUUGUGCGUACCCCCUCGGGGUAUCAAGCCCUAUUUACUGUCUCUCAAGCAACGCUCCUAGACAUCGAAACAAGGCCGUUAGAUGAUGAACUAUUCCCACCCUCACCUCCCUCACUUCCAGCCCCUUCUCCAUCUUUUCUUCGGACUGGGAACAAAGCACUAGUAGAAGGCAUGGUGGCCAAAGCAUUGAAAAGAUGUGAUGCCUCAGUGACAGGAAAGCCGAAUCGCUACUAGAAAUCUCCCCCAGUUUAUGAUGAUCAGACUCUAUUGCCACAAGGAGUUCAAAGACUCGAUGUCCCCAAGAAGAAAAUCAAGCAUUUCCCAGCAAAAAGCCCACACAAGAGUUAUUCCUUUGAAAAAUCCAUGAUCCCCAAGUUGUUUGAAAUUCUCUUAUCAAAAGGGAUGAUCGAACUGCCUGAGUCGAAAAGACUGAAUGAAGAUGAGAGGGAUGACGAGCCCAAUUAUUGCCAAUAUCAUAGGAGACUUUGUCAUAGCACUGAGAAGUGCCGUGCCAUCAGAGACAUCAUCCAAAAAUUCAUAGACAUGGGAAAAUUGAACUUGGAGCCUGAUUUCACGUGUGAUCCAGUGCCACACAACGGCCUAGAUGCACGACCCUAAACUACAUGGUCCAAACUAUACGACCUUAAAUUGUAGCGGAGGUCUAGUUGCACAACCUUAAACUGCAUGGUCCUACGUGUAUGUGGUCGGAUGCCUCGAUCUCGCCUCCCCGAAUCUAGGUGAUCAGGUAACACGUGUAUCCUGUUCAGAAGACCCGGGACCUGAGACCGUUCUCUCAGAAACCUUGUUCACAGAACAAGGGCAGGUUCUCAACUGGUGAGAGAGGAACUUAAAACGUGAGGUGUGGACCAACCUCACCUGGGUUCAUGACUUACUCGGGCUGACUCGCUAGGGCGCCCUCUUAGAUAGCGACGGAAGGCCCCCCAACUGCUUCAACUGGUUCAGACUCGCCUCACUUGACCUGCAAUAUCCUUGUCUUUUGCACAACACUAACAUGGUUAAUUUGCAAGACAAGUGGGUCGAAUGACCCACCCUUGUAUUAGGACGAUGCACAUUCAUAUGGCAGAGAAGAUGAAAAGUUAUGGUGAUGAAUAAGAGGUGAAAAGAGAAGAGGACUCGAUAAAGGGAUGAGACUAGCAUGAUAGCUAGAUAAGUACAGUAACCAACUCGGAGUGGUAGCAAGACGGGCACCAUAAUGCACACCACGAUACUAUUCGAAACCAAGGCCGAUGUGACCUUCCUAAUCUGGUGUUGCAGCAAGACGGGCAUGGUACUUUGGACCAACAUGACGGUAAUAAUGCUUGACAGCCAGUCUGCUAUAACAGUACUAGACUGAGUCUACCCUUUAGUCAAGCUAGAAGGGAAGAGAGCGAAGAGCAGAUGUGAGAUGGCAAAGGAGGAAGGUCCCGGCGGCGUUAGGCAACACCUUCCACAACCGUGGAGUAACAUUGUCGUGGCCCCUGGAAGACACUAGACACUGCUGCUCGAGAAGAAAGGGUGACUAGUGAACUGCAGACAGCGUUAGCCAUCACCGUCGGCAACACGAGAAGGUCGCAUGUGGCGAUAGGUAUAGAGCACACAAAAGAAUCCUGUGGACGGCGUUACUCAUCGCCCCAACUCUUCACGGGUGACAAUAAGCAUCGCCGUCUGCGAAAGGCGUAGGGUGCAAGAGAAGCCUACUGACGGCGUUACGCAUUGCUGCGACCCUUCACUGGUGGCCAUAGGCAUCGUCGUCUGCGAUAGGUGUAGGGCACAAGAGAAGCCUACGGAUGGUGUUACGCAUCGUUGAGACCCUUCACAUGCGACGAUAGGUAUCACCAUCUAUGAUUGGUGAAAGGUGCAAGAGAAGCCUGCAGACGGCAUUACGCAUCACCGCGACCCUAUGCCGGCGACGAUAGACAUUGCCAUCUGCGAUAGGCGUAGGGCAUAAGAGAAUCCUGUGGACGGCGUUAUGCAUCGCUUGACCCUUCGCAGGUGGCGAUAGGCAUCGCUGUCUGUGAUGGGCAUGAAGGGUGAGACCCCAACGGGCGGCGAUAGGCAUUGCUGUCUUCUCUACGCUUGAAGAAAAGAAACGAAUGAAGAGUGAGAGAGACAAGUUCGAGCAUGGCACUUCCAUCGCCAUGCGCGACCUGCGAUGUCACAGGAGGAGGAAAACAGAAAGAGGCAUGCACGACACUGCCACUGCCGUGCAUGGCCUCUGAGAAAGACUCAGCAGAGGAGACGAAGAAGAAAGAGAAGAAGAGAGAAUAAGAGAGAAAGAAAACCAGAGAGAGAAGGAAGAGAGAAAAUCCCAUGAAGGUAGGAGGGGUACCACUCUAAACUUUCUCUCUCCCUUCUCUCUCCAAGAUGCACUGAUGAAUUUAAGGAAGAAUAUCAAAUUUUAUUACUCAAUGUAGAGAAUGAAAGGGGGGUCCUUUACAAUCUUUUUCUAGCCUCUUCUCAAUGAGAGGUAACGUUUAUCACCCAAAACUAACACUAAUUGAUGAUAAUUAAGGUUUAUUUGACUUAAAAAAAUAAGAAAAUAGGGUGCAAAAUGACAGAUUUGCCCUUGCCUAACAAUUCAUGAAAUUCCAAAACAGUCCCUGUUGCGGCCCUAAAUCGUGCGUGAUCCUAUGUGGAUGAUCCGGAGUUGCUCUGGUGCCCGUUUUCCCAAAAGGUGAUUGUUUCUUGUAGGGCUCGGCAUGGCGAUUGAUCUUAUGCCAACUUUGAGCCAUGGAUCAUGUUUUUAAGCCACGAUCAUGCAAAUUUAAAUUUGGAUAAAUCUUGAAAACUUCAGAUCGAUAGUGUACUCGUUUCUUAAUAUUUUCUCAUGAUUUUUUUGCUGGAUCACACUGAGCAUGCUGUCAUGAUCGCGUGGCAACAAACGCAGCUCAAUUUAAUGCUCGGACGAAGAUUUCUCAACUUUGGAAUUCGGCCAGAAUCUGGAGCCAUUCUGAUAUUGUCAAAAUUUCCACUGUUUGUCAGGCUUUAUUGACCGGCUUCUCCCUUUUUUUUUGCAUCGGGGACCCAUGGUGCUGAAAAAUGUCUUCAAAUAGCAUGCCCCAUUAAAUGUUGUGCUUCGAGAGAAGCGAGAACGACAACAUUCGAAAAAUUUCCUCUGAGUUUAUUUCUUUUUUCUUCCUAGCCACAUGACCACAUGAACGUCGAGGAGAUUCAUGGAAUGCUGUAACUAGGAUGCUCAGACAUUUGGAUACAAUGUACAAGUCGAUCCACAGAGACAUUAGGGGGAGAAGAGACUUUGAUGGAUCUUGUCAUGGUCUUUCCCUCACAGGACCGUAGGGGUUAGUUUUUUAAUGUCUUCACCUUGUCAAACGAGUUUGCGACAUGGAGAGAUUGGUAUUUACAGUCCUCACCCUAUCAUAAAGUAGCCUUGAGGGCCACUUUGUGUUUUUGAGGGAUCUUUCGGUCAUCGUCCUCACCCUCAAGGACUCUUCUUAUUUUUAGAGGGAUGUUUUAGUCAUUGUCCUCACCCUCAAGGACUCUCUUUGUUUUUGGAGAGACCUUUCGGUCAUCAUCCUCACCCGCAAGGACUCUCUUUAUUUUUGGAGGGAUCUUUUGGUCAACGUCCUCGCCCUCAAGGACGCUCUUUGUUUUUGGAGGGAUCUUUCGAUCAACGUCCUCACCCUCAAGGACUUUCGUUUGUUUUUGGUGGGAUCUUUAGGUCAGCGUCCUCACCCUCAAGGACUCUUUUUGUUUUUGGUGGGAUCUUUCGAUCAACAUCCCCACCCUCAAGGACUCUCUUUUGUUUUUGGUGUUUGGGAGGUCAUGUGAGGCACUCACUCUUGGGUGAGCCAUCUUUUGUUUUUGAUUGGAUCUUGAUAGCUGAGGAUUUUAUGUGGACCUCAUUAGCCAGAAUUACACCUGUUGGACAAUUGGGUGCUGGUUGAGGCUAUGAUGUUGCGUCGACUUGCUUUAUUUUUCCAAGCGUCCUUUGCAGGUUUUCACCUGGACUGGGGAAGUGGCACUGUAAAGAUGGUUUUCACCAACCUCCUUUAUUUUUGGGCUAUUUUACCUAUGACUUUGUGGCCAUGUCCACCCCUUUUCAUUAUUUUUUUCUCACAGUACCUUUUGGGGUUUUCAUCGUGCCCAGGCUUUUAUUUUCAUGAAAGUCUUUUACUCAUGAUUUCGUGACCAUGCCCGUCCAUCAUUUUUACUCUUGUCAUUCCCUCGUCUCGGUAUACACCUGUUGGAAGACAUUUUUCAUCAUCAUCGGUUCUCAGUCAAUAAAACCUAACAAAUAGUGGAAAUUUCGAAACUCCCAUAAUAGCCUCAGAACUGGCCAUAAUCUUCAUAAAGACUCUCAAAAGCCUCCGGCCAAGUUUCAUCGUAUUACAAAAUGUCAAAGGUAGCGUAGACUGAGAAAUAGUUUCAGCAGAAUCAACCUUUACCAGCUUAAAAUGGACCUUAUAACUAGAGCUAUAUUUUUGGUGUCUCAAUUUGCUGUGGGAUCACUACCAUUGGAUUCGACAUGGUUGAAAACCCCCAGGGAUCAAAUUUUAGCCAAGAACAGACAACCCAGGAAGAAGUUAUAGGUGAAAGAGGAAAACAGGAGGAGUCACACGCUAUUCCCGUGUUGCCACCCUGCAACUGAACUCCAUUAAAGGGGCAGUCACAACUAGUGAAUUUCGAUGCUUAUAUCUCCCUUGUCUGAGAUUGGAUCAUGCUCAAACUUGAUGGAGCAUGUUCGUCUCGUUGAGACAAGAGUUUUGAUAUGUGGCACACCUCGCGACGAAGCCCGAGCGCGAAGAAAAGCUAGAGAGAAGUUCCUUAUCCGUCAAGAAAGUGCAAGAAAAUCAACAACGUUGUGCCUCGCUUGAGCAGCCAAAUCACGCCAAUCACAAGCCCGAUCAAUGUAAAACCAAUUCCAUCACGUGCGUAAGGCCUAGGGCUAUCCCUAGUCCGAAGCCCAUACAUGAUGAAUGCUCGGAUUCCGCACACGAUGCCGACGAAGUGACUAUAAAUUUCGACUCCAGAAAUCCAAAUUCCGGCCAAAACUUCAAAAGUUGCAAAAUCUUUGUCCAGGCAUGGAAUAGAGCUGCAUUUGUUACCCCACAUUCGUGACAGAAUGCUCAGUGUGUUCCAGCGAAGAAAUCAUGAAACAAGCAUACAAUGGAUCCAAAGUUUCAAGAUUCAUUCAAAUUUCAAGUCACAUGAUCGUGCCCAAAAACCACGAUCCAUAGCUCGAAGUUGGUAUCAAAUCGAUUGCCAUGCCGAGCCCUAUAAGAAAACAAUUAUCUUUCGAUCAAACGGGCAUCAGAACAACCUCGGAUCAUCCAUGAAAAAUCAUGCACAUUCUAGGGCAACACAGGGACUGUCUUUGAAUUCCACAACUUGUUAGGAAGGGGCAAAUCUAUCAUUUUUCACCUUAGUUUCUAAUUUCUUUUAAUUCAGUUAAAUCUUAAUUUUCAGCAAUUAGGUUUAAUUUUGAUCAAUCCACCCGUGUUUGGGCACAAUUCUAUAUAUACCACAUACCAUUACUGUAUGAAAAAAGGCUUGGAAACCCUUCACAAAAGAGAAUUUUUACUGAAUAGAAUUCCCUUUCCUUCUCAUUGUUCGAUCACGUUUGGAGAGAGAGUAAGGAGAGAGAAACGUUUAGACAGGUACCUAUAAGCUCAAGAAAACAAGGAGAUUACAGGUCAAGGGAGGCAAUUCCGAACCAGUUGAAGCAGUUGGGGGCUUUCUGUCGUGAUCUAAGAGGGCGCCUGCUCGAGUUAGCUCGUGCAAGUCAGGGACCUAGGUGAGGUUUGUCCCCACCUCAUAGCCAAAAUUCUCGAGAGAGCGAUCUCAGGUCCUGGGUCUUUCAAACCCGAGACAUGUAUCACCCGAUCACCUAGAUCCAUGGAGGCAAGAUAGAGGCACCUAACCAGCUUGACGACUCCAUUGGGGACGUAUUACCCCUUCAUACAUUCGCUCUUGUUUGAUCAGUAUAUUCUUUUAUUUUCUACACUACUUUUUAUGGCACCUGGGUUAUUCAACCCGUUCAUCCAAGUCAGGGACUUUCUUAUCCCCGCACUCGUGACUGUCUCAGGGAAACGAACUUCACAAGCUUCCUUCCCUAUAGUCCUUCUGAGUCAGGACUCACUGUCCGGCUCGCCGGUUCCUUCCUGGGUUGAUGCGAGAAGGGACUUAAAGGUCCCUGACUCCCCGCUUCCAUGCCUUGGUGGAUCCUCCACCAAGGCUCCUUGCAUUGGUAGGACAUUUGCUAUCACACACAGCAUGCACCCUGCUAUUGGCAAGUCCCUUACUAGUCAUGUGGCAGAGGUAUACCGGAAGGAUGCCCUUCCCACUCUCGUGAAAAGCAAGCACAUUGUCAUCGCUUCCGAGGGUCGCCGUAAGGCUACCCCUCGAAUUCCUUCACAACCUCAAACCUCUACACUUAAAGGCUCAGCACACGGAGGCUGAAAUCCUGGGGUCUCCACCCCAUACACACACUUAAGAGCUCAAGGUCCAACCACUCGAGCCACACCUCGGGGCAAAUUUAAUACUGCCCCGAACUCGUAUUCAAGGCUUGGCCUUCUUGAGCCAAAACUUGCCCACGUCAUGCAUCCUACAUCUCGGGGCAGCGCUAGUUUGGUGUCAGCUCGAGCAUAUGAGGGUCGUCCACUUUUUCCUGCCUCUCACUACAAACAGCUUCACCCUAUGAGAGAUGGGCUUCUACCUGGUCCCUAACGGACACAAGCUCGUGGGUCUCAACCCCCUAAGGUCGAACCAGUUGAGCAAACCCAUGCUGACCCCCAAGUCACCCAAAUGGCUCAACCCUAAAGGAGCACACGCACUGACUUUGCAGGUUCCUCCGCUAUCCCGGGUCAGGUGGAGUCAUGAACUAGCUCCUUCUUCUGUCACUCCUCUCUCACCAGGCAAGCACCUCGAGACCUGAUACUCAAAGGUCUUCCCUAAGAGUACCAUAUUGAGCCAGCCUCAAGUCAACCGUGCAGUCGGGCCCCACAAAGAAAUUCAGAGCAAAGGCUUAAUGUCAGAUAGAGGCCUCCAGCCUCCAAGGAAGAAACCCUGGUUGCUUUCUGUCUUUGGACCCCACUCUCUCCUCCAGCUCAUAGACACGACCCUCGCAUGCUUAGGAAAAGUGGGGCAGUCCAAGCCACAGGCUCGGUUCUGAAGUGAGGUCCAUAGCCCCCUCAAGAUCAAGUGGAAGAAAGGUCUACAGAUCUUGAUCACCGAAGCCCCUAAGGCAGUUGAGGUUACCACCUUUGAUGAGCUCUUGCCUCAUAAUCCCUUCUUCCUUCUUCAGACAUCAGAACUUUAGUAGGUCCACGAAUACUGCUCGACGAUCAUUGUCUAGAAGCCACAGUCCUGAGACCGUCGAGAAACGGUCCUCACAAGGUUAACAUACAAGGAUUGAGUCCAGUUGGGGCAUGCUGAGCCCCUACAGACUAGCCAUGCACGACUCGCCAACCCUGGCCAUCCAUUACUCCACGCAGCUCUGACCUUCUCAAAGAAACGGUCAUUGUCAUGAUGAUUAACGAGCGGGAUGACGCCUAAGAAGAGCGAAUGAACAAGUUCGAGGUAAUGAUGCAAUCCAUCCUUGAAAAGAUGGAACGAUUAGAAGCCUCCAGCUCCCCUUCUCACCAGGAGAUCAAUUCCCCCUCUGGCGAAGACAUAGUUCCUAGGCAAACUCCUACAAUGGUCUCUCAAGAUCGCUCUCCUUCUAGCAGGGUUUUCCAGACCGAAAUAAACACCAUGGUGGCCCAUAACCUCAAGAACAAGAUCGCAGGCAUGCAAGAGGCACUGCUCUACUAGAAACCGUACCCUUCGUACAUCGACCGGGUGUCGUUUCCCUCGAACUAUAAAAAAGGGAAGCUCCCCAUGUUCAACGGUACUACGUUCCCGUACCAUCAUACUGCUCACUUUCUAGCGGCCCAUCAAGAGUCGGUGACUGAUGGGCAACUCCUCCUCCAUCAGUUUGUCGAGACUCUCGAAGGGCUAGCCUUCUAGUGGUAUGUUCAGCUGCCUUCAAACUCAGUGCAUACCUGGCAGGAAAUGGAGUAGUUGUUCUACCAAUGUUUCUACAAAGUCCAAAGGAAUGUGGAAGCCAUUGAGCUCCUCACUCUGACUCAAGACCCUAGUGAGCCAGUUGACAAGUUCAUUGCUCGAUGGAGAGAGCUGCAACCUUUAAUGCCACUACCAUGAUUGAGAAAGAAGCUGUCCAGACCUACAUACGAAACAUGCUUCCUGAGAUCACGCUUCAUGUUGAGGCCUCCAAUCCACCCUCCAUGUCAGAGCUCAUCUCUAAAGAAGUUUGUAUCGAGGGUUUGUCCAAACACCUUGGCGGAUCUCGUCAGACCCUCUGACUCAAAGUCACGCUCUAAUAAUUGGGGAAAUCAAUAGAAAGAAGUGAUCAAUGCAGCCGUAACCAUGAUUGACGCCAAUAAAGCCGCUCCUCAAACCCUGGACCUCUCCAAGGCACAAACGUCUCAGGCUGGGGGCAUGUAAUAGUCCUACCAUAAGGUCCUGCCCCCAAAAAACAUUAAGCGAAGUUACUUUCGGACCCAACAUCAAAUCAAGGUGUAUCCUUUUGACAAGGAGUGGGUCCCUGCACUGCUUCAACUACUACUGGAGGAAAACAUGAUCUCGUUGUUGGAGAUUAGCACUCCCGAACAAGUUGGACAUGAGACACACGAGAGGUACUGCACCGAUCACAAGAAAGUAGGCCACUGCACUCAGGACUGCUAUAAGCUUAACGACACUAUUGAAGCCCUUAUUAACAAAUAGAUAAUGCUCGAAGACUUAAAGAAAGCAUUCACGGAAACUGAGGCUUCUCACAUAGUGACAACACAAGAAGAUGAUCGGGCACUCGCCAUCGUCCGUGAACUAUUUUCCAUAAUGCUCGAAGAGGGACACAUCACGUCAAAGCCGACAACGCAACCUAAGUUCCUGCCUUCAGGAACUGGGAACCUCUGGUGCUGAUAUCACCUAAUACGAGGCCAUGACGUGAGUGAAUGCACUGGCUUCCACAAACUCUUGGCAAAGAAGAUGCAGCAAUUCCAGGAAGCUCAUGGUAACCCAGAAGGACACCCUCAAGUACCUCUUCCACCAGUGCAAGAAGAACUCCCGACGUAAGCCCCAGGAACCUCUAAGCUAGACCCUCUGCUAGCCCUCUUCGAGACAAUGCUCCAACAAGGUCUAAUCACUCCUAAGCCCGCUAUGUAGCCUAAGCGCCUUGCCCAGGGUACGACAAACCUCUAGUGACCAUAUCACCAAGUUUGCGGCCAUGAGCUGAAAGAAUGCUCUGGGUUCAAAGCUAUAGUCACUCAGAAGGUGCAGGAAGGCCACAUCAUUUACAUCGUUCUCCAAGAGCACUUCCAAGCCGUCACCCCAGUCCAAGAGGAAAUCCCACUAUAGGUCCCUUAUGAGCAUACACUGGACCUUCACAACACUCGACCUCUCAGCCCUGGAAAGUCUACCAUGGAAGAAGUAGGCUCAAAUUCCUGAAGCAUGAGGCAGUCCACCAAGCUAGGCCUACUCAUCAGCUCGAUAGGGUGAACUAAACCCCUCCUCAGGGAUCCAAAAGGAGAUAAGCACCCAGGUCAGCUCGUCGAAGGAACCACCACCCUCAACCACCAGUCAAGGAAGAGUUUCUCAGGCCCCUUCCUCCAUUGCCAAUCUUACAAAACUUCAUCCCAGGCGCAACUCACCUUAUCCUGUCAUCCAAUCAGACGCAAUAGCUCGGGAGUCGUCCAAUAUGGGUGACGACACUAAAAGCACCCCAUAAUAGUCAAAGCUGGGGCAAGACCUAAAAUACCCCCUGCACACGUCCAAUUAUAGCGACGACGUAAAAACCUGCCCGGAACAUUAUAACUCUUCCUUUUCUCCCUCCUCUUUUAUUUCUUCCAUAGGUGCAGCUCGACAGUGGCCAGACUUCAACACUCUGAGCAGAGAGCUUGGAGGCACCAGCCUAAACAGGUCAGUUGGAUUCUUGACAGUCACCGACGCCUUGUCAACCCAAGCCAAGACCAAGCCACCUACAAGCUCCUCUUUCCAAGAGGCCUCCCACAUGGUGCAAAUCUUGGAAGUACGAUGCAGAACAUGGCUAAUGAACCUAAAAUCGGGGAAGAAGCUAUAGCCCACACCUCAAAAGCUAAAGGUCCUCAAGUUUCUUGAUCCUUCAAUUUUCUUUAAGCCUGAACCUCAAAUCUCCACAUCUCUAAUACAAAUACCUAUUGCCUCCCCAUCAACCCAAACUGCACCGGCUGAACAAAAACGUCAGCGAGUGUCACAAACAAAAACUCAACCAAAAUCUGUUCUUACCCUACCACCUACACCAAUGACUAGAUUAGGAACACAGAAGACUAAUGAGGACAAAGUAAAAUACGAUGUAAUUGGGCACUUGAGAAAGCUUACAGCCCUUUUAAGUAUCUAUGAUGCCCUUCUGCUGUCUAGAGACUAUUGUAUGGCUCUGGUGCAAGCUCUUUCUAACCCAGAGGUAUAGAAGACUGAAGUGGAGCCUAUUGAGGUUGAUCCAGCCAUCCUGAGUGGGUGCUUGGCAAUCACCGUUUUGGAAGAUGACCUUCAGUUGGGAAGAAAAUUCCAUAAUCGCCCCCUCUUUGUGAAUGGUGAACUACAUGCCUGCCCUAUCAAUCGAAUCAUGCUAGAUGGAGGGUCAGCAGUCAACUUGAUCCACAGAAGGAACCUCACCCAAUUGAGAUUAGGAUCUGACGACCUCUCGCCUACCCACAUCACCAUGCAAGAACCAAUCAGGAGGAAAGCCAGCUGGCACAGUGCAUCUUGGCCUCAAGAUCGGCGACCUCAAUGAUUAUGCUCAAUUUCAUGUGAUCGACGCCGAUACAUCUUACAACGUCUUGCUCAAUCGCCCUUGGCUUCAUGAUCAGGGGGUGGUUCUUCCACACUUCACCAAUGCCUCAAGUACAGUCAAGAUGGGAGACAACACUUGGUCUACUCUGACAAGAGACCAUUCACUGUGGCCUAAACUCAUUAUGCUGAUGCUAAGUAUUAUUUCACAGACCUUCCAGCACCAAAAAGUCCAAGGAUGAUGAUUAGAAGCCUGUGAGAGAGACAGGACCCUCGUCUCAUGAUGACGUUGAAGAUUUAGGACGAAUGAUUCAAUGCCUCUUCAAAGAGAAGGAAAGACAAGGCAAAACCCUCCAUUUGACUCCUAUCUGCCCAAGUAUACCUUAUCACCUCUCCGAGGUCAUGGUGCCUUCUCCCGAAGAUAAAGCUUCCACAUCUACCUCUGCAUCCAAUUCACUAGAACAAAAUGACAAGAUAGAAGCAAGUCUUGAGACUGAGGAAGCCCUGGAGGUAGACCUUCCAGCACUGAGGAUUACCUAUACGCCGGACCAGCAAAAGGUUCUGCACGUCCCCAUUUCUCUUUUAGAAGCAGAAUUGACACACCAACCACCAAGAGGGCACUCCAAAUUCCAUCCUCUUAGAACAAGGGGAUCACCAGCAACCAAGAGAAUGUCUUUCACCUCUCAGAGGCUCCCAAAGAAGUACAGGCCGAUAAGAGGCAGCCCUCCGACUCUCAGGAACAAGACCCCAUAACAAAGCUGAGAAGCGAGGUUCGUAGCCUCCAGAAUCAGUUGGAGGCUAUUUGCGUCGCUUCAAAGCACUUGAAGGAGUUUGUCACUGAGACUAAAACUUAUGACAAGCUCAAAAGCAAUGCACCUCGAAUCGAAACCAAAGCUCCCCCAGAUUGGAGUAUUUAUAGCGAAAUGGCUCACCAAAUCAUGAGAACCACGAAUUAUGAAUCCCUCUCCAAUCAAACACUAAGGGGUGAGGAUGUAACUGCUCCCCCAUUUGAGGUCAUUGAAGCUAUAGCAAGCGGUCAAAAGAAGAAGCAAGGAGUGGAAUAUCGGUUUUAGUCUCACACGGUCAAUGGGCAGAAGCAAUAAAAAAUGAGAGGGAAGAACAAAAGUCAUGCCACACACACGAAAUAGAAAAGAACUUUCCAUUCAUGAAUCAAGUGGGCAUUACAAGCUCCUUUUCUUUAGAAAGAGAAGAAAUGAAAGAAAAAAAGGAAGAAGGAAUCGUCAGAAUCGAUCAAUUAAUUCAUUGAUCUUCCCCCUAUAUGUCACGCCGAUACCAACGCUAGCUCGAUUUCCCCCUUCAACCCUACCACCAUCUCUGCGUCAUGCUCCAUCAAGGUGGUCACUUCUCCAAUGGAGUAUUCAAGGGCCAAAAUGUUAUCUGUAAGCACCUUGUCCUUCGCUUCCCAAGCAAUAGUCUCCUUCUCCAGCUUGUCAAGUUUCUGCGUCAGCUCUAAUGUCUUCGCCCUUAGAGCCAUCACUUUGCAAUGGCGGGUGACGACCUCCUCAGUAAGGUCUGAUCUUCGGGAGACUGUGUCAUCCAUAUGUUGCGAUCGGGUGUUUAUCAAUUCGUGGAAGCGCAAAAGUAAAGACUCCAAAGGGGGUAACUGUGGGCUCUCUAGCUGUUGCGCAGUCGCUUCUUCAUGCAAGGCCUUUCCCAUCCAUCCCUCCAGCUCAUUAGCAACGCUGUCAAAGUAAGGAAGGACUUCGAGCACAUUCCCUAAGGCGAUCCCCCUCAACUGAGGGAUCGUUGUUCCAAGCUCUUCGAGAGACAACACCUUCAGUUUCUGGAGGCCCAUUCGAAACAUCUAAAAAAUGACGCCUGACAGCCCACUGAAAGUGGGACUGGGCAGUACAAUAGGAGCGACCACAGCAGGAGGAUCCCCAGUUGCAGCCAAGGUCUCAAGCUCCUCAGAUUCAGGUACAACCUCAAGCUGCUUGGGUACCUCAGCGACAACUCUCUUUCUCAGAUCCCCUUCCAUGGCCACUUCGAGCUCGACCCUCUCGUACUCAGGUGCUGUAGAUUCACCCUCUGUAUGCUCCACAGCCUCAACCGAGGCAAGGCUGACCUCGUCGCCUGGACCCACUACCUUAGUGUCAGGCUGCACCACAAUAGCUUCCUCUUCAGGGCCAACCCAUUCUCCCUUUUCCCUCCCUUCUUAAACCGCCAUCUCCACCUCCACAGGUUCGACACCUUCUCCCUCACCUUCUUCGCCCUUGUCUUUCAUGGUGACCACUUUAGCUAAAGGCUCUCCCAUGGGGCCCACCUCCUCUAUAGUCAGGGGUGUUGCCUCUUGGCCCUCAAAGUCUGACUGUCGAGGAUGUCGUUCCUCUGUAUCCCCUAUAGCCGCAUCACCUAAGGGAGCAACUUCCUGUUGCUCGUGUGGUUCCUCUUUAUUCCCUGAGGCGCCAGCAUCUUCUAUGACCACAAGAUCUACCGAGGUUUCCCUUUCCUUGGUAGGCACAACAACCUUCAAAGCCUCAGGGGCCCUCUCCGCCUUUGCAGCCUCAUCAAGAGCCGCCUCAUCAAGGGCAGCCUCAUCUGCCCCGUUCACCUCCAUCGGGACUGGGGCCUCCCCUUCAUCCACUUCUUGAUCCGAAGCAAUUUUGAUUCAGGUGAAUAAAAAGGUGAAUCCUCAAGAGAAGAGGGCGAUGCAGAAGUAGUAGGAGACACGCAACCCUCUGAAUAAGCCGAGGGUGAGGAGUCGUCUUCUGGCUCUUGGACCAGUGGGAUCUUACGCCCUCUGUGUUUUGGAGCCUUGGGUGGCUUCUUAGCUGAAGCGCUAGGAGUCGCUGGGGUUUCCCUCUUUCUCUUCUUUCCUCUGGCCUGUUCAGACACAGCAACCUUUGAGGUGCCUGAUUUGGAGAAACUAGCGGUUAGCUUGCUAUGAGAGCCGCUCCCUAUGAACUCAUUCAGAUCUUGGACCGAGGACACUUCAUACCCCGAAACCUUGCGGCCCUCUUUCUAUUGAAAAUAACAAAUAGACUAUAAAAAAUGCUCUAUGUCUUCUUCUCCAUAUUGAGAAACCGGUGCAGAGACCUGUCCACGACAAUCUGGCGAGGCCACCCAAGGGCGUGCUAGUCCCAAGGAAAGCCCAGGGUGAAUACCACCCCUAUCGGAGGAGUCCUUGACAUCUUCCUCUGCGUCGUCUCCUUGCUCCAAUGAGAAUUCUCCCCUUUUCAAGGGUGACCGACAUCCCAAUACCCCUUGUUGGUGAUUUUCCACCAGAGUUCUUGAGAUUCAGUCGCUUGCACUCUUCUUUCGAAUAUGGCAGCAUAUACUUGUUAACCUCUGUAAGCUCCAAGCACGUGGCCCAAGAUGUGAGAAUGUGCCUCAAAAGCCAAGUCUCUCGAUGGGUUCCCAAUUUGUCCUUCCAAUGAGCUACCUUGAUAUGCCGCUUCUCAAAGAAAACGGAGAAUGGGCAGCCUUGAUCGAGCCUGUGCUACCAAGAAAAUAUAUGAGGGAAAUACCCUCGAGCUUCUCAUUGUGGACAGUACGGUAGGGAAGAACCCCGCCCUUGACACUCAGCAUAUACAUCAGCUCCUUAUGAGUAGUAGGAGAACCGUUCAGGAUCUUGCCCGGCUCGUCCACAAAGGCACGGUCUGUGAGAUUCCCUACCGGGAAGGCGGGCCUCUUCAUGUGGAGGUGGUCGUUGCAGAACAAACUAUGCGCGUGGCCAGGAGUAUGGAAGAUUGCAUUCUGCUCAAUCCUCAGCAAAAAUAGGCAGAUCAUUUCCUCCAAUUCUUCGAUUAAGAGGUAGGUGCUCGGGAAAUAAGCCUCAAGCCAACCAUAUACAUAACGAAUGGGGAAAGGUGUCUUGAAGUCCCUUGGGAAGUCUUCGCUAUCCACUAUGUCGUUCCCUUCUUCAUCGCCUUGAUAAAUUUUUCCCCUAGACAUGACUCCUAAGCCGUAGUAGAUACUGCAAAGGAUCAGCUGUGCAAGGGCAUAUUUUUACCCCCUCGCCAUGUCACAGGCCAGAUAGAACGUGUUUGGAUAGAUAAUGUCUACUCCGCGGGGGAGAGUAAACUUGCACAAGAAAAUCACCAGAUAAGCGCCCAAGAAAACGUGUUCAUUCUCCUUCCGCAGCUCAAAAAAUGGUGGGGCCCCCUUCUCCCCUUUCGUCAGUGAUGGAUCAAAUUCAUCAUCAAAUCCCAAUAGAAGAAUGCCACCACUUGGUGAAGGAGACACAUCCCUUCUUGUUCUCAGACCAGAGCAGCUGGUAAAUUCCAAACAGCUCCUGAAGCCCAGUUGGUGUAGCUUCUUUCCCUACUUUCUCCCCUCCAAAAAUUACUGAGUUUGAAGGCACAAACUCAUCAUACAUAUUACCGAUGAGAAGCAGGCCACCAAUUAGAUACAGAUCUAACAGAGAUAUCCAUGCCUCCCCACGAUCGAGCAGCCAUGUAUUGCUGACAUGGCUCCAGGUCUCCAAAAGCACCUUGACUGUGUUCGAGCAACAAUCAUAAUAGCCCAUCGAGCACUAAAUGGUGGCCAGCAGGGAAGCACGCUUUAGAAUGUCCCAGUACCGGUUGAGCACUUGUGGUUCAUGAGGAGUAGCCCUUCAAAUAUUGGUGCUCCCCUUGCACCCGCAGGCUAGCAGAAGACCAUUUCAUGCUUGGGGUUUUUACCAUCCUCUUACCUAGAGUCGGCAAGUCCCCAUCCAAGGCUAUGUUUCGGUGCAGGCAAUGAAGUAGGCCUACCACUUCAUCUACACUCACAUUGCCAUCAUUAUCUUCCCCAUCACCAAUUGGACAGGGUCACUAACAACUGGGUCCACAUAAAGCGUCAUUGAACUAGAUGGUCUCACCUCUCACCAAGCUUUCGUCAGUGAAUUCAUUAGUGUCGAGCUUCCCUACUCGCGAGAGGUUCUUCAACUCUAGAAUAGCACCUGAAGACUGGGCCAUUAGAUCAAAAGCUUUGCUUUCAAAGGCCACUAAGAGGCCGCACAAAACUGUGCUCACAGAGGCGUAUUGUCGACUGGUCACUCAAGGCGUAAGGCUGACAAGCUUUUGCCGUCUCGCAGCUAAGGAAAAGAUUAUCGUCAUCUACUAAACGAGAUGGUAUCAUCGCACGACGAUUAAGGGGGUAUCGUCGUCUCGCCGCCAAGGGGUUAUCACCGUCAGCCGAAGUAAAGCACUUGUUGCCGCCUGCCCUUUAGAUGUUCUCACGCAUAGUGCGACGUACCAUGUCCCUUGAAAUCUGGGCACACCGCCUGACAAUCAUGACUUGGCCUGACUCCGCAUGUACGAAGGGCAAUCAUUCGCCAUCUCACAACCCUUCGUCUCCCAACUGUUGCAGGCCUGUGAAGCCUUGGGUUCUCAUUGACACUUCCUCUUCUCAUCAAGAACGCACUCCUAUUCAUUAGAAAACCCUUCCUCACCUAUUACUUAUUACUAGAGUUGGUAGAAAACUACUGAAAUCUCCAAAAAGCUUCCCUAUGUUCCUGCGAAUUUCCCUUCUCCCUGUUUUCGCACUUCAACUGUUUUACCCUUCGGUAAAAUAGUGAAAUGGGGUUUUCCCCCUUUUAUACUCGGCAUUGCAACAAACUGACCCUCACAAGUUAGAAAAGACACUGCAGUCCUCAUCUUCAGACGAUAAUAAGACGAGGUCAGGGCAGGUCAAGCUCGAGACCUGAAAGGGCCAUCACCGUGCGCUUCGUCGAGGUCCAUCACCGCACACUUCAUCGAGGCCUAUUGUCGCGUGCCUUCAUCGAGGGCUAUCACCGUGCGCCUUCGUUGGGGCUAUCACAACGCGCCUUUGACAAGGGCUAUUGUCGCACGCCUUCGUUAAGGGCUAUCGCCGAGCGCCUUCAUUUAGGGAUUUUGCUGCACACCUUCGUCAAGGGCCAUUACCGCAUGUUUCAUCAACGACCAUCGCCACGUGCUUCAUUAAUGAUUUAGUGUCGUGCGCCUUACCAAGUGGCUAACAUCGCGCGACCUUCAUCAAGGGCUUAACGCCACGAGCAUCAUCCAGAACUUAUCGUCUUGCGCAUGCCACAACACUCCCAUCUAGACCUUUGUCCAGCAUCUCCACGAAGUUCAUUCCUUGCACCCUAGUCUCACUCUUCACGAGUCAAGUUUCCAGUUACAGCUCGGUUUCCAGGAGGGUCACUUUCCCUUACCGUAGCCAUGGUUUAGGUGCAUGACCUUAAACUGCAUGGUCCAAACUAUAUGACUCUAAACUGUAGCAAAGGUCUAGUUGCAAGACCUUAAAACUUCUUGGUCCUAGCUGCAUGAAUUUAAACUGCAUAGCCAUGGUCCGAGCGACAAGACCUUAAAACUGAAACGGACGUUCCUGUAGUAAAAUGAUAAACAACACGACAAAUAGUCCUCACACAUGAUUUUAAACUUUGAACUAGAUGCACCAUUCGCUAGGUGUAUUCCAUCAACAUCCCUAGUGGAGUCAGGUGCGUUCAAAGGAAAAAGGGAGAAAUGCUUAACCCUUUAAUCCCCAAUGUGUAUGUUUCACACCAACACCCCAAUAGGAGUCACACCCAAUUGCGAUCCACUACCCCCAAUGGGGUUGCAUUUGUACUAUGGCUUAUCUUUCUCAGUAGAGUUACAUGCACACCAUUACUUAUCAUCCCCAGGGAGUCACACUUACCCUCUUAAUCCUCCGUGAAGUCUGCUUUCGCUUUCCACUCCUUGUAGGGCCACCAUCUUCAGCUAAAUCUCUCUGCUUGUGUAUAGCCUCAACAAUCUUUAUCGCCAAGGAGUAAGAUUGCUAUCCACAGACUUAUUCCCCAUGCAGAUUUACUUACAUGGCGACCCACACAAUGGUCCACUCUACAUGACCUUAAACUACACAACUGUGGUCUGUGCUGCAUGACCUUAGACUACACAGCCAUGGUCCGCCCAGCAUGACUUUAAAUUACAUAGCCAUGGUCUAUGCUUCAUGACCUUAAACUGAACAAUCGUGGUCCGUGCUGCAUGACCUUAAACUACAUAGUCUUGGUCUGCGCUGCACGACUUUAAACUGCAUAGCCACGGUCCUUGUUGCAUGAACUUAAAUUGCACAAUCGAGGUCUGUGCUGCAUGACCUUAAACUGUACACUCGUGGUCCGCACUGCAUGACUUUAAACUGCAUAGCCAUAGGCCAAACUAUACGACCUUAACUGUAGUAGAGGUCUAGUUGCACGACCUUAAACUACUUAGUCCUAGCUGCAUGACUUUAAACUGCAUAGCCAGGGUCCGAAACAAUGACCAUAACCAUAUGACCAUAACCGUAGUCUACGUCAUAGCUGCAUGACAUUACAAGGCUCAGCAUCAUGGCCCAAAAUAUAUGAUCUUAAACUAUAGCGGAGGUUUAGUUGCACUACCUUAAACUGCCCGGUCCUAGUUGCAUGGCUUUAAACUUCAUAACCACAGUCCGAGCUAUGUGACCUUAAACCAUAGUGCACGUUCUGACUACAUGACGUUAAAUUGCUUUACACAGGUCCUAGAGGCACGACCUUAAACUUGCACCCACAUACAUGCACACCCCCUUUUACAUGCGUUUUCACACACACUUUCCUUAACCGACUCAUUUGUUGCGCGCACCACCUUCAUUGCUCCCUCAGUGAACCCAUUCACCUCACUAUCACUAUUCAUCAUUCUCCAGUGAGUCUCACCCAUGCUCACAGAAAGGCAAGCCAUCUUGCCACCUAUACUCGCCGUCAGCUAGUGGCUCACCAUGUUUCACCCACCUUUCAUACAUCUUCCAUCUUUCAUAGGUAGCUUGAUGCCACCACCCAAAGUGAGUCAAGACCAUCACCAUACUCACUCUAUGGCCUCCAUAGAUUGCUGUUCCUCACCACUAUGAUCCAUCUGUAUGACCCUAAACUAUAGUGCACGUCCUAACCGCAUGAUGUUAAAAGGCUUUGCAUAGGUCUCGAAGGCAUGACCCUAAACACAUCUUCACAAAAAAUGGGGCAUGGUGUACACCGGGAUAGGGGAACGCCAUGAGUAAAAAUGAUGGACGGGCAUGGUCAUGAAACCAUGAGUAAAAGAGUUCCGUGAAAACAAAAACCCAGGCACGAUGAAAACCCCACAAGGGCACCAUGAGUAAAAAUGGAUGAAAAGGGAAGACAUGGACACAAGAUCAUGGGUCAAAGAGCCCAAAAACAAACGAAGUUGGUUAAAAUCGUCUUCACGGUGCCACUCCCCCUGUACAAGUGAAAACCCGCAAAGGGGGCUUGGACCAACAAAACAGGUUGAUGCAACACCACAGCCUCAGUAGACACACAAUUGCCAAACAGUCAUUUUUUACUGGAGAGGUCAACACAAAAUCCUCAACUACUAGCAUCCAAUCUAAUCACAAACAAAAAAUGGCUCAUCCGGGAUGAGAGCCUCAUAAGAUCUCCCACAAUUCACAUCCAAAAACAAUAAGAGUCCUUGAAGGUGAGGACGAUGAUCGAAAGAUCCCUCCAAAAUGCUAAAGAUCCCCACGAAGGUAAGAAACUGAUGAAGCUAGGGCCGAACCUGCUAAAGACUUCAGGGUAAUGUCUCGCCUAAAACCUUCCUUAGCCGACAUGGCCAAAUUUUUGAGAAAGGCUUCUAAAGGCCCCCGACUGGACACGUCAGGAUGGGGCCCAUGAGGUCGCCUCCCCAAAAUUCCAUCUACCCGACGGGCCCAGACUUUCAGGAUAGGUCAGAAGACCUCGACUGGACCACGCUGGACGGGACUUAUAGAGAUACCUUAAUCAUCAAAAGCAAACCUGGUGUAGCAGCAAACAAUGUCAACCAAAGGUUCAUAGCACUUGGCCUCUAGAUAGGCCUAAUUCUGACCAAUGACAUCCCUACAAAAUCCUCAAGUGUAGUCCCCCGAGGGUGAGAACUUCUACAGGAUCCCUCAAGAGUCUAUUCUCCCUCGAAAGUCUCCACGGGUGGACCCGUACAUUGCGUCCAAACGUCUGAGCAUCCUAGUUACACAUUGUGUGAAUCGCCUCAGCAUUCACGUAGUCCUGUGGCUAGCCAGGGAAAAUUUCCUAAAUGAUUGUACUUCUUGCUUCUCUUGAAGCACAACAUUUGAUGGGGCAUGCUGUUGGAAGACAUUUUUCAUCAUCAUGGGUCCCCAGUCAAUAAAGCCUAACAAAUAGUGGAAAUUUUGACAGUCUCAGAAUAGCCCUAGAACUGGCGGAGAACUUCAUAAGACUCUCAAAAGUUUCUUGCCAACCAACAAGCCUAAAUCAGCACAGACUGAGAAACAGUUUCUGCAGAGUCAGCCUCUAGCACCUUAAAACGAACCCUAUAACUAGAGCCAUAUUUUUGAUGUCUCAAUUUGCUAUGAGACCACUGCCAUUGGAUCUGACACUGUUGAAAACCCCAGGGGUCAAAUUUUAGCUUGAACAUACAUCCCAAGAAGAGUUAUAGGUCAAAAAGUGAAAUAAGAGGAGUCGCACGCUAUUCCCGUGCGGCCACCCUGCAACCCAACUCCAUUAAAGGGUGAGCCACGACUAGUAACUUUCAAAGCUUAUAUCUCCCUCGUUCAAGAUUGGAUCAUACUCAAAAUUGAUGGAGCAUGUUCGUCUCGUCGAGAAGAGCGUUUCGAUAUAUGGCAAGCUCAGCGAUGACGCCCGAGCAUGAAGAAAAGCUAGAUAAAAAUUGCUGAUCCAUGAAGAAAGUGCAGAAAAAUUGGCAGCAUCAUUCCUCGCUAGAGCAUCCAAAUCACGCCCCUCGCAUGCCUGAUAGAUGUGAAACUAAUUCCAUCACGUACGUAAGGGCUAGCGCUAUCCUUAGUCCAAACCCCGUACAUGAUGAAUGGUCGAAUUCCACACAUGAAGCCGAUGAAGUGACUACAAAUUUCUUCACCGGAAUUCCAUAUUCUGACCAAAACUUCAAAGUUGCAAAAUCUUCGUCCGGGCAUGGAAUCGAGCUACGUUUGUUGUCUCGCGAUCGUGACGGCAUGCUCAGUGUGUUUCAGUGAAGAAAUCGUAGAAAAAAAUUAAGGAACGAGUAUACAAUUGAUCUAAAGUCUCAAGAUUCAUUCAAAUUUCAAGUCACAUGAUCGUGCCCUAAAAACACGAUCCAUAGCUCGAAGUUGGUAUCAAAUCGAUCGCCAAGCCGAGACCUACAAGAAAAUAAUCAUCUUUCGAUCAAACGAGCAUCAGAACAACGCGGAUGAUCCAUGAAAACUCAUGCGCAUUCUAGGGCAAAACAGGGACGGUCUUAAAAUUCCACAACUUUUUAGGAAGGGAAAAAUUUGUCAUUUUGCAUGCUAUUUUCUAAUUUAUUUUAAUUCAGUUAAAUCGGAAUUUUCAAUAAUUAGGUUUAAUUUUGAUCAAUCCAUCCAUGUUUGGGCACAAUUCGAUAUAUACCACGUAUCAUCGUUGUACACAAAAAGGCUUGGAAAUCCUUCAUGAAAGAGAAUUUUUACUAAAUAGAAUUCCUUUUCCUUUUCAAUGUUGGGUCACAUUUGGAGAGAGAGAGUUAGGAGAGAGAAACAUUUGGACAGGUCCCCCUAGGCUCAAGAAAAUAAGGAAUUUACAGGUCAAGGGAGGCAAUUUCGAACCAGCUGAAAAAGCUGUGGGGCUUUCUUUCGUGAUCUAAGAGGGUGCCCGUGUGAGCCAGCCCGAGUAAGUUAUGGACCCAAGUGAGGUUGGUCCCCACCUCACAUCCAAAAUUCCUCUCUCACUAGUUAGAUACCUACCCUUAUUCUUGAACAAGGUUCUCAAGAGAGCGAUCUCAGGUCCUUCCGAACUUGAGACAUGUGUCAUUCGAUCACUUAGAUACGGGGAGGUGAGAUCGAGGCACCUAACCAAAACCAUGCUCAUUAUUCUUUUUUUGUAAAGGCGUAUUUGUGGUCAUGCCUUUAGGACCUGUGCAAAACCUUUUAACAUCAUGCAGUCAAAAGUGUACUACAGUUUAAGGUCAUAUAGCUAGAUCGUGGUGGUGAUCAAUGACAGCCUUUGGAGUCCAUGGAGUGAGCAUGGUGGUGGUUAUACUCACUUUGGGGAAAUGAGAAGUGGAUAGUGGUGACCUACUAGUUGACGACGAAUAUGAAUGGCGAGAUGGCUUGCCAUUUUGUGAGCACGGGUAACACGCACUAAAAUAUGAUGGAUGUUGGUAAUGAAGUGAAUGGAAUCAUUGGGGAAGUAACGAAGGUGUUGCGGGCACACGAACGGAUCGGUUGGGGAAGGCGUGCAUGAAAAUGCAUGUAAAGGGCGUGUACCCGUAGUGUUGCGGCAAUUUUAAGUUCAUGCCUGCUGGACCUGUACAAAGCAGUUUAAUGUCAUACGGCCAAGGCGUGCACUAUAGUUUAAGGUCAUACAACUCGAACCAUGGCUAUGCAGUUUAGAGUCAUGCAACUAAGACAACGCAGUUUAAGGUCGUGCAACUAGACCUCCGCUUCAGUCUAAGGUCGUGAAACUAGACCUUCGCUAUAGUUUAAGGUCAUAUAGUUUGGAUCGUGGUGCGAAGCCCUUUAACAUUAUUUGACAAGGAUGUGCACUAUAGCUUAAGGUCAUAGAGCUUGGACCAUGGCUAUGUAGUUUAGAGUCAUGCGGCUAGAACCAUGCAGUUUUAAGGUCAUGCAACUAGACCUCCGCUACAGCUUAAGGUCAUAUAGUUUGGACCUUGACUAUGCAGUGUAGGGUCAUGCAGCCCGGACCAUUGUGUGGAUUGCUGUAUAGAUGAAUCUCCAUGGGGCGAUAGAAUGGUUUGGUGAGAAGCGUACCCACUAGGGAUUAAUGGGGUAAAUAUGACUCCUCGGGGAUAACGAACAAUGGUAUGCAUGUAACUCCACUGAGAAUGGAAGACUAGAGCAAGAUUGUAACCCCACUGAGAAUUGAAGGAUAAGAAUGACCCUAACUCUACUGGGGAUUAAGCGGCAAUAUGGACGUGACUCCUACUGGGGAUAGUGGUAGAAUACACCCAGUGGAGAGGUGUGUCAAUUUCACAAUUUAAAGUCAUGCGUAUGGACUAUUUAUCCUUUUGUUUAACGUCUUGUUACAGGGGCGUGCAUUAUAGUUUUAAGGUCUUGUAGCUCGAACCAUGGCUAUGCAGUUUAAAGUCAUGCGGCUAGGACCACGCAGUUUAAGGUCAUGCAACUAGACCUCCACUACAAUUUAAGGUCAUAUAGUUUGGACCUUGGCUGUGCAGUUUAAGACCAUGAAGUUUAAAGUCGUGCAACUAGACCGGCGCUACAGCUUAAGGUCAUAUAGUUUGGACCAUGCAAUUUAAGGACGUGCACCUCGACCGUUGCUACAGUUUAAGGUCAUAUAAUUUGGACCAUGCAGUUUAGGGUCAUGCACCUAGACCGUUUAGGUGGUAAGGAAAUGUGGUUCCAUGAAAAAUAGAGCUGUAACUGAAGACUUGACUCACUGGGGAUGUAGAAUUGUGGCCAUGCGCAUGGUGCUUUGUUAAGCCUCGAUAAUGCGCACAGCGAUAGCUUCAUGAGAAGCGCAUGGCGAUAACUUCUUGUGAAGCGCAUGGAGAUAGCUUCUUGUGAAGCGUACGACGAUAGCAUCUUGUGAAGCGCACGACGAUAGCUUCUUGUGAAGUGCACGAUAAUAGUCUUGUGAAGCGCACAACAAUAGCUUCUUUUGAAGCUCACGACAUAGCAUCUUGUGAAGUGCAUGACGAUAGCUUCUUGUGAAGCGCACAAUAAUAGCUUCUUGUUAAGCGCAAGGCGAUAGCUUCUUGUUAAGCGCAUGGCGAUAGCUUCUUGGGAAGCGCACGAUGAUAGCUUAUUGUGAAGCGCACGAUGAUAGCUUCUUAUGAAGUGCACGGUGAUAACAUAUAUAGUAAAGCAUACGGUGUUAACAUCGCAUGGUGUUAAGGCAUAGACAGCAGCUGGUUCAUGAGACACAAGCAGCAACGACUCGCAUUCGGGCCUUGGGCUUGACCCACCCCAGCCUGGACUUUUCGCUGUUUGGAGAUGAGGACUGGAGUGUCAUUUCAAAUUUGUGAGGGGCACUUCACGUAGCCCUUGUCAUUAAAAGGAGCAAAACCCAAUUUUACUGUUUCACUUUCGGUAAACAAUGUGAGAGUUUUAGAGCGAGAGAGAAAUCCCGACAAGACCUUUCGACGAGAAUCAUAAUGCGCAGCGACUUCACCAGCAACACUUCAGUGAGUUUCAAGGUAUCCACAAAGUACUUGCGAAUAUAUUUUGAAAGUGCCACAGCUUCUAGAGAGGGUAACAGUGGCUUUGCAAGGAUCUAUCGAGACUUUUUCGAUGAAGAACGAUAGCCAUUGAAGCUUCUGUGAGAGAAACAGUGGUACCAUGAGGUUGUGACACUUUUUCGGUGUGCAUAGGGACUCUUUGGUGGACUUUUGGCACUUUAACGAUCACCGACAAGUUGCAGAGUCCCUGGGGACACCAGGGAGGAGAACAGGGACUGCUCGCACUUGCAUAGGGCUUUCCGGUGACUUCCUGAUGUCUUUGCGAUUGCUGUCAGGCAGAACAAAGCUCCAACAGUGGUUCUUCCAGAAGCUCAGUGAUUUUUAGUGAGUAGUAGAAUGUUAAGAGGGGAGAAGGAAACCCGUAGGGUCACAAGGGAGCUUCUACAAAGGUUUCGGUGAUUUCUCGGUAUUCUUGAUUGUUGAUAAGGGGAAAGAACAGGGUCAGAAGGGGGUCCUCGUUGGGUGGAGAAGUGUUUCCGGUGGAAGAGGAAACAACUAUAAGGGACUGAAGGGUCGCAAGCCUGUAACGGUCGGGAGGCGAAGGGCCAUAAGGCGGUGAACAGUCACCCUCCGCAUGCAGGGUGACAAGCUAUGUCGCGAGUGUCAAUUGGUGUGCCUAGAUUUUUAAGGAUGUGGCAUGCCGCACGUGUGACGCGUGUGAACAACUUGAGCGCAACCGAUGUUAGAUGCAAACGCCGUUAGCCCACCUUUAGUCGUGAGAUGGUGAUAGGCCCUUUAGUCGUGAGACGAUGAUAGUCCUGCCUUCCAUGCACGGUGAUAGUCUUGCCUUCUGCACACGAUGAUAGUCUUGUCUUCUGUGCAUGACAAUAGCCUCUUUAGUUCUGCGACGACGAUUGCCUUACCUUCUGCUCAUGAUGAUAGUCUUGCCUUCUGUGCUCGACGAUAGCAUCUUUAGUCAUGCGAUGGCGAUAGCCUUGCCUUCUGUGCAUGAUGAUACUCUUGCCUUCCACGUACGGCGAUAGCCUUGCCUUCUUCACAUGAUGAUAGCCUUUUUAGUCAUGCGACGGCAAUAGACCAGCCUUCUGCACACAACGUUAGUCGUGCCUUCUGCACACGGCGAUAGCCUUGCCUUCUACGCACGACGAUAACACUGCCUCUUAGUGACUUGCAUGCGAUAGUGAAGCCUUUGCUCUAGCUUCAUGGCCCAACCUUUAGGCACCAUUCUUGACGUGAAGAACCUCCCAAGAGUAGGGGAGCUUGGCACUAAUGAGUUCACUAGCGAAAUCUUGAUUUUGCUCACCGAGGCUUUGUGUGAACCAAGGUGGCCUUUGAGAGUCACCUUCGCUAGUGACCCCGUCCGCUUUGAGGUUAGAGAAGACAACUAUGAGAAUGUAAGAAUAGAAGAAGGGUUAGGCCUCCUUCAUUGUUUGCAUAGGAAUAUAGCCUAUAGUGGGGACUUGCCAACCCUAGGCAAAAGAAUGAUGGAGACCCCGAGCCAAAAGUGGUCCUCUGCUGGCCUCCGGGUACAAGGGGAGCACCAGUACUUGAAAGGGUACUCUUCUUGGACUGUAAGGCUGCUAAGUCGAUAUAGGGACAUUCUGAAGAGCGCUUCCCUACUAGCUGCCAUUCAAUGCUCGGCGGGAUACUAUGACUGUUGCUCGAACACAGUCAAGGUGUUAUUGGAGAUCUGGAGCCAUGCUAGUAACACAUGGCUGCUUAGUCAUGGGGAAGCAGGGAUGUCUCCGUUAGAAUUGUACUUCAUCAAUAGGCUUCCACUCAUCGGUGUUAUGUAAACGGGUCGGGAAAGAAGACCCGCCAGCUGGAUUGCAAGAUGUUUUUAGGCUUUACCAGUUGCUCUGCUCAGAGUCCAAGAAACGACGUGUCUCCUUCACCUAGAGGGUGGCGUUCUUCUAUGGAUACUGUAAUGAUGAGGCUGGUCCAAGCUCGAGAGGAAAGGGGAAGGAAUUCAUGAAGGGAGCCCCUCUUGUAUUUGAACUUUACAACAGGAACGACCACAUCUUCUUGGCGGUGUACUUGGUACUCUUUCUGUGAAAGUUUGCUCUCACAGGAGGAGCAGACAUUAUAUGUCCAGGCAUGUUCUAUGUAGCCUGUGACAUAGCGAGGGGGCGAGAGUACGCACUCACACAACCGGUCUUAUGCAACAUUUACUAUGGCUUAGGAGUCGUGUCCAGAGGGAAAGCUUAUUAAGGCAAUGAAGGAGGGAAUGACAUAGUGGACGAUGAAGCCUUCUCAGGGGACUUCAAGAUGCCUUUCCCUAUCCACUAUGUGUAUGGCUGGCUCGGGGUUUAUUUCCCCAACACCAACCUCAGAAAUAGGGUGUUGGAUGAAACAAUGUACCCAUUUCCUCUAAGGAUUGCUGGGCAGAAUGCAAUCUUCAACACUCUUGGUCAUGCACGUAGGUUGUUCUACAAUGACCACCUUCAUAUGAGUAGACCUGCCUUCCCGGUUGGAAACCUCACAAAUCACGCUUUUGCCGAUGUGCUGGGCAAGAGCCUGGAUGGUGCCCCUACCACUCAUGCGGAGCUCAUGUUCAUGUUGAGCACCAGACCUUACUGUACCAUCCAUAGUGCAAAACUCAAGGGGUAUUUCCCUCAUAGAUUUGCCUGACAGCACAAGAUAGAUCAGGGGUGCGAAUUCUCGGUAUUCUUUGAGAGGCAGUAUAGCAAACUCAGCUGCAGGAAAAAAGAUUAGCUAGGGACCCAUCAUGAGACUUGGCUUUUGAGGCACAUUUUCACAGCUUGGGCGAUGUGCUUGAAGUUCACCGUGAUCAACAGGUACGGGCUACCAUAUUUUGGGAGAACGGUGCGUUCCACUAAGGCCCACGAAUGCUGGUGGCGGAUCACUACUAAGGCGUAUUGGGAUGUUAGCCACCCUUGGAAAAGGGAGAACUCCAGCUGGAGCCAGGAGACACGGUAGAGGAGGAUGGUGAGGACUCCUCCAUUGGGGGAGAUAUUCACUCUGGGCUUCCCCUGGAACUGGCACGACGUUGGUCAGCCUCGCCAAAUUGCCGUGAACAAGUCUCUACCACAGUUUCUUCAUAUGGAGAAGAAGACAGAGAGCAUUUUUGACAACCACUCUGCUAUUUUCAAAUGGAAGGUGGGCUGCAAGGUUUUGGGGUAUGAAGAGCGCUUAUUUUAGGAUUUAAACAAGUUGAUAAGGAGCGGCCCUCACAACAAACUUACUGCUGGCUUUUCUCGGAGGGGUGUUUCUGAGACUGCUCCUCCUUCUCAAGCGAAGGGUAAGAAGAAGAAGAGGGCUGCCCUAACCGUUCCUUGUGGACCAGCUCGUCGAGCUCUGAAGCGUAAGGGGCUCAAACCUCCAGUGGUUCAAGAGCCGGAAGAUGGUUCAUUUGCCUGCUGCUUCUUCGGAGUCCUACGUGUCCCCUACUAUUUCUGUAUUACCCUCUACUCUUGAGGAUCCGUCUUCCUCUUUUAGCUCUUCAAAGACUCAAGCCGGUGCCUCGGAUCCCACUGCACCGUUCGAAAUUGCUUCAAAUCAGGAAAUGACGUCCGUGUGUGAAGGGGAGGGCCCAAUCCUGAUGGAGAAGAACGGGGCUGAUGAGGUCAGCCUUGAUGAGGUAGUCGAGGCAAAGAGGGCCUCUGGGGCCCAGGAGGUUGCUACGCUUACCAGAGAAAGGGAAACCCUAAUAAAUCUUAUUGUCAUAGAGGAGGCUAGUGCCUUAGGGACUGAAGAGGGGCUACCCAAGCUGCAGGAAGUUGUUGCUUUAAGUGAUGUAGUUGUAGGUGAUGCAGAGAUUAGACAUCCUCAGGGGGUUGAUCUUGUGGGCCCAAAGAAGGUAGUCGCAGCAGGUGAUGAAGGAGUGGAUGGCCUCAUAGCCACAUAAGCAGCGGGCUCAACAGAAGAAGCGAUAGCUGAAAUGGCUGCCCUAGAGGACAAGGGUGCAAAAGAAGAGGGGGGAGGUGUCAAACCUACCGAAGAGGAGAUGGCGGUUCAAGAAGAGAGGGGACAGGGAGAAGAAGUUGGCCCUUAAAGGACCAAUCUUACUAAUGGUGAGGCCGAAAACCCAAGUGAGGAGGCCGAUAUUGUGAGGGUUGAGGAGGUUGAGACUAGGGCCCCAAAUGAUGAGAGUUUGGGCCUCGCAAUCCCUCAGGUAGAGCCAAUAGCUCACACGGCUACCAUCCCCUCUGGCCCUGCCGUGAAAACUGAUGCUCCUUCCAUUAUAGAGGCCCCAAUAGCAUUGCUUAAGCCUAGCUUGAGUGGGAUGCUUGGCAUAAUUAUGGACAUGCUGUGUUUGGGCAUGCAGAGGCUGAAGGCUGAAAUUAACAAUGUAGUCCAACAGUUAAGGUAGGUCGCCCUUGUAGGGGGUACACCAGAGGUCCUCCCUUACUUCGACGGUGUCGAAAAUGAGAUGGUAGGAUGGAGAAUAAGGGCCUUGAAUGAAGAAGCUGGAGAUUUUUAAUUGCCUCCUUUGGAGUCCUCACUCAUGCAUCAAUACGAAUUGAUAGAAUCUCAAUUGCAUCAAAAGGAUGCUACAAUCUCCCAGAGGUCGAACCUUGCUAAGGAGGCCAUCACCUACCAUCACAGGGCGAUGACCCUGCGAGCGAAGAUAUUACAGCUGAUGCUAAAGCUGGAAAAGUUAGAGAAGGAGAUUGUGGUUUGGGAAGCAAAGGACAAGGUGCUUGCCGAUAAUAUUUUUGCCCUUGAGUACUCCUUGGAAAAAAAGGCCACCUUGAUGGAGCAUUAGGCUGAGCUGAUGGUGGAACUGAGAGGCAACAUCUAGCGGGUGAGGGCCUCGGCCGAAGAGUACAGGGGAAAGAUCAAUGAGACAAUUGAUCGUUUUUUACAGUGCUCUCCUUCUCUUUUUCUUUUCAUUUCUUCUAUUGUAAAGAAAAGAACACUUGUAAUAGCCUUUUAAUUUAUGAAUGAAAUAAUUCUUUUCUCUUUCUGUGUGAUUCAUGUCUUUUAUUCUUCCUUCUCUUUUUGCUUCAUUGUUUCUGCCCUUUCACAGUUUCAGACGAAAAAGAAUAGCCUACUCCUUGCUUUGCCUUAUGAAAGCUCGAUGUGGCUUCAAUGACCUCAAAUGGGAGCAGUUGCUUCCUCACCCCUUAGUGUUUGAUUGGACCGAGGCUCAUAAUCCAUGGUUAUCAUGAUUUGGUGAGCAUGUUCACUAUAAAUACUCCAAUCUGAGGGAGCCUUGGCUUUGAUUCAAAGUGCAAUGCUCUUGAGGUCAUCAUAGGUCUUAGUCUCAGGGAUGAACUUCUUUAAGUGCUUUGAAGUGACACGCCUAACCUCAAAUUGGUUCUAGAGGCUGCGAACCUCACUUCUUAGCUCUACCAUGGGAUCUUGUUCCUGAGAGCCGGAGGACUGACCUUUGUCUGCCUGUCCUUCUCUGAGAGUAUCUGAGAAGUGUAAGACCUUCUUUUGACUGUUGGUGAUCUCCUUGUUCAAGGAGGAUGGGAUUUGGAGUACCUUCCCUGGUGAUUGGUAUGCCAAUUCUGUUUCUAGGAGAGUGGUGGAGACAUGCAGGACUUUUUGCUGGUCAGGAGUAUAGGUGACCCUCGGUGCUGGAAGGUCUACUUAUAGGGCUUCUCAACCUCAUGAGGUACUUCUAGCUCAUCAUUUUUUCUGACGAACUAGAAGUAGAGUUAGAUGGGGAGGCUUCAUUCUCGGGGGAUGACACCAUGGCUUCAGAGACAUGGCAAGGUAUACUUGGGUAAAUGGGAGGAUCUUGCCUUGUCUUUCCUCCUUUUGAACAUGUUCGCAAUCAAUCUCUCAAGGUCUUCGACAUCAUCAUGAGACGAGGUUCCUGUCUCUCUCACGUGCUCCCAAUCAUCAUCCUUUGGCUUUUCUAGUGCUAGAAGAUCUGUGAAAUAGUACUUAGCAUCAACAUAAUGAGUCUUGGCUAUGGGGAACAGUCUCUUAUCAGCAUAGACCAUGUACUGUCUCCCAUCUCGACUGUACUUGAGGCAUUGAUUGAGCGUGAAAGGAACCAUGCCCCGAUCGGGGAACCAGAGGCGGCCAAGCAAGACAUUGUAAGAGGUAUCGGUGUUAAUUACAUGGAAUUGAGCAUAAUGUUUCACGUCACCGAUCUUGAGGAGAAGGCGAACCAUGCCGGCCGAUUUGUCUUCUGAUUGGUUGAACCCCUGCACAGUAAUGUGGGUAGGAGUGAGGUUCUCAGAUCCUAAUCCUAAUCAGGUGAGGAUCCUCCUUAGGAUUAGGUUGACUGCUGACCCUCCAUCCAACAUAAUUUGGUUGAUAGGGCAGGUAUGUAGUUUUCACCAGUCACGAAGAGGGGGAGAUUGUGAAACUUUCCUCUCACCUGAAGGUCAUCCUCAGAAAAGGUGAUCGUCAAGCACCCACUCAGGAUGGUUAGGUCCACCUUAAUAGGCUCCACAUUAGUCUCGUACACGUUUGGGUUAAAAAAGGCUUGAACUAGGGCCAUACGAUAAUCUCUAAACAGCAGAAGGGCAUCAUAGAUACUUAGAAGGGCUAGAAGCUUUCUCAAAUGCCCAACUAUGUCAUAUUUCACCUUAUCCUCAUCUGCCUUCUAUGCUCUUGAUCAAGUCACUGGUUUUGGUGGUAGGGUGGGUUUAAGAGCAGGUUUUGGUUGAGCUUUGUUUUGUGACACUGGCUGACUUUACGGUUCUGCCGAUGCGGUCAUGGGAAGGUAAUAGGGAUUUGUAUUAGGGAUGUGGAGGUUUGAGGUUGAGGCUUAGGGAAAAGUGAAGGAUCAAGAAACUUGAGGACCUUGAACUUCUGCACCAUAUGGGAGGCCUCCUUUGAACAGGAGCUUACAGAUAGCUCGAUCUUAGCUUAAGUAGCCAAGGCGCUAGCGACUGUCAAGAAUCCUACCGCCUGAGCUAGCAUCUUUCUUAAGCACCUCUAAUGUGACCUGCUAAUGUUGGUGCCUUCGAGCUCUCUGUUGAGAGUAUCAAAGUUUGGGCACUGCCGAGCAGUACCUGUGAAAGAGAUAGAAGAAGAUGGAGGAGGAGAAGAAGAAACAGUGUUAGAGUGUUAUCGACAGCUUUUUACGUCAUCACCAGAAUUUGACGUAUUCAGGGGGUAUUUUAGGUCUUUCCCCAGCUCUGACCAUUGGGGGAUGCUUUUAAUGUUGUCGCCUAUAUUGGAUGAGUCCCGAGCAGUUGAUGACUCAGGAAAAUCCACCUGAUUGGACAAAGUGAUAAGGUGAAUUGCACUUGGGAUGAAGUCCUGUAAGGUUGGCAGUGGAGGAAGGGGCUUGAGAAAUUCUUUCUCGACUGGUAGCUGAAGAAUAUAGUUCCUUCAGUAAGCUGACCUGGGUGCUCAUCUCUUUUUGGAUCUCUCGGGAGGCAUUUGGUUCAUCCUAUCAGGAUGAUGAGUAGCCCUAGCUUUGCAUAGUGCCUCAGGCUCUAGAGAUUUGAGCAUACUUCGUCUAUGGUAGACUUCUCAAGGCUGAGAAGUCGAGGGCUUUGAAGGGUCUAGUGUAGGUUCAUAAGGGCCUCUUGGAUGGGAGCGAUGGCUUGGAAGUGUUUCUAGGAGAGCAACGCAAACAAUGUGGCCUUUCUAUACCUUCUCCAUGACUACAAUGGGCACCAGAGAUUUUUUCGUACCUUGCGCAAGAUGCCUAGGCUGCCUGACGGUCUUGAGAGUGACGAGACCUUGUUGGAGCAUCACCUUGAAGAGGGACUGCAGAGGAUCUAGCUCAGCGCUUCCCUAUGCUUGUGGUGAGAGAUCUUUUCGCACUGGUGGAGCAAGGACUUAAGAGUGUCCUUCUGGGUUACCAUGAACUUCUUGGUGGUACUGUAUCUUCUUUUCUGACAGCUCAUGGAAGGCAAUGCAUUCGCUUAGGUCAUGACCUCGUAUCUGAUGAUACAAACACUAGAGAUUCUUAGUUCCUGGUGGCAGGAACUUGGGCUGCCUUGUCUACUUUGGUGUGAUGAGACCUUCUUUGAGCAUUACAGAGAAUAGUACAUGGAGGACAGUGGAUGCCUCAUCAUUCACCUGGAUUGUUAUGUGGGAAGCCUUAGUUGCCUCGAAUGCUUUCUUUAGCUCCUGGAGCUUUAUCAGACCCUUGUUAAUAAGGGCUUUGAUCAUGUCUUAGAGCAUAUAACACUCUUGAGUGGGGUGGCCUACUCUUUGGUGAUAUGCACAGUAUCUCUCGUGUGUAUCCUGUCUAGCCUGCUUUAGAGAAUUGGCUUUCGGCAGCUGGAUCAUGUUUUGCUCUAAUAAUAACAGAAUCAGUGCAGGAACCCACUCCUUCUCAAAGGCGUACAACCUGUUUUAGUGUUGGAACUAGUCGUCACUUUGAUUUAUAUUUUUAAGGGGUGGGAUCUUGUUAUAGGACUGUUGUGUUGUCUGUGCUUUGGUUGUGACUACCCCUUUUGAGAGGUCCAAGGUUUGAGAGGCGGCUUUCUUGGUGUCAGUCACAGUGACAGCCGCACUAAUCACCCCUUUUUACUCAUUGCCCCGAUUAUUAGAGCGAGAAUAACCAUCGCCCACGUUGUUUCCCAAGCUAGAGGGCUGCUGACGAGAUCCAGCAUGGUGCUUUGAUAGACCUUCUAUACGAACUGCUUUAGGGAUGAGCUCUGAGAUGGAGGGUGGAUUGGAGGCCUCAACAUGCAGGACAAUCUCGGGCAACAUAUUUCAUAUGCAGGUCUGAACUGCAUCUCUUUCAGUCAUGGGAGUGUAAUGAUAGGAUGCCAACUCUCUCCAUUGGGUGAUGAACUUAUCGAUUGGCUCAUCAGGCUCUUGAAUGAGUGAGGAGCUCGAUGGUUUCCAUGUUUCUUUGGACCUCAUAGAAUCUCUGGUAAAGCAAUUGUUCCAUUUCCUGCCAUGUGUCCACCGAGCUUGAUGGUAGCUGAGCAUACCACUAGAAGGCUGGCCAUUUGAGAGUCUGAAUGAACUGAUGGAGGAGGAUUCGCUCGUCAAAUGCCAUCUCUCGACAAGCUGCUUGGAAGUGAGCAGUAUGCUGGUGCGGGGAUGUAGCACCAUUGAACAUGGGAGCUUCUCCUUUUGAUAGUUUGGGGGAAAAGGCACCUGGUCAAUAUACGAGGGAUACAACUUUUAGUAAAGUGGUGCCCCUUGCAUGCCCGGGAUCUUCCUCUUGAGACUGUGGGUCACCAUGACAUCUACAUUUGCUUACGAAACCAUGCGGGGAGCAGAGCUGUGUUGGGAGGUCGGCGGGGGAGUUUGCCUAGAAGUUGUAUCCUCUCCAAGCUGGGAGUUGGCCUCAUGUGGAGGAGGAGAAGCAGGGGGCCUGGAGGCCUCCAGGCGAUCCAUCUGUUCGAAAAUGGACUGCAUCAUCACCUCGAACCUGUUCAUCAACUCUUUAUGGGUGUCACCCGAUUCGUUGAUCAUCAUGACGCUGACCGUUUCUUCUAGAGCGUCAGAGCCAGGUGGAGUAGUGGACUGCAUCAUACACGGCGAGUCGAUCUACAGGGGCUCAGCAUGCCCUGACUGGACUCGAGUCUUUUACGGGGAUCUUGUGAGGACCGGUUCUUGACGGUCUUGAGAUCAUGACUUCUUGACAGCUCGGGCUUCUCUUGUGACGGUAACCACCGAGCAAUGUUCUUGGACCACUUGUUCAGGCUCUGGAAUCCGAAGAGGGAAGAAGGGGUUGUGAGGCAAGAGGUCAUCAAGAGUGGUAACCUCAACUGCCUUAGGGGCCUUUCUAGUCAAGAGCAGCAAGCCUCUCUUCUGCUUGAUCUUGAGGCUGCAAUAAACUCCACUCAAGAAUUGAGUUUGAGAUUUGGAUUGCCCCAUCUUUCUUGAGCAAGGUAGGGCUGUGUUCAUGAGCUGGAGCAGAGAGUGAGGUCCAAGGAUAGAAAGCAAUUUGGGCUGCCACCUUGAAGGUUGUAGGCUUUUAUCUGCCAUCACGCCCUUUCCCCGAAUUCCCUUGUGAGGUCCGGGUGCAUGGCUGACCUGAGGUGGUUGACUCAAGAUGGUACUCUUAGGGAAAACCUUUGAGUACUAGGUCUCCAGGUGUUUGCCAAGCGAAGGAAGGGUGAAAGAAGAAGGAACUAGCUCAUGACUCCACCUGAGUCAGGAUCUGGGAGGAACCUGUGAAGCUGGUGCGUGUGCACCUUUGAAAGCAGCCCUCCAGGUCACUUGGGGGUCAACCUGGGCUCAAUCAGCUUGUUCGACCUUAGAAGGUCGAGACCAACGAGCUCGUGUCUUUGAGGGACUGGGUAGGAAACCAUCUCUCACCGGGUGAAGUCAUGUGUACUGAAGGGGAGGACGAAGUGGUCGACCCCCGUGUGCUCGAGCUAGCGCAGAACUGACGCUUCCCCGAGCUGUAGGAUGCAAAUACAUGGCACGUGCAGGGUUCGGCUUGAGAAGGCCUAGCCUUGAACGUGAGCUCAAGGCAGCAUGAAAGUUGCUCCAAGGUGUCGCUCGAGUGAAUGACCAUGAGCCCUUAGGUGUGUGUUAGAGGUGGAGGCCCCAGGGUCUCCACCUUAGUGUGUUGAGCCCCUAGGGAUAGAGGUUUGGGGUGGUGAAGUAGUAUGGGGGGUGGCCUUGUGGCGACCCUCAGGAGAGAUGGCAACUUGCUUGCCUUUCGCGAAAGUGGAUGGGGUAGCUUUUUGGCCUACCUUAGCAAUAUGACUGGCAAGGGACUUGCCAGUAGUAGGGUACAUGCUGUGGGUGAUAGCAAAUGUGCUACUAAUGCGAAGGGCCUUGGUGGAGGGUCCACCAAGACUAGAAAGUGGAGAGCUAGGGACCUUCAAGUCCCUUCCUGCAUCAAUUCAGAAAACAACUUGGGAGCCGAACUGUGAGUCCUGACUAAAAAGAUGUGUAGGGUAUGAGCCUUGAGAAACUCGCUGCCUUGUGACGGUCACGAGUGUGGGGAUGAGAAAAUCCCCAACUCUGAUGAACGGGUUGAAUAACCCAGAUGCCUGUAAUACAGUGCAGAAAAUAAAAGGUGAUGUCGAUCAAGCAAGAGUGAACAGACAAAGGGGUAGUCCAUAGUGGAGCCAUCAAACUGGUCGGAUGCCUUGAUCUUGCGUCUCCGAAUCUAGGUGAUCGGGUGACACAUGUCUCGGGUUCAGAAGACCCGAGAAUUAAGAUCGCUCUCUCGGGAGCCUUAUUCACAGAACAAGGGCAAGUGCUUAACUGGUGAGAGAGGAAUUUAAAAUGUGAGGUGAGGACCAACCUCACUUGUGUCCGUGACUUACUCGGGCUGCCUCGUGCGGGCACCCUAUUUGAUCACAAUGGAAAUCCCCUAACUGCUUCAACUGGUUCAAACUCCUCCCAUGACCUACAAUCUACUUGUUGACAGCGCAACACUAACAUGGUUAAUUGGUAAGACAAGUGGACCGAUGGACCCACCCUUGUCUUACAAUGAUGUACAUUCAUACAGCAGAGACGAUGAGGAGUUAGGGUGAUGAAUAAGAUGAGAAAUAGAAGAGGACUCGACAAGGGGACCAGACUAACAUGAUAACUGGACAAGUACAAUGACUGACUCAGAUUGGUACCAAAACAGACACGAUAAUCGGCGCGACGGCAAUACUACUCGAAACCAAGGUCGAUAUGAUCGUCCUAAUCUGGUGUGGCAGCUAGAUGGGCAUGAUACUCUAGACCAACACGACAGUAAUACUGCUUGAUAUCCAGACCGCUACAACAAUACUAGACUGAGUCUCCCCUUUAGUCAAGUGAGAAGAGAAGAGAAGACAUGAGACGGCAAAGGAGGAAGGUCCCAGCGGCAUUAGGCAUCGCCUUCCACAGCAGUGGAGUAACAGUGUCGUGUCCCCUGGACAGCGCUGGACACUACUCCUUGCAGCGGAAGGGUGAGCAGUGAACUACAGAUGGAAAUCCCCAUCGGCAACAUGAGAAGGCAGCACGCGGCGAUAGGUACAGAGCGUAAGAAAGAAGCCUGUGGACUGUGUUACGCAUCGCCACGACCCUUCGCGGGCGGCGCUAGGCAUCACUGUCUACGAUAGGCACCGGGCACAAGAGAUGCCGGCAGACAGCGUUACACGUCGUCGCGACCCUUCGCGGGCAGCGACAGGCAUCACCAUCUACGAUAGACGCAGGGUGCAAGAGAAGCCUACAGACGAUGUUACGCAUCGUCGUGGCCCUUUGCGGGUGGCGAUAAGCAUCGCCGUUUGUGAUAAGUGCAGAGCGAAAUAGAAGCUUGCGGAUAGUGUUACACAUUGCCCUUCGUGGGGGACGAUAAGCAUCGUUGUUUGUAAUAGGCGCAGGGCACAAGAGACGGCUGCGGGCGUGUUACGCAUCGCCACUACCUAUCGUUGGCAGCGAUAGGCAUCACCGUCUACAAUGGAUGCAAAGAAUGAGUGAGACCCGAGGGGACGGCAAUAGGCAUCGCCUUCAUAUAGAACAGAAAUGAACGGAGAGAGAGAGAGAGAGAUAGAGAGCAGCUCGUGCAUGGAGCUGCCAUCGCCAUGCAUGUCAUACGAAGUCACCAGAGGAGGAAAAAAGAAAGAGGCAUACAUGACACUGCCACUACUGUGCACGGCCUCUAAGAAAGACUCAGCAGAGGAGACGGAGAAUAAAGAGAAGAAGAGAGAAAAAGAAAACCAGAGAGAGAGGAAAGGAAGAGAGAGAAAAUACCAUGAAGGUGAGAGGGGUAUCGCUCUAAAUUUUCUCUCUUCUCUCUCUCCAAGACGCACUCAUGAAUUCAAGGAAGAAUCUCAAAUUUUAUUGCUCAGAGAGUGAAAGGGGGGUCCUCUACAAUCUUUUUCCAACCUCUUCUCAAUGAGAGGUAGCGUCUAUUUAUAGACUAGGGCUAAAACAUGGGUGGAUCACCCAAAACUAACCCAAAUUGAUGAUAAUUAAGGUUUAUUUGAAUUAAAAGAAAUAAGAAAAUAUGGAACAAAUUGAUUGAUUUGCCCCUACCUAACAAUUCAUGGAAUUCUAAAACAGUCCAUGCUGCUGCCCUAGAACAUGCGUGAUCCUCCGUGGAUGAUCCGGGGUUGAUCUGAUGCCCGUUUGUCCGAAAGAUGAUUGUUUUCUUGUAGGACUCAGCAUGGUGAUCGAUUUGAUACCAACUUCAAGCCAUGGAUCGUGUUUUUAAGCCACGAUCAUGCGACUUGAAAUUUUGAUGAAUUUUGAAAACUUCGGAUCGGUAGUGUGCUCGUUUCUUGAUUUUUUCCAUGAUUUCUUCAUUCGAACACACUAGGCAUGCCGUCACGAUCACGUGGAAACAAAUGCAGCUUGAUUUCUUGCCCGAACAAAGAUUUCAGACCAUUGGAGUUUUUGCCGAAAUUUGAAAUUCCAGUUCCAGAAUUUACAAUCCCUUUAUUGGCUUCAUGUACGAAAUCUAACCAUUCAUCAUGUACGAGGUUUGGACCAGAGAUAGCCCAAGACCUUGCACAUAUGAUGAAAGUGUCGUGUCAAUCCGAUGUGUGAACGCUGUGAUUUGGCCGCUCGAGCGAGGUGUGUCACUGCAGAUUUUCUUGCAACUUUCUUCACGAGUCGUCAAGGGGUGUGCCAUAUAUCGAAACGCUCGUCUUGACGAUUUGAACACUCUCACAAAAUUUGAGCGUGAUCCGACCUAAGACAAAUGAGAUAUGGAUCCUGAAAUUCACUAUUCAUGACUGUCCCUUUAAUGGAGAUUACUUACGGGAUGGCUGCACGGGAACAGUGUGUGGCUCCACCUGUUUCAGCCUUUUACCCAUAACUUCUUCCUAAAGUGUCCUUUAAGCUAAAAGUUAACCCAUAGGGUUUUUCAACUGUGCUAGAUUCCAAUGGCGGUGGUCCCACGGCCAUGUGAUGCUUCAAGAGCUAGAGGUUGAUUCUACCGAAACUGUUUCUCAGUCUCCAUUGCCUUAGAGAUGUCAGAAUGCGAAACUUGACAGUAGGCUUUUUGGAGCCCUUAUGAAGACCUUCGCUAGUUCUGGAGCAAUUUUGAGAUUGUCAAAAUUUCCACUGUUUGUUAGGCUUUAUUGAUCGGCUUCUCCCUUUUAUUCCGCAUCGGGGACCCAUCGUGCUGAAAAAUUUCUUCAAACAGUAUGACUUUAAACUACAUAGCCAUGGUCCAAUCUAUACGACCCUAAACUAUAGCACACGUCCUAGUGGCACGAUGUUAAAUUGCACAACAUACGGUCUCGGAGGCAAGACCUUAAACAUGCCCUCAGGUCUUGGCGGAUGACCUUAAAACACGUUAAAUUGAUAGUCGCGAUGGCAUGACCCUAAAUACACUUCUACAAAAAAAUGAAAAGAAGAAGAAGACCUACAUGAUGAAAUCUCGCAAGGGCGUCACAGGUAAAAAUGUCAAGAAAAAAAUGAAUGACGGACAUGGUGUGCACCCUCAAAGGCCACCAUGGGCAAAAUAUGUCAAAAAGAAAAAAAGACAGGCAUAGUGAAAACUCGCAAGGGCACUAUAGGAAAAAUUGUCAAAAUAAAGGGGGUGUGGUGAAAACCCUUCGGGGCACUUACCAUCAAAUGACGGGAGUGUUGAUCCUCUCCUAAGGGUCAUCACGAAAAAAAAUGUCAAACAUUCAUGUAGCAAGACGUUAAAAUUGUGCAACAUUAUAGUCCAUUCGCACGACUAUAAACUGUUUCCUGUUCCUACAUGUUUCCAUGGGAUUACCGCAUGACACCCUCCUACACAUCCUCUACUACAUCCUUCUUCGCAAGCCCCCCGGUGAAAGGACACCAUCCCUUUGAGGUGUCCUCCGUAAUCAAAGUGUACCUCAGUUGCGACUGUGACGAUUCAAAGAAAAGCGUGCAUUUCAAGGCUUGCGACCACCUCUAUUAAGCCAUAUUACAAAACGUGUACCACAGUUCCGACUGUGAGGCUUCGAAGCAGAGCAUGCAACUGUGAAGGCAUGCGAUCGCCUCUACAAAGCCAUAUAUUAAAGAGGUGUACCACAGUUCCGGCUGUGAGGCUUUGAAGAAGAGCAUGCAACCAUCAACGCAUGUGCCUGCCUCUACAAAGCAAUAUCUCAAAGAGGCGUACCACAGUCUCAACUGUAUAUCCCUACACCUGAUAAGGCGCUUUUGCCACCCAUUGUACCCAUUCCAUGCAUCACCAUUACCUCAAGACUUUCCUGGCCUCCAUUUUUCCAAUUGAGUCACACCACUCAUAGCCCCCUUAAGCCUCCAUCAUACACCUUAAUUGCCCAUGACCCCACUUCUUGUCAGGCGGGCCCUUAUGCUAGACCCCAUUACCGUCGAGAUUAUUCUACCACUAUCCUCAGUGGGGUUACACUUGUGCUCCGGACUCUCAUCCCCAGUGGAGUUGCACUCAGACCGUGAUCUUUCAUCCCCAAUUGAGUCAAGAGCAGGCCAUUAUCCCUCAUCCCCAGUAGAAAUCACACCAGUACUGCAGCCCAUCAUCCCCAAUGGAGUUACGUGCAUGCCAAGAAGGUCAUGCUUACCGCUUCAAUCCUCAGUGGUUCAUCGCACGCCAAGCUAUCUUAUCCCCAUGUAGUCGAGUUAACUUCCAUAAGCCUAUUCCCCAUGGAGUUUCAUCUCUCACCUUAAGAAUCCAUACUUGCCCCUAAUCCCCAGUGAAGUUCGCUUCCGUUUGCAACACCUCAUCGGGUCACGAUCUCUGUCUAAGCACUUUGCUUGUGUAUCCACAGGGAGUCGGAUUGUCACCCACAUACCCAUUUCCCAUGGAGCUCCACUUACGUGGCGACCCACAUAAUGGUCUAGAUGCACGACCUUUAAUUGCGUGGUCCAAACUAUACGACCUUAAACUGUAGCGGAGGUCUAGUUGCACGACCUUAAACUGCAUGGUUCUAGCUGCAUGACUCUAAACUGCACAACCAUGGUCCAACUGUAUGACCCUAAACUAUAGGGCACGUCCUGACCGCAUAACAUUAAAAGGUUAGCACCAUGGUCCAAACUAUAUGACCAUAAACUAUAGCGAAGGUCAAGUUGCAGGACCUUAAAUUGCAUGGUCAAAGCUACAUGACUCUAAACUGCAUAGCCAUGGUCCAAGCUAUAAGAUCUAAAACUAUAGUGCACAUCCUACCUGUAUGAUGUUAAACCUCUUUGCAUAGGUCCAGGAGGCAUGACCUUAAACACACCCCACACACGUGCACACGCCCUUUUACAUACGUCUUCACGCAUGCCUUCCUUAACUAACCUGUUCAUGUGCACGCACAACCUUCGUCAACCUCCCCAGUAAAUCCAUCUUCCUUCAUUACCAUUCAUCAUUCCUAAUGAGUUUCACCCUCACUCACAAAUGGCAAACCAUUCCACCAUCCACUCUCGCCGUCAGCUAGUGGGUCACCACUUUUCACCCACCAUUCUUACAUCACCCAUCUUUCAUAGCUAACUUCGUGCCAUCUCCUCAAUUCGAGUCAAACCACCACCAUACGCACUCCAUGGCCUCCACAGACUGUCGUUCACCACUAGCACAGUCCAGUUGUAUGACCUUAGACGGUAGUGCAUGUCCUAGCCGCAUGAUGAUAAACUGUUUCGCAUAGGUCCCGAAGGCAUGAUCUUAAAUACGCCAUCACAAAAAGGAAAAAUAAUGGCCAUUAUGUACAUCUGGUCAAGGGAACUCCAUGAGUAAAAAUGACGGACGGUCAUGGUCACGAAACCAUGUAUACAAGAGUUCCGUGAAUAAAAUCGGCACGGUGAAAACCCAAAAAGGCACGGUGAGUAAAAAUGAAAGAAUAAGAGUGAACAUAGACAAAAGGUCAUGGGUAAAAGAACCCCAAAAAAAAAAAAGUUGAUGAAAGUCAUCUCUAAGGCGUCCCUUUCCAAGUCCAAGUGAAAUCCGCAAAGGACGCUUAGAUCAAUAAAAAGGUUCAUGCAACACUCGCGUCAACAGGCGGCUUCAGCCCACACUCAAGAGAAAAAUCCAUGGUAUCACAAUACCAAGAUCCAAAAAUAAGAGCAUCAAGUAAGAUUUUGACAACCUGAGUCCAUUUAAAAAAAAGGACUCGAAGGACAGAAGACUCACCAAGAAGGCAAGAAAAGUCUCAUGAAGAAGAGCAUCAUUCCCAAGAGGACACUAAACGCACUCCAAAAUGUUAAAGACGCCCCAAGAAAAGCCAACUCAUCCAGAACUUGGACUUGUUAUGCAAACAACACUACUAGCAAUAGGCAGGUGUUAUACCCACAGCUGAUCACCUCGAUAAACUGAGGCACCCUGCCCACUGAGUACAAUCUAGUGCACCACGCAGACGGACGCCAACUAAAGGCCCUCCAACAGACUAUCCAGAAUUGUAAGGACCACAAUUUUCUGGACUAAGACACUCACGACAGUAGAGUGUAAGAAGAGCCUAGCGUCGGAUGUGUAUGAGCUCAUCACUGGCUGUGUAAGAAGAGCCCAGUACCGGCUGUGUAAGGAAGACCCAGUGCCUGCUGUGUAUGAGCCCAACACCGGCUGUGUAAGAAGAGCCAAGCGUGGGCGGUGUAAGAAGAGCCCAGCGCCGACUGUGUAAGAAGAGCCCAACGUCGGCUGUGUAAGAGGACUCAGCGCCGACUAUGAAAGAAGACCCAUUGCCGGCUGUGUAAGAGACCCAUCGUCGUUUAUGAAAUGGUAGAGCAUUGUUGGGAGUGUAGUAUCGUCUAGAGCAUCGCCACAAGUGUAGCGUCGUCUGAAGCAACGUCGCGCAUGAAGCAAUCUUAAUGUCAUGAGUGAAAAGUGAUAUUGUCAGAGCCGUACAUGUCAGCACUGCACUUGUCAGUGUCGUACAUGACAGCCACGUGGUUCCCACCUACCCACGAGUACUUAAGCCCCACACUUCUUCACCCCUCCAUCUUUUUGCUCAUCUCCCUUCUUCUUCUCCCAAUUUUCUUGCUCUAGAGCUCUGGUGUGAACCCCUUUGCUGCUGCGGUUGGGGAGCCUUACCAAGGAGGUUAAACUGGUUUGUGUGGAGUUUACGAGCAUCGUGAGCAUCAGGUAAGUGAGUCUAGCUAUUAUGCAUCAAUAAAAUUGUAGGAAUUUAUGUUAAGUGUUGAAACUGGGGGAAAAAUGCUAGGAUGACAUGUAUGAGAAUGAAUGUAUUGUGAUGAGCUUGAAAUCUCAGGUGUCAUGAUCAAUUGAGCCAUGUAUAUGAUUUCAUUUGUGGUGGAAAUGUGUGAAGUAAUUCUCUUUUGGUAAUAGUUUAUUAAGAACGUGGUUUUGCAUCAAUAUUUGCUUUGGCUUAUGCAAUAUUGAAUGUGCUUGAAUGUGGGUUAAACUUGAGAAGGUGAAUUUCCAGAACUGUGACGGCUCUUGCAUCAGACGUUUCAUUAGCCAAACGGCAUCUAAAUGGACCCAAACCGGUUUUCAAUGAAUUAUAUGGAUGUUCACUUCAACGUUUCUCUUUAUAUCAUCUUUAAAUUUCACAUGGAUUAGAAAUUAUGCUUUAAAAUGUGUGGGUAUGUCACUGUUAAAAGAUUUCAGAAAUUCCUGGACUGUUACUCUUUUUGUACCAAACGUUUGGCCUAUCAAAUGAUAUCCAAAUGUUCUCAAAUCACCUCCAUUUGAUAAAUACAUGUGUGUACUAUGAUUUGUUUGUUUUAACCCUGUCCAAAUUCUUCAUAAAUGAUGAGCUCUGCUUUAAAUUGUUCAUGUAAUGUCACUGUUAGCAGAUUCUAGAUUUCACAGCAGAUACCUCUAUUGUAACCAGUUUUGACUAACCAAACGGAAUCCGAAUGCUUCCAAACUACGGCCACUUGUAAUAAAAGUUUCAUGUUGAAUUAUUUUUUAAACUCUCUGUAGAUUGAUAGUUAUGGCCCAAAAUGUGAGGGUAUUGUAUUGUCCAAAGUUGCAGGAAAUUCCAGCGACUAUCACCUACUUUGUACUGAGCUUUUGACCUAUUGAUUGACGUCUAAAUACCUUAAAAAUACCGCCAUUUUAAAGAUAUAUGUGUAAAAUUAGAGUUUUAUGUUUUAAUUAUUUUUAGAUUCUCCCUAGAUUGGGAGUUGUACCUCUGAGAAAGGGGGUAUGCCACUGCUAUGUAGCACCGAGAUUUUCAGAUUUGUGCCUGUUUUCAAAAUAAAUGGUUUUGCACUCAAACUCUAUUCAAAUGCGUUCAAUUCACCUUCAGAUGAGCUUUAAGAGAGUCUAUUUUGAAAUCAACUUCUGAACCACACUAAAACUCUCCACUAUUUUAAAAUAGUGCUCUAUUCCUACAAGGACGUCACAGUUGUGGAUGAAACGAAAUUAUAUUCACUUGAUGAACGAUUCACUUAUGCUUUUAAGUAACAAGUAUAAACGCAUGAUAACUGUUAUUGGAUGGCUUCCCUGUGAUGAAUGCUACAUAUUCACUGUACGAAUAAUGCUAUGCAACCAUGCAAUAAGCAAUCAUUUGAUAAAUGCGUAUGCUCUGUGAAGGCCCUGUAAUACAUAUUGCAUGAAUGAGACUACGAGUUAGGAAUGCAAAUUGGCAAGUGUAAAUGUCAUGAGAUAACUCUCUUAUGAUGGAUGCCUCAUUCUAGUGGCAUAACAUACUCGUUAGUUGUGUACGUCUGAAUGAUACUUAAACCUUGCUAAUGAGACCAGAAUGGUCUGCCAUAGGGCACUGACUGAGUGCGAGUAAAGAUUAAUGCUUGACUGUUUUGUUCUGAGACUGUUAUAUUGACAACUAUGCAAUGGGCCACUCAUUGGUGGUGGGUACUGUUUUGUUAUGAUAUUGUGAUAGCUACGCAGUGGGUCACCCAUUUGUACUGCGACUAAAGUUAUGGAUGCUUUGAGUAUCCUUUGGCAUGCUUUGUGUGUAUAGCAUGACCAAGAUUGAUAUGAAUGGGUGCCUGAUUUGAGAGUAUUGCAGGGGCCAUUAUGUGACUGAUGUGGUUAGUGUUAUGAGAACCUUUAGCAUGCUUUGUGUGUAUCGCAUGGCUCAGAUUGAGAUUGAGAGGUGCCUUCUUUGAGAGUAUUGCAGGGCCUACUUAUGUGACUAAUGCUUGUGGGGUACAUGCUUUGGGUGUACAGCAUGACCUGACCAUCUGUUUUUUUGUGAAAUGGAAAGGUGCUCUUUGAGAAAGCAAGAGUAUACUCUGUUGAGACAAGAACGUCUACUGUGAAACACGUUCUGUUUUAGAAGAAUGAAUGAUAUGGUGAAAUGCAUGACUGCUAUGCAUUUUGAUAGUGUUCGUCUAGGAAAUGUUUUGAACUACCAAUCCUUAUGAUACCUAUUAUCUGCACUGUGAAUGUGAAUGAUAUUUAUUGUAUUAAUCGAAUGAGAAUUCUAAUAUCUAAAAUGAUGCCUGUUAUUGAGGCAUUGACGAGAUUUCUGACAUAUGUGAUAUUUAUCCUGUGACAGAUUUAAUAACGAUGCUUAGUACCUAGUCAUUAGGUGCCUCUAUCUCGCCCUCCUAAUCUAGAUGAUCUGGUGGCACAUAUCUCGGGUUUUUGGUGAACCUGGUAUUUGGGAUCACUCUCUCACAACCUUGCUCAUGAGAAAGGGUAGGUAUAUCAACCAAUGAGAUAGGAAUUUAAGGUGGGUUCAGUACUUACUCGGGCCGACUUGCGUGGGCGCCCUCUUAGAUCACGAAGAAAGCCCCCAAGCUACUUUAGCUGGAUCGGAAUCCCCUCCCUUGACCUGCAAUCCUUUUGUUUUCUACAUAGCACUUAUACGGUUAAUUUGCAAGACAAGUGGGUCGAAGGGACCCACCCUUGUCUUAGGUAAUUAUACAUUCAUUUGAUAGAAUAAUGAAAUGAAAAGUUGAAAUAAGGAUAGAAAAGAGAAGGAACCUAAUGAAGCGCGAGACUAGCAUGACAGAUAGAAAGCGACCGACUCAGAGUGGUAGCAAGAUGGGCAUGGUUCUCAGGACCAGCACGACGGUAAUACUACUCGAAAUCGAGGCUGAUAUGGCAGUGCUAGGCUAAGUCUACCCUAAGUUAAGUGAGAAGAGAAAAGAAUGAAGAGACGAAAAGAGAGCUAGACAGCGGAGGGGGAAGAGCCCAGACGGUGAUGGGCAUCUCCUUUGGCAUCAUGAGAAGGCACUGUUUCCGUUGCGGGCAGUGACGGCUUCUGGUGAGGCUCACAGUGAUCGAUCCUCACGAGACACACGACGCUAGCUGGAGAAUAUGAGAGAAGCCCGUGGAUGGUAAUAAGAGUUGCUGUUGGCAACAUGAAGAGGCAACACGUCCCUUGCGCAUGAUGAUAACUCCUGACGGGGUGCACGACGAUGGGCACAGAGAGGCGCAGAAGGAGCCUGCACGGGGUGACGGGUAUUGCCGCGACCAUUUGUGGAUGGCAAUGGACAUCGCCGCCUACAAUAGUCACGCGACAGGGUGAAACCCCUGCGGCGAUAAUUGGCUUCCCUACCUGCAUUCCUCGUUGAGACGUCGAGGAUACGUCUGUAGAUGGCGAUGAGCAGUGUCAUCUGCAAGCCUCAUCGGAAGAUAGAGAAUGAAACAGAGGGAGAAGGAAGCUCACACAUGGCGCUGCCAUCAUCAUGCACGACCUGUGAGACUAUAGGAGAGGCAUACACGGCAUUGCCACGGCCGUGCAUGGCCUCUGAGAGGAGCUCAGAUGGAGGAGAAGAAGAAGAAAGAGAGGAAGAGAGAGAAGAAAAGAAAAAGAAGAGAGAUAAGAUUUACCUCAAGCCUAAGGAUACCGAUUCAAAAGUUUCUCUCUCCUUACUCUCUCUCCAAACAUGGCACCACAAUAAAAAGAAAGAGAAACUUUAUUAAGUAAAAACUCUCUCUUUGUGUAUUAUGUGUGUGUGUCUAUUCCCUUUUUACUUUUAAUGAUGGUACGUGGUAUAUAUAGAAUUUGCCCCAAAUAUGGGUGGAUGAUCAAAAGUAACCCUAAUUACUGGAAAUUAAGAUUAAAUUGAAAUAAAAUAAAUUAAAAUAAAUUAGAAAAUAGGGUGGAAAAUGAUAGAUUUUCCCCUUCCUAACAAUUUUUGGAAUUCCAAAACAACUCUAUGUUUCUCUAGAACGUGCGUGAUUUUUCAUGGAUGAUCUGGGGUCAUUCUGAUGCCCAGUUGAUCAAACGAUGAUUUUUUUCUUAUUGGGCUCGGCAUGGUGAUUGUUUUGAUACCAACUUCGAGCCAUGGAUCGUGCUUUUAGUGCACAAUCAUGUGACUUGAAAUUUGAAUGGAUCUUGAAUCUUCGGAUCGAACUCGUUCCUCGAUGUAUUUCGGUGAUUUCUUUACUGGAUCACACUUAGCAUGCCGUUAUGAUCACUAUGCAACGAACGCAGCUUGAUUCCAUGCUUGAACAAAGAUUUUGUAACUUUGGAAUUUUGGCCAAAAUCUGGAAUUUCGGCAACAUAAUUUGUAGUCGCUUCGUGUGUCGUUCAUCUUGUACGGCGUUCGAGUCAAAGAUAGCCCGAAACCUUACGCAUGUAAUGGAAUUGGUGAUGUGCCGAUCGGGCUUGCAAGCAGCGUGAUUCGGCAGCUCAAGCAAGGCACAAUGCUGCUGAAUUUCUUGCACUUUCUUCAUGGUUUAGCAAAUUCUCUCUAGCUUUUCUUGUGCUCUGGUGUCGUCGCGGGGUGUGCCACAUGUCAAAACGAUCGUCUUGACAAUAUGAACAUGCUCACUGAAUUUAAGCACGAUCCGACUUGGGACGGGUGAGAUAUGAGCAUCACAAGUAACUAUUCAUGACUGUCCCUCUAAUGGUGUGGAGUUGCAGGGUGGCCACACAAGAAGAGAGUGUAGCUCCACCUGUUUUGCUCUAUCAACUAUAACAUUUCUUGGAGUGUCUGUUUUAAGCUGAAGUUUGGCCCUUAGGGGUUUUCAACCACGUCGGAUCCAAUACUUUUUGUCCCAUAACAAUUUGAGACACUGAAAAUGUAGCUCUAGUUAUAGGGUCCUUUUCAGGGUGCAAGAGGUCGAUUCUAUUGGAACUCUUUCUCAGUCUGCACUGCCUUUGACAUGUUAGAAUGUGAUGAAACUUGGUAGGAGACUUUUGAGAGUCCUCAUGAAAUCCUUGACUAGCUCUGGAUCUGUUCUGAGACUGUAGAAAUUUCCACUAUUUGCUAAGCUUUUAUUGAGCAGGGCCCAUGAUGAUGAAAACUAUCUUCCAACCGCAUGCCCCGCCAGAUGUUGUCCUUCGACAGAAUCGAGAAGUGCAAUCAUUUUAAAAGUUUGAGGGAUCUUGUCGAGGUCCUCAUCCUCAAGGAAUUAUUUGUGAUUCUGAAGCAUGAGGCUUUUGUAGAGACCUCCUUGGAUAGAAUCAGGCCUAUCUGAAGUCCAAAUGCUAUGAACCUUUGGUCGUCAUUAUUCACUGCUACAUCAAGUUUUCUUUUGAUGUUCAGGGUAUCUUUAUCAUGGAAAGGAAUACCAUCAACUAUCUGGCAGUUUAGGCCCAUGCUUCGUCAGUUUCUUGCCUUCAUGAUGGUCUCUUAGCAUUCCAGAGGGAUCUUUUGGACAUUGUCCUCACCCUCAAGGACUCUUAUUUUCGUUGAUGUUGAAAUGUAGGAGAUCUUAUGCGGUUCUCACUCCCUAAUGAGCCAAUUUGUGUUGUUGAUGUUUGGGAGAUCUUCUGUGGCACUCACUCCCUGAUGAGACAAUUUGUGUUGUGAUUGGAUGCUGACAUUUGAGGAUUUUAGGUAGACCUCAUUAGCCAGGCUUGUGACUUUUUGAAAAUUGAGUGUCGGCUGAGGUGGCGGUAGUGCAUCAACCUGUUUUGUCGGUCUAAGCACCCUUACGUGGGUAUUCACUUGAACAUGAGAAGUGGCACUGUAGAGACUAUUUUCACCAACUUAUGUUAUUUCUGGGCACUUUUACCCAUGACCUCACGAUCAUGUCCACCCCUUUCAUCUAUUUUUUCUCGCGAUGCCCCUUUUGAGGUUUUCACCAUGCCUGGGUUUUGUUUUCCCGAAACUCUUUUACUCAUGAUUUUGUGACCAUGCCCGUCCAUCAUUUUUACUCAUGGUGUUCCCCUGUAUAGAUGUACACCAUACCCAUUUUUUGUGUGAAGGCGUGUUUAGGGUCAUGCCUUCGAGACCUGUGCGAAGCCUUCUAACGUCAUACAGCCAAGACGUGCACUAUAGUUUAGGGUCAUACAGUUGGACUGUGAAGGUGAUGAAUGGCAAUUUAUAGAGGGCAUGGAGUGAGUAUGGUGGUAGUUACUACUCACUUUGAGAAGAUGGCACAUGGCUACCUAUGCAAGAAAAAUGUGGGAGAAGAACGGUGACCCACUAGUGGACGAGGAGUAUGGGUGGUGAGAUGGCUCGUCACUUUUUGAGCAUGAGUGAGACUCGCUGGGGAAUGAUGAAAGAUGGUAAUGAUGAAUGGACUUGCUGGGGAGGUAAUGAAGGUGGUGCACGCACGCGAAUGGGCCGGCUAGGGAGGGGAUGCGCGAAGGUGCACGUAAAGGGCAUGUGCGCAUGUAUGGGGGCGUAUUUAAGGUCAUGCCUCCUAAACCUGGGUGAAACAGUUUAAAGCCAUGCAACGAGGACCAUGCAGUUUUAGGUUGUGCGACUAGAACUCUGUUAUAGUUUAAGGUCAUCCAGUUUGGACCAUGGCUUGCACAGUUUAAAGGUCAUGCAACAGGAACCAGGGCUGUGAAGGGCUGUGAAGUUUAAGGUCAUGCCGCACGGACUGGUAAGCGGGUUGCCAGAGUUGAGCUAGUCUUCAUCUCUUCUCUUUCUCUUCAUCGCUUAUUUGACCAGAGGGCAGGCUGAGCCUCAAGCUGUCCUGCCAGUCUUGUCGUAUAGCAGUAAUGUUGUUGUGCUGGUCUGAGUUACCGUGCCCGUCUUACUGCCACGACAGGCUAGCCAUCGUGUCAGGCUGGUUGGUGUUGGUUCCGUCAUCUAGUAGUAAUGUCGUUGUGCCAGUCUAAGUUAUCGUGCCCAUCUUGCUACUACAUUGGGUCAAUCAUCUACUGGUCUAACCACUGUGUCAGCUGAGUCGCCCGGUCAAACUUUAUCUCUUACUUUCACUUCGCCCUAUAACAAGGUGGGGGACCUAUACCGCCCUUGUCUGUACUUCUAAUGUGUGUGUGUGUGUGUGCGUGUUUGCAGGAAAAGAGAUACAGGUCAAGGGAGGCGAUUCCAAAUCGGCUAUAGGCUAGGAGGCUUUCCAACGUGAUCUAAGAGAGUGCCCACGAGAGCCAGCUCGAGCGUGUCAUGGACCCACGUGAGGUAAGUCCCGCCUCACGACCCUAAUUCCUCUCUCACCGGUUGGUACUCCUGCCCAUAUCUUCUUUUUGUGGUUUUCGAGAUAACGAUCUCAGGUCCCGGGUCCAUCUCGAACCCGGAACCACACCACCAGCUCAACCGGAUCCGGAGGGCGAGAUCAAGCACUUAACUACUAAGCAAAGAACUUUAACGUCAUGCGAUCAGGACGUGCACUAUACUUUUAAGGUCAUAUAGCUUGGACCAUGGCUAUGCAAUUUAAAGUCAUGCAGCUAAGACCAUGAAGUUUAAGGUCGUGCAACUAGACCUUCGCUACAGUUUAAGGUCAUAUAGUUUGGACCAUGGCUAUGCAGUUUAAAGCCAUGUAUUUAGACUAUUGCUACAGUUUUGGGUCAUACAACUGGACCAUGGCUGUACAGUUUAGAGUCAUGCAUCAUGGAUCAUGCAGUUUAAGGUCAUGCAAUGAGACCUCCGCUACAGUUUAACGUCAUAUAGUUUGGACCAUGUAGUUUAGGGUCGUGCAUCUAGACUAUUACUAUAGUUUUGGGUCAUGCAACUAGACCAUGGCUGUGCAGUUUAGAGUCAUGCGUCAUGGACCAUGCAAUUUAAGGUCGUGCAACUAGACCUUCUCUACAGUUUAAAGUCCUAUAAUUUAGACCAUUGUGUAGGUCGUCACGUAGAUGGAGCUUCUACAGGGAAUAAGUAUGUGGAUGGUAAUUCGACUCUCUGGGGAUAAAAUGGUUAAGGCCAUACACAAGUAGAGGGCUCAGAUGGAGAUGGUGGCCCUACAACGGAUGGCAAACAGAAGCGGACCUCCUAGAGGAUAGGAGGUUAGAGUGACUCCUUGGAGGCGAAAGAUAGGAUUCCAUAAGUUUAUGAAAGUUAACUCGACUCCCUGGGGAUAAGGUAGCAAAGGGUCUAAUCAAGGAUAAUGACUUAGUGUGAAACAAACCAUCUGGGGAUUGAAGAGGUAAGCAUGACACCUUUUUGUCAUACACCUAACUCCACUGGAGAUGACAGGCUACAGCAUAGGUGUAACUCCUACUAGGAGUGGUGGCAGAACACUCAUGGUGGUGACCAGGUUCAGAUAUGCGUGGUGCUAGCAUGGGCAGUAGUAACACAGGCGGCGAUAGUCAUGGGCGUCAGUAGCAUUGACACACACGGCCUUAGAAUGGGUGCGAGUUGGGCAAAUAGCACUAAGCUGUCGUUAACAUUGGUCGCACGUGGUGUUGGUCAGUGACUUUCAUGCAUGACGUUAGUCACACACGGUGUUGAUCAGUGACUUUGAUGCAUGGCUUUAGUCACACGGAGCGUUGGUCAGUGGCUUGCACACACGACGUUAGUCAGACAUGGCGUUGGUCCGUAUUCGGGCAUCCGUCCUGGGCCAACCCGGUCCAUUUGAUGCUUGGUGCUUCAUGGCAAUGGCAAACCUUUGUUCGAGCCUCGGGUCUAAGCUCGAUUCAGAUCGGCCCAUCGCCGUUUAGUCCUUAAGGACCUUACUGGCAUUGCAAAAUUUUUUAUGGCACUUCAAGGGAACACUGCAUAUAUAAGGGGGUAAACCCCUUUUUUCACCGUUUUACCAAAGGUUAAGUAAAUCUUAGCAGUGAGAGAGAGAAUCUUUUAGUGAGAACUCCAGCAAACAAUGUGGGGCACUUUAAAGAAGUUUACAAGCGUUUGUCGACAAGAAUGUUUCGAUUGGGAAGAGGGAGCACUGGUAGGGGAACACAGGGGCAUUCGUGAAGGGUUGCAGGAGUCUACCGGGGAAGGUGCAGAGGUUUUCAGUAAGGGUUGUCGCAAGGGUGACAAACACAGAGAGUUUAUCAUGGAGCAGUGAGAAACUCUGACAGUAGUUUUGGAGUAGCAGAGAAAGGGAAAAGGGAUCCAAGUUGCAACAAGGGCUACUGAUGAAAUUUUUCUGUCUUUCGGGGUUUUUCCGGUGGUGUGGAGGAGAAGGGAAGGUGCGACAAUGUGUUUCCGAUGGGUGAGAGGAGUUUCUCGAUGAGCAACCGAGAGGUUGCAGGGCAGCGAACAGUCAUUGUUGGUGAAGGGUCACUGGGAGGGUGACGAUCGUAAUCCACACGUGUGAGGAUGCAUGUUAGACCAUGUCACAGCUGGCAGUUGUCAGGUGGUGCACCCGGAAUCCAGGUGACACGUGCACAAUCUGUGGCAUGUGUGAAGGAUUCGAACAUAAAUAGCCCUGCUCGAAAUUCACAAGCGGCAAUAGUCUUGAGAACACAUCCGACGUUAGUUUUUGAAAACACAACCGGUGCUAGCCCUUAACAUACACAGUCGGCAUUAGAUGUGGACAAACACAACCAGUGCUAGCCUUUGAGAACAAAGCUGGUGCUAGUCUUAACGAACACAGUCGGCGCUAGUCUUGACAAACACAGUCGGCCUUAGUCUUGACGAACACAGCUGGCGCUGGUCUUGACAAACACAGCCAACGCUAGACUUGACGAACACAGCCGGUGCUGGGCCUUGAUGAACACAGUCGAUGCUAGUCUUGAUGCACACAGCCGGCGCUAGGCCUUGACUAAAACAACCGGCGUUAGCUUUUAAGAACAUGGCCGGCACUGGGUUUUGACAAACACAACCAGCGCUAGUCAAUGCCUUAGUGAUUCGCAGAUGAAAAUGAGCCCUUGAGAUUAAUAUAAUGGGAGGAUCUUGUUACAGAAUCCCUGACAUAAAGGACCUUCCAAAGGGAGGAGAGCUUGGCAUGAGUAAAUUUAUUAGUGAGAGCCUGGUCAAGGGUGAGCCCAUUUGGUUGACAGAACCAACAUGCAAAUCGGAGUGGCCCCUUAGUGUCACUUUUAUUACCGACUCGAUUCAUUUUGAGGUCCGGGAUGACAUUGAUGGAAAUGUCUGUAUUAAAGAGGGGGUGGCCUUCCUUCAUUGCAUGCAUAAGAAUCUCCAUGUUGGCUCCUUGGGCAUGGCAAUGUAGGAAUCUUCUUGCUAGAUCUUCACUUCAUCGACGACCUUCUACUUAUUGGAGCAAUGUAUGAUGAGUUCAUGCAUCAGAACUCAGUCAUCUUCGGUGGUGCUCACCUAAGGGAAGAGGAAUCACUUGCUGGUCUUCAAGAGAACUUUGAGAUUUACCAACCGCUUUACACCAAAUCCAGCAAUGGUCGUGUGACCUUUGUUGAAUGGCUGAAAUUCUUCUACGGGGAUUACCUUGAGGAAGAUGGUCCAGUUGUCUUGAGAGGAAAAGGGAAGGCAGCUACGAAUGGGACACCUCCAAUUUACCAGUCCCAGGCCAGCGAUGAUUUCAUCUUUUUGGCUGCCUAUCUGCUUUAUUCUUGUGCAAGUUUGUUCUCCCUGGGGGAGCCGAUACUAUUCAUCUAGGCAAGCUCUAUGUGGCUUGUGACGAGGCGAGGGGUUGCAAAUAUGAUCUUGCACAACCAGUCUUGUGCAACAUUUGCCAUGAACUGGGAGUUAUUUCGAGGGGGAAGGCCUACCAAGGCAAAGAAAGGGGCAAUGGCCUUAUCGGAGGCGAAGCUUUUCCUAGGGACUCUAAGACACCAUUCCCCAUCCAGUAUGUGUACAGGUGGCUAAGAGCCUAUUUCCCUUCCACUUAUGUCAAAAAUCAAGGCGUGGGGGAGACUAUGUGCCCCUUUUUUACGAGGACUGCAGGUAAGAAGCCUAUCUUUCGUAGCCCUGGGAAUACUUGUAGCUUGUUUGGUAACGAGUCCUCCAGUGUGCGUCAUGUCGCCUUUCCAGUUGGGGGCUUUACUGACAGAGCCUUUAUUGAUGAGAUGGGUAAAGAGCUGGAUGGUGCUCCUACUACCAUCAAGGAGCUCAUGUUCAUUUUGAGCAUUCGAGAGGGACUUGUGCCCUAGAGAACCCCCCAUAGUGCUAGGCUCAAAGGGUACUUCUCGAAUCGUUUCGCUCGUUAGCACAGGCUGGAUCAAGGCUGCCCCUUCUCCGUAUUCUUCAAGAAGCGUCAUUAUAUAGUAAACACAUGGAAGAAGGAAGAGCUACAGACUCUUCGGGAACCAUGGGGGUUAGAGCAUUGUUUGAAGACAUUUUUUAGCACCUAGGUCCUUGAUGCGGAAUAAAAGAGGAAGUCGAUCAAUGAAGCCUCGACAGACAGUGAAGUUCCCAAUAGUCUCAUAAUUUCCCCAAAACGGGUCAGAAUCUUCCUAAGCACUCCAAAAGGCCACCUGCCAAGUUAUGUCACAAUCCGACAUGUCUAAGGCAGUGUAAACAAAGAAAAUUUUUUGGAAAAAUUAGCCUUUAUCACCCUCAAACAGACCCCGUAAUUAGAACUAUAUUUUUGGUAUGUCAAACAGCUGUGGGACCACCGCCAUUGGAUCCAGCAUGGUCGAGAACCCUUAUGGGUCAAGCUUCAACUUAAACAAACAUUUCAUGACAUUGUUAUGGGUGAAACAUUUAAAAGGGGUAGGUUGCAUGCUAUUCCCGUACGACCUCCCUGCACCAAUCUACAAUAAUGGAGGUUGAUGUGCACAGUCUCGAGCAUUGAAUUCAAUGACCAGUAUCUCACUCGUUCAGAGUCAAAUCGUUCUCAAAAUUUGGUGAGCGUGUUCGUCUCAUCAAGAUGAGCGUUUUGAUCGGUGGCACAACCCAUGACGAUACACGAGCAGGGAGAAACACUAGAGAGAAGUUGACAAUUUGUGAAGAAAGUUAUAGAAAAUUCAGCAGCAGCACGCCUCACUCGAGCGGCCAUAUCAUGGCGCUCGCGUACCCGAUCGAUGCGAAACCAAUUGCAUUAUGUACGUAAGGUCUAGGGCUAUCUUUGAUCUUAGCCCCACAUAUGAUGAACUGUUGGAUUUGGCACACAAAGGCGACAAUGUUGCUGCAGAUUCCAAUCGUUAAAUUUCAAGAUCUGGCAAAAAACUCAAAACGAUGAAAUCUUCUUCCAAGCACAAAAUCGAGUUGCGUUCAUUACAACGUGACCGUGACGGCAUGCUCAGUACAAUUCAGUUAAGAAAUCAAAGAAAAACAUCAAUAAAUAAGCACACUAUCGAUCAAAAAUUUUCAAGAUCCAUACAAAUUUCAUUAGUAUCAAAUUGAUCCUCAUACCGAGUCCGACAAGAAAGCAAUCGUCUUUUAACUGAACGUACACCGAAGCAACCUUGAAUCAUCAAUGGAAGAUCACAUAAGUUGUAGGGCAGCAGCAGGGACUGUUUUGGAAUUUCAUGUAUUGUUGGGCGGGGGCAAAACAAUCCUUUUGCACCCAAUUUUAGAAUUUGUUUUAAUUCAAUUAAAUUGUAAUUAUCAUCAAUUUAGGUAUUUUUGGGCGUCCACUGAUGUUUGUGCCCAAUUCUAUAAGUACAUGUUAAACACAAUUGUCAAAGGACCCUUGAUUCUUUUAUCUCAUCAAUAAAAUUUGAGAGUUUUCACCUACAAAUUGUGAGUACAUCUUGGAGAGAGAUGGGAGAGAGAAGAAAACAGCUGGUACCCUUCGACAAGGUAAUUUUUUCUCUCCUCAUCUUUUCUCUCUCAUCUCUUCUCAUCUCAUCUCUCUUUCUCUCUUUUCAUCUCAUCUCUCUCUUUCUUUCACCUCAUCUCAACCCUCUCUUUCUCUCUCCUCCUCUCAUCUCUCUUUCUCUCUCUUCAUCUCUAUCUCUCUCUCUCUCCACUCGUCUAUAUCUCGCUUUCCCUUUUCCUCUCUGAUCUUAUUUGUCAACUUUCCUUUUCUCUCUCUCUUCUAUCUUUCCUUUCUUUCUUCUUUACUUUCCUUCUCUCUCCCUAUUCUCCCUCUUUCCUCUCGGUUCAUGCAUGGCGGAGCCUAUCGCCUGACAUGAUGUAUUCUUGUUUCUAAGAUCUAAACAGUGAGCCGCCCUUUAACAUGAGUGGCAGAUUGAGCUUCUGUUAAAGUUUCGUUAUCUUUCUCCUUGUCAUGGACGGCAGAUGCUCAUCGUCGGCCAUGUUUUAUCCCACUUCUUAAACCCCUGUCAUGGAUGGAAGAUGUCGUCGUUGUCCAUGUUUUCUCUCUUUCCUUUUCGUUUUUAUUAUGAACGGCAGAAGUUCAUCGCUAUCUAUGUUCUCUCUCUUCUAGUUCCUUUGACAUGGAUGACAAAUGUCAUCGUCGCACAAGUUUUCUCUCUUUUCUUUUCUCUUCUGUCAUGGACGGCGAAAGCUCAUCAUUGUCCAUGUUUGCUCUCUCUUAAUUUCUCUUUCAUGGAUGGUGGAUGUCAUCGCCGCCCAUGUCUUAUCUUUCUUCUAAUUCUUUCAUCAUAGAUGGCGGAUGACAUUGCCGUCCAUGUUUUCUCUCACUUAAUUUCUCUGUCAUGGAUGACGAGUGUCAUCGCUGCUCAUGUAUUCUCUUUCUUCUCAUUCCUCCAUCAUGGACGGCGCAUGUCAUCGCCGCUCAUGUCUUCUCUCCCUUCUAAUUCCUCUAUCAUGGACAGUGGAAGUUCAUCGUUGUCCAUGUUUUCUCUCUCUUCUCUUCUCUAUCACAGAUGGUGGAUGCUCAUCGCCGUCCACAUUUUCUCUCUCUUAAUUUCUUUGUCAUGGACGACAGAUGUCACCGUCGCCCAUGUCUUUUCUUUCUUUUAAUUCCUCCAUUAUGGAUGGCGGAUGUCAUCAUUGUCCAUGUUUUCUCUCUCUUAAUUUCUCUAUCAUGGAUGGCAGAUGUCAUCGCUGCUCAUGUCUUCUCUUUCUUCUAAUUCCUCAAUCAUGGACGGUGGAUGUCAUCGCUGCUCAUGUCUUCUCUCUCUUCUAUUUCCUCUAUCAUGGACAGUGGAAGCUCAUCGUUGUUCAUAUUUUUUCUCUCUUCAAUUCUCUAUCACAGAUGGUGGAUGCUCAUCACCGUCCAUGUUUUUCUCUACUCUCACUCCUCUGUCAUGGACGGCAGAAGCUCAUCGACAUCAAUGUUUCCUUAUACUCUCUCUCUCCUUUGUCAGAUGGAGGAAGUUCAUCGCUGCCCGUGUUUCCCUCUCUCUUUUCUUCCCCUUUCUUCUUUCUUCUUCCCCCUUUUCUCUUCUUUCUUACUGCCCCUUUCUUCUUUUUCUCGUUCUCUUGGUCCUUUCUUUUUCUCACAUGCACGACAUCGGUAGUACUGCGCAUGCCUUUCCCUCUCUCUCUCUUUUCUCUUCUUCUUCUUUCCCUCUCAUUUGAUCAAGGGAGGCUAAGUCAAGCACUGCCAUGAUAGUCUCGUCGUCUAGCAGUACUGUCGUUGUGCCCUUUUUUCUCACUGUGCUCACUUUAUUACCACGAUAGGCUAGACAUCAUGUCAGGCUGGUCGAUGAUCGCUCUGUUGUCUAGUAGUAUUGUCGUUGUGUCGGCUUAGUUACUGUGCCCGUCACAAUAGGUCAAUCACUUGUUGCUCUAGCUAUUGUGUUAUUUUAGCCACCUAGUCAAUCUUUUUCUACCCCAUUCCUCUAUUCUAUCUCUUUCUUUUUCUUUCAUUUAUUCUCUUCCCCUUUUUCUUCUUCUGAAUGUGCAUGACUCUGUGCAUUCGCCCAAAGAGAAGGAAGGGUCACUUGACCCAAAGACAAGGAGGGGUCACUUGACCCACUUGUCUUGUAAAUGAACCACGUGUGAUUUCAGAAACAAGAGAGUACAGCCCAAGGGAGGCGAUUUCGAACCAAUUCUACGACUGGGACGCUUUCUUUGUGAUCUAAGAGGGCACUCAGGUGAGCUAGCUUGAUUAUCUACCGAACCUACCUCAAAUUCCUUUCUCAUCAGUUGGUAUACCUACCCUCGCUCCUGAGCGACAUUCCUGAGAGAGCGAUCUCAAAGUCUUGGGUUCCAUGAAACCCGAGAUGCCUGCCGCUCGAUCAUCUAGAUCUGGAGGGAGAGAUCGAGGCACCUAACUAGCUUGGUGAGUCAAUUGGGGACUUACUACCCCUUCGUCGGGUCGUUCUUGUUUAGCUAGUUUUGUCCUUUGUUUUCUCCGCUUUCACAAACCACAUGCCAGCUGGUUUUCUUUACCCAUUUAUCCGAAUCGGGGAUGUUCUAAUCCCCGCAUUCAUGAGCAUUCUGCAGGAGCAAGUUCUUCGAACUUCGUUCUCAACCUUCCUUUUGAGCAAAGAAUCAGUGUCUAGCUCCUAGGUCUUAACUUGGAUAGGCGUGGGGAGGGACUUAAAGGUCCCUAACUCCCCAUCUCCUAGCUCUGGUGAGACUUCUGCCAAGACAUCCUACAUUUGUAGCACAUCUGCUGCCACUCAAAGCAUGCACCCUGUCACCAGCAAGUCACUCAUCGGUGACAUUGCCGAGGUACGCUGGAAGGCUGCUCGGUCCCUUUUUGUAAAAGGAAACCCAGUUGUCAUUGCUUCUGUCCAUAUAGCUAUCCCCCACAUUCUUGCACCACCACGAGUGUCUAUCCUUGAAGGCUCAACCCAUCGAGGCGGAGACCCUGGGGUCUCCACCUCUCACACACACCAUAAGGCUUGUGGUCAUCCACUAGAGCCACACCUCGAGGCAAUCCUUAUGUUGCCUCCAGUCAAUGUCUAGUAUCAGGCCUCCUAAGGCCAGAUCAUGCACAUGAUGUGUAUUUGCAUCCCACCACUGAGGGUAACGCCAUCGCUACGUCAACCCGAGUACACGGAAGACGACCCCCUCGUCCUCCUACUUAGCACACACUAGAGCACCCUAUAAGGGGCAGGCUUCCACCUACACUCUUACAGACACCUACUCGCAUUUCUUGGCCUUUUAAGGCCAAAACACUUGCUCGAGCCAGAGUUGACCCCAAGGUCACCCGUGAUCCUUCUUCAAGGGGCUCACAUGCGUCACCAUCACAGACAGCCUCACGCUCCUGACUCAGUCGCUGAUAUGAGUCAACCCUUCUCUUGCUUGCCCCUCCUCCUUUGGGCAAGCACCUUCAGCCUUAGUACUCGAAGACCUUCCCAAAGAGUACCAUCUUGAACCAGCCCCAUCAUCUUGGUCAUGCCUUUGAGCUCACAAGAGAGUUCAAGGCAAAGACCCAAUGAGAGAUCAAUUCGUUCAUCCUUUCCUGCCCAAGAUGACCCCAGUUCUUAGCUCACAUCCAUUGCUUCACCUAAUGGAAACAACUCUUUCUUGUGUAAGAAGGGUCGAUCGGUCGCAGUCUCAAACGCAAUUAUGGCAUGAGGUCCAUCAAAACCUCAAAGCCAAACGUGAUAAGGGUCUGUAAAUUCUGACUAAGAAAGUAACGAAGACGGUCGGGGAAACCAGCUCUGAACCCCUUCUACCCUCUUCAGAUGACAAAGCCUGAAGAAGAAAUCCAUGAACCCUACACUAUGGUUAGUGUCGUAAAAUAUGACCCAACCACUCUACAGCCAUGAUCCCAAGACCGUCGAGACCCGAUCCUCACACGAUCGACAUACAAGACUCGAGUCUAAUAGAGGCAUGCUGAUCCCUUACUGACUGAUCUGCCACGUGCGACUUGUCAAGCUUGAAAGUCCUCAACUGUAGCUAAAGCUGACCUCCCUGAAGACACAGUCAGCGUAAUGGUUGUAAAUUAGCCCGGCGACUCUCAGGAAGAGCACAUGAAUAUGUUUGAAGACAUGUUGUGCGCAAUGAUGGAGAAGAUUGAUUGCAAUGAUGCCGCAAGACAAUCGGCUAACCAUGAGGUCAUUCCCAUCAUUCAGAUGAUGCACCUUCAAGGCAACCUCUUCCCUCUAAGGACAAUUCUCCCGCACCCCAAUGCUUCAAACAAUACACCCAUCCUCGAGCUCCCUAGGCUCUUGCCUUGCCUAAAUAUUAGGGACAAUUUACCCAUCCUCCAAUUCCCUGGGAUGCCGUUGGUCCCAUAUAUUCAACUACCUCCUAGACCUCAAACUUCCAUCACCCAAUCAGAGCUGGCUGUGUAAUCAAGUCAGCCAGCAGGCCAAUGAAAACCUCCUCCACCUAAAUCUGCUCCUCAACCCAAACUAAUGGUCGAGCCAGAAAUACAAAAGGCUGAAGAGCAAAAAGUGAAAUAUGAUGUGAUGGGGCACUUAAGGAAUCUUUCGGCCCUUCUUAGGAUCUAUGAUGCUCUCAUGCUCUCAAGGGACUAUCGUAUGGCUCUGAUCCAAGCACUUUCUGAUCCAGAGGUAUAUGACGCUAAAGUGAAACCCAUUGAAGUGGACCCAUUGAUCUUGACUGGAUGUAUGGCGAUCACCUUCUCAGAGGAUGAUCUGCAAUUAGGAGAAAAUUUUCACAAUCGCCCUCUGUUUGUGACUGGUGAAUUACAUGCAUACCCCAUCAACCGAAUUAUGUUGGAUGGAGGGGUCAACAUUCAACCUUAUCCCAAGGAGAAUCCUCACUAGGAUGGGAUUAGGUUCUGAUGAUCUUACUCCGACGCAUAUCACAGUCCAAGGAUUCAACCAGUCAGGAGAGAAGCCCACAAACACUGUCCACCUUCGUCUCAAGAUUGGUGAAUUGAAUGACUACGCUCAGUUUCAUGUAUUCAACAUCGACACCUCCUACAACAUCCUUCUCGGCCGCCCGUGGCUCCAGGAUCAGGGGGUGGUUCCAUCCACAAUGCACCAGUGCUUCAAGUAUAGUUGAGAAAGGAGACAACAUACAGUCUAUGCCAACAAAAGACCAUUUCCCGUAGUUGAAGCUCACUAUGUUGACGCCAAGUACUAUUUCACUGAUUCAGUGUCAUCCCAAAGGCUAAAUGAUGAUGAUUACAAGUCUGUGAGAAAGAUAGAAUCUUCGGCCCAUGAAGAUGUUGAGGACAUCUGGCGAACACUGGUGGACAUGUUCAAAGAAGAGGAAAGAGAAGGAAAAAUUCUCCCUCUGACUCCCCUUCAUCCUAGCAUGCUAUUCACAACCCUUGAAGAAGCUCCAUAUUCGCCUGAGGAUGAAGCUUCCCCGUCUGCUUCCAGUCCAGAGCCACCUCUGCCAGAAGAUGAACCAGAGGUCACUCUUGAGAUUGAGCAAGUCAUGGGGAUAGAAUCCCCGGCUCCAAAGGUCACCUACACGUCGGACCAUAAAAAUGUCUUACAUGUCCCUAUUGCACGCUUGAAAGCAAAAGUGGCGCACCAUCCACAACAUAAGAUUUUUCAAAACUCAGUUGCUAUAAGCAUAGAGGUUUCUCCUCAUUCCACCAUAGGGCCAGUUCAGACCAGUAGUCAACCCCAUGUUUUGCACUUCCCUGGUUUGGUGGGAGGAGAGCAGUUUGAGAAAGGACAACUUCUCACCUUCAGGAACAUGAUCCCUUAGUAGAAUUAAGAAGAGAAGUUCACGGUCUCUAGAGCCGAUUGGAGGUUAUGCAUAUCACUGCAAAACAACUAAAGGAGUUUGUGCUAAAGACCAAGAGCUAUGAUGGGCUUGAAGUGAAUGGACCUCGAAUGAAGGCAAACUUCCCUCAUGAUUGGACUAUUUAUAGUGAGCAAGAUCAUCAAAUAAUGAGAAAAAUGAAUUAUGAGCCCUUGACCAAUCAAACGUUAAGGGGAGAAGAAGUAAUUGCUCCUCGAUUUGAAGUCAUUGAAGCCUCAGCAACCUGUCACAAGACUAAACAAGCCUAGCAUAUUAGCCACUUGAGACAAUAAACAUUUCGAGAAGUGUUCAAGCUCAAAAAGAUCAAAUGAGGUGUAACAAAGCAAAAGAAGAAUGAAAUCACGUAGAAAAAUGAUCUAGAAGAGAGAGACGUAUUUCAUGCAUAAAAUCAAAUUUUUUUUUUACAAGUGCUGACAAAGGAAGGACACUCUAAAAAUUAUCAUUGAUCUUAUUGAUCUCAGCCCUUGAUGCUGUGGAGAAAGCCUUAGCAUGCUGAAUACUCUCCUUCAAGUUCACCACCAUUUGAGUUUUAUGCUCCUUGAAGGCGGUUUCUAAUUCAAUGGUGCGAGUGAGUUCUGAUAGAUCCUCAACCAAAUAAGUAUCCAAAGCUCUUCUCUGAAUCAUCUCGUUCUGAAGAUCACCGAAUUCCUCUCUUAAUUUUCACAUCUCCUCCCUUAUCACAAGCAUCCUAUUGAAACAAGUUCUCUCCUCCAUCUUCAGAUCGAGCUAACGAGCAACCAUAGUGGCCUUCUUCUGAGAGCAUGCAUCUAUUCCCUCACGACGACAUGAGAUUGACACCUCUAAGGAAGCCAACCUGUUGGUCUCAGCCUCAUGAUGCAACCUCCAUCUCUCCAGCUCAUCUAUAGUAGCAUGUAAAUGAGAGCAGACUUUUGAUAUGUCCCCCAAAAUGCUGGUAGUAGUAGAAACUUCCUUGAGUUUGACUAUUGCCUCACCUAGCUCAGUGAGAGGCAGUGCCCUUAGACCCUGAAGACCUACACGAAGCAUGCCCACAACUAUCCCAGAAAUUUCACUGAAAAUAGGUCUGGAUGGUACUCCCGGGUCCACCACCGCUAAAGGAAUUUUGGUUUCCAAGGUUGGGCUCAAAGGAACAGCCAUAUGAGUCACUUACUCUUCUAGAGAAAUUGUGAAUCACAAAGCCUUAAGCACUCCAGAUUCAAAAGCAUUCCCCUCCCCUUGUCUCUCAAUCUCCGUUAUGACCUCAACAAGUUCAAGUCAAGCAUCUCCUUCUUGUUCCCCACUCUCCUGAAUUGUCAUUUCAGCUUCUUGGGGUUACCUUUUCCCUCUGGCAUUCAUCUUCUAAGGUUUCCACUUGGUUUGCAUCCUCAACAGCUAGAACCUUGGCGAUAAAAAGCUCGACCCCUUCAUCUACCUGUCCGGUGUACUCUGGGGUGAGAUCCUCAUGAGCCUCGCUAAUCAUAGGCCCCUCCUUAAGAAAAAUACCAGGGUCCCCAUCAUCAAUUACCGUAGGCUCUAUCUCAGCCGGUGUAGUAUCCUCUUUAGGAUCAGAGGCUAUGAUAGUGUCAGGCUCCCCUCCUUGGGUAAUAAUUGCAGGGCCUUCAGCCUCAUUGAUCUCCAUUGGAACCAGAUCCGAUUCAUGGACUACCCUUGGACCUGGAGACACCACCCCAAGUUCCGAAGUCACCUCCUGAUCAGAAGUAAUGAUAAUAGGCUCAGAGGGGCCAGGUUCAUCCACCACAGUCUCUGAAGAAGAAGAAAACAGUUUAGGAGAGAUAGAAGAUUGUGAAGAAAGCACAGAGGGUGACACUGGGGGAGCAGCUAAUGAAGCAGAGGAGGAAGAGCUACCUCCAAUUCCAAAAUCGUAAGAAGUUUGAGACCCCUACGUCUUCGAGCAGGUACACCAGCUUGAGCCAAUGUACGAGUGCCGAUAGGGGUGGAACGUUUCCGUUUCUUCCCUCUUAUUAUAGGAGGAGCAGCCGCUUCAAAACUCCCUCCUUGAGAAGGGCCCGCAGCAAGUCUAUUGUAAGGACCACUCCCGAUCAAUGCGUUCAAGUCCUGGAGUGGAUGCCCUUCGUGACCAGGGACCUUCCGGCCCUCCUUUCAUUCAAAUACAGAACUAAGUUCAUCAUAGAUGCUUCCAGUACUUUUCUUCAUAGCAAGAAAUUGCGGCGAAGUAUCAUCAGCCGCUAUCCCUCGAGAGAUCCCAAGAGCCUGCUAAUUCCAUGGAUAGUCCAAGUCAAUAACAUCGCCAAGAGUGGGAGAUUUGAAAAUCCUCCUCUGUUUAAUCUCUUGAUGCCAAUUGUUGUUUUCCCCUUUUCAAGGGUGAUCAGCAACCCAGUAUCCUGAGCUGGUAAGCCUCCACUAUCGUGCAUAGGCCUCGGUCAACCGGACCCUUUUAACAAAGUAGGGAAGCACAUACUGCCUCCAAACAUGUAGACCACGUAGUCCGUACAUGCUUUGGCAACCAGCAUUCUCGAAUAGUCCCAAGCUCUUCCUUUUUCAUGAUGUUUACUCUGCCGUGACGCUUCUCAAAAAACAUAGAGAAAGAGAAGCUCUGAUCAAGCUCAUGCUGACAGCGAAGCGGUGAGGGAAGUACCCUUCCAGUCUAGCACAGUGCGAGGUCCAAUAGGGCAAAACCCCCCCUCUAACGCUCAACAUGAGCAUGAGCUCCCUGUUAGUCGUGGGAGCACCAUCCAACUCCUUCCCCAUUUCAUCAACAAAAUCACGGUCGGUAAAGCUCCCAACUGGAAAUGGGACUCGCUGCAUAUUUGAGGAGGCAUUCCCGAACAAGCUCCAAGCUUCCCUCUGGCUAUGGAAGAUAGCCUUUUGACCUGAAAUUCUCAUUAAGAAGGGGCAUAUUUUCUCCCCCGAGCCCUGCCUCUUGACAUAGGUGGAAGGGAAAUAGGCCCCUAACCACCCAUACACAUAAUGGAUGGGGAAUGGAGUCUUAAAAUCUUUAGGAAAGGCUUCUCCCCUGACAAUUCCAUUUCCCCUUCUUUCCCUUUGUAGGCUUUCCCCCUGGAGAUAGCUCCCAGUCCAUGGUAGAUAUUGCAUAGGAGUGUUUGAGUGAGAGCAUAUUAGUAUCCCCUGGCCAUAUCACUAGCCACAUAAAGAGUGACACGUCAGAUGUCAUAUGCCCCUCUAGGAAUAACAAAUUUACAUAAGAAUAAAGCCAGGUAAGCGGCCAAGAAGACAUAAUUGUCACUAGUCUUAGGUUGAUAGAUGGGAGGCGUCUCCAUAGAAUCUUCCUUUCCCUUCUUUCUUGAAGAGCCUCGACCAUUCUCAAGAGAAUCCCCGCAAUAGAAUUUCACCGAUUCGGUGAAGGUCACUUGACCGUUGCUAGAUUUGGAAUGAAGCAACUGGUACAUAUCUCAAAAACUUCCUAAAGACUAGCUGGCGGUUCCUCGCCUCCUAAGCAAGAACCACCAAAGAUGAUCAAGUUAUGAGGCAUGAAUUCAUCAUACAUGGCCCCGAUCAGUGGAAGGCAAGAACGUCCAGUAAAGAGAUCCAUGCGUUCCCAGGCCCAAGGAGCCAAGUGUUACUAACAUGACUCCAUGUUUCCAGCAGUACCUUGACAGUAUUAGAGCACCGAUCACAAUAGCUACAUGAACAAUGAACUGUUGUUAGCAAAGAAGCAUGGUCAAGAAUGUCUCUAUAUGACCCCAGCACUUGGAUGGUCAAGAAAGUAUAUCUUUUCAAAUAAUUGUGCUCCCCCUGCACUCGGAGACCAGAAGAAGACCAUAUCAGUCCUUGGGUCUUCGCCAUUCUCAUCCCCAACGUGGGUAAAUUAGAAUUGGAGGCCACCUUCAUGUGCAUAAAUGAAGGAGCACAACCUUUUCUUUAAUACUAACCGUGGUUAUGCAGUUUAAAGCCAUACAACCAGGACCGUGUAGUUUAAGGUUGUGCAACUAGACCUCUGCUAUAGUUUAAGUUCAUAUAGUUUAGACCAUGGUUAUGAAGUUUAAAGUCAUACAACUAGGACCGUGCAGUUUAAGGUCAUGCAACUAGACCUCCGCUAAAAUUUAAGGUCAUAUAGUUUGGACCAUGCAGUUUUAUAAUUGUGCAACUAGACCUGGGCUGUGCAGUUUAGGGUCGUGCAGCACGAACCGAGGUUGUGCAGUUUAGGGUCGUGCAGCUAAACCUGGGCUAUGAAGUUUAAGGUCAUGCAGCAUGAACCGAGGCUGUGCAGUUUAAGGUCAUGCAGCAUGGACUGAGGCUAUGGAAUUUAGGGUCGUGAAGCACGAAUCGAGGUUGUGCAGUUUAAAGUCAAGCAACAGGGAUCGAGGUGGUGUAGUUUAUGAUCAUGCAGCACGGACCGAGGUUGUGCAUUUUAGGGUAAUGCAGCUAGGACCGAGGCUGUGCAAUUACGACCGAGGCUGUGCAGUUUAGGGCUAUGCAGCAUGGACCGAGGCUGUGCAAUUUAGGGUCAUGAAGCAUGGAUUGGGGAUGUGCAAUUUAGGGUUGUGCAGCACGGACUGAGGCCGUGUAGUCUAGGGUCGUGCAGCAUGAAUCGAGGCUACACAGUUUAAGGACACACAUCAUGGACCGAGGCUGUGCAGUUUAGGGUCGUUCUGCACCGAUCGAGGCUGUACAAUUUAGAGUCGUGUAGCAUGGACAGAGGCUGUGCAAUUUAGGGUGGUGCAGCACGGACUGAGGCUGUGUAGUUUAGGGUUUUGCACCACGCAUCGAGGCUGUACAGUUUAGGGUCGUGCAACACUGAUCGAGGUUGUGCUGUUUAGGGUCGUGCAAAAACGGAUCGAGGCUGUGCUGUAUAGGGUCAUGCAGCACGGACUGAGGCUGUGCAGUUUAGGGUCAUGCAGUAAGGACUGAGGGCUGUGCAGUUUAGGGUAGUGCAGCAUAGACUAGGCUGUGCAAUUUAGGGUCGUGCAGCACGGACCGAGGCUGAGCAGUUUAGGGUCGAGCAGCACUGACCGAGGCUGUGCUGUUUAGGGUUUUGUAGCAUGGACCGAGGUUGUGAAGUUUAGGGUCAUGCAGCACGGACCGAGACUGGGUCGCCAUGUAGGUUGAGCUCCAUGGGGAAUAGGUCUAUGGAUGGCAAUCGAACUCCUUGGGGAUAAAAUGGUUAAGGCCAUACACAAGAAAAUGGGGCAAAUGAAGAUGGUGGCUCAACAAGGGAUGGCGAACAAAAACGGACUUCACUAGGGCUUAAGGAGGCAAGCGUGGCUCCCUGGAGUGAAAGAUGAGACUUGAUGGAGAAUUAGCUUAUGACAGGUAACCCGACUGCCUGGGGAUAAGGUAGCUUGGUGUGAAAUAGUCCCACUGAUAAUUAAAGAGGUAUGAAUGACCCUAUCUCCUUUGGGGAUAAUGGGCUGCAGUAUGGGUGUGACUUCUAUGGGGAUGAUGAGUAAUGGCCUGCUUCUAACUCCAACGGGGUGAUAGGUCACGACAUGGGUGCAACGGCCUGGGUGCAACUCCAUUGUGGAUGACAAGUCACGGCUUGGGUGCAACGGCCUGGGUGCAACUUCACUAGGGAUAGUGGUGGGACAUACAUGGCUUCAGCUAUAAAUGGGUGACAAUAGACGGCCUGAAAUACAAUCGGUGCCAAGUGUAGCAAUAAUUGUUUCUUGUGAGUGUUCAACCGACGCUGGGUUGUUAAAACUCAUUUGGCGUUGUGAAUGAGCCGUGACAUUGUUUGAACACAACCAACACUGAUUACACCAGCACUAAGGUCAUUUCAAAUUCACCUGAUGCCAAGUCAACCGGAGCUAGGGUUUUUUGGAAUUCACCUAGAGCCAAGGCAGCCGGCACUGGGCAUGGAUUCAUAAUUGAGUCAUGACCCGAGUCUGACCAGUUUCGGCCCAUCGUUGUUUGGCUUCCUUUGGAUGGAACUGGGAUUCUCAGUUUGUGAGGGCUGUUCGAGGGUAGUGUAGGCUACAUAAAUGAGGCAAGACCCCGUUUUCUUCACUUUUCACCAAGGGUAAAAAAAAAACAUAAACAAUUUUUUUCUUUAAUAGUGAGGAGCGAGUUCCCGGUUAAAGAUCUCGCAAGCAGUGGGAUUCCUGACAGUUUUUGCCGAGAAGGCGUUCGGCGAGCAGACUUUGUCAAGAAUUUAGUGAAGUUGCAGAGGAGGUUUUUAGCACAGAGGACUUUCCGGUCGAGGGAAGAGCUCCAACCAUGGUAUUUGAAGGUGGAAAAGAUGGGAAGUGCAGUGGUAGGCAUUUCUGCAAGUCUUGGGAAUUUUUCGGGGAGUUUUAAGGGGUUUCCUUGGGGUUGUAGUGCCUUUUACGAGGUUUUCUGGGAACGGCAGAGGAGUGCCAGUGGAAAAUUAAAGGUCGAGGAAAACGAACGGUUUACUGAAGGUAGACCGUCGUAAGGAAGGUGUACAGUUGCGGGAGGUGAACCAUCAUGGGAGGUGAACCGUCAUGGAAGGUGAACUAUCGUGGGAAGUGAACUAUUUCCCUUGGAGAUCGUGCGACCAUUAUGGGGGUGAGGAAACUUAAAAAAGGAGAGUCUCAGGAAGUUAACAGUUGUGACAAGUCUGGUACUAACAGAAGUGCAGCCAACGCUGGGGCAACCGGAGCUGAUGGUUUAGAAUCGUAACUGGUGUUGACACAAUCGGCAUUGAUCCUCAAGAAAGGCAAUCGGCGUUAAGAGUUCAGCAGGCAUUAGCCUGGCGAGACACAGCCACACUGACUUCAGACGACGCUCAUCAGCAGUGUGGCCAUCAUGAUGCGGAGAGUACUGCCUGCAUGUGGCAGUAAGUCACGUGCAGGAUUUGAGAUGUUCGAUCAUGAGCUAUGCACGGUGAAGUUCAUUAGCCGACAAAAAGUGGUGAAUGAUGGUAAGGCCGGCCUUGCAUAACAACAGGCCUCUUAACAGUUAAGACUAGAUCACCACGAGUGAAUGAGAGGAUCUUGACAGACUUAUCAAAAGCCCUCUUCAUUCUCUCUUAGUUGAGUUCAAGGUUCUGCUGAACCUCUUCCAUCUAGUGCAUCCAAUUCUUAAUACCAGAGCUUGACUCUCUCAUCGUCAGUUAUUCCUUGGUGAAUAGCGACUGGCAGUGAAGGGAUUUGUAUUUCGAGAGGUAAAACAACUUCACCCCCAUAGACCGAAGAAUAAGGAGUGGAAUUAGUAGCAUUUCGCAUAGUAGCACGAUAAGCCCAUAGUGCUUCGAGAAGCUUUUCAUGCCAAUUCUUCCUUGUUUUUUAUGCUGACUUUCUUAAAAAGGUUGUAUAGAGUGUUAUUGAAAGCCUCAGCUUAUCCAUUCACCCGAGGUUGGUACAUAGUCGAGUACUUCCAUUCGAAACCGAAUUGGUUAACUAAGCGAUCAAUGUGAUGACUCCUAAAUUGAGGACUGUUGUUAGAUAUAUAUGAUAUGAUGUCGAACAAAGCAGGCCACCGCUAUUCGAGGAACCUGCUAGAGGGGGACCACUUCAGCCCACUUAGAGAAAUAAUUUGUUACGGCUAGGAUAAAAGCAUGGCUCAUUGUGAAAGGAGGUUCAAUAGGCCCUAAGAUGUCCGUACCGCAUUGUGAGAAGGGCCAUUAUGCAACGGUAGUGUGUAAGGGCUCUGAAAUCUAGUAAACCAGGCCGGAGUGUAUUUGGCAUACUUGGCAGUUUUUAGCAUAGGUUAAGGAAUCGGAGAUCAUGGAAGGCCAAUAGUAUCCCAACCUGUGUAUUCGUUCAUAGAGCUUUGGGUCAGACUGUUGUAGUCCACAAAUGCCUAAGUGGACUUCUUCUAACACUUAUUUGCUUCUUGGAUGUCAACAAUUCUAAGAAGAAUGAUGUUAAACGACCGUCUGAAGAGAGCAUCUCCUUCAAGGAGGGUAUACAUGGUGGACAUUCAACGUAUGAUGUUGCGCUCGGCAUGAUCUUCUGGAAGCCUAUCAUGUUUUAGAAAACUAGUGAUGGGCUCUCUCCAAUCUUCUACCUGCUUGAUUUCUGCGCAUAUUGGGUUAGAGAAUUUUGGUUCUUGAUGUCGACUCUUAGCUCCUUGACUCUGUGUUAUUCUUUGUUCAAUCUUUGAUUACUUCUUUAGCAGAUAGAAGUGCUCCAAAUGGAUAAGGAGGGCACUUGAGGAAGAUAUUUAUUUCAUCACUCGCAUCAACCGUGGUUCUUAGUUCGAUGUGUCUCCAUUCUGUCACCCAAACAACCGUAACAACUAAAUUGUGGUGUCGAGUUUCAUAAGUGAAUCAGCCUACGAGUUUAGUCUCUUGGGGAUGUGACUCAAGGAUACGUCUUAAAAUUGAGCCACAUACGAUUUUACAGUAUCGUGAUAAGGCUUCAGAGUGUCUUUCCUUACAUCAUAGAUCCCUUUGAGUUGCCGGAUAACUAACUCGGAGUCACCAUAGAUCUUGAGUUGCCCCAAAGCUAGGUCGAAGGCUAUCUCCAGGCCAAUUAUAAGGGCAUGAUAUUCUGCCUCAUUAUGAGAACCGGCUUGAGUGAGAGACAAAGAAAGUGGCAAUAUUCCUCCUUUCAGGGUUAAGAAGACUACUCAGGUGCUUCCUUGGUAUGAUUGGAAGGCUCUAUCAAAGUACAAUUCCCAAUCAUGAGCAAGCUCGAUACAGAAUAUUUCUUCAUCGAGGAGGUCGCUUGAUAACGGAGAUUCCGUCGGCAUGGGGUGUGCUGCGAGAAAAUCAGCCAAGGCCUGGUCUGUGGGACAUACGUGAUGUCGAACUCCAUCAGCAAUAAUUGCCACUUAGCAAGGCAUCCCGAUAAGCAUGGGCGUGUCAUGAGAAACUUUACAGGAUAAUCUUUCGAGAUGAGUUUAACUUCAUGACAAAGCAAGUAAUGGUGGAGUUUUUGUACUGCGAAGAUCAGGGCCAAUGACAUCUUCUCAAUAAGGGGAUAGUUCUUCUUGGCCCUUUGCAUCCUGCAGCUCACGUAAUAUAAUGCAGUCUCUUUUUCCUCAUUAUUGUUUUAUGUCAACAAUGCCCCAAGUGACUAGUCUAAAGCAAUCACGUAUAGAAUGAGAGGUCUUCCCAAUAUUAGUGUAGAGAGUAUUAGAGGGUUGAGUAAAUAAUUCUUGAUGUCGUCAAGGGCGGACUGACAUGCUUCAUCCCAGAUGAAUGGGGUAUCUUUCUUUAGCAAGUGUGUAAAGGGUUUACAGCGACCUGAGAGGUUCGAGAUGAACCUACAAAAGUAUGUCAGUCGCUCAUGGAGGGAGCGUAGUUCUCGAAGUAUAGUCGGUGACGGCAUUUCUUAGAUUACUUUGAUCUUGACUGGCUCAACUUCAAGCCCUCAUUGUCUGACGAUGAACCCCAAGAAUUUUCCAAAGCGCACGUUGAAACCGUAUUUUAACGGGUUCAUUUUAAGUAGAUGAAGAUGCAAAUGCUCAAAUACCUUUUCAAGGUCUCUCAUGUGGGCAUCUGCCUCUUCAGAUUUUACCAUUAAAUCAUCGGCAUAGCAUUCCACUUCUUUGUGCAUCAUGUCUUUGAAGAUGGUCGUCAUUGCUCACUGGUAUGUGGCACCAGCGUUCAUUAAUCCAAAAGGCAUCAUCAUGUAACAGAAGACCCCUUUUGGAGUUAAGAAUGCAGUGGCUUCUUCAUCUUCAAGCGCCAUCCUUAUCUGGUUAUACCUGGAGUAACCGUCCAUGAAGGAAAAGAUUUGACAAUGUGUCGAUGAACAUCUUGGUGAAUGGCAACGGGAAGUCAUCCUUGGGAUAGGCGAUAUUGAGGUCACAGAAGCCAAUGCAAACCCUGAUUUGACCAUUUUUCUUCGUUACUGGAACAACAUUUGCUAGCAAUUUCAGGUACUUGACUUCGCGAAUAAAGCUUGCUUGUUUGAGUUUGAUCACCUCGGUGUCUAUCUGCAUCUCGAGGUCAGGCUUGAACCUUCUCGAUUUCUAUUUGAUGGGUUUGAUAGUCGGAUUGAUGCCAAGAUGAUGAACAAUUACUUGAGUGUCUAAGCCGGGCAUCUCAUGAUAGGCAAAGACGACACGGUUUGCUCGCAAGAAAGUAGUGAAAUCAUCCUUCUCUUCUGGAGACAUAUUCGCUGAAAUGAAAGUGGGUCUGGGAUCCACCUCGUCUCCAAUAUCUAUUUCUUCAAGUUCGUCAGUUGUGGCCUGACCACCUUCUUCCCAUUCUUCUGAGGCUUCUUGCAUCUCUUUCUCGUUGUUCUCAGAGGCCUUUUCACCAACUUCAUGCAUGGAGACCCAUGACCCUGACAUCUCUGUCUCCAAUAGGGCUCCAGGGUUGGUCAUGCUUCCUGUGUUUUUCUUGAACCGAGUGAUGGAGAGGUCAACUCUAAAUGUAGAAAACACAUCAGGUUGGAGAAGCUUGUUUGGACAGUUAGGAGGAAAUUGAGGUUGAGUGAUGUUGACACGAAGAGUGUCUGAGUAUGAAUCACAUGGUAUUUUUACAGAUGCUUGGAGUGUUUGCUCCGAGCCAGCUGGUUCUUCACAGACUUGUAUCAUAUGGCAAGCUUCCUGAGAAUAGAAGCUUUGCCCUUUUGAUUUUCUUAGUCUCUUUUCGAAGUUAGGCUCAGGGGGCCACUAGGGUUUGUUUGGUUUUGAUUUCUUGUGCUUCUUUAAUUAAGGUGGCUUUGCCUUGGCUUUAGCUGCCAGGGCAUCAGCAAUUGUAAGGAAUCUUGCUGCCUUUGUCAGGGUCUUUCUCUAUUGUUUCCACUGUGUCCUGGUUAUAUUGAUUCCUUCGAAUUCUCGAUCAAGAGCCUCAAAGUUCGGGCUUAUCAAGGUUGUACCUACAGGGAAUGUGAAGAGGGAGAAUGAGAAGCAGGAGAAGAAGAAGCAUAAGGGUUAAAAGGUGGGGGAUUCUGAAGGUCAUUCCCGUCAUAAGACUGAUCUGGGCAGCUUUUUAUGUCAUCAACAGGGUUGGACCAGUGUAGGGGGUCUUUUAGGCCUUUCCCUUGGUUAGACUGGUGGGGACGGCUUUUAACAUCGUCACCCUCAUUGGACGUAUGCUGGGUGGGAAAUGGCAUGGGAAUGUCUCCUUGAUAGGAUGAAGAAGGAAGAAGGAUCCUAUCAGGCAUGAAGUCCAGUAAGUUGGCAGUGGAGGAAGGGGCCCGAAAAUAUCCUACUUGACUGUGGGUUGAGCAGUCUUGUUUCUUCGGCCAGUAGCCCUUGGUGGUCGUCUCUUCUUGGUUUUUUGAGGUGAUGUUUGAUUCGUCUUGUUAGGCUUGAGAACAGCUCUAGCUUGGUUAACUGCUUCUCACCUUAAGGACUUGAGUCUGCUUCGGCCAUGGCAGACUAUCCAUGGCUGGGAAGUAGAGGAUUCGGUGGAGUCCGAGUCAUUGAUAGGAAGGUCCUUCUUUGUGUGAUCUUUUUGCCUCGAUAGAAGAAUGACUUAGGGAUCACAUACAGGGAGAUUGUAAAACUUCUGACACUCCCGCAUUUUCUUUGUGAAUAUAUCAAAGAAGCUUGUGCAUUCCAACAAGUAAUGGCCUCUUAUCUAAUGGUACGGGCACCAACGAUCUUCAAUCCCCUUAGGAAGGCGACAGGGUUGCCUUGCCUGCUUCAAUGUGAUUAUGCCUUCAUGAAGCAUUAUAAUGAAGAAGGCGUAAAGGGUGGCAAGCAUUUCGUCUUCCUCUAGAAUGGUUACUGCAUGGGAGGAUUCGGCUGCCCCAAAGGCCUUCUUUAAGUCUUGAAGCUUUAUCUGACCCUUCUGAAUCAGGGACUCAAUAAUAGCUUUUAGCGUGUAGCAGUCAUCUGUGGGAUGAUUGAUCCUCCGAUGAUAGGAACAAUAACUAGCUUGAGUAUCAAGGCCAGGUUGCUCGGGGGACUUGGCUUCUAGAUGCUGGAUCAUAUUCUAUUCCAAUAAUAACCGGAACUACGCAGGGGCCCAUUCCUUCUCGAAGGGAUAGACCUUGUUUCUAUGUCUUGUGAAAUAAUCACCUCGAUCAAGGUUGGCUGGUGAGGGUACUCGAUUGUGUGACUGUUGUUGCUUGCCAACCUGGGAUGUUACCUUUGUUGCGCUUACCCCUUUAGAGAGGUCCAAAGUUUGAGAGGGAGUCUUCUUUGAAUCUGUGACCAUGACUACUGCACUGAUUACCCAUUUCUAUUGACUGCGCCUUGUGUUAUUCUGAGAGCUACCAUUCCCCCAGUUGUUUGCUGAGCUUGUAAAUGGUUGUUGUGUUCAACCAUGGUGACGUGAUAAACUUUCUAUAUGAACUAAUUUAGAGAUCAACCCCGACAUGGAGGUCGAAUUAGAGGCCUCGACAUGUAGAGCAAUCUCGGGUCGCAUGUUCCACAUGCAAGUUUGGAUUGCUUCCUUCUCAGGUAUAGGAUUAGGAUGGCGGGAAGCAAAAUUUCUCCAUCUUGAUAUGAAUUGAUCCACGGGCUCAUCAGGGUCUUGAGUCAGGGUGAGAAGUUCGAUGGUUUGAACCUCUCUCUCAACCUCAUAGAAGCGUUGAUAGAAUAGUUUCUCCAUCUCCUCCCAUGUAUGGACUGAGUUUGCAAGAAGUUGGGCAUACCAUUGAAAUGCUAGGCCAUCGAGGGUCUGAAUGAAUUGUCAUAGAAGAAGUCUCCCGUUAGCCGUUGUUUCUCGAUAUGCUGCCUGGAAGUGGGCAAUAUGCUAGUUUGGGGACGUGGUUCUGUUAAAUAAGGGAAACUUCCAUUUCUUAUAAUCUGAGGGAAACGAGACCUGAACAAUAUAUGAGGGGUAUGGUCUUUGAUAAGGCGUUGCACCCUGUAUCAUCGAGAUUUGACUGUUCUUUAGGUUAUGGGUGACCAUAGCGUCAAUGUCUGUCUGAGAGAUGGGAUGAGGGACAUAAUUGUCCUGUGAGGUAGAAGGAGGGGUUUGCCGUAGAGGUGCACCAUCAGAGUGAUGGGAAAUGACCUCAUGGUUAGCCGACUGGCAUGCGGCAUCGAUACGAUCGAUCUUUUCCUUCAUCGUGAGCACCAUAUCCUCAAACUUGUUCAUGCGCUCUUCAUAUGCAUCAGUGGCCUUGCUUACAACCAUUUUGCUGACUGUUUCUCUAGGGAGGUCAACGUUAGUGGCAACUGAGGGGCUUGUAAACUUGACUGGUCGUACGUGGUAAGUCAGUCAGCAGGGGGCCAGUAUGCCCUGACUGAACUCGACUCUUGUAUGCUGAUCACGUUUGGACCGGUUCUCAACGGUCUUGGAACCGUGGCUGCUGAGUGGCUGGGUCUUCCUCUACGAUAGUAACCACAGCAUAUGGCUCAUGGAGCUCUACUUCAGGCUUCAUUGUUUGAAGGGGGUAGAAGGGAUUCAGGUGAAGAGGGUCGUCAGAAUUGGUUGUUUUGACUGCCUUGGUCACCUCCCUAGUCAAAAUUUGAAGACUUCUAUCGCUUCUAACCUUGAGGUUUUGAUGGACCUCGCCCCAAAAUUGCGAUCUAGGUUGCGGCUGGUCAGCUCUUCUUGUAUGGGAGAGAACUGUCUCCAUCAGGUAAGGCAAUGGAUGAAGGUCAGAAAUUGCAGCCAUCUUGGGCCGGAGAGGAUGAAGGAAUCGAUCUUUCACCAGGUCAAUGCCCUGUGCUCUCUUGUGAUUUUUAGAGACACGACCAAAGUGACGAGGCUGGUUCAGGAUGGUACUCCUAGGGAAAAUGUUCGAGUGCCAAAACUUAAGGUGCUUGCUCGAUGAAGGAGGAGUGAGCCGGAGCAGAAUUGAGUCAUGUGAAGGCCCGAGUUUAGGGCGACGUGACAUCUGUGAUGGCAAUGCCUGUGCGCCCUUUGAAGAAGGAUUAUGGGAGACUUGGGGGUUAGCCCGAGCUUAUGCUAGUGAUCUUGCCUUAAGAGGCCAAGAACUACGAGUAGGUGUUUGUAAGAGAACAGGUGUAGGCUUGCCCCUUACAGGGUGCGCUUGUGUGUGCAGAGUAGGAGGACAAGGGGGUCGUCUCCUAUGUACUGGGGCCUUGGAACGCUUGGUCUUGGACACGGACUCGAGGUAACAAAAGGGUUGCCCCGAGGUGUGACUCGAGUGGGUAACCCACGAUCCUUGUGGUGAGUGUGAGGGGUGGAGACCGUGGGGUUUCCGCCACUAUUUGUUAAGCCUCUAAGGAUAUAGACCAACGGUGUAGAAAUGUGGGGGAUAGACGUAUGGCGACCCACAGAAGCAAUGGCAGCUUGUUUGCCUUUUGCAGAAAGAGACUAGAUAGCCUUCUGGCACACCUCAAGAACACAACAAGUGAGUGACUUGUUGGUAGCAGGGUGCAUGUUAUGUGGGGCAACAGAAGUGCUACCGAUGCAGGACGCCUUGGUGUAGUUUCCAUCAGAGCGAGGAAAUGGGGAGUGAGGGACCUUUAAGUCCCGCCUCACACCGGUCCAAGUUAAGACCUGGGAGCUAGACAAGGGGUCUUUGUUCAAGAGGAUGGUUGGGAACGAAGUCAAAGGAACUUAUUCCCUAGGGACACUCUCAAGCAUGGGGUUAAAAAGUCCCCGAUCUAGAUAAAUGGGUUACAAGCCAUAAAUAAAAUGUGAAAAGAUAAUGAAAGCAGUUAAUAAAAGAAGAAACUAGCUAGAAAAGAAUUAUCUGACUAAGGGGUAGUAAGUCCCUAGUGGAGUCAUCAAGCUGGUUAGGUGCCUUGGUCUCGCCCUCCGGAUCUGGAUCAUCGGGAAGCACGCGUCUCGGGUUUCGAGGGAAGACCCAAGACAUUUUUGAGAUCGCUCUCUAAGGAACCUCGUUCGAGAACAGGGGCAGGUGUUACCAAUCGAUGAGAGAGGAAUUUAAGGUGGGUUCGGGACUUACUCGAGCUGGCUCACAUGGGUGCCCUCUUAGAUCAUAAAGAAAGCCCCUCAGUAAUAAAACUGGUUCGGAAUCGCCUCCCUUGGCUUGAAUUAUUCUUGUUUCUGUAAUCACACACAUAUGGCAAAGGUUAUAAGACAGGUGGGUCUGACCUCACUUUUUUCCUCCUUGAUGAACGUACACAACCAUGCGCAUUCAAAAAGAAAAAUAAGAAAAGAAAGAUAAGAGAGAGAAGAAUUAGACUGAGUGGGAGGAUCAGAGCAGUGACUAAUCUGAUGAAUAAUUGGCCUGACGUGGUUGUAAAAUGGGCUCGGUAUCUAAGACCGACUCAUAGGAUUACUACUAGACAUCAUUACCAGUACCAACUAGCUAGGCACGAUGGUUGGUCUGUCAUUGCAAUAAAGCGGGCCAAGUAAUCCUGACACAACAACAUUACGGCUAGACAAAAGGACUACCAUGAGAGGCUAACCUCAAUCCCUCUUAGUUGAAUGAAAGAGUAACAGAAUGAUGGUUAUGAGGAAAGAAUAAGAAAUGAAGUAAGAGAAGAAGGGAAUAGAAGGAGGGAGGGAGAAGAAAGGAAGAGAAGAGUACGAAAGGUGGGAGAAUAUAAGAGAGAGAGGGAAGGAAGAUGCAGUCGGCGCUAGGCAUUGCCGGCUAUGUUAGAAGGAAGAGAAAGAAAGCAUAGUUGGUGUUAAGCUUCACUGACUAUGUUAUACAGAGAAAAGGAGAGAGAGGACACAUUCGGUGCUAGGCUUCACCGACUGUGCCUGAAGAAGAGAGAGAAAACACAGUUGGUGCUAGGCUUCAUUGACUGUAUCAAAAGAAAAGAGAGAAAAUACAGUCAGCGUUAGGAUUCAGUGAAUGUGUCAGAAGAAGAAAGAGAAAACAUAGUCGACACUAGGAUUCGUCGACUGUGUCGGAAGAAGAUAGAGAAAAUGCAGUCGAUGCUAGGCUGCCGACUGUGUCAAAAAAAGAGAGAGAAAAUGCAGUCGGCGCCCGGCUUGCACCGAUUGUGAUAGAAGAGAAGCAAGAGAGAGAUCGAGCCAGUAUUAGGCUUCGCCGACUGUGAUAGAAAAGUAGAGAGAGAAAUCCAACUUGUACUAAGCUUCACCAAUUAGCUUCAGAAGAGAAGGAGAGAGAGAAAUCCAGCUAGUGCUAGGCUUCAUCGACUGCAACAGAAGAGAAGGAGAGAGAGAAAUCCAACCGACGCUAGGCUUCGUCUAUUGGCUGCAGAAGAGAAGGAGAGAAAUCCAACAGGCACUAGGCUUCACCGACUGGCUUCAAAAGUGGAGUGAGAGAAAUCAAACCGGUGCUAGGCUUCACCAACUGGCUUCAGAAGAAGAGGAGAUAGAGAUGAAAAGAAGAGAGAGAGAUAGAAAUGAGAAACAGGGGAGGAGAGACAAAGAGAUAGAGAAGAGAAAGGGGGAGGAGAAAUAAAGAGGGGAGGAGAGAGAAAGUUACCUGCCUGAAGGAUACCAACCCUUUUCUUCUCUCUCCUCUCUCUCUCGCUCCAAGACGUACCCAAGAACUUCAACAAGAAUGGAAAUUUUAUUGAAUCAUUGAGAAAAUGAACCGAAGGUCCUUACAAUUUAGCUUUGUAUGUUAUAUAGAGUUGGGCUAUUCUCCAAAACUAGCUAGAAUUGAAAUACUAUGGUUUUCUUGUAGCGCUCGGCAUGACAAUCAUUUUGAUACCAACUUCAAGCCAUGAAUCAUGUUUAUGAACCAUGAUCAUGAGACUUGUAUUUUGAAUGAAUCUUGAAAACUUCAGAUCGAUUGUGUGCUCAUUCCUUGAUGUUUCUUCGUGAUUUCUUCAAUUAAUCACACUGAGCAUGCCGUCACGAUCACGUUGCAACAAACGUAACUUGAUUUCGUGUCUGGAUGAAUAUUUUGUCAUCUUGAGUUUUUGACCGGAAUCUUGAAAUCCGACAACCAAAAUUUACAGCUAUUUUGACACCUUUGUGUGUGAAAUCCAAUCGUUCAUGUUCGUGAGGUUUGGACCAGAGAUAGCCUCGAACCUGACGCACAUAAUAUAAUUGGUUUGGUGUCGAUCGGUUAUGUAAGCGUCGUGAUCUGGCUACUUAAACGAGGCGGUUUGCUGCUAAAUUUUUUGCAACUUUCUUCACGGGUCAGUGACUUUCAUUUAGUUUUUCUCUCUUUUCAGGCAUCGUCGCAAAGCGUACCACAUAUCGAAUUGUUUGUCUUGAUGAGACGAACACGCUCACCAAAUUUGGGAGCUAUCUAACUUGGAACGAGUGAGUUAUAAAGCCCGAAAGUGACUGCUCGUGACUGUAAAGACAGCCACCUUUAAUGGUGUUUUGAUGCAGUGAGGCCACGCAAGAAUAGUGUGCGGCCUACCCCUUUUCGGUAUUUUACCUAUAACUUUGUCUUGGAGUGCUCGAUUAAGCCGAAACUUGACCCAUAUGGGUUUUCAACCGUGUCAAAUUUAAUAGCGGCAGUUCCAUACCUGUUUGGCGCACCAAAAGUAUGAAUCUAAUUACAAGGUCCAUUUCAAGGUGCUAGAGACCAAUUUCGUUGAAAUUGUUUCUUUGUGUUCACUGCCUUAGACAUGUCUAAACAUGAUGAAACUUCUCAGCUGGUCUUUUGAAGUGCUGAUGAAGAUCAUGACCAAUUCUGGGGCCAUUCUGACAUUAUCGAGAAUUCCACUGUUUUGUAGGCUUUAUUGACCUGCUUUCUAUUAGGGACCAAGGUACGAAAAAAUGCGUUCAAACAGACUCUAGACUGUAUAACCACAGUCCAAGCUAUAUGACCUUAAACCAUAGUGCACAUCCUGGCCACAUGACGUUAAACUACUUUGCACAGGUCAAGAAGGCAUGACCUUAAACUGGACCCCACAAUAUGCACACAUGCCCUUACAUGCAUCUUCAUGCACGCCUUUCCCAACCGACACAUUCGUACGCACACCACCUUCAUUACCUUCCUAGUGAAUCUCUUCGCUACCAUUCAUCAUUCCCCAGUGAGUCUCACCCAUGCUCACAAAAUGAUGUGUCAUCCUGCCAUCCAUAUUCACCGUCAUCCAUAUUCACCGUCAGUUAGUGGGUCACCACUUUUCCACCCACCAUUCAUACAUUAUCCAUCUUUUGUAGGUAGCCUCGUGCCAUCUUCCCAAAAUGAGCUAAAACCACCACCAUACUCGCUCCAUGGCCUCCACAGACUGCCAUCCAUUACCACCACGGUCUAGUUGUAUGACCUUAAACUGUAGUGCACGUCCUGAUCACACGUUAAAAGGCUUCGUACAGGUCCCGAAGGCAUGACCUUAAACAUGCCUUCAUAAAAAACAAAAGAAAAAAAUAACGGGCAUGGUGUAUACUUGGACAAAGGAAUGCAAUGAGUAAAAAAUGAUAGGUAGGCAUGGUCACGAAACCAUGAGUAAGAGAGUUCCGUGAAAUUAAAAUCCGGGUAUGGUGAAAAUUCGAAAGGGCACCGUGAGUCAAAAUGCAAAAAAUAAGGGUGGACAUGGCCAAAAGGUCAUGGGUAAAAGAGCCCCAAGUAAAAGGCAAUUGGUGAAAACCGUCUCUACGUCGUCACUUCCCAUGUUUAAGUGAAAAUCUGCAAAGGACACUUGGUGGGCCAAUAAAUAGGUUGAUGCAGCGUUUGGCUCAAUAGGUGGAUUCAACCCACACUUAAAGAGAAAGGUCCCUGACAUCAGAAAACCCGGAUAUCGGGACCCAAAAAUACGAGGUUCAAGGAAAAAAAAUUCGGAUAGCCUGAGACCAUUCACAAAAAGGACUCGAAAGACAGAAAGCUCGCCAUGACGACAAGACAAGUCUCAUGAAGAAGAGUAUUAUUCCCACAAGGCCGCGAACACACUUCAAAGAUGUUGAAGAAGCCCCAAGAAAGCCAAGUCAGCCAUGACUUUGGACCUGUGAUGCAGCAAUUAGGAUUGAAUCCUUAGGGGCCUCCUCGAAAGAUGAAGAGAGGUAUCUUGAUUGUUGAAACUACAAAACAGUGGACAGGGGUUAUACCCAAAUUCGGUCACCUAGAUAAACUAAGGUACCCUGCCUGCCAAGGAAUAACUGGUGCACAACACAGACGGACGCCAACCAAAGGCCUUCAGCAGACCAUCUACAACGAGCAAAACAAAAACCUCAAAACGUGGACCAACAAUAGAGGAUACAAAAGCCAUACUAAAAUGGGAAAAAUGCCCUUCAUCACGACGCUCAACUGCAAGAUGGGCUUGAUUCCGACUUUCGUACAAAAUCCUUAGCUUCAGAAUCACAAACAGUCCACACGAGGGUGAAGACUUUGAUAGGAUCCCUCAAAAAAGUCACCUCUCCCCCAAAAGUCUCUAUGGAUAGACUUGUACAUUGCAUCCAAACGUUUGAGCAUCUUAGUUACAACAUUGCGUGGAUCUCCUCGGUGUUGACGUUGUCCUGCGGCUAGGAAGAAAAAAGUAAUAAAGUCAAAGGAAAUUUUCCAAAUGUUGUCAUUCUCACUUCCCUCAACGCACAACAUUUGGUGGGGCAUGCUGUUUGAAGACACUUUUUAGCACCUUGGUCUUUGAUACGAAAAAAAAGAGGAAGCCGAUCAAUAAAGCCUCGACAUACAGUGAAAUUCUCAAUAGUCUCAUAAUUUCUCUAGAAGCGUCAAAAUGUUCUUAAACACUCCAAAAGGCCACCUUCUAUGUUUCGUCGUAAUCCGACAUAUCUAUUGCAGUCUAGACAAAGAUACAAUUUCAAAAAAAUUAGCCGUUAGCACCCUGAAAUGGAUCCUGUAAUUAGAACUAUAUUUUUGGUGUGUUAAACAUCUGUGAGACCACCACCAUUGGAUCUGACACGGUCGAGAACCCCUAAGGGUCAAGUUUUGGCUUAAACGGAAGUUCCAAGACAAACUUAUGAGUGAAACAUUUAAAAGGGGUAGGCCGCACGCUAUUCUCGUGUGGCCUUCCUGCACCAAUCUCCAUUAAAGGAAGUUGAUGUGCAUAGACCCUAGCAAAGACUUCAAUGACCCGUAUCUCACUCAUUCUGAGUCAGUUCGCUCUCAAAUUUGGUGAGCGUGUUCGUCUAAUCAAGACGAGCAUUUUAAUAUGUGGUUCAACCCUUGACGAUACCCGACCAGGGAUGAAAACUAGAGAGAAGUUGCUAAUUCGUGAAGACAGUUGCGAAAAAUUCAGCAGCAGCAUGCCUCACUCGAGCAAUCAUCUCUUGGUGCUCGUGUACUCGAUCAUUGUGAAACUAGAUGCAUUAUGUACGUAAGGUAUGGGGCUCUCUUUGGUUUGAACCCCGUGUAAGAUGAACGGUUGGAUUCAGCACAUGAAGGCGUCAAAUUAGCUGCAGAUUUCAGCCGCCCGAUUUCAAGAUUCGACCAAAAACCCAAAACGAAGAAAUCUUCAUCUAGACACAAAAUCGAGCUACGUUAAUUGUAACGCGACUGUGACAGCAUGCUCAGUACAAUUCAAUGAAGAAAUAAAAAAAAAAUCAAGAAACAAGCACAUUAUCGAUCAUAAGUCUUCAAGUUCUAUACAAAUUUUGAGUCGUAUGAUCGUAGCCUAAAAACGUGAGUCGGGGCUCACAUUGGUAUGACAUCGUUCAUCAUCUCGAGCCUGAAAAGAAAGAAAUCAUCUUUCAGUCGAACGUACAUCAGAGCAACCCCGAAUCAUCCAUGUAAGAUCACGCAAGUUCUAGGGCAGCAGUAGGGAUUGAAAUUUCAUGUAUUGUUGGGCCAGGGAAAAACAGUCCUUUUGCAUCCAAUUUUAAAAUUUCUUUUAAUUCAAUUAAAUUGUAAUUAUCAUCAAUUUAGGUAGUUUUUGAGCGUCCAUCCUUGUUUGGGCCCAAUUGUAUAAGUACAUGUUAAACACAAUUGUCAAAGGAACUUGAUUCUUUUAGCUCAUCAAUAAAAUUUGAGAGUUUUUCACGUUCAAAUUGUGAGUACAUCUUGGAGAGAGGAGAGGAGAGAGAAGAAAAAGGUUGGUACCCUUCAAUAAGGUAAUUUUCUUUCUCCUCCUCUUUUCUCUCUCAUCUUUCCUCAUCUCAUCUCUCUCUUUCUCUCCUCAUCUCAUCUUUCUCUUUCUCUCUCCUCCUCUCAUCUCUCUCUUUCUCUCUCCUCAUGUCAUCUCUAUUUCUCUCUCCUCCUCUUAUCUCUCUCUUUGUCUCUAUCUCUCUCUCUCCUCUCGUCUAUAUCUCUCUUUCCAUUUUCCUCUCUAAUCUUCUUUAUCCACAUUCCUUCUCUCACUUCUAUCUUUCCUUUCUUUCUUCUUUACUUUUCUUCUCUCUCCCUCUUCUCUCUGUUUCCUCUCUGUUCUUUCAUGGUGGAGCUUAUCACCUGACAUGAUGUAUUCGUGUUUCUAAGAUCUAAACAGUGAGCGGCGACUUAACCUGAGUGGCGGGCCGGGCUUCUGUAAAAGUUUCCUUGUCUUUCUCUCUAUCAUGGACGGCAAAUGCUCAUCGCCACUCAUGUUUUCUCCCACUUCUUAAACCCCUGUCAUGGAUAGCGGAUGUCAUCGCCAUCCAUGUUUUCUCCCAUUCCUUUUCUUUUCUGUCAUGUACGGGAGAAGUUCAUCGCCAUUCAUGUUCUCUCUCUUCUAACUCCUCCAACAUGGAUGGCAGAUGUCAUCAUCGCCCAUGUUUUUUAUCUUCCUCUUCUCUUUUAUCUUGGACGGCAGAAGCUCACCGCCGUCUAUGUUUUUUCUCUCUUAGUGUCUGUCGUGGAUAGCGGAUGUCAUCGCCGCCCAUGUCUUCUCUUUCUUCUAAUUCCUCCAACAUGGACGGCGAUGACUCGCUCUGAAUUUCUCUAUCAUGGACAAUGGAUGUCAUCGCUACUAAUGCCUUCUCUAUCUUUUAAUUCCUCUAUAAUGAACCGCCAAUGUCAUCACCACUCAUGUCUUCUCUCUCUUCUAAUUCCUCUGUCAUGGACAGUGGAAGCUCAUCGCCAUCCAUGUUUUCCCUCUCUUCUCUUCUCUGUCAUGGAUGGUGGAUGCUCAUCAUUGUCCACAUUUUCUCUAUAUUCUCACACCUUUGUCAUCGACGGCAGAAGGUCAUCGCCAUCCAUGUUUCCUUCUACUUUCUCUCUCCUUUGUCAUGGAUGGCGGAAGUUCAUCGCUGCCCGUGUUCCCCUCUCUCUUUUCUUCCCCUUUCUUCUUCCUUCUUCCCCCUUUUCUCUUCUUUCUAACUGCUCCUUUCUUCUACUUUUUCUCUCUCUCUCAAUCCUUUCUUGUUCUCACUUGCACCAUAUUGGUAGUACUGUGCAUGCCUUUUCCUCUCUCUUUCUUUUAUCUCUUCUUAUUCUUUCCCUUUCGUUUGAUCAAGAGAGGCUAAGUCAAACACUUCCAUGGUAGUCUCGUUGUCCAGCAGUAAUGUUGUUGUGCCGGUUUUAGCCACCUUGCCCUCCUUAUUGCCACGAUAGGUUAGUCAUCAUGCCAAGCUGGUCGUUGAUCGUUCUGUCAUCUAGUAGUAUUGCUGUUGUGUCAGUCUAGAUACUGUGCAUGUCUUGCUACCACGACAGGUCAAUCACUUGCUGGUCUAGCUAUUGUGUUAGUCUAGCCACCUAAUCAAAUCUUUAUCUUCCCCAUUCUUCUAUUAUAUCUCUUUAUUCUUCUUUCAUCUAUUAUCUUCCACUUUUUCUUCUUCUAAAUGUGCAUGACUAUGUGCAUUUGCCCAAAGAUAAGGAGGAGUCACUUGACCCACUUAUUUUGUAAAUUAACCAUGCGUGUGUGAUUGCAGAAACAAGAGAGUACAAGCCAAGGGAGGCGAUUCCAAAUCAGUUCUACUACUGGGGAGCUUUCUUUGUGAUCUAAGAGGGUGCCCACGCUAGCCAGCUCGAGUAAGUUCUGAACCCACCUUAAAUUCCUCUCUUAUCAGUUGGUAUAUCUGCUCUGGCUCCUGAGCGAGGUUCUCGAGAGAGCGAUCUCAAAUUCCCGUGUUCCCUGAAAAUUGAGAUGCGUGCUGCCUGAUCAUCUGGAUCCGAAGUGCUAGAUCAAGGCACCUUACCAAGCAUAUUCUGACAACAUGGUCCACAUGUCUAGAGAUGACAUAAGUUAUCAAAUAUGUGGUACCGCAAUAUUGCAUGAGGGUGUGAGACUGAUGCCUAUGCACACUGGUUGGAGGAUUACUAGUCAGGGAUACUGAGAAGUUGAUCACCACUGGAAAGGGGAGAACUGCAACUAGCACCAAGAUACCAAGCAGAGGAAGAUCAUCAGGGCUCCUCCUCUAAGCGAGAUUUUUUCCUUGGACUAGCCCUUGAACUGGCAAGGUUUUAGGAUAUCCCAAGAGAUAGCAGCGAACAACUCUUCACCAUAGCUUUUUGUCAUGGAGAAGAAUACGGGGAGCCUUUUUGACAACCUCACCUUUAUCUUUCAAUGGAGGGAAGGUCGAAAGGUCCCUAGUCAUGAAGGGUGCCUGAUUUAAGACUUGAAUGCACUGAUAGGGAGUGCGGCCCGCACAACGCUCUUGUUGAAGGCUCUUCUUGAGAGGGAAGUUUUGAGGCGAUUGCUCCUUCGACAGCAAGAGGGUAGAAAAGGAAGAGCGCUGCCCCCACUGAAACUUGCACACCGACUCAGGCUGCCAGACCUACUCCAAAAUGCACGAGUGCGAAACUUUCUGUCAUUGUAGAAUCAGAGGAUAGCACUUCAUGUUCUGGCUCCUCCGGUUCGUUCGCUACUCUUUUUGAGUCACCUUUGCCCUUUCUUCAUUAUCUUCUACCUCUCUUGAGUUGCUUUCUACCUCUUCCGAUACCGAGGUAGAGGACUCCGGCCCCUCUGAGCCCAUCAUCAUUGUUUCUGAUAGAGAGGGGACACCUGAGCUAGGGUGGUGCCCGAGGUUCCAAGAACGUCCCCUGAGUUUGGUCUGGCUCCAAUGGAGAUCGAUGGGGCUAAAGAUGAAGGUCUUGAUGUUGAUGUCCAAGGAGAGGAACCCAUAAUUGGUAAGUCCUCUGAACCUUAGGAGAAUGCUGCCCCAACCAAGGCUGAGGUGGUAGUCAUGGGCUUUGAAGUCCAAAGCAUCCCCCUGGAGGAGGGACCUAUGAUUGAUGAGGUUCCUGAGCAUUAGGAAGCUGCUACCCCUGGUGAUGAGUUAUGGGUGAUGUAGGCCAUUCUCAGGUAGGAAAUCUUGAGGGUUCAGAGACAGUGGCGCUAGAGAGUGCGGAUCCAGAAGAAGAAGUAGUCAAGGUUUCGGUUGUCAGGGAUGUGGACCCAGUAGAAGAGGCCGCAACCGAGGCUAAAGGCCAAAGGGAGGAGGUAGGCCGUGAAGUUGUCGAGGCUGAGUUGGCAAUUGAAGAGGUUGAAGGGCAAGGAGAAGAGGCUAGCCGUGAACUUAUUGAGGCCAUGCUAGAGGGUGAGAGGCAAGGAGAAAAUGUUGCUUUGGAUCAUGAUGAGACCAGAAUGGUGGCCUUAACAAGUGAAGGUCAAGGUGAUGAGGUUGUUGCUGACCUUAUGGAGACUACCCUAGCAAAUGAGGGGCAAGGAGAAGAAUUUGGGCCUGAAGGGGCUGAGCCUGCUGCGAUUGAUGUGGUGGUUCCAGUGGUUGAGAGCUAAGGAGAAGCUCAGCGUGAGACUGUGAUUUAGGGCCUAGGGGUAGAAUCUUAUCCUGAGAGGGCUAAGCCUGAUGAGAGCAAGGCCGUGAGUGAAGGGUCAGGUGAGGAGGCUAAUGUUGAUGAGACCGAGUAGCCCGAGACUGGGGGCUCUCUCUGAAUCUGAGGAGUCUAAGGCUUUAGGAUUUGUGAUCGCUCCAAAAGAGCCAAUGACUCACAUGGCUAUUAUCCCUUCGAGCCCAGCUGUUGAGAUCGAAGCUUCUUACAUCUUGGUGGCCCUAGCAACACUGUCCAGGCCUAGUUUCAGAGGGAUGCCUAGCAUAAUUGUGGACAUGCUUCGCUUGGGUGUUCAGAGACUGAAGGAUAUGUCUCUUACUGAACUUGACAAUGCAAUCUACAAGUUAUGGCAGAUUUCCCUUCUAGAGGGCGCACUAGAGGUCCUCCAGUACUUUGAUGGCGCCAUAAAUGAGCUGAAGGGAUGGCGAAUAAAGGAACUUGAACAAGAGGCAGUACCACAACAAUUAGGGGAUUCUCAUUUGGCCUCUUUGGAAGCCUCUCUCAUGUGUCAUCGUGAAUCAAUUGAGGCCCAUACACAGAGGAGGGAUGGUACGUCUUCUCGGAGAUCGCCUGCUACAACAGAAUGACGGCCCUGAAAACAGAUAUAAGAAGGAUGCGGGAGGAGUUUGAUGGGCUUGAGAAAGAGGUGAAAGCUUGGGAAACAGUAGAUGAGGUCUUAGCCAAGAAAGUAUCAUGUCUUGACUAUGCCCUGGGGAAGGAAACCGCCUCUUUGGAAGUAGAGACACAAUUGGUGCUUGAUGUGAGAAGACGUAUGGAGCAUUCCUAGGCUUCUUCUGUUGCAUCUAGAAUGAAGAUCAAUGAGAUCAUUAAUCGUUUUUAAGGUGUAAUUUUUUGUCCUUUUUUCCUUUUUCUUUCUUUGAAUAAUGACACUUGUAAUGAUCUCUGAAUUCAUGAAUGAAGUACUUCUCUAUUUCUUUUAUCUCAUUCUAAUGCAUGACUUUAUUCUUUCUUUUUGCUUCACGCAUCACAUAUCUCGCUCUUGGGUAGGCCACGCUUCAGGGAAUUCAUUGUUUCUACCCUUUUGCUAAGGAAAACCCUAAGCCUUGUUUUGUCCUUUGACAAACUAUUGUGGUUUCAAUGACCUCAAAUGGGGAACGGUUGCUUCUUCUCCUCUUAAGGUUUUGUUGGACGGGGGCUCAUAAUUCAUUCUUCUCAUUAUUUGAUGAGCUUGCUCACUGUAAAUAGUCCAAUUAGGAGGAGCUUUGGCUUCUAUUCAAGGCACAUUCACCUCAAGUCGUCAUAUCCCUUGGUCUCAGGCACGAACUCCUUUAGAUGUUUUGAAGCGAUACGUAUGACUUCCAACUGGUUCAGGAGACUAUGAACAUCGCUUGUCAACUCUAUCAAGGGAUCCUGCUCUUGAAAACGAGAGGGCUGUGCUUUUUUGAACUGCUCUCCUCCUAUUGAAUUAGGGAAGCGCAGGACUUGUAGCUGAAUACUGGCCUGAGCUGACCCUGCAGUGGGACAAGGAGCAUCUUCUUUGCUUAGGGAAGCUGGGGUUUGGAUUACCUUUCGCGGUGGCUGGUGCGCCAUUUCUGCUUUCAAGAGUGCAAUGGGGACAUGCGGGACUUUUUAAUCUUCAGACAGAAAGCGGAAGGGGAAGCUUGAUCUUCAGAUAAAGAUGGAGUUUCCUCAAGGGUGCUAGAUGGCAUACUGGGAUGAAUGGGAGGCAGAGGGAGGAUUUUUCCCUGUCUUUCCUCUUCUUUGAUCAUGUUCACAAGUGUUCGCCCGAUGUCCUCCACAUCUUCAUGAGGCGAAGGUUCUGUCUUCCUCACAAACUUGUGAUCACCAUCAUUUGGAUUUUGGGAUGACACCGACUCUGUGAAGUAAUACUUGGCAUCAGCAUAGUGAGUUUUGACCAUAGGAAAUNNNNNNNNNNNNNNNNNNNNNNNNNNNNNNNNNNNNNNGGGAUGAAUGGGAGGCAGAGGGAGGAUUUUUCCCUGUCUUUCCUCUUCUUUGAUCAUGUUCACAAGUGUUCGCCCGAUGUCCUCCACAUCUUCAUGAGGCGAAGGUUCUGUCUUCCUCACAAACUUGUGAUCACCAUCAUUUGGAUUUUGGGAUGACACCGACUCUGUGAAGUAAUACUUGGCAUCAGCAUAGUGAGUUUUGACCAUAGGAAAUUGUCUUUUAUCAGCAUAGACCGUAUUCCAUCUCCCAUCUCUACUAUUCUUGAAAAAUUGGUGCAAUGUUGAUGGAACUAUCCCCUGAUCAUGGAGCCACGAGCAGCUGAGAAGGAUGUUGCAGGACGUGUCAGUGUCGACUACUUGAAAUUGUGUGUAAUAAUUUAAUUCACUGAUCUUGAGACGAAGGUGGACUAUGCCAGCCGGCUUCUCUCUUGAUUGGUUGAAACCCAGGAGUGUGACAUAAGUUAGAGUAAGGUCUUCAGACCCUAAUCUCAAUCGAUUGAGAAUUCUCCUUGGGAGGACGUUGACUGCAGACCCUCCAUCCAACAUAAUUCGGUUGAUGGGGAAUUGACUAGUCACAAAGAGAGGGUGACUGUGAAAUUUUGCACCCAAUUGAAGGUCCUUCUCUAAGAAAGUGAUUGCCAGACAUCCAUUCAGGAUCGCUGGGUCCACCUCAUGGAUUCCACCUCAACCUCUUACACAUCUAGAUCAGAAAGAGCCUAAACCAGAGCCAUACGGUAAUCCCUUGAUAGCAUGAGAGCAUCAUAGAUGCUAAGAAGGGCUGGCAACUUCCUCAGGUGCCCUAUCUCAUCAUAUUUUACCUUUUCCUCGUUAGCCUUUUGUGCUCUUGGUCCUGCCACUGGUUUGGUUGAGGAGCAGGUUUAGGUGGAGGAGGUUUAUUUUGGGCUGCUGACUGGCUUGGUUGUGUGGCCGAAUUUUUUUCGGUGAUCUGGGUGGUUUAGGUGAUAGGGAUUUGUUUUAGUGGACUGGAGAUUUGAGGCUGAGAAUUAAGAGGUGGUUGGGUAUAUGGGUCCAAAGGCAUCCCAGGGAAUUUGAGGAUAGGUGGAUUGCCCAGGGUAUUUGGGCGAGGAAUCAUCUCAGGACUCUUGAGGAUGAGUGGAUUGUCUAGGGUAUUUGGGUAAGGAAAAAGUGAUGGACAAGGAAACUUCAGGACCUUUAGCUUCCGAGGUAGAUGUUGUAGCGUUUUCCUUGACCUCAGGCUCAUUUCCUUUGUGCUAGGUAAUUCUUUUGAGAUCUUCACCAUAUGACUGGCUUCCUGAGAAUAGAAGCUCUGUCCUUUCAAUUCUUUCAGCCUCUGCUCAAAGUCGGGCUUAGGGGGCCACUGGGGUUUCUUGAACUUUGACCUCCUAUGCUUCUUUGUUGAAGAAUAUGGCUCUACCUUAGCUUGAGCCACCAGAGCUGCAGCGACUUCCAGCAAUCCAGCCGCCAUGGCUAGCGUCCUUCUCAGCUGCCUCUGAUGCAUCCUGCUAAUAUUGGUUCCUUCGAGUUCUCUGUCAAGGGCCUCGAAGUCUGGACAUUCCACAGUUGUACCUGCAGGAGACAUAAAAGAGGAAGGAGAAGCAGAAGAAGAGGAAGAAGAAAAAGAGGCGUUAAUAGGUGAAGGACUUUUAAGGUCAUCGCUCUUGUUAGACCGACUUGGGUAGAUUUUUACAUCAUCAUCAGAGUUGGACAUGUGGGGGGAGUCUUUUUGUCAUUUCCCAUGCUUAGAACAUUGGGGGUGCUUUUAAUGUCGUCACCCUCAUUGGACGUGCCCCAAGUAGAAGAUGGCCCAAGCAUAUCCUCCUGAUGAGAUGAGGGAGGAAGGAUGAUCGCACCGGGGAUGAAGUCCUAUAAGGUUGGCAAUGGGGGAAGAGGCUUGAGAAAUUCUUGCUUAACUGGUGGUUGAGCAGUCUUGUUUCUCAAGCGAGCAACCCUUGGUGCCCUUCUCCUGGUUUUCAUUAGAAGUGCUUGAUUUGUAUCUCUAGGUUUGUGAACAGCCCAAACUUGACGGACUGCCGCUCAUUUUAAGGACUUGAGUCUGCUUCGCCCGUGGUAGACUCUCCAUGGUUGGGAAGUCGAGGGUUCAGUAGGGGCCAUCAACAUGAGAUUCUUGCACUAAAGCAUUCUCGUGGAUGGGAUCAUUGACUUGUGGGUGGUGUUCCACGGCAGCGUAAGCAUUGUGACCUCUUUGCACCAUCGUUGCGACUAUUGGUUCGAACCCAUAACAUUUGCUCAAGUUGUGGCCCCAUAUCUGAUGGUACAAGCGCCGAUGAUUCUCGGUUACCUGAGCAAGGCGCAUGGGUUGCCUUGCCAGCUUUGGAGUAACGAGCCCUUGUUGGAGCAUCAUGCCGAGCCUGAAGGAGAUUUGAUGGUUGCUCAUCAAAAGAGUGUGGGCCUUCACUUUCCUCCUGCAGUGUCACCACGUGGGAAUCCUCAGUUGCCCCGAAUGCUCUCUUAAGCUCUUCGAGCUUUAUCUAACCCUUCUAGAUCAAAGCCUCAAUGAUGUCCUUGAGUGUGUAGCAUUCGUCUGUGGGGUGGAUUAUCCUCUAAUGAUAAGCACAAUAGCUUGUGUGGGCAUCAAGUCAGGCAUGAUCAGGAAACUUGCUCUAGGGGAGCUCAAUCAUGUUCUGCUCCAGUAAUAACUGGAGUAGUGCAGGAACCCAUUCCUUCUAAAAAGGAUAAACCUUAUUCUUUUGUUUGGCCCAAUAAUCAUCUUGAUUAAGGUUUGCAGGUUGCGGUACCCAGUUAUAUGACUGUUGUUGUUUUCCUACUUGUGGUGCUUUCGUUGUGCCUACCCCUUUGGAGAGGUCCAAAGAUUGGGAGGCGGCCUCUUUUGGAUCACUGAUGGUGAUGACUGUGUUGAUUACCACUUUUUGUUGAUUGCCUUGGGCAUUGGUCUGAGAGCAACCAAUUCCCCGGUUGUUUUUCGAGCUCGCAGACUGUUGUCAUGACCCGCCAUGGUGGCGUGACAAGCUUUCUUUGCAAACUAACUUAAAGAUCAGCUCUAACAUGGAGGUCGGAUUGGAGGGCUCAACAUGUAGAGCAAUCUCAGGUCGCAUGUUUUGCACACAGGUUUGAACUACUUCCUUCUCAGGCAUGGGGUUAGGAUGGCGAGCAGCCAAAUCCCUUCAUCUUGUUAUGAAUUGAUCCAUGGGUUCGUCUGGUUCCUGAAUCAAGGUGAGAAGCUCGAUGGUUUGGACCGCUCUCUCGACCUCAUAGAAGUGUUGGUGGAAUAGUUUCCAUCCAAGUAUGUACUGAAUUCGGGGGAAGCUGAGCAUAGCACUAAAAAUCCAGGCCAUCAAGGGUUUCAACAAACUGAUGGAGAAGGAGUCUCCCAUCAGCUGAUGUCUCUCGACAUGCUGCUUGGAAAUGCACUAUAUACUAAUGAGGGGAUGUUGUACCAUUGAACAGGGGAAGCUUCCCUUUUUUGUAGUCCGAGGAAAACAGAAGUCGAUCAAUGUAGAAGGGGUACGGCUUUUGGUAAAGCAUUGUACCCUGUAUACCCGAGAUUUGUCUAUAAUUCAGGCUAUGGCUUACCGUAGCGUUGAAGUCUGCCUGUGAGACGAGGUGAGGGACGGAAUUGUCCUGUGAGGCAGGAGGAGGAGGCUACCUUGGAGCUGCAUCGUCUGAGUGAUGGGAGUCAGCCUCAUGAUGGGAUACAUUGAUUGAGGACCGCAUGCUUUCAGUGUGAUCAAUCAUGUCCAUCAUUGCUCGCACCAUCUGUUUGAACCUAUCCAUGAGUUCUUCCUAGUUGUCAUUAGGUUCGGUCACAAUAAUAAUGCUAACCAUUUUCUCAAGGUGGUCAGCCUUAGGUGCAGCUAACAACUUCUGGCCAUGGUCGAUAAUGCGCGACAAAUCGGUCAGCAAGGGUUCAACAUGCCCCUAUUGAACUCGAGUCUUAUAUGUCGAUCGCAUGAGGACCGGUUCUUGACGGUCUUGGGACCGUGGCUGCUGAGUGAUCGGAUCAUCUCUUAUAACGGUGACCACUGUGCAGGUUUCUCGUAUGUCCUCUUCGGGCUUUGUGAUUUGAAGAGGGUAGAAGAGUUUCUUGUGAAGGGGGUCAUCAGGAGAGGUUCCCUUGACCGUCUUGGUUGCUUCUCUAGCCAGGAUUUGUAGACCCCUAUCGCUUUUAGCUUUGUGGCUUUGAUGGACCUCACAUCAGAACUGUGAUUGGAACUGCGGCUGGACGGCUUUACUUUAGCAAGAAACAACUGUCACUAUUAGAUGAAGCAAUGAGUGCGGACUAGGUACUGGGGUCAACUUAGGCUCAGGAGGAUGAAGGACUUGAUCUCCCAUCAGGUCUUUGCCCCGAGUUCUCUUGUGGGCUCCGGGGACAUGGUUGUGCUGAUGGGGCUAGCUCAAGAUGGUACUCUUGGGGAAGGUCUUCAAGUAUCAAGGCUAGAGGUGCUCGCUCGAAAUAGGAGUGGUAGGCAGGGGAAGGAUCGACUCAUGACGGCACCUGUCUAUAAGGAAACAGGAGGGAUGCCCCUUACAAGGUGUGCUAGUGUGUGCUGAAAGGGAGAACAAAGGGGUUCUCUCCUGUGUACUCAGGUUAGCGCAGCGACAGUGUUGUCCCCAGUGGUGGGAUGCACAUGCAUAACGUGUACAAGACCUAGCCCGAGGAGGCCUGAUCCUAGACACUAACUCGAGGUAACAUAAGGAUUGCCCCGAGAUGUGGCUUGAGUGGGUAGCCCACGAACCUUUGGGUGUGUGUGAGAAGUGGAGGCCCCAGAGUCUCUGCCUCGAUGUGCCGAGCCUCUAAGCAUAGAGACCUGAGAUGGUAGAGGAAUGUGGGGGACAGCCUUGUGACGACCCAUAGAAGCAACGAUAAUUUCCUUGUUUUUGGCAGAAAGAGACUGGGUAGCCUUUCUGUGUACCUCGAUAAUACGACUGGCAUGUGACUUGUAAGUGACAGGAUGCAUGCUGUGGGUGGAAGCAGAUGUACUACCAAUGUAUAGGGCUUUGGUGGGGGUUCCACUAGAGCUAGGAGAUGGGAGUUAGGGACCUUUCAGUCCCCUCUCACGUUAAUCUAGGCCAAGACCUAGGAGCUAAAAACUAGGUCUUCGCUCAAAAGAAAAUUUGAGAACGACGUUCGAGGAACAUAUUCUCGAGGGAAGCUCACGAAUGCGAACAUGAGAAAAUCCCCAAUCCGGAUAAAUGGGUUAAGAAACCUGGAAGCCAUGUGAGUGCAGACAAUUAAAAAACAAAGGAAAGACUAGUAAAGCAAGGAUGAUCCGACAAAGGGGUAAUAAGUACCCAGUGGAGUCACCAAGAUGGUCUUGCCCCAGGGUCGGGAUGACCCGGUGGCAUGUGCCUCCAGCGUUAGGGGAACCUGAGACUUGAUGCUGCUCUCUCGAGAACCUUGUUACAAAACAAGGGCAAGCACACCAACCGAUAAGUGGAAUUUAAUGUGAUGCGGGACACACGUCACCUGGGUCCAUGACUCACUUUGGCUGACUCACGCGGGUGCCCUCUUAAAUCACGUCGAAAAGCCCCCCAGUCUUACAACUGGUUUGAAAUCGCCUCCCUUGACAUGUACUCUUCUAUUUCUACAAUCACACACACACGGUUAAUUUACAAGACAAGUGGGCUGAGGGACCCCACCUUGUCUUUGGGUGAAGGCACAUAAACGUGCACAUUCAAGGAAGAAAGGGAAGGAAUGAGAUGAAAUUUGGAGUGAUAAAAGGAGAAGGGAGAAAUAUAAUAGAGGGAAGAGAACAAAAGAAAGAGAAAUUUAUCCAAGAUGCUUGACAGACAUAGUAGCUAGACCAGUACAGUGAUUAACAUGGCAUGGUAGUAAGACGGGUUUGGUAACUCAAACCAGCCCGACCGCAAUACUACCUGAUGACAAGACCAACACCGACUAGCCUGACAGAAUGGCUAACUUGUCGUGGUAGUUGGACGGGCAUGGUAACUCAAACUAGCAUGGUGGCAAUAUUGCUCAACGACGGGACUACCAUGGCAGUUCUAGUCUCAACGUCCCUUGGUCAAAUGAAAGAGGAAGAAAGGAAGAAGAGAGAGAAGAAAGAAGGAGAAAGAGAGAAAAAAGAAAAGAAAGAUAAGAGACAAAAGAGAAGAGAGAAGAGAGAGAAAAGAGAAGAGUGAAGAAAGAAAAGAGAGACAAGAGGGAAGAGAGAAGGAGGAGAAAGAAAAGAGAGAUGAGAAAGAAACGAGAUUAGAGGAAGAGAGAGAAAGAAAAGAGAGAUGAGAAAGAAGAUAGAUUGGAGGAAGAGAGAGAAAGAAAAGGAGAGAGAUAGAAGAAAGAGAAAGGAGGAAAGAAGAAGGAGAAGGAAGAAGAGAGAGAAGGGUAAGAAGAAUGGAUGGUGAUAGGGUCUGCCAUCUAUGAUGGAGGAGAGAGAAGAAAAAUUAAAGCAUGGAUGGUGAUCGGUCCCAUUAUCCAUGGCAGAGGAGAGAGAGGGUAAGAAAGAACAUGCACGACUAUAGGUUCCAUCGUCCAUGACAUGAGCGAGAGAAAGUGAGAACAUGGACGACGAUAGGUCCUACCGUCCAUGACGAGAAACAGAGAAAGAGUAAACAUGGAUGGCGAUAAGUCCCGUCGUCCAUGACAGGAGAGAGAAAGAAAGAACAUGGAUGGCGAUAGGUUCCACCGUCCAUGAUGAGAGAGAGACAGAAUAAACAUGGACGACAAUAGGUCCCACCAUUCAUGACAAGAGAGAGAAAGAGAGAACAUGGAUGGCGUUAGGUUCCACUGUCCAUGAUGAGAGGAGGAAGGAAGGAGAAAACAUAGACGACGUUAGGUUCUACCAUCCAUGACGAUAGAGAGAGAGUCAGGAGAGAAAAGAAAAGACAAACAUGAUGAUAGGCAUUGCCAAUAUGUCAAAAAGGACUCAAACAUGACCCCGCUCGCCACUCGAGAAAGGGACCGAUUCAAUGUCCUUAUCAAGGAAUAGGGGAAGAAAUGUCACGCGUGACGAUGGACAUUGUCAUGCACAACAGGAGGGAGAAGGAACUCAAACAGAGGCCCAGCUCGCCACUCAGGUUAAGGUCCGACUCACUGUGUAUGUUCCAAAGAUAAGAAAAGAAUGUGAAAGUCGUGCUCAGCGAUGGGCAUCACCAUGCAUGACUGGAGAGCAGAGAGAAUAAAAAGAAUGAAGAGAAAGAAGGAAAAACAGGGAAGAGAGAGAAAGGAUGUUAGAGAAGAGGAAAGAGAGAGAUUGAAAGGGAAAGAAGAAGAUUGGGAAAGAAAGAGGAUGGGAGAAGAAAGAUAAUAGAGAGAAAAGAGGAAAGUAGGGAAAGAGAGACAUGCACGACAGUGCCUACUACCGUGUACAUUAGGAGUGAAGAGAGAGGCAGCAAGACAAAGAGAGAUAAAGACAAAAGAACAGAGAGAAAGGCAUGCACGACGAUGGUUACUGCCAUGUGUGUUUGAGGUCGGGAGGAGAGAUACAGAGAGAAGAAAAAGAAAAGAGAAAGAAAGAAGAGAGAGAAGAGAGAAAGAAGAGGAGAGAAAAAGUUACCGUCACCGAGGGAUAUCAACCUUUUUCUUCUCUCUCCUGUCUCUCCCUCUUGGACGUGCCCACAAUUUCAAUGUAAAACUCUCAAAUCCUAUUCAUGAGAUUGAAGCCCUUUACAAUUAGGUUUAGCAUCUAUUUAUAGACUUGGGCCCAAAACAUGGGUGGAUGCCCAAAACCUGACCUAAUUGAUGAUAAUUGUAAUUUGUUUGAAUUAAAAUAAAAUCUAAAAAUAGGAGAAAAUGACGGUUUUUCCCCUGCCCAACAAUUGAUAAUAUUCCAAAACAGCCCCUACUGCUGCCCUAGAAUGUGUGCGAUUUUUCGUGGAUGAUUUGAGGUUACUCCAAAGCUAGUUUUGCAAAAAUAUGAUUACUUUCUCGUUGGGCUCAGCAUGACGAUCAAUUUGGUACCAACUUCGAGCCACGAAUCGUAUUUUUAGGCCACGAUCAUGUGACUUGAAAUUUGUACUAAUCUUGAAAACUUCUGAUCGAUAAUGCGCUCAUUUCUUGAUGUAUUUCUUGGAUUUCUUUGGUGAAUUUCACUGAGCAUGCCAUCAUAAUCGCGUUGCAACAAACACAGCUCGAUUUCGUGUCCCGACGAAGAUUUUUCCAUAUUGGGUUUUUGGCCGGAUCUUGAAUUCUGACGGUCGGAAUUUACAGCAAUUUUAUCGUCUUCGCACGUGAAAUCUGAGCAUUCAUCAUGUACAAGGUUCAGUCCAUAUGUAGCCUCAGAUCUUACACACGCAAUGGAACUGGUUUCCCGUUGAUCCGUUCUGUGAGUGUGGUGACACGGCUACUUGAGCGAGACGUGUCGCUGCUGAAUUUCCUGCAACUUUUGCUACGAAUCGCCAUCUUCUCUUUUUACUUUCUCCCUAGUCGGGCAUCUUCACGGGGUGUGCCACACAUGAAGACGCUCGUCUUGACGAGGCGAACACGCUCACAAAAUUUGGGUGCGAUCUGACUUAAAACAAGUGAUAUAUGAAUCUAUAAAGUUGUUGCUCGUGACUAUGCAAACCAGUCUCCUUUAUUAGAUGUUGGUGCAAGGAGGCCGCAUGGGAAUAGCGUGCGGCCAUCCCCUUUUUAAUGUUUCAUCCAUAACUUUUCCCUGAAGUGUCUGUUUAAGCAAAAACUUAACCCCUAGGGGUUUUCGACCGUACUGGAUCCAAUGGGGUGGUCCCACAAUAUUUUACGCACUGAAAAUAGUGUUCUAGUUAUGGGGUUCGUUCAAGGUGCUAGAGGCAAAUUUUGUCAAAACUGUUUCUUUGUUUGCACUGCCUUAAACAUGUCAGAUUGCGACAAAACUUGGCAGGUGGCCUUUUAAAGUCCUUAGGAAUGGCUUCACCUGUUCUGGGGUAAUUAUGAGACUGUCAGGAAUUCUACUGUAAGUAGGGAUUUAUUGACCGACAUCACUUUUAUUCCGCAUUGGGAGCUAAAGGCAUUGAAAAAUGUGUUCAGACAACCACCUACUGACAAUCACCAUGCCAACUCACAUAGUUACUCCACCACGCAUACUUAUAACUCACAUAGUUACUCCACCACGCAUACUUAUAACUCACAUAGUUACUCCACCACGCAUACUUAUAACUCACAUAGUUACUCCACCACGCAUACUUAUGUCUAUAGACUCCUGGGUAGCCUGACCGCUCUAAUAAUGAAUUGGGGCAAGGGAUAGCCUACCCCAGUCUCGUAAAUUGUUUCAGAUCGUCCCCAUCCUAGAUGCAGUGUUGAUGGCUCUGAUGCCACCUGCACCAUGCAUGUCAGCUCCACGACUCGAGGCUGCUUAAGAGCCGACCCCCGACUGACACACGACUCUAUAGACAAUCGAAAGUCCCUCGAGCAAAUGCACAUUCAUCCGACAGCCUCGAUAGCCUCAGUAGCUAAACGGGCGAUUGUUACACACACCCCACCCCUCACCACACAAGUGACUAGCCCCUUUGCAACAAGAAACCACUAUGGAUCGUGCACACACCUGCAAGUUCGAGGAAGCUCUCGAGUGCGGGGAAGAACGAACGCCCAUCGUUCCGCCCAUCACUCCUGUACCACUCACCACGUGGUACUCUAAGAAGUUCCCUCCGGGCACCAUCCUCUCUACACCAUGACUUGCGCAUUUGCAAGUUGCCUCUUGGCGCAAGGUCCAAACGGAGAAGAUGCUAUAUCGUUUCUCUGCCGAUAGUCCUCAAACUUCACUGCCACCUACGAAACUCCUUCCUCCUGAGUCUCUCACUCUACCCGAGGUUGUCGACUCCGUCUGUGCAUUGGUAGACCGGGCCUACCGAGAAGAGGACAGGACCCGAUCUCGUUUCUAGGGAAAAGUUUACUGAGGCCUGCAACUCAAGCAAGCUAGGGAAAUGGUGAUUCCCCUCCUCCAGCAAAAGAUGACGUCUUCUACCUCGAAGGGCCUUGUCAGCUAGAAAUGGUUUCAACUACUGCGUGACAAAGAGGAGCUCGAAGACGGCAGCGUCACCCCGUCCAACGUUGUCGAGGCAAAAGAAGAUGACCUUGCCUUGCCCUGCCCGACCUUCAGCCGCAAGGUCGUCAAGAGCCAACGGAUGAAGAGGGCCUCAAGGCCUCCAAGCGCCAAGCCCGACCUCAAGGUCACCCUGAUCCCGUACUCACUCGGGCCCUCAAACAAGCCCGCGUCCAGACGAGGGCAAGUCUUGCCUCUGCUCUCCGGGGUCUCUGACCGGAGCACAAAGAGGACCAGGAUCACCCCUCCUUUUGAGCUACCAGACUCAGACCGACCAGCCUAGGUCAUGACAGUAAGCCAGGAUGGAGAGGAGGUCAAAAGCUCGACGACCCGCUUUGAGAACCUCCUGAACAACAUCUUGGACAAGGUCAAAGAGCUCGAGGAAGCAUUGUCAAUGGUCUCCUCCCACCAAGAGACCAACUCUCCCCAGAACUGCCACAUGAGAUAGAGGAAAUGCCUCAGCCUCCCCGUCGGCACCAACACUGAGCCUCCAAAUCAUCCCUCCUCUUUUGAAGUCUGCCCCGACACCACUCGUCAAGCGCAUCGUCGAUAUUCACGCAGGAGGACGUGUAAUGGAUGAUCAAUAAAAGCAUUCAGGAGCUGCAGGUGCCAAGGACACUGGACAAUCUCCCAUACAAAAAUCCUUAUCCACCCUCUAUUGAUCAGGUUCCCUUCCUUAUCGACUAUCAAAAAGGAAGGUUACUAAUGUUUGAUGGCACAGGCUCACCUCACUAGCACAUGGCCCACUUCAUGUCUGUCUGCCAAGAAUCGACCUCAGACUCCAGGUUGCUACUUCAACAAUUCAUAGAGACCCUAAUCGGGCUUGCUUUCAAAUGGUAAGCCCACUUACCUACCAACUCGAUCCAUUCCUAGCAGGAGAUGGAAGAACUCUUCUAUAAACUCUUCUACUAAGUAGAGCUGGACAUGCAAGCCAUAGAGCUCCUCACCAUGGCCCAAAACCCCGACGAAUCGGUAGGCCAAUAUAUCCAUUGGUGGAGAGACCUCGCCAUGUGCCAGAGAAACCCCAUGGGCGAGGUGGAAGUUGUACAUACAUACAUUAGAAACAUGAGGAGAAAAAUCUCCCUACAUGUUGAAGCUUUUGACCCCACCACCUUCUCCAAAAUUAUCACUAAGGUGGCUAAGAUCGAAAGCUUGCUGAAACAUCAUGGCGGAGACUUGGCCCAAACCUCAGCAGAGGGCCAGUUUCAAGGAAGCAAGGCUAACCCCUCUGCCGGUCAGUCAAAGAAUCUGAUUAGCACAGCGGUUACGAUCGCUUCCCAACCCACACCCAACGUAACCCCAUUAUGAAUGUUGGACACCUCUCGGGGUUUGCAACCAAGAAUUUAGGGGCCGGUACAACAACCACCACCUCAAAAGUAGGACUAUAGCAGGGUGCCUCAGCCGCAGAUUUACCAACAAAUGGAAGAGUUCAGACAGAAGCUGAAUCAACAAUACAGUUUUAAUAGGGCAUGAGCAUGGGUGCCGACCCUGCUCACAAUGUUGAUUGAGCAAGACAUGGUGACCCUCCCACCCAGCAAACGACCGGACCAUGUAGAAUGGGUCGGUCAUCCCAACUACUGCACGUUCCACCAAAUGCUGAGACACCCCAUGGAGGACUGUUUCCAGCUCAAGGGCUACAUUGAAGCCUUGAUAACAAAGGGAGCAAAUCAAUUUGGAUGACCUCAAGAACACUUAUGAGAUACCUGAAGCCUGUCAUGUGGUCACCAUCCACAAACAGUUGGAUGAGGAAGUCCCUGGGACCGAGCCUCCACCCUACUGACUCACUACUCUUUUUGAUGCGAUGGUGCCGCAUGAGAUGAUCAUGCCCUAUGGCCCAAAGACACAGGGAUGAACGUUCAGCAAAGGCCAAGGACCGGGUUGCCGAUACCACCCACUGAGUGGUCAGGACCUGUUCCAUUACUAUGGGUUUCGUGACAUCCUUCAAGGAUACAUCCAAGAUGGAUGGCUAGUCUUGAUUGAUGAACAACCUCCGUCCCAAAGCAGAAUACCCCACCAAUGUCCUCACCCCCAUCCGAGAACAGAGCAGGCUUGAAGCCUUCGUUUCCAGCGCUUUCGAGUCUUCAACCUGUGAUGCUUAGGCACCGUGGCAGGUGUAUCAUGGCCUCCAAAGGCCGAAAAGCACCGGCAGCAACACGGCUCAUUGCACGAAUGCGACACUUGCACCCCAUGCACAAGAACCCCUCCCGCUCGGAAUAACAGGGCAAGACCUGAAGGACCCAGUCGCACCAAUUCGAAAUACCCAGUCUUCCCCACACCCAAACGAGGCGGAGCUCUUACCCCCUCGACCUCCCCUACACGACGUCAUCCCAAGGCAAGUCCUUUUCGCCAAGGAAAGUCAGCACACCACCGCAAGAACCCCUCAGGGUUCUCGUUAUAAGGACAAGACGUUUUAAAGGUGCAUCAAAUUGUCAGUCCCAAAGGUGGGACUUUAAGCGAGCCUUACUGCAGUCGUGGGGGUAGGGCUCUAAAACUACCUCUUUAAAAACACAACUGCACACUGACAGUAGACCACGGCACUCCGCGAAGGCAUGCCAAUACCCUCCCAAUGAGUGUCUAAAUUCUUGCCAACUACUGGCCCCUUCUCAGAGAGGGUGAGGUGCGAGAUUCAGAACAAAAGGCGUGAAAAGAAGAAAAACAAAAACCAAUUAAACAUGAAAGAAUAAGAAAAUUGACCGUCUUAUUCCUAUGCAAAAAAUAUGUUACAAAUCUCGGUGGGGCAUCGAAGCCCAUAGAAAAGUAAAAGGGAAAGAAAGAGAAAGAGGAAAUAAGGAAGGGCAGGAGUUGUCAAAAGCGGUCAACCGCCUCCUGCAUCUUCGCCUUCGGCUCCUGCGCCCUCUCCAGCACAGCCAGCACCUCCUCUUCACUAUGAGUGAUCUCCGUGGCGACCGACACAGACGGAACCGUGACCACCAAUAUGUCUGAACUAACUUCUCCAAGUGGCGGGAGUUUGUAGCCAUCACCUCCCGAUAGCACUACAGUUUGUCCCUCGAGUCAGCCAUGCCGGUCAGUAACAGACCGAUCUCAUCUACAACACUCUGGAUAUCUUCUUUUAUUUUUGCCUCCUCCCUCACAAGAUAGGCAUGACAAGAGGCAAUUUUCUCUCUUCUCCUCAUGACCUCUCACGAGAGCUUGCUAAGUCACCAACUUUGUCUUCAAGGAGGCCAAACACACUGGGUAAGACGUUCGUGUGGAAGUCUCCGGUAAGUGAGCCUCAGCUCCUCAACCUACGAGGUUCUGUAGCAGCUCAUGUACCUUGUCAAAGGUCUCGGCGUCCAGGCCCAUGGCUUGAAAGCUGGCCACACAGGCCUAGACUUCCUCAAACCCCUCUUGGAGGUCAGGAAGAGAGCAUUCCUUGAGCCCCUCAAGGCCCGCCUAAAGCAUACACCUCACAGUCCAUGUUCUAAAGCCCACCUCGAUGAAGCCAAAGCCGGGGAACGCACUGAAGAAAGUGGGUGCACGUCAAGGACUGGUCCCCCGACCGUAAGGGCCAAACACUCAGAUGGAGCAGUGGGAGAUUCCGACGGGGGCCCACCAACCCCCCUCCAACUCUCGGCGCCAAACGCCAUGAGAGAUGAAGCUGAGGCCUCAUCAGCAACAAACCUCACACAUUAUGCUGUUGUAAAAAAAAAGAGAAGCCAAAGGGUCAGGUCAAAGGAAAGCAGCGCACCAACCACGUGCUCAGACCCAAGUAAGCAGCAUUACCUAGAGGAAGAGGUAGACUGCUACUGGGCAUGAUCCUUGCUCCUAAGUGCUUCUUUGAUAAGAGACGAAUGCCGAAAAGGAGGCCUGAGCAAAAGGCACAAAGGGUGUUUGCUCUUAUUAGGAACGUAGACCCUGAUCAGAGCGAAAAGAAAACACCCCUCCUUUAAUAAAGCCUGAUAGUAGAAGAGCCAAUCAACGGGUGACUCGGCCCCUAUCUAGAGGAAUGUCGGCAGCACGGGAAGCAUCAGAAGUGGGACACCGAGACACCAUCGGCGUGCUAAUCGAACCAUCGCGUGAGCAGGGGCCACGCACCUCGAAGGUACGACUGUACAAAUAACAUUCGAAGAGACGUGCCACACAUGCGAAAGAUUACGCUUAGUCUCAAGAAAGCACUAAGGGCACGUAAUCGAACCAUCGUACGACAACGACACCGUCUCUCUCGCCCAGCAUUAACCGCUUUGCAUGCACAAUAUGUUCCAUCGAAAAUGACGUGCUUACCGUUGUGCAAACACCGCUCAAGCAUGCAACCAAACCCCACUCGGCCAACGUACAAUACGGGCCCACUCAGAGCGUCGCGCUCGGGGCACCCCCCAGCACCACUCUCCUUCACAGGCAAGCGAACCUCGUUCCUUGUCUCACCCACAUAUGGGACCCCCUGCGCCCCCCCCUAAAAAAAAUAAAAAAAUAAAAAAAUAUGGGGACUUGCGAAAAUCAACAACGACACAUUCCCCAAGGUUUGGGAUGAAAACCCGCGAAGGCAUCCCAACAACCAUCACGUAGCAAGCAGCAACCUCCCAACAGGCACAACAAGCACUUCAUCGGCCAUUUAUUAUCCCCAUCAUUAGCAGGGAUAAGUACUGCACCAGCCCAAAAAAAACAUAAGAGGAGAGCAACACACAGCGGCACAAGGCAAAGAAGGAGACAUUAACGCAAAUGAGGGCUUUUAUUAUGUGAACAAAAAGAUUACAAAAUUGUGGUUACAACAAGCUGAUAACUACAAAGAAGUACAUUAGUUCCGAAAUAACCCUCUCCCAUUCAAGGGUCCACCGCUUUCUCACAGCGGUGGUGACUACCAAGAUGUUGUGUCCAUCUCUUCAAGAAAGACUUGAAGAUAAUGGGGAGCACCUCCUCCUUCAACUCAUCCUCUGGUGAGGAUGACACGCCCUCAACACCUUAUACACAGCCGCAGGCCUCACACUAUGGGUCCCCCACAAAUAGAAGAGCUCCAGAGCAAUAAGCUCCCCCUCUGUCAUGGGUCCAUCUUCACCUCCACAUGGGCGAAUACCUUCACAAGGAAGCCCAACGCCCGCGCAUGACCCAAAGACCGGUGUCAAGCAAUCAGCCCCCAUAGCAAGCAUCGCUCACCAACCAAGUUCUCAAAGAAAACGAAGUCUUUGCGUCGCCUCCAUACAAAGGGCAUCAAUAAAAGGAAGUUCAUCACAACAAGGGGAAAAAGGUGCCCCCACGCUCUCCUGCUUAGCCCCUUUUUAAAGGACAUAUGCUCAUCAAAGUUGUUGCAUCCCAAGCACCAUGCUUCCUGGCUGCUCUCCCAUAUGUCACCUCGACGGAGCCUCGUUGAUCGCAACAUUUAAACCUUCUCACACCUCACAUGUUAGGUGCUGUUCACGAAGCAUCACAGUUAAAUCUCACACCACCAUACGGCCACGGCAUCACCACCAUGUGACACUCUCCAUCUGACCUCGCCCAAAAAUGCACGUGCCUCAUCAACCGAGCGCCACCUCUUUAAGCAACCCCCCUCCCCCCCGCGGGUGCCCUCUUCACACCACCCCCUGUGAGUACCAUCUUCAUUACACCUCCACGAGAGCACCACUCCAUUUCAAACACCCCCCCCCCCGCGAGUGCUGCUCCAUUUCACCCCCCGUCAGUACCAUCUUCAUUACACCCCCCGCUGGUGUAGCUCCAUUUCAGUCCCCAGCUGGUACCAUCUUCAUUACAUUCCCCUUGGGGGUACCAUCAUCAUUACACCCCGUGAGUGCAAUCUUCACACCUUCCCCCUGCAGGUGCCAUCUUCACACCACCCCCCAUAGGUACCAUCUUCAUUACACCCCUCGCUGGUGCCGUUCCAUUUCUUCCCCUCCCCCCCCCCUGGCAAGUUCCGUCUUCAUUACACCCCCCGGGGGUGCCGCUCCAUUUCAGCUCCCACGGGUGCCACUCCAUUUCACCUCUCGCGGGUGCCACUCUCCAUUACACCACCCGUAGGUGCCAUCUUCACACUCAUCCCCUGUGGGUGCCAUCUUCACACCCCCUCACGGGUGCCACUUCAUUUCACCCCCACGGGUGCAAUCUUUGCACCCACCCCCUGCGAAUAUCACUCCAUUUCACCCCUCCGUGGUUGCCACCCCAUUACACCCCUCGUGGGUGCCAUCUUCACACCUACCCCCUGUCGGUGCCAUCUUCACACCUUCCCCUCCCGAGUGCCGCUCCAUUUCACCCCCCGUGAGUACCACUUCAUUCCACCCCCCUCGGGCGCCUCCAGCAUGCCACCACCAUGGGCACUGUCUAACACCUCUCGCAGGCACCACCAUCAUUGACCCAACGUGGGCACAAACUGUCUGGGUUCCAAUAAAGCUACUCUUCGGGGAAACACCCCAAAAAAUGGGGAAAGUAUCCCCCACCUCGGCCACCAGCCACCACAUUAGCCCGAGUCAGGGUCACACUCUCAAGAUUUUCAAGAAUCCUCUUUCAAGAUUCACUACAUUAGUGACCUCCAUCCCCCCCAAAAAAAAGAGAGAGGGGGCUAUGGGUACAAUUGCCCAUCAAAAAAGAAGAAGAAAGGGGCAUAGUGAAAACUAACAAAGGGCACCAUGAGUAAAAAAAAAUAGACUGGCAUGGCCAUGAAGCCAUGAUGAAAAGAGUCUUGAGAAAGCAAUCGGGCAUGGCAAAAACCGACAAAGGGUGCCACGAGUAAAAGCGAAAAGCAACGAGUGGAUGUGACCUGAAAGUCAUGGGUAAAAGUGUCCCAACAAAGGAUAUGGUGAAAAUCACUCUGUUGGCACCAUACCCACUCGGUUCAAGUGAAAACCUGCAAAGGGUGCCUAAACCGAGCCUCCUCCUUCCAGCCUUUGGUCCGAACCUUAUCCUCUGCAGCUCCAGUGCCUUUCCAAAAAAUUUAGGCCCCAGAGCCUUUCAAAAAAAAAUCUGACCCUCAGCACCUUUCAAAAAAUUUGGGCCUCAAUGCCUUAAAAUUUGGGCCCCUGUGCCUUCCAAAUAAUUUGAGCCCCAGUGCCCCCCGAAAAAAAUUUGGGCCCUAGUGCCUUCCAAAAAAUUUCAACCCUAGUGCUUAAAAAAAAAAAUUCCGGCCCUAGUGCCAUCCAAAAAAAAUUCUGGCCCCAGUGCCAUUAAAAAACAAUCUAGCCCCAGUGCCUUCCAAAUACAUUUUGGGCCCGAGUGCCUUCAAAAACCAUUUGGGCCCCAGUGCAUUCCAAAAAAUUUCAGCCCAGUACCUUUCAAAAAAUUUUGGUCCAUAUUGCCUUCCAAAACAUUUGUGCCCCAGUGCCUUCCCAAAAAAACCAAGCCUUAAUGCCUUCAAAUAAUUAUCUGUCCUUCGGGCCAAACGUUUAUCCCGGGCCUUUGUGCUGCUUCCUAUUUUCAGCACCGGAGCCUUAGCACCAUAGUGCCACCCUUUUAUCAUGGGUCUUUAUGCAACUUUCCUAUUUUCGACGCCGGAGCCUUAGUGCCUCGGCCUUUGUGUUGCCUUCCUAUUUUCGGCUCUAGAGCCUUAGUGCUCUGAUGCCACCCUUUCAUCCCAGGCCUUAGUGUCGCCACGAUAAAAAAAAAAAGAAGAAAAAUUCUUCUCCUUCUCUGCUCUUCCAUCAAACUCUUGCAGCCAGGGUGAAAUCUCCUAAAAUGGGACCGCCUCAGAGACCAUCCUCCAAUCAAGUCUGGGUAAUUUAAGCGAUCCCCAAUUGGACCAGUAGGACGUAUGUUGAAGAGGUACCUUGCCUGUCGUUCUGCUCAUCAAACUCCAGCAUCCAAGGUGUAGUACUCAAAAAUGGGGCCGCCUCAGUGGCCAUCCUCCUAUCAAGUCUGGGUAAUUUGGGCAAUCCCUAACUGAACUAGUAGGAUGUAAGCGGAAGAGGUACCUUGUCUGCCUUUUCUUUCUUCAUUAAGUUUCCAGCAUCCAGGGUGAAGUCCCCUAAAAUGGGACCGCCUCAAAGGUGAUCCUCGUAUCAAGUCUGGGUAAUUCGGGAGAUCCCCAACUGGACCAGUAGGACGUAAGCCAAAAGGUACCUUGUUUUCUCCUAACGUCGUUGUUUGGAAAGGGAUAAAGCUCACAAGAAGGGCCCCCGCCAACUCGAACGUCAGGACCUCCCCAGCCAGAAUGGGAUAAAGCUCACUAGAAGGGCCCCCACUAGCUGGAACAUCAGGGGUUCGUGUUUUAUGACUCGUCGAAGGCAGACCAUCAACUUGACCUCCCAAAAAAAAUAAAUUUUAGCGAAACCAGGAGAAAGCCGCACAACAAGGCACCGAACAACAAGGCAUCGGACCACUAGAAGCCACUUUGGUCGCCCCGGAGUAAAGGGAAAAUCUCAGCAAGGUCUACCCAGUGAGGACUGUGUUGUGCCAGUGAUCAAGAAAAAAAAUAUUGAUUGAGAGACAAUAAACACGUCUUGGCGAGGAUUCGUCAGAGGAGCUACGACGUUAAAUUUUUCUGAAUGUUGCACUUCACGCUUCUCUCGAAGCACAAUAUCCGGUGGGGCAAGUUGUUGCACAUCAUUUUUUACGGAUCUCCACAAGCCAGUGCGAAUAAGGCAGAGCCGGUGACAGUUUGGUCUCACAGGUUCACGAAGCACCUAUAGACCAAGAUAGUGCCGAAAAUAAAUCCUCCAGCCUAGUACCCUAGGUAUGGUGCCCUCGCACAAAAGAAGGACCCUUCACUGUAGCCCUAUGCUAAUGGCUGCAGUAGGGCGUAGACCACCGCCAUUGCACUCAGGAUGUUGAAAAUCCCCGAGGACCAAAUUUGGGCUCAAUCAGACCUCCCUAGAGGGGCCCACGCUCAUGCGGCCUCGUAACUCAUGGGUUUUACCAUAGCACGGUGUAGCUUCACUAAACCAGUCCUGGAAAUGGAGACCGCAAAAAUCAUUUCCAGUAGCAACUUCGCCAACCUAUGGCACCUUUCUCUAAAACCAGAUGGAGCUCAAACAUUGUCAUGUUCUGGAACACGCCAGCCCCGUCAUUUUGACAUAUGGGACACACUAUGGUGUGACCGAGAACCCUCAUUGCUUUAGAGAGGAAAGUGAUAGUAGAAACUAAGGAAAAAAUAGUAUUCAACAAACUCUAAAUUCGGUGAAGCAGCCUUGAAUUAACAUGGGGAGGAGUUCAAUAGAAUCACCUAGCAAAGAGUUAUAUUCUGGUACAACUCUUGCAUUCAAUCCAUGGUUCAAUGAAUGCAAGUUCCUAGGUCGCCAAAGAAGCAUAUCCAGCCAGUUGCUAGAAUCCCUUCUCCGACAACCAUUCCAAUUAGGCAAAUGCACAAAUCAAUGCCAAAUCCACCCAAACGUGUUGCAAAAUGACUGCAACAGCCUGCUCUCUAACUUGCUAGUAGAGCCAAGAACUAAAACGAUGCAGGUCGAAGAUGUAGUGGCAAACAAAGUUAACAAAAUUGACCGGACUUUCCCCCUAGGGGAAAAUGCCACCACAGCACAAUUAAAGGGCAUCAGAAUGCUCACAAUUGAGAGAAGAAAGAAGAUAUGUUGCUGAAAUAGCUGAACAUUAUCCACAAGUUGCAGGACCAGCUUCCAAGUUCUUCUCAUGGCAGAGCAACUUGCAUGCAUGGACAGUCUUGUCAUUCAGGCAAAAGAUCGAAGGGGCAUUUUUUUCAUUUGCGCCUAAUUUUUGGAUUUGUUUUUCUUUUCUUUAAUUGUACUUAAGAUUGACUUUUGAGCAUCCACCCUCUUUUAGUGAAUCCUCUAUAUAAGCAAGCUUAACUCACUUGUAAAACACCCCCUUUUUGGAAGCUUUAAUACCCCUAAAGGAUGGGAAGAAUCAAGGGUAGAUUUUGCAUGUUAGCUUGUAUUUUCUUUAUGAGCCCCUGGUCUCUGAAGGAGAGGAGCGGGAGAGGGAGAAAAAUUUGAGAUAAAAGGGAUACUCCUGAUUGUGCAGUUCCGCAGCACCCCAAUCACGCGGGUCACCCCAUCUCUCCUAAGUUGAGUUGUUCCUUCCCUCUCUCUCGUUCUCACGUGGCAGCCGGAGUCCAUUCGUAAACCCACGGAUGCGAGCAAACCUGCGGGCCUCGUUCCUCAGGUUUAUCUACACCUCCCCCCCCUUAAUCGGCCAACAGAUCCCCUCCGAAAGGGCGACGAAGGAGGAGGAACAUUUGGAUCCCACCCCAAUAGCAUAGAGAGAGUAAGAGGAGAGAGGUUGUGAGCUUGAAGAGGGCUCCCAUCCAAACCACACUAACGAACAGCCGAAGGGCUUUGUAACUCCUCUAAGAGGGCCAUCCACCCGGGCAUGUCCUCGAACCCCCAAAGUGGCGUAAGAGCGUUCGCGCUCUAGUCACAAAAAUCUCUCUCACCGUCGACGGCUUUGUAUCCGCUAACAGGAGGGCCCCCGCAUGCGUAACAUGCCAAACCUUCAUGGUUGUUGGAGAGAGGGUUUCCAUCUCCCCCCCUAGAAGGAAACUAGGACCCCACGACAUCACCCGACUAUCCCUUGGGAAUACUCUCGUGAGGGGGCUGCCUGGCUGAUGGAAGGGUAUGGGGGGAUCCAAUGGGUGGUGCCUGCAGGUUCGCUCGUGACCGUGUGCCUAUUGUAUUUGCGGGUUUCUAUGCAAGAUAGAUGGUGUGUCAAGUAAGGGACAGAGAGAGAGGUUGGGGCGUGCCCCAGUUAAGGAGAGGAGGAUGGGUCUGCGCACUUGGAGGUGUCUACAGACCCGUGCACUUAGGGGUAUUUUCUUGCACUAAAAUUUUCUCUUUCUCCUCCGUAGGAUUAAGGACCCAGGAGAAAAUGACCAGAGGAACAAGCAUAAUUCCUCUAUUUUAUAAUGGGCCUUUGGCUCUAAAUGUGUGUGGUCAUUUACAAGUGAGCUAAGCUUGCUUAUAUAUAGGAUUCACAAAACAGAGGUGAAUGCUCAAAAAUUAAACUUAAUUACAAUUUAAGAAAUGAAAACUAAAUUCCAAAAUUAGGUGCAAUGACCAAACUAUCCCUGAUAUCUUUUCCAUUAAUGACGAAGCCAUCCCUGCAUGUAGGUUGUUCCACCAUGGCCAGGCCUUGGAAGCAUUUUUUGAAACUUGCGGCUAUGGUUUAGAUGAUUUGUCAGCAAAUUUUCAUUGUCCUCAUGAUUCUGACCAUUUUGAUGCCAUUUAAUCAUGCCGGGGUGGCCUUUUUCCCACGGGUGGAUGUCCAACAAGAUUUGUGAACUUUGUUCACCAUUGUGAUUCGACUCGCAAUAUUCAAGCUCUUGGCUCUGCUUGCAAACAAGAGAGGAGAUAGUCGCAAUCAUUUUACACCAAGAUGGGGCUGAUUUGGUUCUGGUUUUCUUUUUUUCGUAACUUGGGAGGUCGUUGAAAAGAGAGAUUUCGACAACCGAGCGGAUUUACAUCUUUUGUGACCUGGGGACUUGCAUCAAUCGGACCUUAGAUUAAAUGUAGGAGUUAUAGUAGUCUGCAACUCUUUGUGAGGUGGUUGCAUUGAACUCGUCCCCACGGUGAUCCGAUGUCGAUCUGUGCUUCACUGGAUUCGAGGCUUCUUCUUCUUAAACCCUAGUUUUUUCGAUUUUGGUGGGACCUUCUUUCCAGGUGAACUUGGACUCCAGGUCAUACCACAAUGCAUGCCUUAGGUCAAAAUGACGAGGCUGGCAUGAUCUAGAACAUAUUUGAAUUUGGGUUUGUCCUGAUUUCAGUGGAAGGCACCAUGGGUCUUUGAAGCUACUCCCGAAACACAUUGUCACAGUCUCCAUGGUUAGGGACUGGUUUGGUGAAGCUGCACCGGGCUAGUGUAAAACUCGGCUGUUGCAAGGCCGUAGAGGAGUAGACCCUUUUGAGUGGUCUGAUUGAGCCAAAUUUGGUCCACCAGGGUUUUUCGACAUUCUGAAUGCAAUGGUGGUGGUCGUGUAUAGUUUUGUAGUUGCUAACGUUGGGCUAUAAUUGUAAGGCCCUUCUUUGUUGCGAUGGCACCGUACCAAGGUCGUAUGUUUGAGGCUUUAUUUUAUGGCACAACUUUGGCCCACUGGUGUCUUGUGUAUUGGUAGGACCAAGCUAUUGCCGACUCUCUCCUUUUUUGCAUGGGUGGUGUAAGUACGUUAAAAUCACGUACAACAACUUGCCCUGAUGGGUGUUGCGCUUUGAGAGCAACGAGAAGUGCAACAUUCGGAAUGAAUACUUUAUCAUCAAAGUUCAUCUGGCAAAUCUUCACUAAGACGUUUUUGUUUCCUAUCGGCCAAUAUAUUUUUUUCUUGAACACCGGCACAGCGCAAUCCUGAAGGGGUAGACUUUGUUGAGCAUUUCCCUAGGCCAGGGGGGGGGGGUGACCAAAGGGGGCUCCUAGUGGACCAGGGCCUUGUUGAGGGGCAUUCUCUGAGUUCUGCCAGAAUCUAUUUUUCUGGGAGAUUACGCUGAUGGCCUGCGUAGCACGGGUUCACGACUUUGUAUCAACGUUAACUCUUGAUGUCCCAGUUGGCGAGUGCCCAUUUUAGGGGGCGUUACCCCGACCUAACUGGUAGAUUUGGGAGCCGACGAGUUCCUUUUGAGGGCAUUAUCCCAUCUGGCUAAAAGGAAAAGGGAGCCAUUGAGUGCUUUUUGAGGGACUUUAUCCUAGCUGGCUAAAAGGUUGGGAGCUAGCCUAUGCCUUUUGAGGGGCAUUAUCCAAUCUGGCUAAAGAGAAAAAGGGGAGCUACUGAGUUCCUUUUGAGCGACGCUAUCCCAGCUGGCUAAAUGUUUUGAAUCUGGCAAGUGCCUUUUUGAUCGGCAUUAUCCAACCUGGCUAAAGAUAAAAAGGGAGCCGCUGAGUGCCUUUUGAGGGGCAUUAUCCCAGCUGGCUAAACGUUUUGUGAGCUGGCCGAUGCCUUUUUGAGGGGUGUUAUCCAACCUGGCUAAAGAGGAAAAGGGGAGCUGCCGAGUGCUUUUUGACGGGCGUUAUCCCAGCUAGCUAAAUUUGGAAGCUAGCCGGUGCCUUUUGAGGAGUGUUAUCCAACCUGGCUAAAGAGAAAAAGGGAGUUGCCGAGUGCCUUUUGUGGGGCUUUAUCCCAGCUAGCUAAAAUUUUUGGUGUUCCAGUUAGUGGGUGCCUCUUUUUAUGGGCUUUCUCCCUGGCCAACAGAAACUCCUUGUGGUGGAUUUCUUUUCACAAACAGGGUACCUCUUUGGUUAACAUCUAUAUGGUCUAAUCAAGGACUUUUUGUGUGGCUUGUACCGAAGAAUCUAGACUUGAUAGGGAGGGUUUCGGAGGCAAUCUCUUUGUUUAGGAGACUUCACUCUGAUUGUUGGUAGUUGUGUUGUUGUGGUGGUGACAAGCAGGGUAGCUCUUUUGUUCCCAUCCUAUAUGGUCCAAUCGAGGGCUUUUUAUGUGGCCUAUACCGAAGAGUCUAGACUUGAUAGGGAGAGUUCCGGAGGCGGUCUCUUUAUUUAAGAGACCUCACCAUGAUUGUUGGUGGUUGUUUUGUUGUGGUGAUGACCAGCAGGGUACCUCUUUGGUUCCCAUCCUAUAUGGUUUAGUCCGUGGCUUUUUGUGUAGUCUAUGCUGAAGAUUCUAGACUUGAUAGGGAGGGUUCUAGAGGUGUUCUCUUUGUUGAGGAGACUUUACCUUGUUUGCUGGUGGUUGCUGUUGUUUGUUUGUGGCAUAGGGGCGAUCGGAUGUUUGAAGGUGGCACAAGGGCUGGAGAUUUGAGGUGGCACUAGGGCCGGAGUUUUUAGGUGGCACAGGGGCCAGAGUUUAAAGGAGGCACUGGGGCCUUGCGGGUUUUCACUUGAACCAGGUGGAAGUGGCUCCAUGAGAGUGGUUUUCACCAAGUCCUUUUUGAGGUGUUUUUACCCAUGGCAUCGAGGUCAUGUCUGCUGCUUUGAUUUCAAUUUUUACUCAUGGCACCCUUACAGGUUUUCACCAUGCCUAGUUUCUUUAUUACUUGACUCUUUUACACAGGGCUUUGUGCCCAUGCGUGUCUGUCAUUUUUACUCACAGCAUCCUUGAGGGUUUUCGCCAUGCCUGUCUUUUUUUUUUUUAUUGGGCGAUUUUACUCACACCCUUGGUGGCUAUGUCUGCCUGAAGCUCUUUUUCUUUUACUCGCAAUGGUUGCCAUCACGCCCAACUUCUAUUUUUUUUUUUUAGCAGCCUAAAAGAACAGUGAACCUUGUGGAUGUAGUAUGGCGGUUCGACUUAGCUACCGAUUGAUGUGACGACCGACCCAGGCGGGGUGUGUCCACACUAGGUGAGGUGUUCCCCUCGAGGGAUGAUGUCUUGUGACCUCGACGGGAUGUGCCCAUGCAGAGUAGAGUGUUGAUGCCCAUGGGGACAACUUGUGUUCCUUGUCUUUGCAGAGUAGAGUGUUGAUGCCCCCGGGGAUGGCUUGUGACUGGCAAGGUGUGCCCGCACGGUGCAAAGUGUUGAUGCCUGUGGGGGUGGCUUGUGGCCCAGGCGUCUGUAAGUUCAACAUGAGGCUAAAGAGAGGAAGCCGCUUAGUAGAUGGGGUGGAGGGGGAGAUUCAUCUUGUUGGUGGCAGGGUGGCGAACGAUUUGAUUAUGCUGCUUCGAGAGUGGCACCUAGGAGGCGAGGUGUCAAACGGUUUGAAUAGCGGUCCAACGAGGCAUCGUUCUACUGAGACGUGUUCGGUUGGUUGGACAACGUGUUGCAUAGUUUGAGGUCAUAUAUCUUAGACCGUUGUGCGAAGCAGUUUAUCAUCAUGCUGCCAGGACGUGACCUAUCGUUUAUAGUCAUAUAACUUGGACUGUUGCAUGAAGAAGUUUAACAUCAUGCGGCCAGGACUUGUGUUAUAGUUUAAGGUCGUAUAACUUGGACAGUUGCGCAAAGCAAUUUAACGUCAUGCGGCCAGGACGUGAGCUAUAGUUUAAGGUCGUAUAACUUGGACCGUUGUGCAAAGCAGUUUAACGUCAUGCGGCCAGGACGUGCACUAUAGUUUAAGGUCGUAUAACUUGGACCAUUGCUUAGGGAUAAUACUUCUUCAAGUAUCUCCCAUUGAUUAGAGGCAUAACUUCUUCUCCUUCGGCAUUGACCAACACAUAGAACUCAUUGGGUAAGGCUUUCUUGACCACAAACGGGUCCUCCCAUUUUGGUUCGAAUUUUCCUUUUCUCCAUCCAUGGGUAACAAUAGGUCUCCUGACCACUAGGACCAGUUCGCCCUUUGUGAAUGCCCUAAUCUUAGUGGACCUAUUGAAGGCCCUUUGCAUGCGAUUCUUAUGGGUCUCAAGACUCUGCUACACUUGCAACCUUUUUUCAUUGAGCACGUUUAGCUCUUGGCAGCGGAGAGUAGCCUGUUCUCCAUCUGUCAUUCCAUAAUGGAGGGCUACUAUGAGGGAAGGCUGCUAAAUUUCCAAUGACAACAUGGCUUCGCCUCCAUAGACCAAUGAGUAGGGGGUUGACUGAGUCGUGCCUCGGGUCGUAAUGCAAUAAGCCCAUAGAAAUUUGGAAAUCUUUCAUGUCAAUCCCUCUUUCUGCUGGAGACAGAUUUCUUCAGGGCAUCGCAUAGAGUCUUGUUGAACGUCUCAGCUAGGCCAUUAUCCCAUGGGUAGUACAUGGUUGAGCAUUUCCAUACGAACCCGAAUUGCUCAGCCAGCCUGUUUAUUUGGCUGCUCCAAAAUUGGGGACCGUUAUCAAAGACGAUCCAGUUAGGGACACCAAAUCGAUAUAUGAUAUAUGAUAUCAUGGCACACAAAGCCACCGUUGGGCUGAGGACCUUUUUGAGAGGCAUCGCUUCGGUCCAUUUGGAGAAAUAGUCCAUCGCAGCAAGUAUGAAUGCAUGCCCUGAGGAAGAGGGUUGGGUCAAUGGGACCCACAAUAUCCAUGUCCCAUUGACAGAAGGGCCAGGAUGCCACCGUUGGGUGGAGAGGUUCCGGUGGCUGAUGAAUGAAGUUCACGUGAAUUUGGCGGACUGAGCAUGUAAGGGCCACAAUUUUCUCUAGGUCCAGUGAUGCGCACGACAAGGGAGAGUGAGAUAGAGGCCUAGCACCAUUUGGAGCAGCGUCGGCUGUGUAAGAGGAAAACACAGCGCCGGCUAUGUAAGAGGAAAACACAGCGCCGACUGUGUAAGAGGAAAACACAGCGCUGGCUAUGUAACAUGAAAACACAGCGCCAGCUGUGUAAGAGGAAAAUGCAGUGCCGGCUGUGUAAGAGAAGAGGAAGCACCAACUGUGUAAGGAAGAUGUAGCGCCAGCUAUGUUUGAGAGCCCAUCGUCGUCUGUGAAUUCAAGACCUAGCGCAAGCAGUGAGCCAACGUCUUCUAUUAAUGAGAGAAAAAAAGAGCAGCGCCGGGAGCAUCUUGGUCAAACAUACGGCCGCACCCAUGUCAGGGCUGCCCCAUAUGUGUUAGAGCCAUGUGUGAUUGCGUCAGUCAUAGUGAAUCCCACCAACUAUGGGAACUUAAGCCCUCCCACUUUCCUUUGACGACAAGUUCUCCUCAUUCUACCUUAUACUCUCUCUCUCUCUCCCUAGGGAGCUCACUGUCGCCCCUUGAAGACAGCCAACGGGUGAAUCCCGAGAAAGCUAGAGAAAGCUGGUGAAGGAGAUUGAAGACACUGUGAGAGUCAAGGUAAGUGGGUUUAGCCUCUAUGCAUCCAUGGUUUGUGUAGAGAUCAAAUAUUGAAAUGGAUAAAAUGAUAGAAGGGAAAAUGUGAGGUAUGAAUGGGCUGACAUGAGAUCAAAAUUUCAUGUUUGUGCUUCUAAAUUCCAAGACUGAUUUAACUAUACAAACGAUCUUGUUAAUCAUGGGAACUCAUGCAAUCGCUCAUUGUGAGGCUUGCUAACAUGGACAAGUUUCCACGCCCAAAGUGUACCUUCCAUGAAAUAUUAUGUGCUCUUUAAAAGCAUGGUAACUUGAGAAUAAACAUUUCUAGAACUGUGACUGUUUUUGUAUCAUAGUGUUUAAUAGCCAAAUGGGGUCCAAAUGAGACCAAAUUGGUCUCGAAUGAAAGGCAUGUGUGUCUACUUUAAGUCUACGUUUUACGUCGUUAUAGAAUUUCGCAUGGAUAUAUGCCCUGAAAUGUCAAUGCACGACUCUACUCACAGUUGCUUCUAAUUCCAGCAACUGUGGCCCUCUUUGGGCAAUGCUAUUGACCUAGCAAACGGUGUCUGAAAACCUUAAAAUUACAACAAUUAGAAAGGUCUGUGAAUGUACUAAAAGUUUCAUGUUUUGAUGUUUUUGAAAUUCCCCACGGAUUUUGAGUUAUGCCAUGAAUGUGUCGCUGUGCACUGUUGCAAGGAAACAUUCCAGCAACUAAUGCUCAUCUCAUACUGAGCUGUUGACCCAUCAAAUGGCACCCAAAUUCUUUCAUAUCACUGUUUUUGUAAAGAGUUGUUUAUUAGCUCCAAGUUUCAUGUUUGAGGCAUUCCUAAACUCCACCUAAAUCGGGAGCAACACCCUCGCAAAGAGGAGCAUGUCACUGAUACUUCUCACUACAUCCAUUUUAUGACCAUGCGGCGCUAAGUUCUCUUGAUAUAUGAUAAAUGUGAAUGCCAUAUGAUAAAUUUCAUGCAAAUGCCAUAAAUAUAUGUGAAUGAUGUCAUAUGACUGCAAUGUGUGAGAAAACGUGGUCACGAGCGCAAUAGUGAAGAACUAAAUUUAUAAUGAGUGCCAAAUGCUACUGCGAAGACUUAUGCCAUGUGAACGCUUAUGAAAUAAAUGUCUUUUGCUAGGUACUAUGAUGUUAUGAUGAAAUAUGAUUCUUCCGCUAUGAGGUAUUGAAUUAGCCACUACACGGUGGGACACUUACCGGUAGUGGAUAUUGUUAUGAUACUGUGAUGAAUGGCCACUGCUCAUAUGGAUAUUUGACACUACACGGUGGGAAACUCACCUGUAGUGGAUAUUGUUAUGAUAUUAUUACGAAUGGCCACUUCUUAUAUUGAUAUUGAUCACUACGCAGUGGGACACUCACCGAUAGUGGUUACUACUAUGCUAUUGCUUGCUACGUGAUGGAACACUCAUCGAUAGUAAGGAAAGUGAUGCAGGCAUAUCCCUUAACCUGCAUAAUGAUAGGAGCAGGUUAAGGGAAAGGAUAGAGGGUCGCACCCUAGAUUCAUGAAAUGAUUGAUUCCUUGCAAGGUAAGGGCCUAUCGAAUUCCCAAUGCGUGCUGGGAACUAUGUGAGUGUGUUGAGGGUAUUACGAAGUGGAUUACCCCACUUGUCAUUACCUUCCCUCCUGUAUGAUAGUAGAGGUAUUAAGCAUUGGGAUUGGCUUAGCCUGAUGGGAUAGGGCCUCUACUGCUGGAGUAGGUGAUUUAGGGAGUUAGUGGGUAAUGAUCGAAUUUUUUAAUAAGGAAUGUUUAGGAUUUCAUUGAUUGAAUGUAAAUGAUUGCAUUGCUUGAAUGCUCAUGAUCGCGCUGAUUUAGUGAUGACUGCCGUGUAAAUGAUAUGUUCAUACUCGUUGUCUUGAUCUAAUAUUCAUAUGUACUAAACUAGGAUUUUAUAUUGAUGGUUUGAACUGUUAUCACACACAAAUAGAAUCACUAUAGAUGCAAACACUAGAUCUACUUAUUGGACUGUAUAGCUCAUUCCAUCAUUUCUCCUCUCCUUGUAGAUUGACAGUGAUUGGUGCAGAACUGCGCGAGUUCAUGUUUUGCAGCUCGAAGAUGAUGCUAGUUUUCUCAAAGAAGGUGCUUAGAUCUUGUUUGUGUCUUGGUUGUUUAGCCCUGGGUUUUUGUUCUUGGUGGAUAUGUGAAAUUUUGUGCCUAGAUGCCCCAAACUGAAUGUAAUAUUUUGCAAUAUUUUUUUAUUAUGAAUUUUGGUGUAUGGGAUUUUCUUUACUCAUCUGCUAGUUGAGUAUUGUUUUAGUUCUUUUUUCCAUGGUUUGCUCGAUUACCAAAAAUAAAAGCAUUGAUUCCACUCCUUUUUUAGUGACAAACGUUACGUUGGAUCACGAAUCCACGCUCGAUUUCCCGUCGCCGUGUAAAGUACAGUGGUCGGUAGCGGGGCAGUGAUAGAGCAACUUAUCGCGAAUGUGAUCGAGUCGGCAUUCAUAGUGGACCAGUAAUAGCCUAUCUGUUUGACCAUGUUGUAGAGUUUAGGACCAGAUUGGUGCAUUCCACACACCCCAUAGUGAACCUCCUUAAGGACACGUUUCGCCUCUUCCUGAUCGAUGCCUCGGAGCAGCAUGUCAUUAUAGGAAUUCGAUAACAGAGCAUCGUCUUGGCACAUGUAUCUGUAGCCGAUCUUCGGAUCCUAUUUUGUUCAAUGGGAUUAUUGGGUAGUCGAUUGUGCAGAAGGUACGCUUUGAUGGGGGCACACCAAUUAGUCAGUUGCUCCACUUUUGCACAUGCUUUCUCUGAGGCCAUCCUUAUCUGGUUGUAGCUAGAAUAGUCAUCCAUAAAGGAGAAGGCUUGGCAGUUGGUGGUCGAGUCGAUCAAGAGUUCUGUAAAGGGGAACGGGAAGUCGUCUUUUGGGCAGGUCGCGUUUAGAUCGCGAAAGUCAAUACAAACCCUGAUCUGGCCAUUCUUCUUUCUUACGGGCAUAAUAUUAGCCAGCCACUUUGGGUGUUUGACUUCUCGAAUGAAGCAUGCUGCUCUAGGUUUUUCCAUCUCCGCUUCGAUCUGAAUUUCCAGGUCGGCCCUGAACCUCCACGACUUUUGCUAGACAGGCCUACAUGCCGGGUCAAUCCCCAACCUGUGGACCGCUAUACACGGGUCAAGGCCGGGCAUUUCCUCAUAAUGACAGGCUAACACAUCCUGGUUGGCCCUUAAGAACUAUGUAUACCCCUGUUUUUCUUCGAGGAACAUGACGGCAAAGAUGAAAGUGGGUCUUGGGUCGGUCUGGUCACCCAAGUUUAUUUCCUCCAAGUUAUCUGCAGCAACCUGCUUGCCAUCUUCUAGGACUUACAAGGCUUCCUCUAUUUUGUCAUCAUCAAGAGGCAACGAGUCCUCGAUGAGAGGGUACAUCUCUGGUGUUUCAGGCUUCGCGGACUCCUGCUCGGCUUGGCCAGUUUCUAUCCUUGCCAUGGGGCCCUGGGUGAACGACUCCACAAGAUCAGAUUCUUGAGGGGAUGACAGCGAUUCUUGUGACACCGUUACGUGGAGGACUUGCUCGGUAAGGAAAGGUGAUGGUGGGAGGCUUAGUUGUCCUGGGUAACCGAGACCUUCCUUUUAAUGAUGUCAGGACGAUGCGGCCAGGAUUAUGGCAAAGGGGUCAUUCAGGCCCUGAAUGCUAGAUAGGUCAUAGUCCAUUUUCUUCAUAAUCGGACGAGCCUCUGAGAUAUAUAGGUCCUAGUUGGGAUUAACCUCGGAUUCUAGCAAAGGGUCACUUCGCAGGUUUGUUCAGAUUGAUGUCUCCGGAAUUUUCGAGAUGAACUCUAUUAAUGGAGUGGAUGGAGAUUUCGGAGGGCUCGCUCCCUCCAUCUUGGCUUUUCCCUUUCUUAUCGCCUCCGCUUGGUCUAGCGAACUCUGGCCUUGCUCCCCUGGCACAAGCAUUAGGUCCCGCACCAAAAACUCAUGCGUCUAAAAGGAACCUUCAGCGAGAGAGUGACCUAGGGAGGAAGGGCCACUCUCCGCCUCCUGGCAAGUGAGUCGAGUCUUUGACAUGGAGGCUUGUAAGGUCAAAAUCUUCUGAGACUCCAGCAUGUGGCAAGACUCGACGGUGGGUUUGACUUUGCUUCUUCCUUUUUCCAAAGCAGAAAAGGAUAGGACCUUAGGAAUUUGGAGGGUCUUGGCUGAACUGCGUUGAUGUAGCUCAGAGGGUUAGGACGGGCGGUUGUUGUCCUCUUUGACAUGUAGCGCGCUAGGUAUCUAUAUAACUUUGGGCCGGUUCGUUUCUCUUAAGGAGGCCGGGAUGGGUAAGAUCAUCCGAUCGACAUUUGGUUCUUUUUCAAUUGUCCAUGUCGUUUCAUCCGAUCGACAUUUGGUUCUUUUUCAAUUGUCCAUGUCAUUUCUCUUAAGGAGGCCGGGAUGCGUAAGAUCAUCCAAUCGACAUUUGGUUCUUUGAGCAGGGGGACAGGGAUAUGCAGCACUUUCAUGCCUUCUUGGUAACUGAGGGAAGGGAGAGCAGCAUGUUCCCCCACGUCACCUCGGCUUGGCUGCUCAUCCGAGGGCACGGAGAGGUUCUUGUCAACAAGAGUCAAGGGAAUUACUUUUCCACAUCUCUUUUCUUCCUUGAAAAUAUGGUUAAGUGACCUCGUCUUGUCUUCCACAUCUUCAUGAGAGGUUAGAGCAGUUUCCCUCAGUUUCAUUUUGGUUCGGCCUUUUGUAGGUAACAUGGGCCCCUGAGGGCGUAUUGGGUUUGCAAAGUAAUACUUUACGUCUGCAUAGUGCAAUUAAGCAAUUGGGAAUGGCGUUUGUCAACAUAAACUACGUGUUGUCUCCCAUCCCGGCUAUAUUUGAAGUACUGAUGAAGCGUGGAUGAAACCACUCCAUGGCCAUGGAGCCAAGGGAAACCCAACAUGAUGUUAUAAGAGGUAUCCAUGUGGAUGGCAUGGAAUCAGGUGGUUGUAUUCAAAUCGCAGAUUUUGAGCUUGAGCCAAAUCGUUCCUGUUGGUUUUUCCCCAGAUUUAUUGAUUCCUUGAACUAUUAGGCUGGUGGGUUCGAGCUGGUCCAUGAUUAGUCCAAUCUAGGAAAGGACUCUUCGAGGCGCUAAGUUUACCAGAACCUGCCAUUUAACAUGAUGUGGUUGACUUGAUAGGCGUGAAGCUGGCCAGUCAUAAAGAGGGGGCGGUUAUGCGACUUGUUACCCACUUUUAAGUCAUCAUCUGAGAAUGUGUUGAGUAUGGUGGGGUCCACCUCAACUCGCUCCAUCUCAGUUUCAUACACCUCGAGACUAGAUAGCGCUUUCACCAGAGCCAUUCGGAGGUCAUUGGACAACAUGAGGGCAUCAUAGAUUCUUAAGAGGUUAGGGAAUUUCCUUAUAUGUCCGACCACAUCGUAUUUAACUUUGUCAGCUUCGGGAAGGGAUGUUCCCUUGUUAUCCCUUGCCCUGAGAGGAAUAGACAGUGCUGGGGUGGCUUUUGGUUGAGGAGGAUCCGCUACGGCUGUCAAGGAAGCAACCGCUGCUAUAACAAGCUCAAGUGGGAGGAGUUGACUGUCUUGCAUGAUCGGAACAGGUGUAGCAGAAGUAAGAUGGGGUGAAGACUGCGCAGGCGUGCACGUUUGGAAGGGGCAGUCGAGGUGUCAGCUUGAGAUGUCGGUGCAGUUUUCGGACAUUUGAGGGAAAAGGGUGGUCCGCCAAAGGAGAUGGUUGGCUCUGAGUAGGGGAUUGGCAGUGGCCCGGGGUAUUUCAGGGUUUUGGAUGGAGGGGGUUUCUGAUCCAAUCUUAGCCUCCUUCCCGACCGCAGUCACAUCUGGUCCACAUGAGUUGUUGUGCAUCCUUGGUGGAAUACCAACAUGUGGCAUGCUUCACGACUUGAGGGGCCGGCCUGAUCAAACCUUCUCAACGCCCUUCUCUGACCAGCACUAGGGGAUUGCUGUCCUUUUUCUGCCAUUGGUCUUAGUGCUUGAAGAAAUUGGGGGCGUCAUUUGGGUUCGUUGAGCUUAAGACGGCCUUGGGGUUGUGUCCUUAGUUUGCUCGCAUUGGCCUUGGGGCCAUGCCUCGUUCGUUUGCUCACGAAGGCCUUGGGGCUGCGGGUUGGAAGGGCGAGACGCCGAACUUCAUGCCGUGGUGGCAUAGCAGUGGACGACAUGUUAGUUUCUAGCCCUUCUGCGUCUCCGACCGCUUGAACCUGUUCUAUUGAGGUAGACCCUGUGGAGCGGCGGCCUCCACCCUUCAUAGCAGGAGCAGCAAUUCCAUCCCUUUCUCUUGUUUGAGUCUCAAAUUCCAAAUAAUUCUUCCCCAGAACUGAAAACAAUUCCCAUUUCCUUCUUGACAGGCUCACUCAACUGAUGCGAGGGCAAAGCUGAUCAGUUCGAGCAAAGUGUAGUGCCUGGGGAGGAGAGAGUUUGCAGGCUGCGAUGGUGACCGAGGCACGCUUGAAGGAGGGCCAAGCCGACCGACCGUCACUAACGAUGUCCUCCUAUUUCACGCCCAUCGAUGAGGGUUGUCUCGCACAUGUAGAGAAGGAUGACUGAAGUACCACGUAGCGAGCGACUCGAAAGAGGUUGAUGGAUCGGUGAGCGCUCGCGUUUCUUCAUGGUUGGCAACAUCUUUGGACCUACACGUGUGUGUGCCCUCCAUGGUGGUGUUCAGGGCCCUUUUGGAGUGAGGGGUGGAAUACUCGCGGUACCCGCUUAUUUAGUUAGUGAGGGUUCAGGGCCUCGAACAUGCGUGUGCAUUUGUUUAUGAGACUUUAGAUCGUCUAGAAAGUCACAUGUUUGUCGAGGCUCAGUUUUUGGGCUGCCCCAAGCAAUAGGGUUAGCAUGCAUGGUGUUGCUAACUCUAGGAGCACUGGUGUUGCAUCCGAGUCGAAAGAGACCCAAAACAGUUUGGGAAACUGGGGUGGGUUGCUGCCUGCCCCAACUCGUCAGAGUGACAGUUGGACCACCGGUAAUGACGUAUGUAUAGGUGGGCGCAGCCAUUAGAUGGCCAUGUAGACCGAAAUAAAAGUGCCACCUUACAGUGUGUGCAUGGGAGUUCCAACGCUGGCAACGCCCCUGUGAGACAUGGGCAAGGUAACCUUUCAAAUACCCGCAGAAGCGGUGGCCUUUUUGGGAACCACCAAGUGAGGAAGAGUAGUGGCAUGAGGAACACGUUGAGGCAUGGGACUGGCGGGCUAACAGCCAGUGACAGGGUGCUUGUGUGAAGGGGCGACUGUAGCACCACCCAUGCAGUUGACACCACGGGAUUUUCCCUUAGCACCUGAAGAGGAGGGGCAGAGAGCUUAAGAGCCCAUGUCCCUAGUUUAACUAGGCAGGACUAGGAUAGGGGGGCCAGUCAAGUCGCUUGAGUAGGAUGCGGGGGAGGCAAGACCAGAUGGCCCGCUCUCCCUGGUUGAGGUCACAGAUAUGGGGAAUUAGAACUUCCCAAUCCGAAGAAAGGAGGGAUAGUGGGAUCUCAUAACAACUUUUAAUAGAGAAGAAGGAGAGGUUGGUACCUGAAAACAGUCCAACCCAAUGAUAGGGUGACAUGUCCAAAGUGGAGUCCCCAGUUGGUCGGAUAACCGCGGGGUCGCUCGGGCGCAUAUAUGGGAACGAGCACACGUGGGGCAUGCGUGGAUGCAGAGCAGCUUUUGUGAGCGAAUAGGCACCAACAAUGAGAGAGAUUUUUUACAGCGAGCGGGUGCUUUGGGACACUCGCCCCACCAUUUGGGGUUCGAGGGACAUGCCUGGGUGGAUCUUAGAACAAUGAAGAAGCCAUCUAGUUGUGUGUCAGCGUGGUUUGGAGAAGGACUCUCUUCAGGCUUGCAACCUCUCAACUCUCUCUAUGUCCCUUAGGACCGGUAUGGGACCCGACUGUCCCUCCUUGGGACUACUCUCAUGAGGGAGCUGGCUAGUCAAUGAAAGGGUACGAGGGGACCCACGGAAUGGUGCCCGCUGGUUUGCUAGUGAUCGCAUGUCUGUUGUAGGCGUAGGUUGCUGUGUAGGACAAACAAUGUGUCACGUAAGGGAGAGAGAGAAAGAUUGGGGCAUGACCCGGUUUAGGAGAGGAAGAUGGGUCUGCGCACUCGAAGGUAUCUACAGACCCAUUCACUCAGGUGUAUUUUCUCUCACUGAAAGUUUUCUCUCUCUCCUCAGCAUGAUUAGGGACCCAGAAGAACAUGACCAGACGAACAAGCAUAAUGCCUCUGUUUUGUAAUGGGCCUUUGCCUUUAAAAGUUGGGUGGUCGUUUACAAGUGAGCUAAGCUUGCAUAUAUAGAGGAUUCACAAAACAAGGGUGAUUUAAAAAAAAAAAAGCUUAAUUACAAUUGAAGAAAUUAAAAGUAAAUUCUGAAAUUAGGCACAAUGACCAAAAUGUCCCUGAGAUCUUUUCUGUUAAUGACGAAGCUGCCCCUGCACACAGCUUGUUUUGCCAUGGCCAAACCUUGGAAGCUUUUUCUACAACUUGAGACAAUGGUUCAGUUGAUUUGUAUGCAUAUUUUCAAUGUCCUCGUGAUUUUGAGCAUUUUAAUGCCCUUUAAUCAUAUUGGGGUAGCCUUUUUCCAACGGGGUGGAAGUCCGGCCAGAUUUGUGAACUUUGUUUGCCAUUAUGAUUCAACUUGAGAUGUUCUUGCUCCUGGCUUUCCUUGCAAACGAGAGAGGAGACAGUCGCAGUAAUUUUACAUCAUGUUUGUACUGAUUUGGUUCUGGUUUGCAUUUUUUCCUAAUUUGGGAGGUCGCCAGAAAGAGGAAUUUCGGCAACGGAGCCUACUUACUUCUUUUGUGACUUGGGGACUUACAUCAAUCGGACCUUUGAUUAAAUGCAAGGGUUAUACCAGUUUGCAACUCUUUGCGAGGUACUUGCGUUGAACUCGUCCUCGUGGCGAUCCGAUGUCGAGCUAUGCUUCCCUAAAUAGAGGCUUCUUCUUCUUAAACUCUGGUUUUUUCGGUUUUGAUGGCACCUUCUUUCCAAGAGAACUUGAACUCUAGGUCGUGCCACAAUGCAUGCCUUAGGUCUAAAUGAUGAGGUUGGCGUGAUCUAAAACAUAUCUGAAUUUGGGUCUGUCCUGGUUUCAGCGGAAGGCGCCAUGGGUCCUUGAAUCUUCUCCUGAAACAUGAUGUCGUAGUCUCCAUGGUUGGGGACUGGUUUGGUGAAGUUGCACCGCGCUAGUGUAAAACUCAGUUGUUGCUUGGUUGCAUCAGCGUAGACCCCUUUUGGGUGGUCCAAUUGUGCCCAAAUUUGGUCCCCAAGGGUUUUUUGACAUUCUGAAUACAAUGGCGGUGGUGUGGUAUAGUUUUGUAGCUUCUAACAUAGGGCUACAGUUAUAACGCCCUUCCUUGGUGCGAUUGCACCGUACCCAGGUUGUAUGUCUGAGGCUUUAUUUUAUGGCACAACUUUGGCCCACCAAUGUCUUAUGUAGCUGCAGGACCAGGCUGUUGUCAGCUCUCACCUUAUUCACUUGGGUAGUGUAAGUACGUCAAACAUAACGUACAACAGUACUAGCUACUACGGAAUGAACGUGCAAUUAAAGAAAGAGAGCUAAUACCCUCUUAUCAUUCUUCCAACUCACUGUAUUGAACUUUACUUCCAACAAGUAUAGAUGUAAUAAGAGCAAACUAUCUCCACUGACAUGUGAGUAUUCCUGUGACCAGGGAGGUUAACAUCACAAAGAUGCCUAACCGCCAGCAUGUAAGCGGCGUGUGGCGACCUGGGCAGAUUAGUAUCGCGAGGAUUCCUAACCACCGAUUGGUGGGCAUUCCUAUAGCUAGGCAGGUUAGUAUCACAAAGAUGCCUAACCAUCGGCAUGUGAGCAGCAUACGGCGACUUGAGUAGAUUAGUAUCAGGAGGAGUCCUAGUCUAUGAAUAAUGUUAAGGCCAGGUAGGUUAUCAUCACGAAGAUGCCUAAUCAUCGGAAUGUGAGCAACAAAUGGCGACUUGGGCAGAUUAGAAUCGCGAGGAUUCCUAACCGUCAGUCGGUGAAUAUUUCUGGGGACAGGCAGGUUAGCUUCAUGAAGAUGCCUAACCGGCAUGUGAGCACCAUACGGUGACAUGGGCAGAUUAGUAUCACGAGGAUUCCUAACUACUAGUCAGUGGGUAUUUCUAGGGCUAGACACAUUAGCAUCACGAAGAUGCCGAACCGUCGACAUGUGAGUAGCAUACGACAACCUAGGCAGAUUAGUAUCAUGAGGAUUCGUAACUGCCAGUCGAAGACCAGUAUGAACAACCGAUUGUGGGAUCCGUAUGAUGAAAGGUAGGAAUCAAGAACCCGACGGUGAUGAAGUGGAGGGCUUAGAUGGCAAGGGUCUUAACCUAAACUUUGCAGAGGUGGAACAUAUAUCUUUCCCACACACAAGGGCGAUUGACCUUACAAAACAAGGCGUCCGUGCCUGACCACGGACAUUACAAGCCAAGGUACCACUAACGGUUGUCGUUUGCCGACCCUUGUUGGGGUAAGUCAAGAUUACCCUCAAUGGUCUGCUUCUUGGGACUAAGUCCACCUGAGGCUGAGAUUUCCACAUUGUAUUAGCCCUUAGAGUUUGCAUCUUGGACCCUUGUUCUGCCAUCCCUAUUUUCGUAACACACAGACUAGCCGUGGUUUUAGUGAAGGCUGACUGGCCCCUCGUUGGGGAGAAGUGCAAUGGGACCUCCACGGUUCCUACAUAGAAAGAUGUCACUACUGUAGCCAUUAUUACCGCUGACGACCUGUGAUUAACACAACGGUUCACUUGUCAAGGUAAAUAAAGAAGACACGAGAGUAAAUGUGGGAGAGAUCGUGACUCAAGACUUAUUCUAGAGAGAGAUUCGACUUCUUAGACCCAACCAGAGAUGAAAGGUGAAUUGUUCCAUAGUAUAGUCGCCAGAGAUUUGGACGCUCUAAAAUGUGAAUUCUUAAAAGGAAAUGUUUAAACAAACAUCAGACUCCAAAUAGAAAACCAGAGGGCAUCACAUUUAGGGUCAAAUUCCCCAGUGCAUUCCAUGUUAGAAAUACAGGCUUUAUAUUAUAUUGGACACUAAGCAAAUCUAGAGGUUUAAUCCCCUAUUACAAUUUACAUCAGCAAAAAGAAAAAAAAUAUGUGCCGAGCACCUUUGAUUCUGGCUUUGACACAUAUACAUUCGUUUCUAAAGAAGAAAAUAUGCAGACAUAUAAAAAACAAAAAAGAUAACAUUAGGGGCAUAUUAGCUCAUAUACCUGUGGAUGUACGCAUGAAUAUUAUCCUUCAAGUCUGGUCUUCCUAAGAUAACAGGUCUCAAGUGGAUCAUAGGGGACAAUUACCUCUCUCUCUCUAUGUCCUGAGUAUCUCACUCGCUUAAUUCUUUCUACUGUAAAACCUCGCAAGAAUGCUUAUCUUGAUUCAAUUGUCCAUAAAAAUGUGCAUCAUCUCUUUAAUCAAGAGACCCUUUUUUAUAUUUUCAAGUUAUGAGUUUUCAAGGGAUAACCAUGCAUUUCCCGUCUUUGAAUCUCCACCCUUCAGUUUCAUUUUGGACUUAUCAUUUCGUUUGAAUCACAGAAUUUGCAAGGCAUAAUUCUUAUUUUUAUAAUGUUGUUGACCUCUUAUGCUUAUUCUUUCAUGUUGGUAAUCUCACUAUUGGGUUGUUCACGUAGGUAUUUUUUGAUUGAUAAUCACUGAUAUUCACCUUAAAUUUCAAACAUUUGAACUUCAUGAUCUUGCGAGAGCAAAAUUAGGGAUUUGUCACUGUUCUCAGUAGAUCGCAACCGCUUCCGUUGUUAGCUUAAUCCAUGCUACACCUUUUAAGGGUGACGAAGCAAUGAGUCAAGAAUCCUAUAGUGUUGAUUUUAUGAGAGAACUCCUUAUGUAAAAGACCUUCCCCACCUUUUAGUAACCAAAUAUUACACGACACAUAAAACGUUUAAGGCACUAACUGCUAGGCGAUGAGGAUGAUGAAUUAAGCCAUCUUUGGGCAGCUUUAGAUAGUUGUGAUAUGGUGAUGGGUUAAAACAUCUCCGGAUAGCUUUAAAUUGUUGGUUGAUAUGAUGAUGGGUUAAGCCAUCCCUGGGCAACUUUAAACAACUGGUUGAUAUGGUGAUAGGUUAAGCCAUCUCCAGGCAGUUUUAAACUGCUAGUCGAUAUGGUGAUAGGUUAAGCCGUCCCCGAACAACUUUAAACUGCUGGUUGAUAUGGUGAUGGGUUAAGCCAUCUUCAGGUAGCUUUAAACUGCUGAUUGAUAUGGUGAUGAGUUAAACCAUCUCGGAACAUCUUUAUAGUGCCAAUGAGGAUGAUGGGUUAAGCCAUCUCCGAGAAGCUUUAGACUGCCAAUGAGGAUGAUGGGUUAAGCCAUCUCCGGACAGCUUUAGAUUGCUGAUGAGGAUGAUGGGUUAAGCCAUCUCCGGGUAGUUUCAGAUUGUCGAUGAGAAUGAUGGAUUUAACCAUCUCUAGGCAGCUUUAAACUACCGAUGAGGAUGAUGGGUUAUGCCAUCUCUGGGUAUCUUCAAGGACACAUUUGAGCUGGCGCCAUCAAGAUUUAUACUCUUUUUCGACUACCUAUUAAGGCAACCAUUAGUGUGUGUUACCGAUUUUGUUGUAUGUCUUCAAUCAAGUGUUUGUUUAGAAUGUACUUAGUCUUGUAUGGGGACUAAGCAAUACAUCUUCAACGAAAAAGCUUAUUCAAAUAACUUAUUCAUCAUGCUUUCAUACCUCAACCCCAGUGUUUGUUAAAAUGCGUCUAGCCUUUGUAUAAGACUAAAAGUACACCCAACAAUGGCCCCUCAUAGGCCCCACCCAAUCUACCACUUAUAUUUAAAUGGCCCCCCAUAUCAAAUGGAGGGUCCCACACAUUUUAGAAAAUAUUAAAUUUGAUUUCUUAGAGUUUACAAAAAAAAUUUAUUUCUCUUAGAUUAUUUAAAACAUUAAAUAUUGAUUUUCUCUUAUAUUAUAAAUUCAAAUGAUGAAAAUAAAAUAUCAAGAAGUUCACAAAAAUUUAAAUAAAAGUUUCAAAAAAUCAUAUAACAUAAAAUUAAUUAAAACUAAUUAAUUUUGAUGGGAAUCGGAUCCGUAUAGGUCUUGAAUUUUUCAAUAUACUGGAGCACUCUACCUUUAAUUGUGGACCACAAUCUAUACUAGCUUUUUUCAAACUGACUCAAGUGUUUCCAUGAGCCACAGUCCACUGCAGGGGUUCAUGAUUAGUCCACCAAAAUCAGCCAAUAAGCUAGGAGACGUCAUCCCAGUCUAUGGAUUUCAGGUUCUCCCCUAGAAAGAAAUCUAUGGUUCUCUAAACCAUGAUGCAACUACGGCUCCAUGGUGCAUAUGGGUAAUCUCUCGUACAGUUACAUGCGUCACCCUCAAUGGUAGAUUGCUAUCUUGGUACGAUUGUCUAUGUACAUGCCGUGUGAUGGUACUAUGCUGAGGUUUUAUCACUAUCUUUAAAGGUCAACCAUCACACACAAGGGCCACACAAUCCUUGGGCUCACUCAUUCGAGCAUAAAUCCGACUUCAUCGAGGGCUGACCAACUGAACCCUCCUCGGUUUUAACUCUAUGUGCAGGUACCUUGGGUUUUUCCAACUCGACUGACCCAGUACGUCGAGCCUAAUCUGAGUGUCAGCAAAUGGCAUUUGUCGAAUAUGGUCCACAAGGUGAUCACACUCCGAAUAAAUUUAUUGAUUAUUUAAAUAAAAUGUUGCUAAAAUCUCUCAUGGGGCCUUUAAGGCCCACAUAAACCCUACAUUAUGGAGGUUUGAUAAGAGAUUCUAAGGGCAGUAUUUUAUUCUUUCCUUAGGUCCUUGUGCCACAACUUUGGCAAAUGAGGUAGAAAUUAUAAUGCUUUGCAUGGGCUUAUAUUUGUUAUAACUUUAUACUUGGGGGAGGCGGUGUUUCCAGAAGGAUAUAUGGAACAAGGUAGAUGUGUCCUUUUUGAAUGUUUAUAGAGAAGCUAAGGGGGAGGCUAAUUCCAAAGCUAAACAAGGAGUACACUCAUGCUUGUUGGUAGCGAAUAACCUAGUGGGUAUGCUAUGACCAUUUUCUUCAUUAUGACAUUAUUACAAUGUGAUUUUCAUUGGUCUGAAUAGAAUUUCAAUAAUCCUAUGAAAAAUAAAUAAAAAUAUAACGAAUCUAUGAAACUCUUUUUAGUAGUCAAUUUCACAUCCAUCUACUGUUAUGGUCAUGAACAUUAUAUAAGCACACUAAAGACCCUGCAUAGAGUCCCUGGUAACCGAUUUUUGAACUGCAUAGGGGCUUCCGAAGUUAGGGUUGGUACAGUUGUGAAAUAACAAACCAACUUCAAAAAACAGUCCUUAGUUUUGGGCUUUUGUUUCAUGCUGGUAACAAUCAACCUCACUCACCCUAAUUUCUCUCUCUCUUCCUCUUCCUCUUCCUCUUCUCUUAUUCACCUCUCAAAUCAACUGAUACUUCUUCCUAAAGAGUCUCAUCUCAUACCCCACUCUCUCUUUCUUUCUCUCUCUGUAUCUGUGUUUCUGAAAUGGUGCUCGCGGAUUAUUACAUUGAAAAGAGUUUAGGAAUAGACUCGCAGGGAGAGACUCUGAGAGCCAUUGCGUUCAAGGACUACUCGUCAGUCACCUUGAAGAUUCUUCACUUUGAAACAUACGAUGGGCCCCUCCUCAACUUCGAUCAAGAAAUCUCAAUCGUUUACUCAAUCCCAAGCUCGAUCUACAUUGUCCAGUCCGUACCUCUCUCUCUCUCUCCAUUCCAUUACAAGAAAGAUAAAGAGAUGCCCUCUUAAUCUUCCUUCUUGAGUCAUGAUGAAGUAAUUCUUGGUUGAAUUCGUUGAUCUCUGUUGGGUUUAGAUUUCUAUUCAUCAAUUGAUUGGUAAUUCUGUGUUUGCUUUGUUUUUCUUUUAUGUGUUUUAAAGAAUCUUAGACCUGGAUAUCUAUAUGGAUCUACUUUUGAGGUGCUGGACCUUCCUGAUCUUUGAGGCCAUGGAUAUGGACCUCAAAGAAUUCAUCAGAUUAGGGCAACAGUUGAACGCCAAACGUAUCAAGGUGUGUUACCCCUCUUCAUUUGCUUCUCUUACUCUCUCUCUCUCUCUAAGAAUGGGCAUGUGUUCUUUGUUAGUUUUUAGAGAAUGAAAAAAUAUCAUUACUGGGUCUUCUUUUCCUGUUGCAGAGCUUCUUGUACCAGCUUUGCAUGGGUGUGAGUUACAUUCACAGUCACUCCAUUAUUCAUAGGUUAUUGAUUUCAUUAACCCACCAUCUCUUUCUCUGUCAUCUUCUUUUUCUUCUCAUAAUUUCUUUGUUUUCAUCUGUUUAAAUAAAACAUACUUGAUGAACGAUUUCAGGGAUUUGAAACCGAGAAAUAUUUGGGUGAACAAGAGCAAGGGUGUGGUCAAGAUUGAGGGCUUUGGGUUCGCACAGAGAGAUCGCACCCCACAAGAAGAACGCGUAUUUCCUGAGGUUCUUUUCUUCUUUACUCUUCAAUUUCAUGGUUGUGAAAUGAACAUCUGUUUUCCUUUCUCUUUUUUUCUUUUCUUCUUACAGUUCCUCUAUUCCAUGUUUCUGUUUCUUGAAUUGAAAUUUGAAAAUUUUGGUUCUUUUCCUGUUUCUUGUAUAAUCUACAAUUUCACGGUCCCAAGCUCAUUCAUUCAUUCAUUUUUUUUUCUACUUUCUACAAAUAAUAAAUAUUGGGUCCUUACUCUCUCUGUAAAUGAAUAUAUCAGGCCGGUCUUUCAUGGUACAGAGCUCCUGAAGUGUUAUUGCAUGGCCCAUAUUCAACCCCUUGCGAUAUGUGGUCCCUCGGUUGCAUAUUUGGUAUAUCUGCUUGUUUCUUUUUUUUAAUACACAUUUUUGCAUGCAUAUUGUGUGUAAAAUUUUAUGCCUAAUACUCUGAAAUGGGCGCUUGUGUUCCUGAUUUUCAAUUAUUUCUCUCACUUUUCUUAAAUCAGGUGAAAUGGUUGUGAGGAAACCGCUGUUUGGUGAAUACUCACAAAUCGAGCAGUUACAUGAAAUUUUUCAGUAAGUCAUCUCUUGUUGAAAGCGCGAGAUCAUUCUUGAUUUUCUUUUUGUUUUUGAUAACUUUAACCAUGAGAAGAUGGGUUUUUCUUCCGGUGCUUAAAUGUAUAUUAUUGCAAGGUAAUUUCAGUCGAAAUAAGUGGUUUGGGUUUCUAUUUUAUGGAUGCAUGUUGUGAUUUUGGAGAUUGGUGGGAACCCCAGAUGAAGAUGCGUGGCCUGAUUUGCUGACAUAUGAAGGUUGGCAUCAGUUUCCACAAUGGCGUGGAAGAGACCUCUCCCUCACCUUUCCCACUUUGGAACCCGAUGGCCUCGACCUUCUCUCUGUGAGUUGUAUAUAUACAUGUAAAAGUGAUUUCAUGCGACGGUCUUGCAAUAGGAAAAGCUUUUUAUGUUCUUUAUAUAAUGUAGAAGUUCUAUCCUCUUCCUACCAUCCAGCCGUCCAUUUUUUAUCAAGAGAGUCACUCACCGUCUGAUCUUAGAUCCGACUUCUUAAAGUAUUUUAUUUUUAGUUUUUUAAUAUAAUUUUUCUGAAUAUGAAAUUUAGUACAUGCCAUCUUUUCAUUGGGUUGUACCUAUAAAAAAUAUUAACAAUAAAUUUUCAAUAAAAACUAAUGACCAAAAUACCCCUUAAAUCUAUCAAGGGGAUUUUUAUCAUUUUAUUUUAUUGAAAAUAGUUUUUAUAUUUUUCAUUAGUGUGAGUUUAAUAGAGGAAUGGACAUCCAAAAUUUGGAGUCGAAAUAGUUUGUAGAAAAAAAAUUUAAAAUAAAUAGUGUAGAGACGUGAUAUUGUGAUUUGGGCAAUCUUAGCCCUCUAUUAAAAAAUGAACAGUUGGAUAAGGGGGAGGAUAGAACUUCUAUGUUGUAGGGUGAACAUAAAAAGCUUUUCUCUUAUAAUACUAUUAAAAAAUAUGUUACGGUCUUACUUUUUAAUAUAUAAUCUUUUCAUUUUAAUGAGCAUUUACCAAAAAGGAAUAGUAUAGAAUGAGACCAUUUACCUCUGAUAUAAGGUGGUCAUAUUAAUCUUGACCAUUGGAUGUAAAAUUGAGAGGCUGUAAUUAUUUCAUUGACCAAUAUCAAACUUCAAAAGGAAUUUUCUUGAACUUUGUGACACAUCUAAUCUAUCCAAUUUCACAUCAAAUGGUUGUAAGGAUUUGUUUCCACCUUGUAGCAAAGGUGAAUGGUCUCAUUAUAUACAAUCCCUUACAAAAAUGUAAAAUUUGAAAGUAUUAUCUAAAAAGUAUUUUUAAAAAAAGAAAAAAUAGAUUUUGAAUACGUAAACGCCUAUAUCUUGAAAUUCACCAAAUAGAUUGUCGAGAUUCAUCAUUGGAGGGCACUCAUUUUGACCAUAUCAACGUGUAAAUUGAAUUUUAUUCUUUUUGGAAAAUGAUUAUUGGGAUGAAGAGGUGUAAGUACAAAAUGUAGUGUCGUAUAAAUGUACAAAUGUUGUAAUUUAUAAGCCUGGUUUCAUUAUUUUACAAUGACACAAUGACAUGAAAUCAUUCCCCAUGUACACACACAUAUAUGUAAGAAAAAGUUUAUAUAAGGUUAUAAUCUUAAAUUGUAAAAUUAAGGUGCACCUAAAAAAUCCAUCGACAAAGUCUAUUUCUACGUUGAAAAACCUUCUAAUUGACCAUGUCAACUUCAAAAUUAAUGGAAACUAAAAGGAAAAAGAUUUCGAAUCUCAAAACCAGUGCAUCUUGCAGUAAAUUUUCUAGUUCAUUUAUUUUCAAGAUUUUCAGGUGUUUAUAGUUCUAUUUGAUUUGAACCAUUUUUGAAGUUUCAAGUUUUAUAACUAAAGCUAAAAAUAGAUUUUCCAGGUCAUCUUAUAAUUUUUUGCACCAAAAUUACAUUUUAUAAAUAAAAUUUGGAGUUGUGUUUUGCUUUAAUUGUUUAAGGUUAUAAUUUUUUUGUAUAUGAUUUGGGUAUAUUUGACAAGAAAUGGUGUGUGUUAGUUGGCUUAAUUGCUAUUUUAACAUAUUCCUUUUUUUUUUGGAAUNNNNNNNNNNNNNNNNNNNNNNNNNNNNNNNNNNNNNNNNNNNNNNNNNNNNNNNNNNNNNNNNNNNNNNNNNNNNNNNNNNNNNNNNNNNNNNNNNNNNNNNNNNNNNNNNNNNNNNNNNNNNNNNNNNNNNNNNNNNNNNNNNNNNNNNNNNNNNNNNNNNNNNNNNNNNNNNNNNNNNNNNNNNNNNNNNNNNNNNNNNNNNNNNNNNNNNNNNNNNNNNNNNNNNNNNNNNNNNNNNNNNNNNNNNNNNNNNNNNNNNNNNNNNNNNNNNNNNNNNNNNNNNNNNNNNNNNNNNNNNNNNNNNNNNNNNNNNNNNNNNNNNNNNNNNNNNNNNNNNNNNNNNNNNNNNNNNNNNNNNNNNNNNNNNNNNNNNNNNNNNNNNNNNNNNNNNNNNNNNNNNNNNNNNNNNNNNNNNNNNNNNNNNNNNNNNNNNNNNNNNNNNNNNNNNNNNNNNNNNNNNNNNNNNNNNNNNNNNNNNNNNNNNNNNNNNNNNNNNNNNNNNNNNNNNNNNNNNNNNNNNNNNNNNNNNNNNNNNNNNNNNNNNNNNNNNNNNNNNNNNNNNNNNNNNNNNNNNNNNNNNNNNNNNNNNNNNNNNNNNNNNNNNNNNNNNNNNNNNNNNNNNNNNNNNNNNNNNNNNNNNNNNNNNNNNNNNNNNNNNNNNNNNNNNNNNNNNNNNNNNNNNNNNNNNNNNNNNNNNNNNNNNNNNNNNNNNNNNNNNNNNNNNNNNNNNNNNNNNNNNNNNNNNNNNNNNNNNNNNNNNNNNNNNNNNNNNNNNNNNNNNNNNNNNNNNNNNNNNNNNNNNNNNNNNNNNNNNNNNNNNNNNNNNNNNNNNNNNNNNNNNNNNNNNNNNNNNNNNNNNNNNNNNNNNNNNNNNNNNNNNNNNNNNNNNNNNNNNNNNNNNNNNNNNNNNNNNNNNNNNNNNNNNNNNNNNNNNNNNNNNNNNNNNNNNNNNNNNNNNNNNNNNNNNNNNNNNNNNNNNNNNNNNNNNNNNNNNNNNNNNNNNNNNNNNNNNNNNNNNNNNNNNNNNNNNNNNNNNNNNNNNNNNNNNNNNNNNNNNNNNNNNNNNNNNNNNNNNNNNNNNNNNNNNNNNNNNNNNNNNNNNNNNNNNNNNNNNNNNNNNNNNNNNNNNNNNNNNNNNNNNNNNNNNNNNNNNNNNNNNNNNNNNNNNNNNNNNNNNNNNNNNNNNNNNNNNNNNNNNNNNNNNNNNNNNNNNNNNNNNNNNNNNNNNNNNNNNNNNNNNNNNNNNNNNNNNNNNNNNNNNNNNNNNNNNNNNNNNNNNNNNNNNNNNNNNNNNNNNNNNNNNNNNNNNNNNNNNNNNNNNNNNNNNNNNNNNNNNNNNNNNNNNNNNNNNNNNNNNNNNNNNNNNNNNNNNNNNNNNNNNNNNNNNNNNNNNNNNNNNNNNNNNNNNNNNNNNNNNNNNNNNNNNNNNNNNNNNNNNNNNNNNNNNNNNNNNNNNNNNNNNNNNNNNNNNNNNNNNNNNNNNNNNNNNNNNNNNNNNNNNNNNNNNNNNNNNNNNNNNNNNNNNNNNNNNNNNNNNNNNNNNNNNNNNNNNNNNNNNNNNNNNNNNNNNNNNNNNNNNNNNNNNNNNNNNNNNNNNNNNNNNNNNNNNNNNNNNNNNNNNNNNNNNNNNNNNNNNNNNNNNNNNNNNNNNNNNNNNNNNNNNNNNNNNNNNNNNNNNNNNNNNNNNNNNNNNNNNNNNNNNNNNNNNNNNNNNNNNNNNNNNNNNNNNNNNNNNNNNNNNNNNNNNNNNNNNNNNNNNNNNNNNNNNNNNNNNNNNNNNNNUUUCAAAUUAUUAUUAUUUUAAUUUUUACGGCCAAAAGACCAACUCCACAUAGUCUCGGCGAAGGGUGAGGUGAGUCCCGGCCCACUAAUUGGGUGUGUAUUUCCUACCUAAUCAUAGAACGAUUUACUUCUUCUUUUGUCUAUUCUACUUUUGUUUUUUGUUCCUUCCUCACAUGAUCAAUGUUCAAGCAUAUAUAUUAAUCACGUGGCCGCUGUGGAAGCAUACACUAAAUGUCAAGUUAGAAAGCUUGAAAUACAAUAUAUAAUAAUAGAAAAAUUUAUAUAAGAUUGUAAUUUUAAAAUAUAGAAGUAAGACGCACCUCAAAAAUUCAUCAUAAAAAGUUUUUUUUUUUAAUAUUGGAAAACCAUCUAGUUGAUCAUCUCAAUAUUGAGAUGUAGGAAUAAGAAAAGAAAAUAGAUUUUGAGUCUUAAAAAUAGUGUAUCUUACAACACAUUAUUUAGACCGUCCAUUUUCAAUAUUUUCAAGUGUUUAUAGAUCUACUUGAUUUGAAUUAUUUUUGUAUUUUAAGAUUCUAUGAUUAGAGAUGAAAAUAGAUUUUUAAGCCAUCUUAAAAAAAUGUUGACACCAAAUUUAGAGAUGCAUCUUAAUAUUUUCAAGUAUUUAUUUUUUGACAGCAAAUUUAGACUGUCCAUUCUCAAUAUUUUCAAGUGUUCAUAGACCAACUUGAUUUGAAUUAUUUUUGGAUUUUAAGAUGAAAAUAGAUUCUCAAGCCUUUUUUAAAAAAAUUUGACACCAAAUUUGGAGAUGCGCCUUAUUGUUUAAUGUUGCAACUUUAUACAAACCACACUAUAAUGAUUAGUUCUAUUUAUGUAAAGAGCUUGUAUGUUUUUUUGGAACUUUUUAUUUAUUAAUAUUUUGUUCGACAGAAAAUGCUUCAGGUGAAUCCCACCACACGCAUCUCGGCAAGGGACGCCUUGGACCACCCCUAUUUCGACAGCCUUGACAAAUUCCAAUAUUGAAUCCUCUCUCUCUCUACAAACUCUACAUGUGAAGGUCUAGUAUUAUAUGAAUCCUCUCUCUCUCUCUCUCUCUCUCUCUCUCUCUCUCUCUCUCUCUCUCUCUCUCUCUCUCUCUCNNNNNNNNNNNNNNNNNNNNACCUACCCACCACCGACACACUCGUCGACGGACGGACCGUCGUACGACCCUACCUUACGUUACUACGACUCGUACAAUACUACUAUAUAUACUCUCUCUCUCUCUAACUAACUACUACUAGUGUAGGUACGUACGUAUUAUUAUGUAUACUCUCUCUCUCUCUCUCUCUCUCUCUCUCUUUCUCUCUCUCUUCUUCACCUCGAUUUGUGCAUUUGUGUGGCUCAUUGACUUUCUUUUGUAUUGAUACCGACUUCAAGGAUAGAAGGACAGAAGUAAGGGACGAUAAUAUUCAGUUGUUGAAUCUCGUUUCCAUUUUGUUGAAUCUGAGUUAAUAAAUGUGAAAGCCUUGGACAUGUAAGCUUUAAUGAAUGUGAAAGUCUUGGACAUGUAAACUUUGCAGCAAUA
rnacentral:lncRNA from 1 species